CUGCUACAACCGUGCACUACUACCAAGUUAUUUUCGAUGUUGCGACUUCUGAAUCGACGAUCGGCUCCGUUAGACUUGAUCUACACUAUUAAAAGUAUUUGAAAAUUAAAUUUCAUAAUUUUUCGACAUUAUUUGGCUAGUGAUCAAAAGGUCUCAAAAUUAACAAUUUUAAUGAUAGAUGUGAUGCGUUUGUGAAUUUAACGGUGUAAAACAAUUCAAAUCUGAUGAAAUUUUUAUAGAAAAUUUCUUUCACUAUUUAGAGUAAGAUCAGUACAUCUGAUCUUAAAUUCAAGUCUUUUAUCAUCUUUUUUUAUAAAAUUUUUAUUUUCAGCCAUUCAUUUUUAGGCUACUUGUUUGAUAGGUAAAUGAUACCGAAAAAUUAUGAAAUUUAGUUUUCAAAUACUUUUAAUAGUGUAGAUUAAGUCUAACGGAGCCGAUCGUCGAUUUGGAAGCCGCAUCAUUGAAAAAAAACUUGGUAGCACGGAGGUUUCCGUGCUACCGAUAGUAUACUAGCCUAGCGCGCGCUAACUCUCUCUCUCUCUCUCUCNAUAUAUAUUUAUUUAUUUAUUUAUUUAAGGAUUAAUUGUAUACAGCACUCUGAAAAUAUUUCGAAUAAGAAAAUAUAUCUAUAAAGUUUAAUUUUUAACUUUUAUUCUUGCAAAAGUUUAAUAAUAUUUAUAUUUGUUCCUUUAAUUAGUUACCGUUAGAAAACUAUUUAUUUUUUAACAACAAAUAAGUGAAAUGUCAAUUUUGACAUCACAAAUAUAUCCCUCCAAAAAUUUCAACUAUUACAAUCGUGUAGAAAUAUCUCUCCGAAAAAUUUUCAAUAGUUAUUUUCUUCCUCAUCAUCUUCCUCUUUAAAAUCCAAUCUAAGAGUUCUUAUUGCUAGAAUUUUGAUUGAGAUAAGAAGGUAUAAUAUAAAAUAAUUAAAAUAUUAAUUUUGUUAUUUUUACAGAAAGUUAUAUGUAAUUAGUCUUUUAAAAAUAAUAUAAUAAAUAAGUUAGAACUUUGUAGAUAUAUAUUUAUAAUUUUGUUAUUUUUAUAGAAAGUUAUAUGUAAUUAGUCUUCUUUUUUUUGUUUUUUGAGAGAUGAGUACGUAGCAUGAUACCGUUUCGUUUAUUUUAUUUAAAAAUAAACUUAACUGAAAAUAUGAAUCAAUAAGGAUUCAAAUUUGAGAUCUCGGAUAUCAAUCAUCAAAUUUUUUGUCACUUGUUUUAGGGACGGUCGGUAUGUGUAAUUAGUCUUAUAUUUAAAUAGGAGCAGUUACACUUUGCAUCUCGAGGAAGUAUCAUUUAGUGUUAGUCAAUAAAGUUAUUCAAGUUAGAAAAAUAUUUUAUUCACCUUCUUUUAUUUCACAAUAAGCACACGAUCACGUGAUCGUCCAAGCCGGUCUCCGCCACCAAGUGUUAGUCAAUAAAGCUAGUCAUUAUUAGCUGAAUUUAAGUUAUUUAAAUAUUAUUUUAUUCCACAGAAAGAAUUAGACAUGGUUAAUUAGGAUUCCAAUAUUUCGAUCAAAUGAUAUUUCAAUUCUCAGUUUCUAAGAUCGACACAUCAAAUUUGGGUAAGAACUACAGUAUUGUUGUAUUAUUAAUUAGCUUGUAUAUUUCGAUACAUAUCUACUUUGGUUUUUGGUUUUAUUUUGUUCUGUUUUGUUUUUUUUUUUUAUUAUUGUAGGUGGCUUGCAUCAUUAGCUUGUAUUUUCCGACUCAUGUCUACUUUGUAGUUUUUAUCCUUUGUUAGGUGGCUAAUAUCUUUAGCCAACAACAACUAGAAACCUAAUAAAUAUAUAGAGAGAGAGAGAAUCCUGCUAUAAUACUGUCAUAGCACCAAAUAUUUUAUAGUACCAAGUUUUUUGCUGUUAAAUUAUUUUUUUAAUCAUUUUCAUCCGUUAAAUUAUACUAUUCAACUUUAGAGGACUACAAUCCUAACCGCAUAUUGCUUAACCCAAGGCCGAAAGUUUAAUAGUACCACUAUAUAUAUAUAGGGCUGGUAUGCUUAUGGAAGCACGGAGGCCUCCGUGCUUUCAAGUUAUUUUCGAUGUUCCGACUUUUGAAUCGACGAUCGGCUCCGUUAGAGUUGAUCUAGAGUAUUUGAAGUAUCUAGAAAAUAAAUUUUGCGAUUUUUUGAUAUCAUUUGCCUAGUGAUCGAAGAGGCUCAAAAUCAAUAAUUUUAAUGACCGUGGUGAGCCGGUUGCAAGUUUAACGGUGUAGAAAUAUCCAAAUCACAUGAAAUUUUGAUAGAAAAUUCUUUAUACCAUAUAAAACAAGAUCAAUAACUUUGAUCUAAAAUUUUAACGUCAUAUCAUCAAAUUUUGUAAGAUUUUUAUUUUCAGCCGUUGAUUUUGAGCCACUUCGAUCACUAGGCAAAUGAUAUCGAAAAAACGCAAAAUUUAUUUUCUAGAUACUUCAAAUACUCUAGAUCAAGUCUAACGGAGCCGAUCGUCGAUUAGAAAGUCCGAAUAUCGAAAACAAAGUGGAAGCACGGAGCCCUCCGUGCUUCCAUAAGCAUCUUAGCCGCACUCUCUCUCUCUCUUCUCGACCCUACUCUCGUCUCUCUCUCUCUUCGCUCUCAUCUUCUCUCUCUAUCUCUAUAUAUAUACUAUAUAUAUAUAUAUAUAUAUUCAACUUUAGUUCAUUACUAUUCAACUCAUAGACAGGACUGCUGUGGCUCUCCUGAGCCGUUUCGAUGAUAGAAUUUCGGAUCGAUGAUCGGCUCCGUUAGACUUGAUUAGUGUAUUUAAAGUUUCUAGAAAAUAAUUUUUGCGAUUUUUGAUAUCAUUUACCUGACAAUCAAAAGGAUUCAAAUCAAUAUUUUUAACGGCUAAAAUAAAAUCCUAUAAAAGUGGUUGAUAUAAGCAUAAUUUUCGAUCGAAAUAUUAAUCUUGUUGUAGAUAGUAUAAAUUUUGUAUCAAUUUCAUCUGAUUUAGAAUACUUCUACACGUUAAACUUGAAAACAGACAUAUUCAACUAUUAAAACAUUUGAACCUUUCCAAUCACUAGGUAAAUGAUAUCAAAAAUCGCAAAAAAUAUUUUCUAGAAACUUCAAAUACGCUAGAUCGAGUCUAAUGGAGCAUCAUCGAUCGAAAAUUCCAUUAUCGAAAACGGCUCAGGAAGCACGGAGGCAUCCGUGCUCUGAGAGCACAGCAGUUCUUCUCUCUCGUUCUCUCUCUCUCUCUCUUCUCUUCUCUCGUUCUCUCAGUAUAUAUAUAUUAUAUAUAUAUAUAUAUUAUAUAUGUAUAUACUAGUUGAGCUACUGCAAAUGCAGCGUAAUAAUUAUUUUAUUUAUUUUUAAACAAUAAAAUUUUAUAAAUUAUAUUUAUUUUAAAAUUUGAAUUAAAAAUAUUUGCAAAUGCACUUAUAUUUUGUUAGAAAUAUUUCAAUAUCAAAUUUAAUUUUAAUAUUAAAUAGGAUGGAUAGAUUUGAUAUUAAAAAUCAAAAUAAAUUUAUAAUUUCACGUUAAACUCAAAAUUUUAAAUUUUAUUAAAAUAAGAUGGAUGACAGGACUAUUUUUUAACGAUUAAUUUAUUAACUAUUUAUUUUUUAUUUAAUAUAUUUAACUAGAUUGAUCAUACGUUGAUAGAAUUUGAAAUUUAUAAAUGGAAUAAUAUUUUUUUACAAAUUGAUUAUAGCGUUCUUCUUUUAGAGAUAAUUUUUUAAACUUUAUCAUAAUUUGCAUAUCAUAUUAAUUCAAAAAUAUCGAUUUACAAAUGUAUAAAACCAACUAUCUUUUAAAUUUAUUUACGUAUGUUAAAUUGUAAUAUAUUGAUAGUCCCGAAAAGUUAAAAUUUUAAAUUAAUUUUAAAUUUGGAAUUGAAAUAGAAUUUACAGUGGUUAUUCGACAAAAAUUUAAUAGAAUGGAUUUUUUUCUAUUUUUAGAGAUAAAAACAAAUUUUGAAUUAAUAUAGGUUUAUAGUAGAUAUCUUUCGGUUGGUAAAAAAAAUUGGCAUAAGUAUAUAUUUUUUAUUUUAGAGAUAAACAACUAAAGUUGUUUCAUAUCGGUUAUUGUAUUUUACGUAAGAAAAGAGGAAUCAAUAUUUUUUUUCCGCAAAAAAAUAGGUCUGUCGGACGACGGGAAAUUUGACAAUACGUGCUUUAUAUAUAGGUAUAGAUUAAACCCAAGAAAGUAAAGGCCAAUUUGGGCUGGCAAUUGAGCGAGCCUGUUGUCUCCGGCUCGGAUUAUCUCGAUUCGAAGAUUAAAUAAGUCGACGUUUGAGAAAAAAAAAAAAAAACUCAAGAGUUGUGUUUUCAAGUCCGAGCUUGAGUAUUAUUAGGUUUUCGCACGGAAUUAGGUUUUGAAAAGCUGGAAUAUAUAUAUAUAUAUACAAUAUAUAUAUAUAUUAUAUAUAUAUAUAAUAAUAAUUAUAUAUAUAUAUAUUGUAGAAUUACUAUGCUAUUGAAAGUAUAGAGAAUUUAAUGCUUCCGAUUUUUUGACACUUGGAUCAAAAAUUAUACAGUUGAGAUGAUUGCGGUCCCCUCUAGGAGUGGAUAAUAUCCCUAGCAUUGAGUGGUCCCUAUAGAAUAAUAGUAUUAAUCCAAAGAUUAGAAAUGAUUAAAAGAGCUUAUCUAAGGACCAAAAAGUCGAAAAUACCAUAUGCUUUAUGCUUCCGAUAGCAUAGUAGCUAGUCUACUCUAUAUAUAUAUAUGUAUAUAUAGUCCGGCUAUUAUAUUCUUAUGAAUUUAGACACCUUUAUAUCCAUAAGUUUUUGACCGUUAAAUAUAUCCGUUUGGUCAUUUCAAUCCGUUNAGUAGGGCUGCUGUGCUCUCAGGAGCACGGAGGCCUCCGUACUCCUGAGUCGUUUUCGAUGAUAGAAUUUUCGAAUCGACGAUCGGCUCCGUUAGACUUGAUCUAGCGUAUUUGAAGUUUUUAGAAAAUAAUUUUUGCGAUUUUUUGAUAUGAUUUACCUAGCAAUCGAAAUGAUUCAAAAUCAAUAAUUUUUAACGGCUGAAAAUAAAAAUUCUAUAAAAAGUGGUGAUAUAGCACUAAAAUUUUCGAUCAGAAAUAUUGAUCUUGUUGUAGAUAGUAUAAAAAUUUUUGUAUCAAAAUUUCAUCUGAUUUGAAUACUUCUACACCUAAACUUGAAAACGGCAUAUAUCAACCAUUAAAAAUUAUUGAUUUUGAAUCAUUUCGAUCACUAGGUAAAUGAUAUCAAAAAAUCGCAAAAAUUAUUUUUUAGAAACUUCAAAUACCCUAGAUCAAGUUUAACGGAGUCGAUCGUUGAUUCGGAAGCUCCAUCACUGAAAACAGCUUAGGAGCACGGAGGCCUCCAUGCUCCUAAUAGCACACAAGACCUACUCUAUAUAUAUAUUAAGGAAUUGAACUAGAAUACUUUUAGAAGCAUCAUCCCCUAGGUGCUAUUAGGUUUUUAGUUUUUUGAUCUACUCAUUGAUUACUAAUAGUUUUUGGAUCAAAUACUAUUUCACCUACCAUCAUCUAUCACCAUCAUUUCAACCAUACAUUUUUCCAUCCAAAGAUUAAAAAUUUAAAAGCACCAGCUUUUUAGUACUUUUGAGAGUAUUCUAGUUCAACUUUAUAUUGAGACAUUCCGACUGACGGUUUAGCCAGCAAAAGGUAAACCGGCAGAAGAAAUCGGCUGAUAAAAAAAUGUAAACUUAUUAUGUCCAACUUUAUUAGUAUAUAUAUUAAUUUUUUAUAUUUUGUUGACUACCUCAGUGUGAGCUUUUUGAGCAUGAGGGAUAGAAGAAGACUAGAAGAGAAAAGGUACGGUAGAAUCGAGUUUAUAAAACUAGAAAAAUACUACCUUUACAUUUUAUAUAGGAAAUACAUCUUACACUCUUGUAUUUCAGGAUUGAUAAAUUUUUGAUAAAUUUUUUUUUUUAAAAAAAGACAAGUAAGAUAAUAUAGAUAAUAACAAAGAAGCCAGGGCGUAAAAUUUACACCUAGACUACAAGCUAGGUGCAUGUAUUGGUAUAGUAUUACUCAUAAAAGAUACUAGUAGAUCUGGAUGGGGUUAGAUACUAUUCAUAAAAUUAAAUGAAGAACUAAUACCACAGGUGGGGUUGGGUACUAAUACUAUUCACAAUCACAAAAUUAUAAUUUUUUAAAAUAUAAUAUUAAAUUGAAGUGACUAAUUAAUAGUUAAAACUUGAAGAUCUUUAAGAAUUGAAAAGACAAAAUAACUUACGCCAUUAUCUUCUGNUAAUGUUCGAGGGAGAGCUUACUUCCAUUGGGUGACAAGGGAACAGGGCUCCUUUGGUUGGUUUAAAGGUGUAAUGGAUGAUGUCGCAGAGAGUGACCACAAUGUGAGUCCUCCGUUUAAACUGUUUUCCUGUUUAGUCUUUCUAACCUUGCCGUUCCUCCUAAGAGGGUUGUUGAUGAAUGAUAAAUUUGAAUAUUUUGCAGCACAUUAUAGAAAUGCACAAUUACUUGACUAGUGUGUAUUUUGAAGACAAUGAAAGGUCUGCUUUGCUUGCAAUGGCUCAGGAGCUUCGGCACGCCAAAAAUGGUGUCAACGUUGUAUCAGAAAGCCGGGUAAAUACUUGCUAAAAUUAAAUGAGAACACACUGGCAAAAAAAAAAAAGUAUAUUUUAUAAACUUAUGCCUUUUUUUUACUACAGAUAAGGUCACAUUUCGGAAGGCCAAACUGGAGAAAGGUGUUUUCUAAUUUGGCCAAUGCACACAAGUGCUCUCUUAUAGGUAUGUGCCACCACAAACGACUCACUUCAUAUGGGAAGAAAUAAUUUAAUCUUUACUACAGUGGGAGUAGCAUUCAUGAUUCAGAUGGCUAUAUGUAUAUGAGUAUCGUAUCAUGUUUUGCAGGCACAUGGCUUCGAGUAGACUCAAAAAUCUAUUGUUAAUUAUCUCCAUGAGAUUGGGACACUUUCGAUUAAGAGACCUUCAUAAUGUUAAUGAAAACGGCUAUAGUGAUUUGUAUUAUGGUAGCACCUUAGUUAUAUGUGCUAAAGCGUAUAAAGUGAUUAAGUCCUAAUUAUAUGUGCUAGGAUAAAAUGUUUGAUUUCGUUGAGCUACGUGUAUGUUUUAGAGCUCAGUUGGGUCCCACCCUAAGGUGAAUGAUUGACCAACUACUAAGUAUAUGCCAAGGAUUAAGUUGAGUUUGAUUUAAGGUUGACCGGGAAGUAGAUCAAGACCUGGUCGAUAUUAGACUCAAGGGCGCAUUCGGUUCAAAAUUGGAAUCUGAAUCGAAAUUGAUCGGAAUCAGAUAUAGAAUGAUAUUUUGGGUUAGAAUAACAAUUGGAAUAAUUGAUUCAAAUUUUUAUUGCUUGGUUGAGACGAAGAAAAUUUUGGUUAUAAAAAAAACUAAAAUAAAAUUGAAAUUAAAAUAUAAAAUAUAAAAUUAAAUUUAAUUGACUUCACAACUUAAAAUAUAGAAUUACAUUUACAAUUUAAAUUCAAACUAAAAUUUAAAUAUUAAAAAUUAACAUCAAAAUUUUGGAACGAUAAGCCAAAAUUUAAAAUGUAAAUAUUUUUUUAAAAAAUUAAAAGUUAAAAUUGAAUUUAUAAUUCAAAAUAUAAAAUUAAUUUACAAUUUGAUAAACUUUAAACUUACAAUUUAAGGUUAAUUGCAUACAACUUGUAAACAUCGCGAAUUGCAAUUCUAUCUCUACGAAGUUCGAUUUUCUUAUAUUAUCCCUGCAAAAGUCCAGUGAUAUUCAUAUGUCCCUCUGGUUUGUUAUCGUUAAAGAACUGUUUAGUUUUUAAUAGCAGAUAAGUGAAAUGUCAAUUUUGACAUCACAAAUAUAUCCCUCCAAAAAUUUCAACUAUUACAAUCGUGUAGAAAUAUCUCUCCGAAAAAUUUUCAAUAGUUAUCUUCUUCCUCAUCAUCUUUCUUUUUAAAAUUCAAUCUAAGAGUUCUCAUUGCUAAAAUUUUGAUUGAGAUACGAAGGUGUAAUAUAAAAUAAUUAAAAUAUCAAUUUAUGUUAUUGACUAAUCAAGAUUAAGUGUUUUAUCUAUAGUUAAUUAAAGUUUUCUAAUGAAUCCUAACGAUAAGGAUGUAUUUAAAAAUAUUUUAACUUUUAUAAAAAUAAUAUAAGAAAGUUAGAACUUUGUAGGAAUAUAUUUAUAAUUUUGUUAUUUUUAUAGAAAGUUAUAUGUAAUUAGUCUUUUAAAAAUAAUAUAAGAAAUAAGUUAGAACUUUGUAGGAAUAUAUUUAUAAUUUUAUUAUUUUUAUAGAAAGUUAUAUAUAAUUAGUCUUUUUUCUUUUUUUUGAGAGAUAAGUAGCACGCUACCCGUUUCGUUUAUUUCAUUUAAAAAUAAAUUUAGCUGGAAAUGUGAAUCAAUAAGAAUUCGAACUUAAAAUUUUAGAUACUAACCAUCAAUUUUUUUGCCACUUGUUCUAGGGACAGAUCAGUACAUGUAAUUAGUCUUAGAUUUAAAUAGGAGUAGUUACACAUUGCAUCUCGAGAAAGUAUCAUUUAGUGUUAGUCAAUAAAGUUAUUCAAGUUAGAAAAAUAUUUUAUUCACCUUCUUUUAUUUCACAAUAAGCGCAAGAUCACGUGAUCGUCCAAGCCGGUCUCCGCCACCAAGUGUUAGUCAACAAAGCUAGUCAUUAUUAGCUGAAUUUAAGUUAUUUAAAUAUUAUUUUAUUCCACAGAAAGAAUUAGAGGAUUCCAAUAUUUCGAUCAAAUGAUAUUUCAAUUCUCAGUUUCUAAGAUCGACACAUCAAAUUUGGGUAAGAACUACAGUAUUGUUGUAUUAUUAAUUAGCUUGUAUAUUUCGAUACAUAUCUACUUUGGUUUUUGGUUUUAUUUUGUUCUGUUUUGUUUUUUUUUUUAAAUUAUUGUAGGUGGCUUGCAUCAUUAGCUUGUAUUUUCCGACUCAUAUCUACUCUGUAGUUUUUAUCCUUUGUUAGGUGGCUAAUAUCUUUGCCCACAACAACUACAAACCUAAUAUAUAUAUAUAUAUAUAUAUAGAGAGAGAGAGAGAGAGAGAGAGAGAAUCCUGCUAUAAUACUAUCAUAGCACCAAAUAUUUUAUAGUACCAAGUUUUUCACUGUUAAAUUAUUUUUUUAAUCAUUUUCAUCCGUUAGAUCAUACUAUUCAACUUUAGAGGACUACUAUAAUUCUAACCGCAUAUUGCUUCACCCAAGGCCGAAAGUUUAAUAGUACCAAUAUAUAUAUAUAUAUAGAGAGAGAGAGAGAGAGCAGGACUGCUGUGCUCUAAGGAGCACGAAGGCCCCUGUGCUCCUGAGCCAUUUUCGAUGAUGGAAUUUUCGAAUCGACGAUCGGCUCCGUUAGACUUGAUCUAGCGUAUUUGAAGUUUCUAGAAAAUAAUUUUUACGAUUUUUUGAUAUCAUUUACCUAACAAUUAAAAGGAUUCAAAAUCAAUAAUUUUUAACGGCUGAAAAUAAAAAUCCUAUAAAAAGUGGUGAUAUAGCACUAAAAUUUUCUAUCAGAAAUAUUGAUUUUGUUGUAGAUAGUAUAAAGAAUUUUGUAUCAAAAUUUCAUCUGAUUUGAAUACUUCUACACCAUUAAACUUGAAAACGACAGAUAUCAACUAUUAAAAACUAUUGAUUUUGAACCCUUUCGAUCACUAGGUAAAUGAUAUAAAAACAUCGCAAAAAUAUUUUCUAUAAACUUCAAAUACGCUAGAUCGAUUCUAACGGAGCCGAUCGUCGAUUCGAAAAUUCCAUCAUCGAAAACGGCUCAGGAGCACGGAGGCCUCCGUGCUCCUGAGAGCACAUCAGUCCUGCUCUCUCUCUCUCUCUAUAUAUAUAUAUGUAUAUAUAGUCCGGCUAUUAUAUUCUUAUGAAUUUAGACACCUUUAUAUCCAUAAGUUUUUGACCGUUAGAUAUAUCCGUUUGGUAAUUUCAAUCCAUUAGAUCAUAAUAUUCAAUCAACAACUCACUCAACUCUAGAAAAUCACUAUCAUCCUAACCGCAUAUCCCUUCAUCCAAUGGCCGACAAGCUAUGAGUACAAAAGAGUCUAUACUUAUAAGAGUAUAGUAGCCCUACUCUCUCUCUAUGUAUAUAUAUUAAAAAUAUUUCAUAAAUAUAUAUAAUAAUAUAUAUUACAUAUUAUAAUUAUAUGUAUAUAAAGUUUUAAUUAUCGGGCAUAUUUGUUGACCCACAAAAUUAAACCAGUAAAAAUCUACUCUAAUUUCUUUUUCUUCCUCUUUUUUACUUGCUCGCAUAGCCGCUUUUCCUGAAUUAUUUUUUCUUAAUAUUAUGAUACUGUAUUCAUGCAUUUGUUUUGUAUGUUGAAUUAUUAGAUAUAUUUUUAUUAAAUAUUAAAUAAUAUAUAUAAACAUUAAAUUAUAAAUUGCAUGACAUUGAGAAUUUCAAGCGGUUUGUUUAGAACUCGAGCUCACUUGAUUUGAAAUUAGGCUUGCUCGAGCGAGCUCGGCUCGAAUUAGUUUCAAGCCAAAUUAGAAGUGAGAUAAGCUCCCUUAAGUUUGGGUCGUUUUCAACCCUAGCUAGAAACGGAAGGUUGGCAAUAGUAGCAGAAGAACUACAUUACAUAUAAUAGGAGACAAUGAUAGCGAACGCUACACAAACUAUCCCACGCACACGCCUCUGUCCUCGUAGUGUGGCAGGUUAGUUAUAUGGAGCUUAGCCCACAACAAGCGUAACUCAUUAUUGCAGAGCCAUUGGGUUCUGAAAGCAAAAAGAGAUACGAAGCAAUCGACAGGAGAAAGAGGCGAAGCGAGUGUGUGUGAGAGCAAGCUAUAUAUGUUUUGUUCAGAAGAGCCAAGGAUUACCCGUUGAGCAAAUUGUAGAAUUUCUAUUUCUAAAUGGAGAGAAAACACUCCCAUGAUUUUCCAUGUAAGUCAUUGUUCUAAAUAAGGGGCUAAAAUUCCUUUUAAGCUAGCCCACAAAAAAGAAGGGACAUAAAAGAGUUUACAUCAAAUCAAUCAAAAAAGAAAAGAAGAGAAGGCCAACCAAGUAGAGCCCUAUUCCUCAUGCUUUCUUUCUCUUCCACUUGAGGAAGAUUUGGAGGGAAAGUCCUGUGAAGACCAUAAUAACACUUCCCCACUGCUUCAAGGAUAAGGGAUUGCUGCUUAUUACGGAGGACACGACGAUGCUCAUGAAUUUGCGAGUGGUGGUAAUUGUCGUGUUGGUCAGGGAACCAAAGCGGCUGAUUGUUAGGAAGAUGAAGUUUUGCCCAACAGCCCCACAGAGGCAAAAUAGGAAGAUGUCCCACGCUACCUCUGGAUUCUCCCUGCAAAAUUUCAAUGCCUCGAAACCGUUUGCAUAGGGCCAGUUCGCAAAAAAGAAUGGCCCGCCAAACAUGAGUAGAGCAUUGUAUACGGUGCCCCACAAAUUCAUUCCCAGCAUUAUAUCCCAGGGAUUAGUCUUUGGGUACCUGUCAGAGAGUGAAAAAAAAACUUAUAUUUAGGCUCUUUAUAUGUGGUUAACUGUAACAAUCAGCAUUUGCUAAUAUGGUAUAUAAAAGGUGAAAGAAGAAGCAUGGAAAUAACCUUGAUUUUAUUAAAUCCUGUGUGGAAUUUGUAUAACCAUCAAAUGCUAGGUUGAGAAAGCAUAGCCCAUAACCAAGAGGAGCAUUCGGGUGAGCGAGCUUCCUUAUAGUCUUUGAGCUGGUCUGUAAGUUUAAUCAAGCAAUCAUCAACUCAGAUUUAUGCAAUUAAAUGCUGAAUAGAUAAUAUGUAAUUCCAAAUGUAGAAAUUGGAUAUGUCAUUAUGUGAUGUGGGACUGCCAAAUGCUUUUGGACUAGAAUAGUGCAUACAUUGCCUUCCAUAAGUUUUAAGUCCUCAUAAACAGAAGAAAAUGGAAUUCUAACCUUUGAAAGAGCAAAUGCAGAUACCCCUCCAGCAACGAGGAAGGAGCAAAUAUAUUCAGGUAUUGUGUAUUUGACACCAUACAAUAGAGUCCCCAUCAACAUUACUGCGUGUACGCAUUAAAAAGUUGGUUAGUCAGGAGAAUCUUCAGCUGGCAACUGCUUACUGCAACGAGUUUAUUCAGAUGGAAAGAAAUAUAUUAUUCUUCAAUCCCCUUCCCAAAGCUAAAGUAGCAUCAUUAGUGCUAUAAAAAUAAGUUGUGGAACUUCUGUCCACAGAAAACCUAAGAGCUGAUGGAAUAGCCUAUGUAAGCAGUUGUAUUGAUGUCAUCAGACUUUCAUGACAUCGAUUUUAUAUGCAUAAGAUAUUGCUUUAUGUCACAAGAAGAUCAAUCUAAGAAUGACUGCAUCACCUCCCAACAUUCUGCAAGAAAAGAAACUUUGCUCGACCAUUAUGAGAGUGUAAUAUGAAAGCAUCAAAUUUAUAAUUACUGUCAUGGAAUGCAUGAAUAUAAAAUAGAGUAACUGCAACAACAGUGCUGCUCUAGGAAUGUUCUUUAUUUCACAGGAUUAGGUAUCCUGCAGUUAAAUGUGUACCCAGUUAAGACAGUAGGUAUUAUAUCGGCCUCUCUCUCCCCCAAAGUGGGAGAUAGAAUGAAACUGGAAUCUUAACUCAUUCAAUCACUCAUAUGCACCUUACAUAACAUAAUAUUUUGCUAACGAUGCAUAUUUAGUGUGCUGUAGGAACGUACUAUGUUGCAAGAUACAAGAUGGCCAUUUUUGGACUUUUACAGCAACUACUGUUCAGAAAAGAGAGGAUACCCCAGAUGUCCUGAAGGAAAACAGGAUAAAACAAAUAAAACAAGGAAAAUGCAAAAUUUUUAAGCUGCUGAUGUGCGAAGCUGCCCAACUCUACUUGGGGAUCGUUAGAAAAAAAAUGAUUCACAACAGCAGCCUACUUAUUGCAAGAAAAGAGCAGAGUGUAAACUGUUUUCAGGUUGUUAAUUUCAAACCUUCUAUUUCAAUGUUUUAUAUCUUCUAUUUGUCUUUAGUCUGUAUUUGAUUUAACCAUGUAAAUCACUUGUAUGGUGCAAGUCCUUUACAUUAUAUCUAUAGACUAGGGGAACUGCAUGACCUAAAGGAUAUUGUCUGGGAAAAUAAUUAGAGUGGUUUUCACUUGAGCGCAUUAUAUGAUGUCCGAAAAGAGAGAUGUAAGAGAGAGAAUAGUUAACUCACCAGGUAUCAUCUUUGAAGAUUUAGCCAGCACCUGUAUACAUAUAGAACAAACAAGUAUGUAAAGAACAAGCAAUAGAGAGAACACAGAGAUAAAUUGAAAUUUCCAGAAAAUGGCAAGUAAAAACCCUUGUAUCUAUUUAGUAGCACAUUUAAACAAAUCAGAUCUUCCUGUUGCUCAACCAUUAAAGGAAAAGGAAGACUCCAAUAUUAAAGUAUCAUACCAGUAGCACCUCAACAAACUCUCAACAUGUGGCAAACAAACAAUCAAGCCGACAAAGCUGAAGCGUAUGACUUAUGCUAAACUCUUCUAGAUACCAAUACAUGAGUCGUAACCAUUGUCAAAAAGAAUUUGCUUCUAUCAUAGACACUGUUUGGUUAGGAACGAAAAGAGAAAACUCAAAUCCUCCAAUCUAUUUGCCAAAAGUAGUAAAAGAAGAACUUAGAAAUCAUCCUCUACAUCAGAACAGGUAAUUCAAGGAUCAAAGGUACUGUCCCAACUAAUCUGUGGAACCAUUCUGCUACUCAAUUGUUCCUUACGAAAGUAGUUAGGGUCACCAUCUAUAAUCCUUACAGUUAUGCAUGUAAUCAUUACAAUCUCCUAUAAUUCACUGGCUUUCUUCUCAGUUAUAUUGGGAUAGCUAGACAACCUUAAGUAUCAAAGAAAGUAGUUGCGCACAACAUAUAUCAGAACCAAAAUGAGCCACCAAGCAUUUUCUACUCCCGACUACUUUCGCAGCGAAGAAAUCUAAGUCAUUGAUCCACUUCGGAUACAAACAAAGUCGAUUACUAGCGCAAAUCAUCAUAUGCAGACUCAGAAACUCCAAACACACACGAUCUUAACUCAAACAGAAAAGAUAAUAACCACAUAAGCACCUAUACACCAUAGGAUCAUAAAAUGUGGCAUGCAAAGUUGGUUCUUUCCUCCAAACAUAAAACACGCAAUGCUGAUCAAUACCAUCUGAUCUAUUUGAAAGGUGAAAACUCUACAAGAUCUUAAUGACUAAUUCUAAGAACUAUAUGAUACUAGCAUAAUUAUUAAAACCCGAGGACUAAAGAAGCAAAGGAAACCUGUGCCGGGUAGCUAAUGUACUUCAAAGCUUCGAUCCCCAUAGCUGGGCCGAUGGUGUUAGUGAUGCUCACGCCACAAUACUUGAACAGUGGAGCACGUCCUUCGGAGCUCUUCGACCACAGCUUUAUCACUACAAUUAAUAUGAGAGAACACUUUUAACACCUCCACCCUUCUAAAUACACCAAAUUCAAAGCCUAAAUCAGCUUAAAACAGGGCAGGACUUACUUAUAAAAGACCACACGAAGCAAACCACGUUCUGCGCAAAAUUGAGGAAUGCGAGGUGAUCGAACCUCCUCCCAUCCGGUCCAAAUCGCUUGGUGGAUCUGAUCGCGAAAACAAGGCCACAUUAGAAACCCUAGAAGCCGAUCGAGAACCCUAUAUCGCUCAAAGAAGAACCCUACGGCGAAACGAAAGAAGCGAGGUGGGGGAAAGCCGGGAGGGAAAGCUCACAGAGUUUCCUGGAGGACGCCCUGGGUGAUGUAGGCCGACCAGAUUCCCGCAACGCAGAACGCGAGUACCAGGACGCGCUUCAGACCCGAGGCGGCGCCGCCGUGGGCCUCCAUUUUCCCGCGCGAUUUCGCCGGGGAAAACCGGCGAUGUUUUGCGCGACGAGAGGUGCGAUUUGGAAGAGGCGGAUCGCGUCGCGCUCGAGCGCUCGGUAAAGGGUAGGCCAGCGUUAAAUGAGCGGGGGUUGGGGGACCGGUGGAGGGAAGCCACGUCAGAAUCGCCACGUGGAGAGUUGCUAUUGGUGGGUGGGCGGACAGCGAGCUCCUAUUGGUUCGAGGACGUGGUUCCGCGGCGAGAACCGUCGCGCGUCCGUCACGGUUCGAACCGAUCAAACGGGUGUGUGGGCUCCACCCGGCCUACCCGACCCAAUUUAGUAGGAGGGACAGGGCCCAUUGGACCUGUUUGGUAUUUGCAGCAUAAGUAGAGUGUUUGGGCUGAGACUCGAAACAAUCCGGCCCGAAUCAAGGCCAGGCCCGAUCAUGUUCUAUGGUAGGUAAUAAUGUUUACUUCUCAUUUCUAAUCAUCAUUUCUCAGAAUGUUUCAGGAGUUCUAUAAUUUUGGAAUCAUUCAUUCACUAUUUAUUUCUAGAGGUUGGGUAAGUCGACGGUAAUCGGAGGAUAAUUACCAUCCGUCGACCGGGGACAACCGGUUCCCCAACGGCUUAAGGAGGGGCGACGUUUCAUGUGAUUGACCGGAGAGCACACAGCGAGCCUAAUCUCUCUCCCUUCCUCUCCUCUCUCUCUCUCUCUCUCUCUCUCUCUCUCUCUCUACCGAAACGAGAAACUAAAAGGGGGAGAAAAGGAUCGAGAUUCUCGCUAAAGCGGGAAGUUAUUUACUAAUCGACAAAUAUUUGGCGAAUUCAACUGGAUCGUAGGUUCUUCGCCUCUUCGUCCAUUUGAUGCGUUUGGAUCUUACCGUUAUUGGAGGGAUUCUUCGGUUUCAAUCGUAAUUCCAGGUUGAAUUAGGUAUGAUCUUAUUAGUUUCGUUUCGAUUUAUAGAUUCUAUCGAGUUUACAAUGUCAAUUAUGAGAUUUGAUUGUAGAUCUGGGCGAUUUUGGUUUACUAUUGCGAAAUUUUGAUUGGAUUAUGUUCUUAGAUGGGGUUUUCGCCACAUUUUUGGUGUGGUGUGUUCAUUUUGGAUAAGAUCUAAUUUGCUUUGAUCUUUGUUCCGCUGGAGUUAGAUCUGGUACCCAGUUGAGAAGAUUAGAGGAAGCGAUUGUGGAAUUUGGAGGAGGGAAUGGCGAAUCGGAUGAAAGAGGAUGAGAAAAAUGAGAAGAUUAUUCGAGGGCUUCUGAAGCUCCCGGCGAAUAAGAGAUGCAUUAAUUGCAAUAAUCUGGUAUGUUUCCUUUAAUAUGCUAAUUGUGAUUCUGUCUCUGGUAUGUUUCCUUUAAUAUGCUAAUUGUGAUUCUGUCUCUGGUAUGUAUACUUUAAUAUGCUAAUUGUGAUUCUGUCUCUGGUAUGUAUACUUUAAUAUGCUAAUUGUGAUUCUGUCUCUGGUAUGUAUACAUGAAUAUGCUAAUUGUGAUUCUGUCUGGUAACUUUCCAUUUAAUAUGGACUUUGAAAGAAUGAGUGCCAUAUAUGUAAAACUUUGAAAGUCAUACUUUGCAAAUGAGGUAAAACAAUAGUUAGAUUGUUAUUUGCAAACAUUGUUUAGAUUGUUACUAUCAAUUAUUGUAGAAUUGUGUAAUUCAAUACUCUUCUCAGAACAAGAUAAACCAUGCCCUUGUUACAGCUAAAUGGCUGAGACAUGUCCAUGUCAACUUAUAAUACCCUAUAGGAGACUCUCAAACCCUGCGAAGUUUCGGAAAUGAGUAAAUGGAGUCUCACUAAAAUGUAUGAGAUGCUUACAAAUUCUUUACCACCACAAAGAAGUAUAUUCUGAAGUACUUAACCAACAUUGAAAGGAUUCCAUUAUCAUGUUGAAUGGUGACAGCAACUUUUCUUGGCCAAACUUACUAUGCUGUUUAAAUGCCUCUUCGCUUUGUUCAGCUUUUCUUGGGAAAAGCUAGUAUAAUUUUUUAAGAUGCAUGGUCUCGUUUUAGCAGUACUAACAUUAAUAUGUAAAUAGGGACCACAAUAUGUCUGCGCAAAUUUCUGGACCUUCAUUUGUACCAACUGCAGUGGAGUACAGUAAGUGAUACUUGAUUCUUUGAGUUUUUAUUUCCAUUGUAUCUUCUUUAAGUAAGUUUGAUGUACUAUCUGGUCUCCACAGUGGUAAAUGAGAUUUAUCUGGGUGAUGAAAGGAUCUACUGAUUAUAGGACAAUCUUGCGUAAACUUGCUCUCUUUUUUUUCUCUGUUUCUCUCUAAAGAUUGUUAAAUAUUGCAGUCGGGAGUUUACACACCGUGUGAAAUCGGUGUCAAUGGCUAAAUUUACUUCACAAGAGGUUAGUGCCCUUCAAGAAGGUGGAAAUGAGGUACUCUUGGCCAUUCUUUUAUAUCCUGUACAAUUUUAUUGCUUUUGGGGCUAUUGUGUAACACUUUUGGGUUUUUUAUUUUAUUCGACUUACAGCGUGCCAGGGAGAUAUAUUUUAAAGAAUGGGAUCUGCAACGCAACUCAUACCCUGACAGCAAGUCUUUACCAGUUCCUUGUCUUUGACUUUUCUAUAUCCUUGAAAUGAUAUAUUGAUCCUUAUUAAUCCUUUUCUUUUGAUUCCAGUAACAUGGACAAAUUGAGAAGCUUCAUUAAGCACGUUUAUGUGGAUCGAAGAUAUACGGGGGAAAGAAAUGUUGACAGGCCUCCAAGGUCAAAGGUGAUGUCUAAUCGAAUGUUGCAGUUUUUUUUUUUUUAAAUAUUUUUGCUUACUGAUAGUGUGGGAAGUUGCUAAAAUUUUUUGGAUCACCUUGUAUGACUUAACAGAGUGAGAGGGAAAAUUAUGAUGAAAAUAGAAGGCUAGAAUCCUAUAGAGGUGGGUCACGAAGUCCACCAUAUAAUGAUCGUUAUGACAGAGGUUUCAGAUUUGCAUAUGGAGAAAGGAGCCCUGGGUAUGAUCAAAGUGACUAUAGGAGAAGCCCUUGCCACUUCGAGGUGGUAGAUGAUAGGCGCAGAGAUGAUAGUUCAGGCAGUGGGGUCCAGAAUCGAAGGUUUGAAGAUCGUAAAUAUCCAGAAGCAUUGAAACCUGAGGGUGGUUCACCGAAUUAUCAGAAAGAUAUCGAUGGAUCAAGCCCACCAGUAAUACGGCCCGUAAGGGAUAUAUUGGGCGAUGAUGCACCUCCACUUCUGGUUGGAGAGCCUCAUAAAUCAAACGGAACAAAAGCCGGCGAUAAUACACCACAAACCCAGGUGGAUAUUUCUAUUCUUUUAGAACAGAAGUUCUGUAUGGAGCUCCUCAUAGAAGAAUUUGUAAGAAUAGCAGAAGGACGCUUUAUGACAGCCCCUCCCACCCAACAAUAUACUUAUUCCUGAUUUAAAACUUACUUUUUGAGAAAAAGUUGGUUUGGUGGCCUAGGUGGAAAGCAAUAGUUAAAUGAAGAACAUCGAAGCUCCCCGUAUACUAUCUUCUAUAAGGAGCUCCCUGUAAAACUUCUGCUCAUUUUUUGUGGAAUAUCCUUUAAAUUUUGCAAAUUAGUAUAUUCUUUGUUGUAGUUUUCUUCUUUAAUUGUCUUGUUCAUUUUUCCGAAUUCUUGGAUCUUGCACAUUUACUAGUACAUAACAAUAUUGGCAUUUAUAUAGGAUGUUAUUUUUCACAUUUCUUCUUUGUCUUGACUCUUUUGUGAUUCGAACUAUGUUAGAGAAUUUGCCUAGUAGUAUAAGAAAGUAGUAUGGAAUCUACUAAGUAGUGCCCUAUUGAUGCUUGCUAUUGCUCAGUCUUGUUGAGUGGCAACGCUUUCUAGAGGUUGGCACGGGAUUAUCUCUCUGUUGCAUAAGUUGCUAAUUCUUCUAUCAAAGUAGUGCUCUAUUGAUGCCUAUUGUUGGUAAAAGCGUUAAUCCUCUACUAUGUGGGCUUCUUGUUGGAAUCUGCAGUAGAAGUAUUCUAUCGUUGACUUAUCUGAUCCGUGGUCUCGUUCUCCACAAAUAUGGGUAGACUCUAUGUAUUCUCUGAGUAAUGCAGUAGUGAUUAGUGGAUAUGAAAACCGUUUAAGUACUAGUAGGAUGCUUCAAUUUGGUAUGUUAGUACAACCUCCACUUAUUCUUUAUUCCCAAUUUGACCACAUGAAUGUCUUUCAUGCGAUGCUGCUUCCUUGAACUGCAUUUUGUUCUUAAGAAAUUGUAAUUCUUUUAACUAUUUAGGCCCUAUAAGUGCUUUGUCCUUAUAAGUUCUACAAUCGCAGAGGACUUCUUCCCCAAGCAGCAUCGAAUCUGCUGAAGGGAACUCCACCCAGCCAAAGGUGGAAAAUUCAGUUAGUUUGAUUGAUUUCAGUGCGGAUCCUGAUCCACCUGUUGCAGCACCACCACCACAACAGCAACAACAAGCUCCUCAACAAACCAAUUCUCCGUCAACUAAUGGUGGUGAGUGGGCAGCUUUCGAUGCGUUCGGUCAGCAGAAAGCUCCUCAAGUGGCUUCAAGUUCAAACCCUCUGGAAUCUGCACUGGCACAAUUAUCUCUUCCAGGAUCUACAUCUACUGUGAAUACUUCAACAAUGCCUGCUCCUGUUGAUACUGCUCCAAAAACUAAUGAUGGAGGGCAGUUGCCCGUGACCCGACAGUCACAGUCUUCACUUUUUCCUGGUGCAGUUAACCAGCCUUCAGAGUUAUUCUUUGAUGCACCUGCUGCUGGAGUUCCCAACGAGCAGGUAAAUACAUUUCAGGUUUAUGCAGAUGGCAUGCACAUUUAUCUAUAUACACCACCGUACUUCAAAAAUUGUCCUACUUCUUGUAUUAGAUGACCUCAACUUAAGGGCAUUUUUGGUAAGAAACAGCAAUUCAGAGUUCCCAAGGAAAAGGCUGUUUUAAUUGUUGGGAAAAUAUAUGUGAAGGCCCCAAUAUAUUUUGCUAUCGCUAGUGCCUUAGGAAUAGGCUCUGUUAAUUUAUAAGGUGUUACUUUCUGUUCCCCUUUCAGCUGCGGAGUUCAUCGGUGGAACCAAGCAUUCAGGGACCUUCUUUAACUACAGCACCUGUCCCAGCUGAUACAGUGGAUGCCAAUGCAUCUCAUAUUGCAAAAAGACCUCCUCAAGAAACUAGUGUAAUUUCAACACAACCAGCUUCCAUGGGCAGUAAAUCUACUGGAAGGAAAGAACUUCCACAGGUACCAUAAGUCAUACCGCUGCUCGUGAACUACAUUUUGGUGGAAUCAUUGACAUUUAAUACAUGAUAUGUCUGCAGGAUUUUUUCACUUCGCUUUAUCCUUCAUCAGCUGCAUCGCUGCCAGGCUGGCAAAGAGGCCCACUGCUUGGAAUGGGCUAUGCCAUGCAAUAUCCUACUGCAGUCGUAUGUUUUGUUUUUUUGUUUGAAAGAAUAUAAUAAUAAUCUCCUAUCUGUUUUUCGACUCUCUAAACAUGUGUGACCAGAAUUUCAUUUUCCAGGCAAUGCCAACAUUACCUCAGCCAUCAAAAUCUGUUAAUCCAUUUGAUCUUGCAAGUGAGCCAGCUACAAUUCAGGCUCCCAUGGUAUGCAAGCCUUUCAUCCUUUUACUGAUGUUAAAUUGCGUGAGAAUUUAGCAAGAGGUUAAUGCCCUCAGUUUGAGUAACCAAUAGAAAUCUUGGUCCUUCUUGCUUAUCUUUUUUCUUUUUUCAUUUUGUUUUCUCUUCUGUUUAUAAAAUUUGAUGUUCUCCUUCAUGCUUAAAUCAGUUUCCAUCGAUGACAUCUCUGCAAGGGGCAUUACCAAACUUGCCUGGUCAGCAACCUUUAGUCCGCACCUCCAUCUUUGAAGGGGGUUCUCCACGAUGGGUGCCCCCACAACCACUCACCCACCAAAUGUCUUAUCCCUCGGCCAUGCCUCCAGGUUUCACUUUUGUAAUAGUUUGAUUUUGUUUGUUCUCCAACAAUUUUUAGGCUUAUGUUUUUAAUUUUUGAGUCAAAAUGUCAGGCCAUUACAUGAUGCACCAGUUUCCAAAUAACAUGCCCCAGCAAGCUCCUAACAGUGUAAUGCCUGUCCUGUAAGUUCUCUUACGAGCUUAUUAUUUUUUUGAGCUAAUUAAGAAGCAUAAAAUACUGCCAGAAUGCUAUUUCCCGACUUAUUGAUCAGGUUACUUUUUUAAAUGCAACUAAGAACGCCGCACUGUUAUUAUCCUAAUUUACGUGGAAUUAAUUAUUCUCUUCAAUCUCCUUUUGUAUUAUUGCAGGCAACAAGGACCGUUAGGCCCCAGCAAUGAGGUAAAUGCUUUUGGCACUCCAGGGAUGGAUCAACAUUCAACCGCCGGAUACUCCCAGCCAAGCACCCCAAAUUCUUUCAGCUCUGUUGGAGGAAACCCCUUUGGAUAGAUCAAUACACAAAAUAGGAAGUAAAUUAUCAUUUAUUUAAUUUUAUUUGUGCUUAGCAUCUUUACCAUUCGUCAAACCAAGGGCUUGCCAUCCUGGAGGUUUUUUUGUCUAGUUGCUUUACGAACUGAAGAGCGAAAUUUGUUGUUUCGUUGUAGCUGGUUUGUGAACUGUGAAGAGAAGGGGUCUAAUUAUCACCUAUUCUUGGGGAAAAGGAGCCAUCUGAAGGGGUAGCUGGUAGUUGUGAAACGCCUAUUGAUGUAAAUUACUAUUUGUUACGAAGCAUGGCUAUUCUUAUAUAGCCCUGCGUCGAAGAAGAGUGUGUGGUCCUUCCUAUACAUAAGUUGGAAACUGUUGAGGUACUGCACUUUAUUCUGGGCUUGCUAUUUUCUGUCUUCCUGUAAGUGUGUUUGAUUCGGGUUUGCGGGAAACACCAUUUAUUUCUUUUCACUGUGAUGGGCUUUGUAUUACAUGAGAAUUAUAUUCAUACAUGUAGAGUGAAAAAUAAAUAUGAUAAUUCUUUUGAGUUAUUCUCUCUAUAUGGCUAUUACUACAUUCUUUUUGGAGAAUUUCCUUUGCCUCUCCUCUGAUUUUAUACUUGUUUAUUGGAUUAUUCAUGUUUAGCAUAUCUGCAUAUUUUGUUUGACCUAACCAUGCAAUAUAUAGUGUUGCUAGUAUUCAAAAUACUGUAAUACCUGUUUAAUUGGAUAUGUAUUAUGUAGUACUGCAGUACAAAAUCUUCAAGCCAACGAAGUUACUUCGCGAGACUCAUAAUCACUGUCUUAUGGAUCUUUCCCUAACAUCUCCGCCGACAAUUUAGUUCUCAGUUAUCUACAAAUAUUUUGUGCUUACACUAAAUACAAUGAUGCAUUUGCUAUAUAUGGGGAAAAUUUUACACAGUCGAAGCUACCCAGAUGAAACUUCUUUUGCCCUGAUAACUGGUGAAGCUCUUCGGCUGAGUUGUAUUGAUUUCUUUUGUACACUAAAAUAUGCUGAUGUGGAAUUUAGAGUAUGUGAUCUGCAUUCGUUUUGAGCAUUACUACGUCGACUCAACCUGCCUUCGAUUCUUCCAAACAAGGGGAGCAACCAGCAUCCAAACUGCAAAUAAAAACAUCAUAGCAUUCUUUUAUUGGCCAAGAGUAAACAUCUUAGUAUUCUAAUUUUCUUCUUUGUGUGUCGUGUAGAUUAGUGACUCUCUAGUUUGGUUUAGAUAGCUGCUUGAUUCCACCUUCUUUUUGUAGAUUAAGAUAAAUUUGGGUUGUGUACUCCUUUGGAUAGCUCUUGUGUGCGGAUACAAGUUUAUACUGUAUAUGGUUGUGGGGAUACAAUCGUACAAGCCCACAUCCCAGCGGCAGCGCUGAGUGGCGGUGGCGAUAGUAUUAAUAUAUCUUUUAGAAAAUUUAGUAUAUAGCUAAACAUUAAUACGGAUUAAUACAUACCGUACACAACCGAAGCAAGCCAUUCGUUCACAAUCCUGACCCAUGUACUGGCCCAUCCGACGUCUAUUGUCCAUCUGUGAAAGCCAGAUAUAAGCAGCGUAUAGUGUAGUAAAGAAUGGAACAAAAGAAAUGUUAGUGCGCAUGAAAAUCUAAAUACAGAUGUGAGAUAUCUCAAAAGCAAAUAAAGAAGUCUGGAGCCAGACUUCUACAGGAGACUUGUUGAAUUUGGUUGAAAAAGAAUUUAUUCACAAAGUUCAAGGAUAUGAUCGUUCAAUUUAUAGAAAUUGAACGCAUGAGAAGAAAUGCGCUAACUUGUUAUAGCCCAGCAAGCAAAUUUUUCCUCUAUAUAUAACUUGAAAGAUCAAUAUUCGAGUUCAAUGAGAUGUGAACUUACUUUUGCAUGGUUUUAUGUGCAUUCCACCCAAUGAAUAGCAUUGCAAAAUACAUCGCCCCCAUGGCAAAGACAAAAUGGAAGAAGCCGUAUCCAUAGGGAACAUCAUCCUCUGACUCUGUUUCAGCUUUCGUGAACUGCAUAUGUUGGAUUUCAAGUCGUGAAGUGAUUGGUGAUGAAAGCCAAUAUUUUAACCUUUGAUAACUUACCUGAAAGCAUUUGGAAUCGAUUCCUGUUGAAAAUGUUGCCAUGACUAUGGCAAGCACAGCAAUAACGAAGCUCUGCAAGGAAUGAAGAUAUGAACAAAUGAAAAAUAGGAGGAAGGAAUAUGUAUUUACAAGAUAUGCAAGUAGUCCUUAGGUCAAGCACAGCAGCUUGAUAUAAGAUAUAACGGCAUUGUCUAUAUGACUGGCUAAAAGAUUAUGCAGAAGACAUGACUAUCAUGAGACAUCAAUGGUGCUCGGAGAAGUAUUUUUCUUUUUGAAGUUCAACUCCUAGAAAUUAAUAAGGCAUUUCAUGAUUAUCUUGUCCAACACCUCAAAACAACUAAAGAUUUCCUGAGAGAAGUAAAUAAGAUUUCUUGAGGAUGUAAUUACCACAAUAGUUAACCAGUCUGCAUUUGUUGCAGCUUGUGCUUUCUUGUUACAGAUCUCUGUCUGUGGCUCACUGGCAUGGAUACAAAAGGGGAAGAGAAUAAAAACCAUAGUAGUGCUAAUAGGUGACGGGCUGCUAAAGAAGGCCAGAAAACGCUUAGUAAUUGGAGAAUAUCUUUUCCCCAAGAAUAACCCUUACACAAUCUAUAUACAGAAUAAGCCCGAGUAAAAUUAUUUACAACGCUGACCCUCUAUCUUGCUACGUUUAUGCCACAUCAGUGCAGUAGAGGAUUCAGUCUUUUCUCAUGCUAAACAUGGCUUUCUAAACACUGCGAAAAAGGCCUAUUGCACCAACAUGUUCCCUAUAUAAGUAGCAGGAAGAGCGUCACUUUUUUGGAAAUUCUUUUUUGCACCAGAUCAUUUCAACAAAUCAAUUUUUAUGUAUGCUCAUUUUGGGAAAAAGGCCCUUAGACAAGUAUCCCAGAUUGGAGUAUUUUAAAGUAAAUGCAAAACCAAACGUUUGAGAAUAGAAAGAAGGUUACCUUCUAAGAGCAGACCAGCAAAGAAAUACGACAUACAAUCCCAUUAUACCUGGUGCAAGGAAUCCUGCUUUCACCUAUUGCGAUAGAUAUGAUUAUAUUAUAAGUUCUGUUUAUAAUUAACAGAGCCUGAAGUGAAGACUUAUUGGUUCGUUUACCUUCGAGUGAAUUGAGACAAAAGUCAUGAGUUGCAGAAGCCCCAGUGUCAAAGUGAUAAAGAGGAUGUUAAGACUGCAUGAUGGCUUUGGUGCAUACCAUAUGUACAUCAAAACAAUUCCGACAACGGAUGCGAGAUAAGUGGUUAUACAAACAACCAACACUUGGAUGCGGCUGCAUGAUAUUUACAGUCAUUGUCACAUUAGACAUUUAACAAAACGGUGAUGACUACAUUGUAGAUGUAUCGGCACUUACGUCAUAACUUAUGCAAGCUGAGUAUGGUGCAAAUAAUUCUAUUUGUUGAUGUUUGAAGAUCAUAAUAUUUCUUUUGAAACUCAAAUUAUCUAGUGCAAUCGUAGAAGGGCUGCAUUAAGAAUCUUCACCAUAUUUUUCAUCAAAAAUUUGCUUUAUGUAACUUAACAUUGUCAACGUAACUAAAAAAGAUGGAAAAACAACUGAGUACGUUAAAAAACAAAGCAUCUCAAUGCAGUUUGAGUGAAUGAAAUUAAGAACAUACCAUCUUUUUGCAAUUUUCUCUGUCCGGCAACAGUCAUUGAGCCAAGUUAUGAAGCUGAUCACACUGAUCAGUUGAAUUAGAAGAAAUACCCUGAUAAAUAAUAAAGGGAUUGAGGAUACAGCAGAAACAAGAAAUGGACUAAAGAUAGGAUAGAUUGAAGGUUGAGCCUUGAUACCCACCCAGCACCAAAGUGUGCAAUUUUCCCUGUGAAAUGCCAAAAAACUAUUCUCAACAUAAACAAAUAGUGGGACCAUAGACAGUUACAGAGUUCAAAACAAAGACUAACCAUAAAGCUGGAUAAAUGCCGAGGGUAUAAAAAAUGGAAUAACCAUGAAACUGAGCCACAUGAUUAUCUUUGCUGGCCACCAUUCAGAGUGCCAUGAAUUGCGUGGAUCGUCCACCUUCUUCGUGUUGACAGUUGAGAGGAACAUGGCAAAGAAGAACAGCUAAGUUCUCAAUUGAGGAUCAGCAAAUUGCAUUUUGUGGCUGUGACUUUAGACUAGAUUUAUAAAAUAUAAUUUCUGACAAAAAAGCACGAAAAGUUUAAGUCUUUUCUAUUCCCAAGGCAAUGAAAUUGACAUGCUGUGUCUGUUUGCCAUGACAUUUGGAAUAGUUACGUUCUCUACGAAUUAAUAGUUAUUCAAAUGGCAAACGAAAUAUUUGGAGUUUUCAUCAUGAUAGAAGCAAAAUUGAGCUUUUGUAAUCCAAAGGCAAAAGCUCCAAUGAACUUUUGAUGCCGCCAAAAACUGUUUGGAAGGAUAUCAAAUUGUUGCAUGAAAUGACUGUUACAAAAUGCAUAAAAAAGGAUACAAAACAGCCAAAGCUAAUGCGGAGCACGCCCUCUGCACCCAAACAGUAACGAGCACCAUGGCAACCUUUUAGUCCUGCAUUAAUCAGACUAUAACAUGAGUAAGUGCUUGUUUGGCAUACCUCCGCUUCAGAUUCUCUAAAUUCUUAAACUGGACUCGAGAUUUUUUUUCGAUAGAAUUUAAUAUAUGGACUUGAAUUAAAUGAGAGUAAAAUAAACAAGAGUAAGAGCCUGAAAAAACUUAGAAUCCCCUGCGCUAACGCCAUGUCAAGUUACUAUUUCUCUUUAGAAAUUUAAGUUGCUAGAGCUUGACAUUUAAAUACUCCAUGCCUCGAGAUUUUAAGAAGUAUUGCAUACUCUGAAGCUCAGAGAGCGCGGAGUGGCCGUAGUCACGGAUGGUCCAAGCCAAGAGGUUGGUGACGAGGAAAAUGAGGGCGUAGACGUAGCGGGCCAUGGAAGGGUUGGGGCCGAGGCAGAAGUGGGUGCAGCACGAGUCCUCCAUAAACUGUGCAUACCUCUCUCUGCUGCUCACUUGAUGCUCCAUCAUGCUCUCGUUCGUCAUGAGUCAAAAAUCACAUGCACGCUCUCCGCAUUCACCGGCUAAAUUAUAUACCACACGGCCCCAAGACUCUUCUCUCCACUUAGAAUGUUUUUUUUUUUCUUUGCUGUUAAGAGAUGCAACAAAAUGUAAAUGUGCUUCACAGAAAUGAUGUUGGCAAAUCAAAUACAUUGCGUUUUUGAGAAUUAACAAGAAUAGCAUGAUUAAUGAGAAAAAUUUGAGACGGAUUCAAUAGCAAUAUCCUCGUACAGUAAUACAUGUACAGGUGUGACUAAAGAACGAAAAUACAUAAGAACAUCUCUGUGUAACUAGCCCCUCAUCAAGAAACUUACAAGUUUGCUAGUUCAUCAUUCUGAGCCUGAAACUUUCUUUUCCUUUUUUAUUCCAUGAAGAAAAAAAAAAAAAAAAAACAGUGCUAAUACCAUAUAAGAAAUGCUUGUAUUUUAUUCUUAAUUAUGGGAAACAUUAACACCUUUACCGAAAAUAAAUAAAAAAUUAGUAAUAAACAAGUGUUUAAAUCUAACCGAUUCGGUUUCAGAAAAAGCAACGAGAAAGAAAGAACCACAAAAUCCUAGCUAAUAACACUAACUUAUACGUCAAAAACCGAGAGAGAUGAGAGUAAGUUUAAGCCCCACGAGAAAUCCAUGAUGGUGUGUUACGCUAGCUGCUGAAUAACUUCGUAGGCUUUUUACCGACCGUCCCUAGAGCAAGUGGCAAAGGGCUUGAUGGUUGUUACCCGAUACCCAAAUUUGAAUCCUAGUUGAUUCACAUUUUUAGCUAAAUUUAUUUCUAAAUGAAAUAAACAAAACGGAUAACGUGCUAUCUAUCUCUCAAAAAACUUCGUAGGCUUUUGUAUACUCCCUUUGGACAGUUUGGAACAAAGAUUUAUGGAACUGCUCUUUUGUUCUUAGAUGCUAUCAAAAUUUCUAUUCAGUUACUCAGCGAGCGUGGCUGCAUGGGCCGCAUGAAUCGGAUCUCUAGAGUAUAUUAACUGAGUCAACCUGGUUUUAAAGUAUCCCUUUAUUUUAUUGUAUUUUUAAUAUGGAGAGUCGAAUAGACUCUUCGACCGAUUCAGUUUGGACCGAGUAGAGCUCACCCUACUGAAACAUAGCCCCGUGGCGGCUGUGUGCCAUAUCAGUGUCCCGAUAUGUGUGGCUUGAAAAUUGGUGUGCUUAUAUGCAGCUUAGAUAGAACCCCAUUUGGGCCAGAAAUGGAAAUCCAUUAUUCCCAAAACAGGCCCUGGAGUCUGAUAAAGUCGCAAAGGUUACAUUGAUGUUGUUACCAAUUGGGCUUGGGGCCGUGUUACAAGCAUAGUUAGUUAAUUUGAAUUCGGCAAAAAUUCAGCACAGGUAUAAUACGCAUAAAAUUUAUUUUCUAAUUUUUAAAUUCGUUAAAAAAUUCGGCUUAAAAAAUAGAUUCGGUAUAAAAUAUAAAAUAUAAUAUAUAAAAUAUAAUAUAAUCUAUAUUUAAAUAUAAAAAUUAUAUAUUUUUUAUUUAUAUUUUCAAUAAUUCGGAAAUAAUUCGGGAAUAAUUCGCGAAUUAUUCGGCUGGCCCAAAAUUUGCGAAUAAUUCUCUAUCUUUGGAAAACAUUCGUAAACGGACCGUUUAAUUCGAAUUUUCAAUAAUUCAUGAAUAAUUCGCAAAUUAACUAACAUAGGUUCAAGAAGCACGAAUUUUCUAAUUAACACGUCAUCUAUUUUGCCCACAUUAUUUGCAAUUAUGCAAACUGCAUUACAUAUAGGGCGUGUUUGGUUCGAAGUCGGAGUCGGAAUCGGAAUCGGAAUCAAAAUAAGCUGGAAUCGGAAUCGGAAUCGGAAUGACUCAUUACCUAAUUCUGUUUGGUUCAUCACCUGAAUCGGAAUUGAAAUAAAUCAUUCCCAUUAUCAGUGUUUGGUUCAGGUGGAUAUAAAAAACGUAAUCAAUUAAUAUACUAACAUUAUCUUUAUAAUAUAUUAAUUUAAAUUCAAAUUAAAAAUUAAAUAUUAAAAAUUUACAUCAAAAUUUUGAAACAAUGUCAAAAUUUUAAAUCUAUUUUUUUAAAAAAAAAUAAACUUUGAAGUUGAGUAGAUAAUUCAAAAUAUGAAACUAAAUUUUAAUUUAUUCAAAUUCAAACUUAAAAUUACAAUUUAAAUUUUAAUUUGAAUCCAUAAAUUUAAUUUAAGUUUGAAAUAAAAUUUGAAUAAAACUUUAUAUAAAUUAAAAUUUAAUUUAAAUUCAAAUUUAUAAGUUAGAUUCGAAAUACUUGAUUAAAUUUUAAUUUUUAAUUUAGGUUUAAAUUAAAAUUUAAAAUUAUAUAUUUAAUUUUUAAAUUUUAACUCAUAUUUUAAUUAAAAAAAUUAAAAAAAUAAAUUUAUCGAAUAAAAUAUCCAUUACGCAUCCGGAUUCAACUUUCUAUCCGCCCUCCUAGCCGGAUUGAAAAAGAGGUGAUUGGGGGGAUUCCCAUUCCACUCGGGAAUCGGAAUCGAAUGGGACUCCGCGUACCAACACCCACAAAUGGAUUUACUAUUCCCGAUUCGAUUCCAGGGUAAAAAACGAACCAAACACGCCCAUAGUAUAAAGUAGAGCUCCUGAAUUCAACUCUAUUGAGCUCCUAUUGUUAAAAAAUUUUCUACAUUUAGGCCCACAAAUGAUGAAUUGAAUGUAAGUCAAUAAAUCUCUCUUCUCAAAAAAAAAUAUAUAAUGCAUUCCUAUAUGGGUCCGGCUACUAUCCUAUUAAUAGGAUUGGGACCUUAUCCUAUCAAGAUCGAUUCGAAUGAUCGGAAUUUAAAUUGAUAAUCGGCACGGUAAGUUGAUCUACACAAUUAGAAAUGUUUAGAAACCAAAUUUUGUAUUAUUUAAAAAUCAUUAUCAGUUCAUCUUAAGAGUUGAAAAUGAACGGUAAUAAAUGAAUAACCUUCUAAAAUAGAGGUUAGACUUCUCAGUUCGUAUCAGAGUUAUCAAACAUUAUCUAAAUAGUAAAGAAUUUUAUCAAAAAUUCAAACAAUUUGAAUUGUUCUAAGACCGUAAAUAAGCAAACGGCUCAUAUAGGCCGUCAAAAAUUGUCGAUUUUACGACACUUUGAUCACCAUGUAAAUCAUUAUCAAAAUUUAUGAAAUUUAGUUUCUAGAUAUUUCAAGUACUCUAGAUCAACUUCAACGACUCCGAUCAUCGAUUUGAAAUCUCGAUCAUCAUGAACAACUUGAUAGGACAAGUGCUCCCAUCCUAUUAAUAGGAUAGUAACAUUAGCCUAUAUAUAUAUAUAUAUAUAUAUAUAUAUAUAUAUAUAUAUAUAUAUAUCCAAAAACUAGAACUAUAUUACUAACUAAUAUUUCUUACGGUAAGACAGUCGGAGAAUAAAAGCAUUGAGAAACAAUAUUGUUUAUUUUUAUUUAUUUUCAUUUCCUUUACUCUAUAAUGUCAUUCCGAUAGGUUUUUUCAUUAAAAAAAACUUAAAAGCUAAAGAUGGAAUAAAAGCAUAAAAUAUUUCACUUAUAAACCUUCUAGUCAUUAGGCCCGUUACUAACUAAUAUUGUUUCUUUUUUUAUUUUCAUUUCCUUUACUCUAUAAUGUCAUUCCGAUAGUUUUUUUUCAUUUAAAAAAAAAUUAAAAGUUAAAGAUGGACUUAAAGCAUAAAUAUUUCAUUUAUAAAGAUUAACCAAUGCAAAAGCAUCCGCACCUCGUAGCUUUAUCCACGUGGACAGAAAUAGAAAAGGCCUAAAAAGAACAAAAGAUGCAAACAGAGGACCAAAGUAAGAUUGGCUAGACACAUUAAAUUUUGUCAUUUUCAUUAAAAAAAAAGAAGAAGAAGAAAAUUAAUGAUCCCUCCAUGAUCAUCACUUUAUCAGAGUGCUAUUAAGCUCUUAUGUACCUUAAUUCAUACUCUUAGAUGAUUUGCGGCUUAUGAUUUGCUACGUAAUUCAGUUGAUUAACUAAUGAUAUUUCGAAAGCAACCGCACUUAGCAACUUUAUCUCCAAAAUUAAAGGUGAAAUGCGAAUAUGCGAGAUGUAUAGGUUGCUUUAUGCAAAUGCUCAUCAAAGCUCACCAGAUCUAAUUCCCCUCCCGAAGAGAACCAAAAGAAGAUAAAGAGGCCCGAUUCAUCUAAUGAUUAAUCGAUCACGACUUUAGGAGCUAACUCCAUCGAUCGAAUUCUUCUUGAAACCAGCAGAGAGGAAUUAGUUGAAGUAGCGAUUUAGUAGAACCAGAUAAUUUAGAACGCAUGGAAAGAGAAACAGCGAAACAGAGAGAAAGGAAAUCAAACUGCCUAGUGUUCGUGAGAAGAAGAUGAAACGAAUGCAUUAGGAAGAACAAUACCGCAUCAAAUGCAACACGCAACGACAAUUCGAAGAAGAAGAUGCAGAAUUAAGAACUCGCCUCGUUCUAAGAUCGAUCGACGUUGCAUUCAAUUGCUUCGCCUCUAAGCUUAUUUUCCUCCUCUCCGAUCUCCAAUGGAGAAAGAAACUAGAAGUAUUAACGGAUCAGAUCGAGCGCAACACGCAACAACGAUCCAGAAAAGAAGACGACGGCGAAGUAGAGUUGAGAACUCACCAAAACCCUAAGAUGGAGCAAUGCCGUACUCGAAAAGCUUCCUCUCAGAUCUCCAAUGGCGAAAGAAAGGAAGAGACCGCGAGGGUUUCGAGAAGCGAUCGGUGGGGGUGGAGGGGAAGGGAGGAGUCGUCCUCAGCUUUUUCCGGCCUCAUGCUUUACUGCCUCGGGUGGAAUCGCAUCGCGUUUUUGAGUUAAAAUAUUUGGGGCUUUGCUUAUUUAUAGGAGGCCGCAGCGUGCUGUGUACACCAACGAAGCGUUGUUGGACCAAUCGGAGACGUCCAUUUCGUGGACCCCGCGAUCCUAAUCACCUCAUGGUGGCACUAUAUUCCCCGACUCUUCCGUAUAUCGCGGGGUGACCCGGGGUUACAGUUAACGAGGGCCGUUUGAUUUCAUCAGGACCCGUACAAUCUAUGAAUCACAUCCUUGGAAGCAAGAGGGAAAGGUGAAGAUUGCUUGGGCGUUUGGGCGAUCAGGAGGUGCAGAAGUGGAGCUCGCAAAGCUAAUUAAUUGCUUGCAAGCCAUAGCUCAAAAUCCGUUACAGGCACACGUCAAAUAAAAGCUUCAGAGGAAAAUGAUUUGGGCACAUUAAAAGUAUGCUUAGAAAUACAUAUGACAUUUUAGACUACAAGUAGGGCUCAAUAAUAAUAAUAUAUAGUGACGGUAUUUUUCAUGAUCCUACUUAGCAUAGCUUCUUACGCGCACUACGAUCGGCCACGAUAAUUUACUACGUGCGCUGUAGAAUAGUUUCAUUUUCAAAUCUUUUUUAAAUAAAGAGUCGUAUUAUAAAUCAGAACCCAAUUGCUGGGCCAAAAGGUUUAUUCGAUUUUUGUAUUUCGGGUUUUGAAUUUUGGCCCAACCCAACUCGAGAUCCGGCCUGCUAAGUAGCGGGCCGGAUUAUAUCGUUUGCAUCCCUAGAAGGCUAGAAUGUUCUCGAACGCCACAGCCUUGCCGCCCAAGUUUCUACAGAGACUACGUACGAGUCGCGACCUUUCUCCCCACGUCUCCAUUGAGCUAUCCUGAACCGUCGGAUAAGAUGCUCCUCAAACCUACGGCUGGCUAUAUAUAGCUGCGACGAAUUCACCUUCCAGUUACCUUUUAUUUCCAAGCCAACGGCCACUACAAGGACAAAUAAUAAAUAUAUCCUGCGGGCUCGCGCAGGCCUGGACCCAUUUUUGCAUAUUCAGAAUCUUCCGGAACCUAUAGCAAAAUGGCCCCGGCCAACUAACUGUAGUAAACGAACGAAACGAUCGAAGAAAUCACAGGAACGUUCCAGAUUCCCCUUGCCCUUGCCUCCAGCGUCUGGACGUCUAUAUAUACCCACUCUCCCUGAAAUUCCCGCUGCGGUCCGUCUCUCGCAUCACAAGAAGCUCGGCUCGUAGAGCAAGUAGUAAUAAUAAAGGAAGCAGCAAGCAUGCCGAGCCGAUACCCAUACCCAGGGGCGCUAACGCAGGACUGGGAGCCCGUGGUGCUGAACCGGCCCAAGCCGAAGGCGGCGGAGACGAAGUCGGCGAAGGCGGUGAACGCGGCGAUCCGCGCGGGGGCGGCGGUGGAGACGGUGAAGAAGCACGACGCGGGGACGAACAAGAAGUCGGCGCCGGCUUCGGCGCGGAAGCUGGAUGAGGCGACGGAGCCGGUGGGGUUGGAGCGGGUCGGGGCGGAGGUGCGGAGCGCGAUCCAGAGGGCGCGGGUGGCGAAGGGGAUGAGCCAGGCGGAGCUGGCCAAGCGGAUCAACGAGCGCGCGCAGGUGGUGCAGGACUACGAGAGCGGGAAAGCCGUGCCCAGCCACGCCGUGCUCGCCAAGAUGGAGAAGGUCCUCGAAGUCAAGCUCAGGGGGAAGUUCAAGUAGUGGUGGUGGUGGUAGUAGUACAAAGGAACGUGAGCAAAAGUUUGAAUUUGCUUUGGGUUUUUGGUUAGGGUUUCUGGAAAGAAUGCAUAGAACAGUGUAGACCUGUCAAGUUGUAGAAAAUUUGGUUGUAGAAAAGUUGUUUCUGAAUUGCAGUUCUACUUAUCCAUUUCUUCUGUGGAUCAAACAAAGUGUUUGGAACAAAGCUUGGGAUAUCACAAGCUCAGACCAAAGUUUUAGGCAAAGAAAGAACUGCUUGCGAAUAGCACUUAGUGAGAAAAAAGGCGCACACGGCAAUUUUGCCAAAGCAAGGAAGAGAGAUUUCAAGCUGAGAACAUGAUUAGAGAACUGAAAAAUAAAAACUGAAAGUUUUCAAUCAAGCAAAUAAAAUCAGCUCAUGCGCUAGUACGUCGUAACGCAAAUAUAAGCUGAAAUCACUACUAAACACACCAAGGCAAUCAUAAAGUCCACCUACAAAUCUUCUAACAGUCGGAAAGAAAUAUCAUGCAAAGUCAAAUGAUCACAUCAACAACAUUAUCACGGGCACACAAACAGAGGAAAACCUCAAAACAUGAGUGAACGCAUAAAACUAUUAUCCUCUCAAAAGCAUAAAAGAAUCGGCGCUUCUGACUUUUUAGCCCUUGAAUCAAAAUUAGUGGUCUCUCUAAAAAAAAAAAUCAAAAAUUAAAAAUGAUCAAAAGGACUGAUCCAAGGAUUAAAAAUUUCGAAACACCAACUUGGAAUAAACUAUGUCGUGAUAUAUACAUCAAUUGAAAUCACACACAAAUACUCGCCAAAAAAACCUCUUAACUUCAUUUAAAAAGUUUAACCACACAAUGGUUGGCAAGUUAUAAACCAGCAAACAAUUUAGCAAUGAAGAUUCACCGGGCGUCUACAAGCAAAAGUAGGGCAGCAAAAUAAUGUAGCUUCUUCCCUAAUAUCCUGUCCGGAGAAAACUAGGGUCCGAAUGAGGCGCUAAUGCAAUUUAAAUUCUGAAAUACAUGCUAUCAACUAUGGAAAAAUCCCUUCCACAACUCCACGCCAAUGUAGAGUAUAAGCAACAGCAAGAAAGCACAAAUUUAUAAAUCAUCUUGAAGUUCGGAUACUUGACUAAGCCGCAGGAUCUGCAGCAGCAUCUGGUUUGUCCGUUUCCAUAGGCUCAGCUGCUGGAUCCUGUGUACUUACCUCAGCAUUGUAGUCCCCAGCUGUGCUAUUAUCCCCUGUGGCUUGAGAUUGUGGUGACGAUGUGUCGGAUGGAGGUGGGGCCUGUGGCUUGGGAGGAGGCGGCAUCGGCUUUGUCAUUAUUGGCCUGCAAAACCUGUUGAAGCAAGUAUCUUAAUACUGAUAGAAACCUGUAUCUUAGUACUCAUAGAAACCUUUCCGUUGCACGUCUCAUCCAUUACAUUUCCCAGUAUAUUGCCUUCAAAGUAUAUACCAUAUUAAAGAUGAGGAGUAACACUAGGAAAAUUUGGGUGGUUUCGGCAAUAUGGAUGCUAUCAUUCGUUGGAAUAUAUUAUGUGCUUUAUGAGUGGAGAUAAGAUUCACCUCACUGCUUGACCUGAUUCUAUCAAAUGGCAGGAUAUUUUACACAAGAAAUUAGUCCCCUUUUAAAGUAAAGCGAAACAUCACCUGUUAAGCAUCUCAGCCUUCCUCUUCACAUCUGCAGAGAGGAGAACAGGAGUGGCAUGCUUGGGCAAUGAAUCCUGCUGCUGCAUUUUCUCCCUCAACCAUGCUUCAGCUUCCACACACUCAUUAAUGACCUAUUACAUGGAAAUAUAGCAAGCAUACAAAUAUCAACCCUCUUUUUAACUGACGUAUCUUCCUUGGUGGGUUUGAGAUUUGCUAAAUUACCCUCUUUUUAACUGAUGUAUUUUCCUUGGUGGGUUUGAGAUUUGCUAAAUUACCGUUAGUUAGGUUGAUAAAAAAGGCCAGAAAGAAGCAUAUGAAUAAUAAUAAAUAACACAGGAUGAAAGAGAAAUGAGUUUGGUGGGACAGAAAAAUUGCUCAACGUUACCUUUUGCUUCUCUUCUAUGUCAAUGUGAUCGAAUUUGGGAUCCUUAGAAAAGGCCGCAUCCCUGAAGCUAUUAAUGCAGUAAACAAGUUGAUCAAUUGCUGGACCUCUCUCUAUCCAUUCUUUAUAGCGUUGUUCGAUGGGUUCACCUUGCUACAUUUAGAUGACCAUAAUAAGCGACCUUUAUCUGGAACACUAUGAAACAAUAUAACAACGAAAUUUUCAUUGUACCUUUUUUAGUUCCUCAAGUUUAGCAACAUAAACACCUUUGGUUUCGUCUUCGCCAUCUUCAUACAGCCAAUCCUCAACUUCUUGAAGCUUUGCCAUAAGCUCUUCCUUCUCCGUCGGAGUUACAAAAUCAUGAUACUUGUCGUUAAGCUACAUGAAAGAAACAGAACACCAAAUUAGAAUAGAUUUCAUACAAUAUAAAAAGGUAGAAAACAUUAAAGAAAUUUAACAAAGAGUCCCUGUACUUUCACAAUGUUCGAACUCCGUCCAUGAAAAUUUCACUUAAGACAUUUUUCCAUGAACUUCACUUAGACAUUUUUCCAUGAACUUUCCCAUAUAUGAUAACCGCAUCCCUAGCCAUCCAAGAUACCUGAUGCUCAUACCCAUCGCCAUAAUUUUCCCUCUCUUGUAGGUAGAGCUUCCCAUUUCAGGUCAACAUGAAACGGGGGUGAAAAGGGUCAUUUUUACAGGCAACAACGCGCUAGCAGAUGACUCACGGAUGUCCAUAAUUUUUGAGGGCCUGAGAUGUGAAUGCAAUAUUCGGAGAAGUUCGCAUCAAAAUGCUUUAAGUCAAAAGUUCAGGGACCACAGGGACAACCCAUAUGCAUUGACCAGAAAGCAACAACAUAAAAAAAUUUUAAACACCUUGUUUCGCAUGUCAUAGACAUAUGCCUCCACAGCAUUCUUCUUGUCCUUGGUUUCUUCCAUCACUCUAUCUUGAAGAGCCAUCUCGAAUUCCUUCUCAACAGCUUUCUGCAGAUCCUCAGCUGCAAUUGCUCCAUAGACCAAUUCAGCCACAGGGACGUUUGUUUUCUUGAUUUUCUUCUUUGAAGUCUCAACCUGCAUGCAAAUAACUGUAAAGAUAAGCGACGAUAAUUACAUUGGAAAAGCAUCUUAAUCAUAUUUUCAUGUUGUUAUGCUGUCCUUAACACAUGAAAAUGGCAUAAAAUGAGAAAAACAAAUGCAUCUUAAAUCUUAAUUUCUGUCAUCAAUUAUAGAAAUUCACAUGCAAAAUAAAACAGAAAUAUAUAGAGACUGCGAUUUAAUCAGAAACAAACAAUAUAACUCUCAUCAAGUGAAAUCUGCAUGAAAACAGCAUGGGAUCUAUGUAUGUCUACAUAUUUAUAACAGAAGGCUUGCAUCAUUCAUGGGCACAAAAGUUGAUGCUCACAUUUAUGGUACUGUCUUAAAUAUCACACCAACUUGUACGGGAAAAACAAAUUUAGGAUUUGCAAGUGAAAGAAACAUGAGGAAUUCUUCAGAACAAGAGUUUGAACAAAAAAAAAAGAGACAUGACAGCAUAACAGAGAGGAAAACAUCUUAACCUUCGCCUCAGUUUCUGUCUGCACAGGCUUCUCUUCGGAUGCUGGUUCACCAUUUUCAGCCCCAGUGCCAGAAUUAUCUGCAGCAUUUUUAGCAUCCUGCAUAUUCACAUCAGUUCCAGAGGCAUUUGUGUCCUUUGAUGUUUCAUCAGUAUCCAUCUUUGAAGCUUCCUUAGGCACUUCGUCAGCAGCUGAUACAGGAACUUCAACUUCCUCUUCCUCCAACAUCUACGGAAAACCAGACAUACUUUAAGCAAAGAUAAUGCUUAUGAAAGGACAUAAUCAUAUGCCUAUCAUUCUCAACACUUACAGUUGCGGAUUCCACAGAGACAAUCCCAUGGAGAUUCAAGCGAACUUUGACUUUCAGUUGAGCCUUUUCACCUUUGCUGGUUUGAAAUGGACCAAUCUAACAGAAAUGUAAAAGCAUAAUGGUCAUAAACAGUAAGGCAACAUCCACAUUCCACAGCGAUCAUAUCCCAUUACUAGUUUUAUAUGCCACUCACCGUAUAUGUGCUAAUCUUUGUCGAAAUUUGUAAGUCAUCCACAUCAACAUAUGUAACAUCAACUGGAAAAGUACUUGACCUAAAGAAUGUGAGAGCUUUCACACUGGGAAUCGGGUUUCCUUUAGGAAACACAACUUUAUUCUGCUGGCUUUCUUGCGCUUCAUUCUGGGGGCCCGAUCCAUUCCAUGACAAGGCAAUUGGAAAGGGGAAGCUUUCAUGAACCUGAACAAGAUGAGUAGGGUUAAGAACAGUAACGUAAUAAUAAGGUUCAUCAUCUAUAAUGUAGAAGGCAGAACUUUAAUGGAGGAACCGCCAAAGAGAGAGCACUAGAAGAGCAGGGUUCAAAAAAAAAAAAAAAAAAUCAAAAGUUAGCAUCAUUGCAGGACUACAAAAACAGGAAAUACAAAUUAUCUCUUAACAUAUGUAGUAUCAACUUAACUAGCUUCAUUAUUCUCAAAACCAUGGAAACUAAUCCAGGAGCAAAAUUUAGUCCGAAAUAACAAAAUGUAGGAUAGUAUAUGUUUGCAACAAUCAACAGAUGCAGAACCAUGGUGCAAUCCGAAAGCUGCUAGCUGGUGCUCCAUCAAAGUUGACAUAAGAAGCCUAAUUUAUUAGCGAGCUACAUAGUUGUAUACUUAUUUAUGUAAUAAAAUUGAUACAGAAAAGUAUAAUAUCCCAAAAUUGAAAGACAAAAAACUUUAGGUAUCCCCUAAGUGUUCCAUUUUUGACACUUGCUGGUUAGUACAUAGGACCACCCAAAUAUUGUUGUUCUAGCAUCCCAUUCAAACUAUCCACUAUAUUGCCAUUAAAAGUAAGCAUAUGAUAAUCACAUGACUCUCUAUACACAUGUAAAUAAAAAAGAACAAGAAGAUUAUGCAACUAUAUUUUAUUCAAGAUGGAUAAACAAACGAAAUUAUUAUCAUAUGGUCAAAUGGAUCUAUGUCUGAAAAAUUGACUAAAACAUAAGAAGCAUAUCACUAAUGUGAGGCAUCAUAUUCAGGAGCACUAAAGGACAAGAAACAAAGAUCUUAAACCUUCCAUGUAAGAUGCUGAAAUAACACGCAGGGCUUUGGACAAGAAAAUAGCAUAUAACUGCAAAACCCUUUUACUCUAGUAAUGUUAGUGCUCUGACAAGAGUAAUUAUAAAGACAUUGAGUACGAAACUAUACAUAAUUGGUAGUUAACAAAAACACACUAAAAUGCCAAAAGUGGAUCUCCAAUAUAUCAAUCUAGAUGAAGUACUAAACCAGCAGGAAAGAUAUAAAAGAGCCAGAGGAAUCAGAGAAAUGCAGGAAGUAAUACCUGAAACUCGCGCACUUUGAAUGUGGGGCUCAGAAUGGCACACUGAAGGGCACAACCCCUAGCAACACACUCACUCGCAUUCAUUGUCCGCCUUGGCUCCUUACCAAAAAACUCAGUCAGUAUCUUAAGAAUCGCCGGAACACGAGACCCCGAUCCAACCACUUCAACUGAGUGAACAUUCUCCGGGCUCAACCCAGCUUCAGCAAGUGCUUUGUCCAGCGGCCCCUUCACCCUCUCCAGUAUAGGUAAGCUAAUCUGCUCAAAUUCCUCCCUCUUAAUAAACCCUCUCACAUCCUUCUCAUCCAUCAAACACUCAAUAUUCAACGGCGCCUCUGGGUUCGCGCUAAGCAUUUUCUUCAGCUUCUCGCAUGCUGCCCGGAGCCUAAUGCACGCACGCUUAUUUUGAUACACGUCAAUCUUAUAUUCCUCCUUGAACUUAGCUGCGAAAUGCUUAAAAAGCACCUCAUCAAAGUCCCGUCCACCGAGCGAUCGAUCAUAUGCAUGAGAGAGAAUCUUCAGUUGCCCCUUCUUGAGUCCAGCAAUGCAAACCUGCAUACUGGCGUGGCCCACAUCGACAAAGGCCACAUUCAUCUGAUCAUUCUCCUGCAAAUCGGUCUUAUAGAUACCAUAAGCCAGAGCGGUAGCAGUAGUCUCGUGGAACAGACGGAGAGGAUGCAAUCCAGCAAUAGUCGCAGCAUCCAUCACUGCCCUUCUUUGGAGGUCGGUGAAGUAAAUAGGAAUUCCAAUGCAGCAAUCAACAACUGCCGCAUUAAGAUUCUUCUCGGCAAUACUUUUCAGGUUGGAGAGGACCAUCGCAAGGACUUGCGUCGGGGUGAAGGCCCUCUGCUCGCCGAGAUAAUGGGCAUGGAUCAAUGGAAACCCCUCGGGACCUUCGGUCACCACAAAAGGUAGGGAUUGGAGAUCGCGCUGGAGCUCGGGAUCAGAGAACUUGCGGCCGACCAAGCGUUUGAUCUGCGAGAUGGAGUUCUUCGGGUUCAUCGUGUAGGAGGCGGCGCCUGCCGUGCCGAUGAACCGCUGCUUCUCGCCAAAGCACACGAUCGCCGGGGUCUCGCGCUUGGACUCGUCAUUGAGCACUACGUCAAUGCCGCGUUGCCGCGCCACUGCAACAAUGCAGCUCUCGUUGCCGACAUCGAAACCCACGACGCUCAUCUUCUGAUCUAGAAAUCGCUACUUCCAAUAAGAAAAAUAGGAGAUCUACACAAAAAUACACAGAAAUGGUGAAGAUCUUAAUCAAAACAAGCAGAAAUACACAUUUUUCCACUUCAAAACGAAGAGUAAACAGAUCAAAACAAGCAAAAAUUAGUUCUUUAGCAUCUAGAUCCACUACCAAACAGUCAAAGAGGCGGGAAGGUGGGGAGGGGGGGGAACCAUCUUUUGAUAGAUCCUAUAGCGGAAAAGGGAGCCGUAGAUCGAUCGAGAGAUCUCAGGGAUUAGGGUUUUAUUGAGAAGGAUAGGGGGUUUGGGAACGAACCUUUAUGCGGGGGCCGCGGAACUCCUCUCGCGACUCCUCUUUGAGACCUCUUUGGAUCGAACAGUCUCUAUAAUAAUUUUUUUUAGGUUUCCUUUCGCAUCGUAUGAUCGAUCGAGUGGAGGGGGAAGAUUAUUGGAGGAGUAGAUUUUCUAGAACCCUCUAUAAUCACCCGCGGAGGAUGUCGCCCGUGCCUCCACGACCGUCCGAUCGAGUGAGAUACACUUAAUCUAAGCUGUGUAACGAGGAUCGGAGCCGUCGACUAGAUUGCAAAGGGAGGAGUUUCAGGAGAGCAGUGGAUCCAAUGGACGGUUGAGAUGGACCGAUCGGAAGCGGUCGCUUGCAUUUGAAAGGAGCGAAUCGGUACAUCAUGGAGUUCCAGUUCAAAAAAAAUUCUAAAUUGCACAUCUUCAGUGAGGAUUUCCGAGAGAGAAUUCAGGAGGAUAAUAAUAAUAAUAAUAAUAAUAAUGAACAAUUUAUAAAAUUAUGGAAAAAUUUCAAAUAACAUCUCUGUAAAUUUGCGUUUUCUCACCAUAUAAUUUAAAAUAUAUCACUUUAGUAUUAUAAGGUUUCAUUUUUUUUUCUUUCCGUUAUUCCCUCCGUCAAUUUUUUCGUUAAAUCAGUGACAAAAUUAAAAUUACAGGUACUAAAGUAAAAAUUCGGUAAACCAUAGAGUAUUAAAGUUAAUAUUCAAUAAACCACAGCUAGGUACUUUAAAUUUUUUGUAUAUGAUUUAAUGUAGAGUUAACGGAAGUGCUGACAGAAAGGAAAAAAUAAAAUCACGAAAUACUAAAGUAAUAACAUAUUUAAACCACGGGAUUCUAAAAUGAGAAAAUGCAAGUUGAAGCUUAUCCUAAAAUUACUUAUUAAGAUAAUUUUGGGUUCUCCUGUUGGACUAGGUGCUUCUUUAGUCUUUACACUCUCCACUAGUGCAUGGACCAGUUGAAGCCAGCAAAACCAACCCACUAUUUCACUCUGUGGGCUUUACGUGGAUAACUUUUUCACGUGGGCUAGUUGUUCUAAUUCUUCCUUGGAAGAAAAAUAUAGAAUUAUACAGGCGUUUUUCUCCAGAUAAAAAAGGGAGAAAAGAAAAAAGCAAAUAGUUUCAAUUUUUCAACCACGCACAAUAGAAAUUAUCUAGCGCGCGGAGGAAGUAAAAAAGUUGCAAUUAUUGAUUUGCAGUAGUCUCUUUGCAACUUUUUCACUUCAAAAUAGUAACGCACUAUUAUUACUUGCAAGAUCUACUUUCAGAAUCUGCUGAGGCCAAUGUCCCUCUUGUAACUUCAUUAUUUUACUGCGGUCUCAUGAAGCAUGAUAAAUUGAUAAUGUAUUGUUAACCAUAGUAUUGGUCAAGAUGAGAAGAAAUGUAACAGUAACAUUGAGAUUAUUAAGUAUUAACAGAUAAGUUUCCUCCCUUUAUUUAUUGUUUUCUGUUCUCAUUCUUUUUCCUUUCUUUUACAACCAAGGGGAAUCAAAGAUAGGAGUGAUAACAGAUUUCACUUGGAGGUACUUCUCCAGUGCAUGCAUGCCUGAAUCCUUUCCGAACCCACUCAUCUUAAAGCCGCCAAAAGGACAGCCGCGAUCGAUAAUUAGGUAGCAGUUGAUCCAGAUGAUUCCAGCUCGAAUCGAUCUCGACAUUCUGUUCGCUAUGUUUAAGUCCUUUGUCACUACCCCUGCAGCUAAUCCGUACUUCGUAUUGUUCGCUUUCUCUAUUGCCUCCUCGAUUGUCCUAACACCAAAAAUAAGAACAGUAAAGGAUGAAGCAUAAGUACUGUUUCAGCCAAUAUACAUAAGUGAAGCUCUAAGCACAAUAAGAGCUUUUUUUUACGGUACUUUUGUAAAUUUUUCAUGUAAAUUGGCACUAACAAUGGUUUUGAUUAGGGUGACUGCAAACAUUUCGGUGUUCAACAGUUUAUAUAUAUAUAUAUAUAAUCUGGUCAGUCAGUGUAUUUAGGUUUUCCAUAAACAUGAUUUGAUGAGAAAAGCGUAGGUGCAGUGAAGAAUCAUUGAACUCUCAGUAAUUGUGAGCAUCUUAGAGAAGAGAAGAUACAGCAAAAGUAUCCCUCCUCUUCUUUUUUUUUUGCUGUGCCUAAAGAUUUUGAGCUAGAGAAUCAAACUGUGACCGCUUAAUUGUAGCUAUGCAAUCUUUGAUGUGUGUUUAAAAAUAUUCAUCAUCGUUUAAGCUACUGCAGUGGUAAUAAUCUAAAGAGAACAUUUACUGCAUCUCUGUGAUGCUUCUUAUUGCUUGCUUCCAAAUCUACUAAUUUUAGUCAUUGUUCGUGCUACUUAAAUCAAUUUGCAUGUAUUAUGUAGACUUACUUGAACUUCAUGAGGGACAUUACAGGUCCAAAUAUUUCAUCCUUGGCUAUCAGCAUAUCCUCCUGUGAAAGUAUUAUAUCUCCUCGUGUUACAAUUGCUCACAUCAUAUGUAAAGAAUAUGCAAAGUAAUGGUAAGUUUUUUACCUCCACAUCAGUAAAUAUUGCUGGCUCAAUGUAGUAGCCCUUCUCCCCACAAGGCUUUCCUCCUGUUACCAAUGUUGCCCCUUCUCUUUUACCAUGCUCAAUGUAGCUAAGGACUUUCUCGAAUUGAGCUUUAUCAACCUAAACCAGGGCAUAUAUACACUAUCGUCACUUUAAGUGUUACAUUUUAGUAUUAGAAUUAAAAUUCUCAACAUUGAGAAGGUUCGACAACCUGAGGGCCUUGAUGAACAUGGGGAUCAAAGGGGUCUCCGACUACCCAACUCUUCAUGCUCUCUGUCACCUUCGUAACGAAUUUAUCAUAGAUACCCUCUUGAACAUAGACACGAGAACCGGCUAUACAAGCUUCUCCCUGAAAAUUCAUCGAAUAACUUGUUCAAUCUUAAAUGUUAAACAAUUUUGCCUUGAAAUUUAGAAAAGUCCGCUUCUAUGCCAUUCAUUAGGGAGUUUUUCUCUACUGUUUCAGAAAAACAAAAUUAGAGAAGUUGGCUAUUUGACACAGUAUAGAUGGCGGUCUUGACUUCGAAGUUUACUAGAUUCAUCCAACCCUUACUUAAAAGGGGGAAAUAAGAAAUUAAAGCCUUCACCCAUUUAACUCGAACUCCAUAGUUUUGGCCUAACAGAUACAAAAAUGAGAAGUUCUGACAACUUUACUACUGUACUUCAGAAGUAAUCUAUGAUGCAAUAGAUCUGCAUGCCUUAUUGUAGAAUGUUGCGGUGCGUGCAAGAUCAACAGCCAUGUCUAUAUCAGCGUCAUCGAAGAUAAUGAUAGGCGACUUGCCGCCCAAUUCAAGCGAGACAGGCUUCAAGUUGCUUUUUGCUGCUGUCUCCAUUAUUUUACGCCCCACUGCGGUAGAUCCUGUAAAGCUAACCUGAAAUACUUCUGACUUGAGAAUUCGGAAAACUGGUGCUUCUCAUCUAUUGAGGUGAUUUUAAUAGAGAAUUUAUUGCUGCGUAUGUUGAGAAAACUUUAUUACCAUGUCAAUAUCCAUAUGAGAAGCAAUGGAAGCUCCUGCUGUGGAGCCAAAACCAGUGACAACAUUGAUUACCCCAUCAGGAAUACCUGCCUGCAAAUCAUGAAGUUACAAUGAAGGCGCCCAGAGGAAGUCGUAAAUUUAAAACAGCAAAAAAAUAACGAGUGCUAUCAUAAGAAUGUAAUUGUAAACGUUCAUCAUCUGCGAUUACAUUAUGUCGCAAAAUCAAAUCGAUCGAUAAUGUCUGGAAAGAAACAUUCAUAUGUUUAGGAUUUUGAAUACUUAAAAUUACAGGUUGAUGACUAAAAGUGAAACAUACAUAAAGAAGAAGUUCAUGGACUGCUGGCACAGUUCCCCUUGUACUUUUUGCUAAUUCAAACAUCAAUCUCAUAGGAAACAGUGCAGAAAUAGUUUGAAAACCAACCUUCACAUGCAUGAGGGAUUUAGUAGGCAACGACCCAGGAAUAUUCUAUGUAAUUUUCACUACAUAGAUUCGCUAAGAUUAUAAAUUGGUUCCUAAAAGUUGCAGUAAAAACAAAAAAAAAAAAAUCAGCCUACAAAUACAGGGAUGUUCACCUCCUUAGCUAAGAAGGCAUGGUAGAGAGCAGUGAGUGGUGUUUGUUCCGCAGGCUUGACGAUCAUAGUACAGCCGGCAGCCAACGCAGGUGAGACCUUGCUAAAGAACAUAAGGGAGGGGAAGUUCCACGGUAUAAUGUGGCCGACUACUCCGAUAGGCUCGCGCAAUGUGUACCCAUGAAGAUUUCCAGCCAUCUUUAAUGUCUCACCAUGGAUCUUAUCAGCUGCUCCAGCGUAAUAUCGCAGCAUGUCAGCUGAUCCCUCAAUGUCGACAACUUUGGUUAGAGCCAACAACUUCCCUGCAUCUAAGCACUCGAGUUUGGCCAGUUCUUCUUUCUGUUGAUCAAUCAAGUCCGCGUACUUCAUCAUGAUCCUCCCUCUUUCCUACAGGUGAUAUUAAUAUAGGAGGGGAGAAAUAUGAGCAAGUAUGAAUAGUUCAUAUUGUAUUCCAUGUAAAAUUGUAGUAAAAGGCUAAUUUUUUGCUUACGUCUAUAAAAAGUUAUACAAAAUUUCGCAAACAUUCUUAAAAAUUAGUAUUUGCAUGUAUAUUGUAACAACCCAGUCCAUUAACGCUAAUAAUUUCUUAUUAUGAUCGAAUAGAUGACAGAGAGAAGCCUACAUAGCCGGACAUGCGAGGCCACUUGCCAUGGUCAAAGGCUUUCCUAGCUGCCUUCACGGCCAAAUCCACGUCCUCUUUAUCACCUUCAGCCACCCUCCCUAUCACGUCUCCUGUGCGCGGAUCCCUUGUCUCGAAUGUCUUUUCUGUAAUGCGUGUGUGCGUGUGUAUAUAUAUAUAAGAAAAGGAUUCUUUCAAAAAUAUAUAUAUCUGAAAAUGAUGGAAAAAAAUACACUCAAACUUAAAAGAAAAUAUAAAAGGAGACAAACUCUUUAUAGAAUCAUGUAAUUGCUUUAGAAAUUAUUCCUCCAUUCCGUACAAGGAAACCAAUGAGUUCAGGUUGUUCCUGGGCCUUCAUAGGGUUUUUUUUUUUUCUUUUUCUUUUUCUUUUUUCCCUUCAAACUAGUCUUAGACUUGGCCUUAAGCUCUUUAUUAUUCUAGGAAUUAUGGGUUCAUCUCAUAAUUAACUUCUCAAUCACAUGCGUCCAAUACCCGUAAUGCAGCUGAAGGGGUCUUAAAACUAUUUGCUAAUUUACUUUGCAUUAUAUUGAUCUUUUAGAUACAUGGACAAGAUCCUGCUACGAUGCUGCUAAGUACAAACACAAGUUGACAAGAUCUAAGAAACUCGCGCUUUUGCAAAAGUAUUAUUUAUUUCUGAUCAUAAAAGUAAUAAGUUUUCUUUGGAUCUUUUAGAAGCUCAAUGGAAGCAAAAUUGUGUUUACUACUUUAUGAAUAGUAAUACUUUUUUAACUAAAUUUCAGUAGCUUCUAGUUAUCCGGUAUGAGCACGGCAAGUGAAUAUCUCCUCACAGAAUCACUAUAAAAAUAUAUAGAUGUAGAUUUACAAAGGUAAAGUAUAGGAGCUUAAUUUGAGCUUUUAGUAUCUAUCAGUUUAAUUACAAUGUGGAAAUGGCAAAUUUUUUCCUGCAUGUUUAAUUUAGAAUAAUAACAACAGAAAUCGAAUCGAAAUAGUUGAUAACGAAGCUUGGAACUUACGACCUUGAUUAUCGACCAUCAAGUUUUUUACCACUUGUGUUAGAAAAAAUAAACAAUUUCAAUUAAAACUUAAAUAUGAAAAAUUAGCAUCAAAAUUUUAAAAUGAUUAGCCAAAAUUUAAAAUGUAAAAUAAAAAUAAAUUAGAAUUUAAAAUUGAGAUGACAAUUCAAAACAUAAAAAUAAUUUACAAAUCGAGUUCAAAUAUCAACUCAAUACAAUUUAAAUUAUAGCUUGAAUCCAUAAAUUUAAUUUAGAAUUUAGAUAAAAUUUUAAAUUAAAAAUUUUCACGUAAAAUUUGAAUUUAGAUUUAAAUUCAUAUAUCAAAUUCAAAAGGCUUUGAUUGAAUUUAAAUUUCAAUUAAAGUUCAAAUCAAAAUUUUAAAUUGAAAAAAUUAAUUUCUGAAUUUAAAUUUAUGUUUUGAUUAAAAUUUUAAUUUAAACAAUUAAACUGCAUUAAAUUAAAUUACAAAAUAUAAUUAUUGUACUAUCGAAACAAACUUUUAUUCACGGAUCCUAAUAGGCUCACCGAAUAGGCGUAUGCGUUUGAUCGGGGUCCACAGUUUGCAGUGCGAGGAUAUCGUUACAUAGCGUUGUGACGUGUCAAACAAAUAUAAAUUUUCCAUAACCCUACGGACUGUCCUAGAGCGAGCAAGUGGCAAAGCGUGGUUGGUAUCCGAGAUCAAAUUCGAAUCUUCACAUUUUCAGCUAAAUUUAUUUUUAAAUAAAAUAAACGAAUCGAAUAGCGUGCUAUCUAUCUCUCAAAAAAAUAAAAAAUAAAAAAUAAAAAAAAGAAUCCACAACCCUGUUAUUCUGGGAUGAGAAAGGAAAGAAACGGGAAAUAGAAGCAAAAAAAAAAAAAAAAACUGUGGCGAUACUGAGCUGAGCACGCUCUGAGGGAAGUGAGGUUUUAGAUCACAAGUUCAAACUUUUCGCGAGAGUUAUUCGCAAAAUUGAUAUCCACAGCUACUGCCUCCGCUUAAUGGCAAAAUGGGAUCUUAAUUUCUCUGUUCCCAAGCUCCCCAGAAGAAUAAUAAAACUACGAAAAAGUCGUAACAAAAGUAGUCUAUAUGUAAAUCGAAAAUCCAAAUAAUCGUUUCAACUACAUAAUUAAACAGUUAAAAGGACACAAGUAACGUUAGGUAUAAUGUAACCGUAGUUGGUCACAAAAAAAGAAGAGAAGAAGAGAAACGAUUAGUACCAGAGAUUGCAUCAACGAAGUCGCCAUUGAUGAAGAGCUUGGUGAACUUCACCUCCAGCGUCAUGAGAUCUAAUAAUUAGCCAAAAAGAAAGAAACAAAUCUCUCUCUCUCUCUCUCUCUCUCUCUCUCUCUCUCUCUCUCUAUAUAUAUAUAUAUAUAUAUAGAUAUAUUGAUGUUUGGGGUUUCGUGGUUUAAAUAAAUUCUCUCUCUUUCCAUUUUGAUGUUCGGGGCUUUGUGGUGUAAAUAAAUUUGUCCUUGCACCGAGUUGGUGCCAAACGGGGUUAUCACCCGUAUGGCCGUAGCCAUAAAAAGCUUCUCAGCGUCUAAAAGCUUCCUCUUCUUUUUGUUUCUUUUUCCUUUUUUUUUAAUAAAAAAUAUAAAUGCUUCCUUGUCUUGUGUGAGAGCAAAUUUCGGAGGGAGCAUUUUCCCUACUGAAUUUAUUGCCUGGACCUGGCUCACAUGGCAGUCAAAAAUUAAUCCAUAAAUUUCAAUGUUUUAAAAAAAAUUAGAAUAGGGACACCUGCUAGUUAACCUAAUAGAUGUACGUUACCUAUGCAGCUAUACAUAGAGGUCGGGAGUUUGAUGAUCUUCUAGGCGUGUAUUUUUUUUUAAAAAAAAAUUUGGAGUCGGAACCCUCAGCUUCUUAAAUUAUAGGGAAAACUUCAAAAACCCCCUGUGGUUUCGUAGUUUCUCACUUUGCUCCCCUGUGAUUUAAAAUGUAUCAAUUUGUCUUUCUGUGGUUUUGUUUUUAUCUUUUCGAUAGCUUUUUCGUUAAUAUUUUAUUAAAUUAUAUAUAAAAAACUUUAGAUAUCCAUCUAGAUUUAUCAAAUAUUCACUUUAGUACUCUUUAAUUUUACCUUUAUCACUGAUUUAAGAAAAAAAAUAAUGAAAUUGAUAAGAAAAAGAGAAAAAUGAAACUACAGAGGGACAAAUUGAUACAUUUUAAAUCACAGGGGGGCAAAGUAAGAAACUAUGAAACCACGGUUUUUUUUUUUUUGAAGUUUUUCCUAAAUUAUACAAUAAUUUAGAUUUUUCAAAAUGUUACAUGAUAUAGGAACCUAUAUAUAAGAUUUGAAAAACAAAAACCUUAAUAUGGGACAUUGCAAAUGUUAGAUAUAGGAUAUAAUUGUCCACCAGUCACAUUAUAUGACUCGUAAAAAUAUUUUUAUCUAUAAAUCGAUAGAAUGUAAAUAAUACACUUUAAUCUGGAUGUAUCACCAGUAUUACUUUUUAAAAAAUUUGUCACUCAAACUUCAAAUAGCCCUAAAAUCAGCAAUAGUAAAAGAAUUAGUAUUUAUUACAAAAUUAAGUUCAAAAUCUAUAGUGUUUUUAGCGUGCUUAAAGGCGCUAGAAUUUCCCAGUAACACUUCUAAUGAGUGAUGAUGGAGGCUUGUGCGAUUGGUCCAUGAUAGACCAAGUCCAUGGAACUAUUUUUUGUUAAAAAAAAAAUCCAGUACAUCCCCCCUUUCAAACUCAGAUCUAGCAGUGUUUGGUUCUAGAACAAGGGAGAAUAAGUUUUUAUUUUUCUUUUUGUUCUCAAACGUCGUAUUUGAUACUCAAAAAUAAUAAUUUUCAGGUUUAUUAAAUAAGGUGGUAUGAGGCUGAAACUGUUGUUUCAUCUUUUUUUCUGUAAUAAGUUUAUUCCUAGGUGAAAACAAAAUUAAUUAAAGUCUAAAAUUAAUUUUAAUUAUGAUAUUAAAUUAUUAAUUAAUCUAAUUUAUAUAUUUAAAUAAUUAUUUAUUACUUAAAUAAUACAAUAAUUAAUUUAUUAUUUAUAAUUAAUUAUUAGUAAUUUAAUGUAUGUAUCCAUAAACUAAUAUUUAUAUUGAUCAACCAUUAAUAUUUUUAUUAAUCUAAUUAAUUUUUUUUACUAGUUAUCUGGCUAAAAUAAUUUACUAACUAAUUAAAAUUUUAAAAUAAUAUUUUGAUAUUAAUUAAUUAAAUAAAAUAAUUUUAAUUUAAAAUUAUAACUUCUAUUCUUCUUGUUCGAAUGUAACCAUUCAGGCACUCUGUUUAUCUUAUUUCUAAAAACAACUUAAUUUUCAUCCAAAUGUAAAAUUAAUCUAAUUGUUAUUUAUAUAUGAACAUAUCUAUUUCUAAAAGAAGCCGUUUUUAUUUAUUCCCAAACUAAACACAGCUCGGGAGAACCAAGUAAAUUUCUUCACCGUCUUGUCAUAUACUUCACCGUCUUGUCAUGUCUCUUACCCAGUUGUAUCACCAUCUCUAGCACAAGAUCGGAGGCCCACGACGUUGGGAGAUUUGUUUGACCCGUUUAAUGCUUCAUUUCUCUGCGAUUUUGUUCACAUAAAAUCUGUUAUUUAUGCAUUGAAUUAUAUAAUUUAGGCUGAACCUAUCACGCGCAUUUGCCAAUAUGAAAUAUUUCUAUUGAUGUUCUUCUGUUUCAAUUUUUUAAUCUUAUUAUAUUUCAAUCUAGCUUUGUUUAGUUUUAUUUAGCUCUUUUCUAGUAUUCUGUUUGUAAAUUUUUGGUUGAUUCUUCUUACUAUUUUUGAGCUGGCAAGUGACAAAUGGCUUGAUGGUUGGUAUCCGAGAUUCCAAGUUCGAAUCUUAGUUGAUUCACAUUUUCAGCUAAGUUUAUUUCUAAAUAAAAUAAACGAAGCGGAUAGCGUGUUAAUCUCUCUCUAAAAAAAAAAACCAUUUAUAAUAAAUAAGCGUAAAGACAUUUUAAAGCACGCCAUUACACCAAGUAUAAAGGUUGAUAUACAUUGUAAUACUAUCCUUAUAUUUCUAAACUAGAUGUAAGAUGUAUAUCCUAAAGACAUUUUAAAGCACGCCAUUACACCAAGAAUAAAGGUUGAUAUACAUAGUAGAACUAUCGGUAUAUUGCCAUUACACCAAGUAUAAAGGUUGAUAUACAUUGUAAUACUAUCCUUAUAUUUCUAAACUAGAUGUAAGAUGUAUAUCCUAAAGACAUUUUAAAGCACGCCAUUACACCAAGUAUAAAGGUUGAUAUACAUAGUAGUACUAUCGGUAUAUUUCUAAACUAGAUGUAAGAUGUAUACCCUACUAAUUCAAAUGCUCAUUUUCUUUUUCUUUUUCUAGUCUUAUCAACUUUCUUUUUUAACUAAAUUUUCUCCAAAAUUUUUGUGAACUCUGAUUAAAAAGAUGUAAGAUUUACACCUAAUAUAAUUACACAGGUAGUAUUUCCCAAACUGAUAAAAGGCCAACCAAAACUUUGUGAUUGUUAUUGGGCCUUUUUGGGAGCCUAAUGGGCCGGAUAGUAUUAGGCCAGGAUGGGCCGGGAAAAAAAAUUAGACUUGUGGGGCUCUUCUGCUAUUGGGCGAAAACGUCAGCGCUUGUGCCCAUGGCGCCAUAUCGAAGUAAAAUGUCGACAUGCGAUCCUUUUAUUUUUUUAAAAAAGAUUCCUUACUGCUGAGACCGAAAGCGCAGAGCACACAGUAAAGCGCAAAACCCACCACGAUUUGUCCCGAUUGUCAAAGCACGCAUGGUCCUAUAAAUAUACCCCUCGCGCUCUUCGCAAUUAACAUUUAACAGCCCCAAAAUUUUCGAUCCAUCGCGCCGCCCCGUUUCUCUCUUGUUUCUCGCUCGCUCGUUUCGUCUACCACGUGCGGCGGCGGAGGAGGAGACGAAACCCUAGCGAUGCAAUCGCUGCAGCAGAAGGCGUCGGAGUGGAGCGGCGUGGCGCCGAGCGACGCCUUCGCCAUCGACGAGACCAACCUCUUCGAAGCCCUCGGUGGUCUCCAACCCUUCGUCGACCUCUCCACCAAUUUCUACACCAGGUGACUCUUCGAUCGAUCGAUUCCGUAGCCUUUUCGUAGUUCUAGGGUUUGCGGUGUGGUCGUGGUGAUUAGGGCUUUUGUGUUGCUGGAUCGGUAGAAUCUAUGAGGACGAGGAGGAGUCGUUUCGCUCGAUCUUUGCUGCUUCGCGGAAGGAGGACGCGAUCCGUAACCAGUAUGAGUUUUUCGUUCAGAGGAUGGGAGGGCCUCCAUUGUAUUCACAGCGGAGAGGUAAUUAGUUUUUCUUAAAAUUCUUUUCUUUGUUAAAUCUGGAGUUUGGAUGCGGUUGAUCGAAGGAUUAUGUUGUGUUACUUUUAAGUUAUGAGUUGCAGGGUAGCGGAAUUAAUUAGGUUUGUGGCUAUUUAUGUGUUUAUUUACUUUGCGUUAACCUUUAGUAAUAACUAGUACACGAGCCACUGAUUCAUACAGUAGUGGAAUUAAUUAGGUUGAUGGAAGGAUUAUGUUGUGUUACUUUUAAGUUUUGAUUUGUAGGGUAGGGGAAUUAAUCAGGUUUGUGGCUAUUUAUGUGUUUAUUUACUUUGUAUUAGCCUUUAGUAAUAACUAGUUCGCUAGCCACUCACCUGUUUCCAUAUGUUUUGACUUGAUUUUCUGCCUUAAUAACUACUUCCCUUGUUAUGCUGCUCUGUUAUUAGUGCUUGAUAACUUGAAUAAUAUCUUUGACAUUGUCAACCAACAAGAAUUGAGAAAAGCUUCGAAAGAGAUGAAACAAGGACUGUAUGAUAAAGAGUAAUUCUUUUUUAUUUUUCCUAAAAGAGUCAGAUGACGAUUUUUGUUGGUUUUUUGUGGUUAACACUGGUAUCACUCCCUAAAAGUAAAGGUUAUGUAAACAUAUGAAUUAAUGUUUGAAGAGCUUGGAAGUAGCCAAGUAGGAGAAGUUGCCCAUCCAAACAAAUAAAAAAGUCACUCUUGCCAACUUUUGACUACAAAGUAAGCCCUUGGAACUAACAGAAAAGAAAAAAGGAGGAAAAACUGUCUGGUUGAAGAUGGAUUACUUCACCUAUCAAGUCGCAGUUGCUUGAGUAAUAUCUAACAACAUUUUAACAUGGUGAUACAACAUAAAAAUCUCUAUAUUUUACUAUUCAAUCUAGUUGCUACAUCUUUUUUCCCCCGCUUCUUUGUUUUGGUGCAAUUUGUGCUCCCUGAUUUUGCUGCAUUUAUACUAUAUCUUUGUUGCUAUUAGUUUCCUUCUCGUCUUUCCAAUUCACAUGUACCUAUACAAUUAACUUUUUCGAUGGAUCGUCAGUUAUUGUCAUGUGGAUGUUAUUGAGCAUUCUACCGGGCUCCGGUAUGAUAUUUAUGAAGGGGAUCUUUCUGAACUUUUACCAUAUCAAUGCAAGCGAUGUCAGUUAGCUUUUUCAAAGGAUAAGGAACAAUGUUCAGUUUUGACAUAAGUGCACAGUUCUGAUAGAAUGUUUGUAUAAGAAGCCUUUUGAAAUGUUUUAUUGCUAGAAACUAGUUGUUACUUCCUCCUUGCACCUUGGACAUGUUCAUUAGCAUGUAAUAAUUAUCAGAACGAAAGCACUUUAUCUUACUAAAAUCUUUGCUCUAUCACCUCUUGUUCCCCUCUUUCUGAGUGUAAUAAUAUAUCAUUUUGUCUUUUCUACUUUAGAGAGAGUUUUGUAGGAAUAGGUGUUAAAAAAAACUUGUAUUUGCAUAUCCAGCCAGUUGCAUAUAUUCAUCUGCAAAUUUAUUAUUUCAGCUGAGAGUUUUGACGUCAGCUCUUUUUGGAAGUGAAUACGAUCUUCCAAAUUUUCAGAUGGAACAUAUCUGAGACUUCUCCUUUUCAAUUUCUUUCUGUUGUUUCGCUCUCUCUAGUGUUGAGACUUCUCAUCUCUAUAUCUGACUUGUAACUGCACUUGUUGCCUAUUAGUGCAUCAAAGAAAUAUAUCUCAUUAAUCCUGCUGGAGACAGUUGGAUCAACAUGCUACCUAAUUUCGAUCUAAUAGAAGUAUAUGACUUGGAAUCUUACCUCACUGCUUCUCUUUCCAAAGGCCAUCCUGCGCUGAUUGCGCGGCAUCGGCCAUUUCCAGUUACUCACCAAGCAGCAGAGAGGUGGCUACACCACAUGCAACAAGCAUUGGACAACACUGGAAGCAUCGACCCAGAUUCAAGAGUCAAAAUGAUGAAUUUCUUCAGGUACCUCUCAGCACCCGACAUGUUUUUUUUGUUGAAAUUGCAUUUUGUGCUUUUACAUAUUUCCAUAUAUACCGAUUUUCGUUUCACUUAACAUUUUUACUAAACCUUGUCAGGCACACUGCAUACUUUCUUGUUGCCGGCAAUGAGAUGACAAAGCAAGGGCAAGGAGUCCCUUGCAAACAUGCUACUAGCAAUCCAGCAGCAUAAAAGAAGAGCAAUUCUUCAUUUAUCCAGAUUAUAGUAUCAUAUGUAAAAACUCUCACAUCAAAUAUUUAUCCUACUUAAUUUAUUGUAUGCAAUCAUUUGAUAAAAGAAACUUCAAGACAUCUGAAUAUAUUUCAGUGUUGCAUGCGCUUCCAUCUGUUGUUGCUCUCGCUGAUUAGAAUUUUUAACAUAAUCUCGAUAAAGGCAAUGAUUGAACUGUAACUGUUCUUUAAGUGAGUUGGUAAGGCACAUCAAGUGUGAUCAUUGCCAACUUAAAACUGCUUGUUACUCAUAGGUACGAUCAUUUUGUGUCUCUAAUACUCCAGUUAUCCAUUAUCCAUCCUUCUCUAUUAAUCUUCAUGCUAUUAUCAUAUACGGCUUGUUGCUUAAGCAUUCAGUUUGUGACGUGGCCUUUAGUGGGAACUUCGCACAUGAGCUUGGUGGUCCGGGAUACCUUUUUAAUGUAGCUUGAUAUAUACAAGCAUGAAGAAUGUGUUAAGAUGCCCUGCCAAUCUUGUCUGAGAUAUAUGGAAUAGAAGGUAUAAAGGAAUGACCCUCAUCUUCUUGUUAGGAACAAUUUGCAAAUUGACAAUAAAAAAAGAUAAGCAUGGUCAGAAGGAAUUUUCCUUCGUGUAAGAUUUGUUCCUUACUUUAUAUUAUCUCCUUUUUCUUUUUAACUGCAAGUGGGGAAUUUAACUCUUUGAAUGCGCAUGGUGUCGCAGGAUUUAUAAGGCUCGAUAUUUUAUGCCAUAACUACCGGAAUGAUCUGCCUGUGUCCUUUCCCCUAGAUAAAAGAUUAAAAAAAUGACGAAAAGAAAGGAAAAAAAUAAAAUAAAAAAAAGCUCUCACUUCAUCCAUCAAAUUUAUAAGAGUUUUUUUUCCCAAUUACACUGGCAAACUAAAGCUGCAUUACCUAAGAAUAAACGAUUAGAAAGUUUUAUCAAAUUCAGGCGAGAAGACUCAUUUUUGCAUAUUUUUGUCAGUUUGCCUUUAAUGUGUAAAUAAAUAAAAAAUUUGAACAAUGCUAUGUAACUUGAUAAGCUCGUGAGAAUCUUACAAUGGGAGCCCUCAGAAGGUUCCCUCCAAUGCUGCCAAUGUAGCCAUAAUUAUACGCGGUACACAUUGAGCGGCUGACGUGUGUAUGUUCUGAGCCACCGCCAUUGCUAAUGCACCAUCGCGCUCUAACAGUAACAGAUACUCACUCAACAAGUAUUGAAAGUGGAGGAGAAGUACAGGAUCUGAAAGGCUUCAAAACCUCUCCCUUUGUGCGUGGCUUCUUCUUCCGGUCUCUCUACAAUUUCGCGAAAGAUCCCGAGUCUGGUCAAAUUUGUAAGUAAGAGGAGCACGUGAUUAGAUUUUGUACGGGGCAAUUUCGACAGAGUAAAUGAGAUAUGUGGAAAUUUAAUGAAUUUGGUAGAUGCAGAUAGGCUUAUAUAUCCCCAUUAUUAUUAGGCCAGGGUAAGUUUUGGAUAACCUGUUUUCUACUACCUGUUACUUGUACAUUCGGACAUUUGCAUUUAUCACUUCGGCCAACAUUUAAAUCUACGACUACUUGAUGCUUAUUUAAUUUAAAAGAAGGCAUGAUUUUUCUUGUGUAAAUUGCAAAUUUGGUGGUCAAGUUUCAUCUUGAUUUCAAUUGUAACCUUACAAUUCCUGUUUGACCGGAUCGUAGGCUGUAAUACAGUAGGAUCAUAUUUUAUUAGAAAAGCAUUAAUAGUUUUCCAUUGAAGUGCUUAAUAGCAUCAACUGUAUCAAUUCCAGUCAGCUGAGAGUUUGAUGAUUUAUACUUGAGAACUCAAGUUUGAAGUCUAGUUGCUCCACAAUUCUAUCUCAUUUUAGGUGCAAAAUCUUCAAUUGGAAACUUUCUUUUUUGUCCCAGAUCUUUUUUUUUUCUUCUCGCGGCUAUAAAGUCUCUCAACUUUUUUGUUUGUCAAAUACGUUAUUAUCUUGUCGUUAAAGAUGAAAUAAAACGUGGGUCAAACAAAAGAUCGGUCAAACAAACGGCACUCAGUUUUGAUAAUAUUGAUGUAACAUCAUUUUUCAUAUCUUAGACUGCUAGUAGGUUCCGAUUUUUAUUUAUGACGAGUGAAAUUUAGGGAAUAAAAUAAUAAAAAUGGAGUUAUAAUGACAUAAUUAAAAUUGGUAGAGAUGAAUUAGCUAUUGACUCCUCUUUUUUCUUUUAGCAGAUCAUAAUGAUAAAGCGGACUAAAACUCCCACAAUGAGAGAUACAUAUAAGCUAAUGUAGAGAAUGAAAACUCUUAAAACCAAGAUCAAGUUAAUCUGAGCAAUACCGUUGACGUGACAGCGAAUCUUGCUGAGAAGGAUCGUGACAAGUUCUCUGGUUCGGCUGAAGCUGACCCUUCAUCAAAAUUCUGCGCAUACGAGUCAGGAUCAUAUGCUUCACAUGCUGAACCGCUCGCCGACUUCAAUAUCUUCCUCUUUUCCUUCACAAUCUUCCUCCACAGCUCCCGCAACCUCGCGGUAACAGAUCGGGUCGGACCGCGAUCUGACGGAUCGUAUUCAUCCUCAUACUCGCCAUUCCUACUCAGCCGUCCGAUCAUGCCAUAGUUGCUACAAUGAUAAUAAGAAGGACAAGAUAUCUGCCUUUGUAGCUUGGGGAUGUAAUCCAUGUAGAUGAAAAUAAACUCUUCUUUGUUUCUCCUCACAGCAUUUAGAAAAAGAAGUGGUUGAAGGAGGUGGUGCAUAUUUAUAAGGAGAUGUGGGAAUUGGAUUUUUAUUAAGAAAAUUGGUUGUUUUUGAUUGGAUGGUCAACAAUUGGGGGCUAAUAGAACGGCGGUAUCAGACGGUUGGUAUUUAUCGUCGACUUAGUUGGUGCCGUUGGUUGUUGGCAGCCCGGUUAAAAUUAGCCCAUUGAUAUGUCAUUAUUUGGCUCAGACUUAAUUGAAAAUACAUGGUUUUCAAUGCAUUGAAAUGCAUGUAUUAAACUUUUUAAAAAAAUUUAGAGGUGCUUUAAAGUUUUCAAUACCUUGAAAUAGAACAGCGAAGCCUUGUUGAAAAGCUCUAAAAUACUUUUCAUUUUUUUUUUUCCUCAAACCUAAAAAUAUUAGAGGAUGUGUUUGGGCAACAUAUUUUCAAACUAGUGUGUAAAGAUGAGUUAUUGUUUUGGAGAGUUUUGGUGAGACAGGGAGAGCAUUUGACAAGUUGAUGGUGGUAAGGGAAAAUUGCAUUAUUUUAUAGGCCUGCGGUUUGGAAUAUAUCGUUCUUAAUGACUAAUAAAUAAUAACAGGGGUGUUACGUAAAAUUAAAAUUUGCUAUAUUCAACAAUUGUUUUUAUGCAUUCAAAUAGCGUACGGCUCUUGAUUGACUUUUUUGAGUUUUAGAGCCCAGUACGACAAAACAACAUCACAUAAUUUACAAAUGUGUAAACAAUUAUAAGCAUAGAAUGAAUGGAAGGGAACAUAACAGUGUUGUGACAAAGAUGAGCAGCUAGAUUUCAAAUCUUUCACGAACCAAAAGCUGUAUGAUCCGGACAAACAGAGAGUACAGGAGCCGAAACAAAGUCCAACUGAUUCGGACUCAACCUUUUUCACCUAAACACAAAAUGUCCCCUUGAAUUCAAACAUUUAAACUUGUUGGUUUGAUGGUAGAGAUGGAGGAGAUCAGAUUUUCCUUUAGAGCAACGCUAUGUGUACAAUCAUCUACAUCUAAUGUGGCCAAUCCAUCCUAAAAAGGUUGAUAAAGUUUAGAGCUUUAGGCUCGAAUCUAAAUUGUCAGAUAUGAAGAUGUAAAGCCGCCUAGCUGACAUAAACUGUGCAGUAACAAAAUAAAUUUGAGAAUAAAUGAACUAAAAUUUAGAGACAGUUUUAGAUCAGAUCUUUAAGCACGUCAUUCUUAGCUCACAAUGAUAGACGUGCGAACGUGCAGGUUGGCUCGAAUGUGGUAAUGAAAAUUUGAUUGCACUACACACCCGUCCUACAAGCAACUAGGGGCGUUUAAAUGGGACGGGGGGAAAGAAGAAAAAUACAAAUUCCAUGGAUUAAAAUUGCCCCUAAAGCAACGUAUUACUUGGGAGAAGAUUUCUACAUAACACGUAUUGCAUGUAGUAAUAAUAAUAUCCUACCUACAAAGACGAGAAGUUAUUCUUGACGUCAUUGCAGCCAAUAUUUAUAGCAUUUCCCAGAAGCUAAUCAGAAAUUUGAAACACAUUUACAUAAGCUCAGAAUGACAAUAUUUUUCAAUGGGCUUUGGUCAAAAUGGCAAUAUCUAAUACAGGGGUGCACAAUAAUGUCAAGAAGAAGUUUGAGAAAUUAUCUUCUACAAAUGAUAGUUACAGAAUGAUGCUGAUUACAACUGCCUAUAAAUUCUGAAAUGUGAGGAAAGUAAAUCCAAACUAGUGAACGAUUCCGCCUUCCUGUACAAAGUUCAUAAACUAAAGUUUAGGUGAGGAUUAAUCGUCCUCUCUCAGAAAAUCGAGAAGUUCUGGAAUGCGUCUAAACUGCUCGCGACCAAUCCACCAAGACCAAUACUGUCUCCACCGCUCAUCUGCCUAGAGCAAGGAGCCACGUGCUCGGAGGGACCAACUGAAUCAGGCUGUGAACCAUAAGUAAAUGGAAUAUCAACAACAUUGAUAUCGCAAUAUAAACCAGACAUAAAAAAAAUGCUUUAGUUGGUCACACUUUCAAUUUUUUCAACUCAAAUUUUAUUGGAUGGAGUGCGCUAGCUGGUAACAUAUUGUUGGCAACCUAUACAAUUAUAAGGCUAGAUUGGCAGCACAAAAAAGAAGACUUCUUUACUCUUUUCUGCUAUUUAUAAAGAAGAUGAGUUCACAAGCUAACUAACAAUAGUAAAAACAGAUUCACCGGCACACUCCAAUGCAUAGAAUUUGAGUUUAUAAACCAAAGAGGAAAAAAAAAGAGUUGAAAAAGAAAAAAAAACCAAAAGUGUAACCAAAUGAGCUUUAGAUUUAUUAAUCUAAUUAAAUGGCAAGUACCCAAUUUAUAUCCGCUCUCCCAAAAGGGUUACUCCCAUCAUGAGGCUUUAAAUUCCCUUUCAGGUCUCUAUUUGAUUCAUCAGUCGGGUGCAUAUUAUCUUUGCCAUCACUCUCUGUAGGUGCACAAAGCACGUCUGGGCUUUGCUGCAAAUAUUAAUCAACAAACAAGUUAUAAUGUCUCCUUAAUUUAGAAAAGCAAAUUAAAGGGUAAACAGAGACCAUGUGAAAUGAGAAAAGAAGAAAAAUAUUAUCUUAUGAUUGAGCCUAAAUGAGUCCAGACUCACAUUCUCAGUACAUGAAGCAGCAGCUACAUCUUUGGAUGAAGAUGGACCAGCUUCGGUCGAAUGAGUAAUGUUUUGAAACUGAAAUGCAUGGCAAGUUUCUUCAGAAUUAAAAAUGGACGAAUUUGAAACUUGAGUGGACUGGUUGUUAAUUUGCUGACAGCCGAUAAGGGAAGCAAUAGCAGCAUCAAAUGAAUCACAAGUGAAAGAGAUUUGACUAAGACUCGGAUUGUUCUGUGCAAGAAUUGCAUUUUCAUCUGGAGGCGGCAAUGCUUCAUGCAACAGAGCUCCAAAGCUCAUGUUGGAAAUGCUAUCGAGCCAUGAAAGCGGAGGGGCACGACAUAUCCUUUGAUCCUCCUAUUUUCAACAAGAAAAUUCGUAACUAUGUGGAGAAUAAGAGAAAUUUUUAAGUUGGAUAGAAGGUAAAGAAUAUACCACUGCUUGAACUGGGUUAUUCGACAAAGGAGUAUUAUCAGCCUUAGCCAUUCCCAUCUCUUCACCUGGUAUUCGACCUUGAGCAGAGAACCAACCAUAUCUUGGAAAGAAAAUAGAACAUAUAAUUAAGCCAAGCACCCUUAUUGCAGAUAUUAAUGAGAAAAAAAAACCCUGAAACUAUGUUAAAAACACAUGCAUAUAUAAAAAAAGACAAAGAUAAGAGAUAAACCUCAAGCGAAAAACAGCUGGGCUACCAAGUGCAGCAUAAACAUCAGCUGCAGUGGUGUCAGAGUCUUUCAAAGUCCACCUUUUGUAGCUGACCAUAUUGUUGGGACUAGAAUUGUAAGGCAAUAGCAUAAGCUCUCCUGUUUUGGUUCCCGAACUACCCCACUUGAUAUUGAGGUGCCUCACCACCGAGGAUAUUUUCUUUCGAGUAGUCAAAGUCAAUUCCAGGUAAGGAUUGUGCUUAUCCUUAAAAAUUAAGUAGAUGAUAAUACAGGUUGUCAGUUUUUAGUCAAUUUAAACAAGCUAUUUCUUCUCCCCCACACCCCCCACCCCUCGCCCCCUCCCAAAACAAAUCACAAAUAAGAAACAGCAACACUCACCUGUUCCAACCUUUUUCGCACGAUAUCAUCUAUUGGAAAUAGCUGAAGCUUAAAUUUUCCAGAUAUUUGUGGAUACCGUCCAGCCAUAACUGUAGAAUUUCCAGGUGCCGUCUCUAGGGAGCUAUGCCUCGUGUUGGUAUGUAAAGGGGAUGAUUGAGCAGGAGAAGGCAAAAGCCUUUCACAGAAUUCUACAGUAGCUUUUUCUGGAAAACAAAUGCAACACAAUUUAGCAAAUGCACACGAGAAAUCCUAAAAUUAGCUAAUAUAUUGCAUAAUUGCCGAAAAACGAAAAAGCAUGAGAGUUAUUAGUUAAUGCCUUUUGUCAAAAUUUAAAUGCUGUUUCGGUAAGGCCAAACUAGGCAAAAAUUAACUGCGUAUUUAUUUCUUCAGAGAGAAAUUUUCAAUAUAAAGUUUUGCUGCAUAAAAGAAACCCUGGAAUAUUAAAACCAUGCUUAUAAUAUGACAUGCGAAAAUUAAAAAAAAAUUCUGAAAAAAAGAGUUCAAAGUAAAGUAGAUGAUGAUCAUUGCUAAAAAAACAUUAUUAUCAGUGUUCUAAGAUUUUCUUUCUUUCUUUAGUGUGAAUAUCUUAAGCUUCUAGAACAUUUACCUGGUGUUUUACGUCUUCUUCCGCCAAUUUUCAGAGUUUCAGACUUAGCGCAACCCAGUUUGCUCUUUGAUCUCGCUUCAGCAGUUGCUUUGCGAAUGUGGCCAGUACUUUUCAUGAUUACUAAAAAGGAAACAAAUCACCCUUCUGCAAAUGGACCCUGCUACCGGACAAAGUAUUAAAACCUGAAAUAUUUAACAAGCAAGCUACUUAUUUUCUGCACGAACAUCUAGUGAAAAUGAUGAAGAUUGACUGAAGAUGCCCUAUUAAAAGUUUAAUUCCUCCAGUGAGAAGUCAGCCUUGUCGUGAGCACAUAAUUGUCGCAUGUGCCAUUAAUAGCAUGCCAUUGCAAAUGUCAGUUGCCAAUAACAGGUACUAAAAGUAAUAUUGCAAACAUUUAACAACAAAGAUUGUAAAUAGAUUACUCAGUGCGAGUACGCUUGGAAGCAUUAGACUAUAAAAUGGAGGGUUCUGUUUUCUUCGAAUAUGUGCUCAGACCUGGAAGCUAGCUGGCUUCCUUAUACACGUGAGGAUUAUACCAGUGUUGUUUCCUAUCAGAUCAAUAUUCUGGGUACCAUUGUAUCAAAGUCAAUCACAAGCCCCCUUAGGUUCAAGAAGUCGUCGAUUCAUAAAUCUGUCGAUUUAUGGCAUACAUUUCUAUUUGUUAUUCGUUCUCUCUUUUGUUACCUCUGUUGUGAGCACGUGGCAUAGUGCUCUGAAUCUCUACCAUGCACAUGGAGAGGGGGUGUUAAGACUAUUCCUGACCUAUUUCCUAUCAGAUCCAUCUUUUGUGUGACAAUCCAGACGUCUACAUGCUAACAUGAACCCUAAACCAUGAAUUUAGCAUCUAGAUGGAGCCAAGCAUGAUAAAAGAGCGAAGAGAAUCAAUUCCAACUUACAUAUAUCUUCUAGCGCCCCAACCCCCACCCCUCCCACAAAAAAAAUAAAUAAAAAUAAAUUAAAUCUACAAUUCAAGGAGAGCAAUUACUUAUCACAUCCACCUAUUUCCAUUCUCUAGAAUCCAAUUUCAAAGUUCAAAGAGAUACUAGGGCACAAAUAGCCUAAUUUCAAGCAAUGUUAGGGCAUUCACUAGAACAAAAGAGCAGCAUAUAUCACACGAACAAAUCAGCAGAACCGAUUAUCGCAAUGUGAACUAAAUAAACUCCAAUCUACAACAUGGGCGAGAAAUCACGGGUAACAACCGUUCCUUGAAAUCUCGAUCAGAAGAAGCUGCUGCACACCAAAUUAUCCGCACUCGAGCGACCGAUCCAAGAGGAGUAAACCCUAGCGCGGAGAGCACGCUCGCAAUUGCGCCCCUUUCAUCACGUGAAACCCUAAAAAAGGCGAGGUCUCCGAGACGAGCUUCUCGUAGAGAGAGCGGAGGUGGAGGGAGGAGGAGGAGAAGGGUAAGAGAAUUUGGGGGAAUUUAACUACGAACUCACCGGGAGAGAGAGAGAGAGAGAGAGAGAGAGAGAGAGAGAGAGAGAGAUUUUUGGGGGAUUUGGGAGACUCCCUCGCGCUGCUUUGGGAGUUGCCGCCUUUCUUCCAAAACACGAGCGUUUAAAACCGGAGUUGGGAGAUGGAUUGUAAUUUGUAGGGACACCAACCUGGGUCCGAAAACGUGUAAUUUGCUGGAUCCUGGAUGAACCGGGUGCACCACGUUUUUAUUGAACCGAACCAAUCAAAAUGCAAGAUAAGCAGCUCACCAAUCGCACACGAUCCUCAAAGUUCAUCUGCAGCGUCCGCAGUCAAUCAGACGGUAGAUAUUCCAUCCUACCUCCUGUUCUCAGGCCCACAUUAUGGCCCAUAGGCCGAAUAAUUGGUGUGGACCGGGCCAGGACAACUAGCCCGUUUUUGUCUGCUGCGGUUCAUGGUAAAACUGUAGACAGGGUUCAAACAAUGUAAUUACCGCAAAGUCCGCUGUUUCAGAAAUUACUGCCUAAACCUUGUCCAUCAUGGUCCAACCUCCAACUCUACUGUCCAAAGGUUUAGAAGUAAAAUUUUGGGGGCGAUUUCAAUAGUACCCUCAAAAAUUAUAUAAUAUCGCAAAUGCCCCUUUAAAUUGUCAAUAAUAAUACUUUUGUCUUUAUAAAUUAAUGAGUUAUAUCAAAAAUGCCCUCCAUCGCAUCCUUUAAGAAUUUUGGACUGAUUUAUUCCUAAUUAUAAAUAAUUAUAUUAUAUUAUGUAGGGCUAAUAAAUUUACUUUUCAUCGAAAAAUAACUCAAUUUUUGUUUAUGAUUCAAUUUAUGAAUGCAUUUUUUGCAUACUAAGUUUACAUAUAUUUUUGUUAUCUAUGACAUAUGGGUUCAUAUUAAUCAAAAUAAAUAAUUAACGAAAGCUAAAAAUAUGUUUUAUUUUUUGCAAAUCUAUUUUCUUCAGUCUAAAUUACUAUAAUUUUUUAUUUUACUAUUUAUAUACAUGUAGUUUGUUGCAACUAAUUAGUUUUAAUUUCGUAAACAUUCAAUUAUACUUAUAAUGUUUUGAAAUAAAAUAAUAUUUAAGUUCAUUUAAAAAGUACAAAUAAUAGAUGAUGGACAAAAUGAAAAUUUUAUUUAAUUUUGUAACAAAUAAUUAUCAAUUUGAAUAUUUAUGAUAUUUUUUUCUAAAUUACAGAGGUAUAUUUGAUGUUUAUACAAUUCAAGGUUGGACGAAAGGUGCAUAUGAAAUUAACCCUAAAGCUUUAAACCAUUAAAUGAGUUUUAUAACACCUACUUCACUUAAAGUGUUAAGUUUUGAUAAUAUAUAUUUAGAGAGAGAGAAUUUGACUUAUGUGCUUUCAAAAAUACUGUAAUUUCCGUACUUUACACUUAUUUUUGAUGAUGUAAUUUUUAAAUACGUGCAUAUUUGUAAUAAUAAUUGACUUAUAUACGUGUAAGUUACACAAAAUUUUAUAUAAUAUAAAGUUCAAUCUAGAGGACUUAAACUUAAGAUCUAAAUUAUUAAAUAUGAUCUACAGUAUUUAAAAUAUAUACUUAUAUAAAGUUUCACAAAUUUUAAAAUUGAUUUACUAUACAUCAAGUGGUGUUAAAAUUAACCAUCCGAAAUUUUCAAAUAAAAGGAUAAUAUUAGAAACUCGAGAUAUAGAUUUUCGAUAAUCGUGAUUUUUUGCAUGUAAACUUUUUUGUGUUGUAAAAUAUUUUCAAUGAUUUAGAUUUUUAUUUUAAAACUUUUAUGAUUAGAUCUUUAACUCAUAUGAAAAGUCGGCUUUUCGCUGACGUGGUGGACUAAGUCCAUAAAAUAUUUUCUAUUAUUAUAUCCCGAGAGGGUGACCAUGCAGCAAUCGUUUAUAAAAGAAAAUAACCCCUCUCUCUCUCUCUCUCACAUUCUCUCUCUCUCUCUCUCUCUCUCUCUCUCUCUCUUAUUUGUCGUCGACACCACUCCGAAGAGAGGGAGAGAGGGGGAGAGGGAGAGAGGAGAAGAGCGGAGGAAGAAGAAGAAGAGGGAGAGAUCCAUGGCGAAGAAGAGGAAAUCAGACGCGGCGCACCUCGACGAGGUGGAUCGGACGAUGCACUCCACGUUCUGCAGCGCCGCGAACUCGCUCUCGCAGAUCUUCACCCACGCCAUGGCCCAGCAGAAGCUCGCCUUCCAAGCCGGGGAGCGCCACAGCAUGGUUCGAUUCGAUCGGUCCCCAACCCACCUCUCUCUCGAUCUCUCCCCUUUUCGCGUUUGAAUCGGCGGUAGUUUGCAUCCGAUCGAUCAUUUCCGGUCCCUCUUGUAUGAUCGGUUGCGGUUUAUUGUUGUAAUUUCGAUCUGAUGAGUUUUGGUCCCUGUACUGAUGGAUCUGCCACCUUUUCUUCUUAAAUUUUGGUAUUAUUUGAUUUAGAUUCCCUGCAAUUGAUAACAAUUAAAAAAUAAGGAAUCUCCGGUGGCCUUUUGCCGACCUGUAUUUGGUUCUCGACAUGAAAUUCAAGGUGCUAGAUGUGUUAUUACUGUGAAAAAGUGUGAAGAGUUACGGAUUAUGGAUAUUUUUUGGUUCAUCCGUUGAUUGAUUUGUUCUUAUGCUCCUUAAAUAUCUGCAUCAUGUGACACAGAUUUGUGGUGAUUGGUUAUGUUAGGUUAGAAAGGAAUAUCUAGGCCUUUUUUCUAAGAUAUGAAAGCGUUAUAUUAUCUGUAUUUGGUACGAGGCAUGUGGUUGGAGUGCUACAUGUGUUACCACCAAUACUCUGGUUCCAGUGUGAUGGGUUUGUUCUUCUGCUUCUUUAAUUGCGGUAUCACGUGACAUAGAUCUGUGACGAUUGAUUUAAGGUUAAUGAAGAGCUUCCUAGGGCCUUUUGCUAGGUGUGAAAGCAUAAAAUGUCCCGGCUCUUGUAUUAUUAAACUGGUGAUCAAGGUGCCGGCUAUGUUAUAACUCACAAAGACUGAAGAGUAACUAGCAGAACAACUAAAUUUUAGCUUAAUAUAUGGGAUUUUUUUAUGCAUUUCCUUUUUCCUCUUUCUCUAUAAUUCUAUAAAAAUCUAUUCUAUAAAAUUUAGAGAAAAAGCAGGCUCAAUUAAACUUCCAUGAAGAUGCGAGUUUGUAUGAUGUUGCAAGUUUUCUGGACUUUUUGAGUUUCUUGUAUGUUUUGUUGUUUCUGUAUGUAAAAGUGCAUGAGGUUCAGUAAUGUGCCAAGCAAAGUUAUUGCCUCUUACGUUUUUAAUUUUUUACAGGAGAAAGUCUACCAGUGGAUUUUGAGACACCAUGAGGAAGGUUCAAGGGUUGCGGUUGCGGAUGUAGCUUCGUACCUACAGGUUAGGUGAAAAAUAUUGCAUUGGAAUUUCUGUAACAUUGUUGGUUGUGUGCUUCCCAUCCAUUUAACAUUUCUGGUAUAUCUUACUUAGUUUUCCUUUGAUAUAUUUUAUUCCACACAAAGAAUUUUGGUUAUAUAUGAAUAUUAAUCCUUUUUAUGGUGCUGUUUGUUCUAUCAUGAAAUGUAUAUGUUGUCCAAUGGCCAUGCUUUCAUCUUUUCGAUAAAUUCUCCCCAGAGGUCAAUCUUUUUUGCUUUUAAUCUUCUUAUCAAGUUUUUGAGUUUUUAUAGAGUUUGUGGUUUCGCUUACAUUCCUCUUAGAGGUUCCUCUGGUGGGUUCUUAGCAUGAUCUUGUUUGGCUGUUCAGCUGCUUUGAAAGCUAAUUGUUUGUAUACUUUGUAGGUUACAUAGGACUGAUUAAUCGCUGACUCUGCAGUUAUUCUCUCCAAUAUCUUCUUUGAAACUUACACAUUUUAAUAAUGCUUUGUAUUUACUAUGUGAUUCUGUUCUCAAUGUUGGUCAUAUGUUAGCAAUAUCCUUCUAGUCUGUAUUCCUGCUGCUUAACUUAUUGCCUAACAUUUGCUUUUAAGUAUAUUCAAUAAUUUAGCCUUAUUAAAAUCCGAAAUAUGUAAGCUCCUAUUCAUAUUUUAACAUGCUAUGAACCAUUACUCCCUUAAUAGAGAUCUCUGAUUUCACAUUCUUUAAAAUUUGGUGGCAGUUUGGUCUUAAAAAUGCAAUCACGGGAAAUGACUCAAAAGAUUAUAUUUAAAAUUUACAAUUCAACCUACUCUCUAUUUUACCUCUUCCAUUUUAAAGAGUUGGUUGGUUUUUUUUUUUUUUUUCUUUUGUGAGAAAAAUAAUGGUUAAUGUCUUUUUAAUACCCAGAAUUCAAAGUUACUUCUGGUGAUUAUUGUGAUCUUUGAUUAUAUCAGCUUGUAUGAUCUAAAAGGAUUUACACUGUCAGUUUUGAACUUUUUCUUCUUUCAAGUUCCAUUGUGAAUUACCCUACUUCUUUUCCUGAUUCUUUAUUUCAAUAGGUGCGGCAUUAUGUUAUUUGGCUUUAACCCAAUAUCUAGUGCAACAGCCCUGUGAUAUGAUAUUAACUAGAUCCCUACACUUUUGGAAAUUUUUUCUGUGAAUUAGAACGAAAUCAAUAUUGGAGGAGAGGAGGUAUCAAUGUCUCCUCGUUCACAAUUCCCGAAUCAGCAUACUCAAUCUGUAUUACACUUUGCAAGCACAACACCGCAGAAUCCUUCUUCUACAUCUGGACAAGUGACUUCUCUCUCCUGCCUGGCCCAACAUAGCCUUCUGCCUUAUCACCUGGUCCAAUUGGGAGGGUAUCACUCAACCAAUGUCUUGCCUAAUGGAAAUACAUCUCGGAACAAUGAUGUGAACUCAAAUGAUUCAUCCAUGGAUAUGCAUUCUGAUGGCCUGUGAACCGUUCAAUGGUUUUGGAAACAUAAUUGUUAAUUCUGAUUUGUGUCGAGAUUUACUGCAACCACCUGCCCCAGAAAUUGUUAAAGUUCGAGGUGCUAAAAGAAAAUACGUCUUAACAAUUUCACAGCAUAUCCGAAGUUGUCAGGAGUACUUAUUCUGUGCUUGUGAGCAGUUUUCCCUGCUUUGUUUGGACAUUUAGACCUUUUUUAUCUUCUAUUUCGAAUUUUCCCUUUUUUUUUUGUUCCCUUUGCUUAUGAGAUUAUGGGUUGUCGUGGUAAAGUCUUAGUUUUGUAAUUUCUCUUUUUUUCUCAUUGUAAUUAGUCCUGUAACUUUUUUUUGUUUCCUUUUUUUGAUAGUCAGUCCUGUAAUUUCUAGUAUAUUUAAGGGCAGUGGAUAGUACAUAUUGCCAGCUUAUGCUUAACUAUUACUUUGGGUUAGGAUAUUUAGGUCGUUAUUGAGUUGUUGAAAUUACUUUGCUUACGUCAUUGACCUAUUUGUGUGUGGCUUGUCAAAAGCACUUAGACGGCCUUUUUACUUUACCCAAAGUGGACUAAACAAGGUUUCAAAUUGAAGUAUCCACUUCUGUAGCCUAGCUAAGUUGAUUUAGCUUCCAGCUAUAGCAUGUUUCGCUAGUCAAAAGAUCUUCUGAGAAUACAAUUGGCCUACGCAGAUCAAAAAAAAGAAAAUAAUACAUAUGCAAAAACAGAUAAAAGAAAAAGAAAAUAAUUACAUCUGCGAACGAUAAGACAAAGCAUACAAAAUACCUCCAUAUCAAAUGAAAAUGGUUAAAGAAAUUUUUAGCCUCCAUUCAGUUAACCUUCAUUCAGUUUGCACUGAGAAUUUGUCAUCAAUAUUAGACAUAAAUAAUAACAAGACUCAGCUAGAUUUAAGGAAUGUUGCUAUAAUGAUACCCAACUUCUUUUAAGUUACAUCAUCCAAUGAUGGGGAAUAACAGUUGCAUCAUUAUCUACAACGAAAAAUAAAACGAGAGCUGUUUCUUUGCCUACAGACUUGAAACCAAACAAUUAAGUUACAAGACUAAAUAAUCAUAAUCAAUCUUACAGUUCAGCAGUUUAGUGCCAAAUUUACUCUUAGGUGGUGAAUCGAUGUAUCAUGAUAGAGUCAUUCUGCAUGGAUGUCAACAGUGAAGCGGGCACCCUAACUCCGUGGCAGCAGAAUCAAGGAAAGAGAGUGUUAAACCGGUUGCACGCCGGCUAUGUGCUUCCCAUUUUAAGCACUUGUCAAUAUCUGCUAGCCAGUUGGUGAAGCCCGUGGUUAAGCGGUAAGCAGGAUUAGCAGACGUGGUCGAGCUGCUGUGGAUGAUAUCACGAAGAAUUGCAGUGCUGAGGGCGCGAACAUGCGCGCUUGGGUGAGAAAGGCAACGGAUUGUAGCUGAUAGACGACACUGCAUUUUUCACAUUAGCUGUAAGGUUAGAGAUUUUAUUUCAAGGGUAAAAGAGUACAAACUGUGCCUGCAUAUCUUUAAUCUUACAGUAUGUUUUGAUAUCACAAAAUUCUGGCAAAUUUUGUUUAGUCUUAAUUGUUACCAUUGGGAGUUAUCCAAUGUAAUAGCAAAGAAAGUUAGUAGUACCAUUAAGCUAUGAUGAAACGGUGUACCCAUUUCAAAAUGGCUAAUAGAUCGGAUAACAUCUAUAUUUCUAUCUCAUUCUAUUUUACUUGUAAAUGUUAUACAAUCAAAGAAAUAAAAGUAGGUUAACAUGCCUUCAGAAGAUUUGAGAGGCCAUCAGCAACUGCCAAGCCCGUUUCUCCCCAUUGAACGACAAGAUGGACUGCUCUAGCUGUUACUUCCAGGAGCUGCUCAUUUUUGUAUAGAUGAAAACUCAGAAAUAAGAAAAAGCGGAGCAUGUAGUCAGCAAGCACAACAACUAAUUUAAAUGCUAAUAUGUAUGAUAUCAUUAGACAAAUCAGGAAAACACAUUUAAGAAAAUUAACAUAUUGUUAGACUUCCGACAACACAAAAUCCAUAGAAAAUGUUAGGGCUUAUUUGGCCUAGCUGGAGUUUUUGCAGAAAUAAUCGUUUUACUAGAGCUGUCAGUAAAAAGCACUAAAACUUACUUUUAUUUAGAAUUCGCAACAGCUUCCUACUAUGGCCAAAAGGGAAGCUUCAAAUAGACAUUUCUGCUUUUGGAGGCCAACUGACUCAUUCAACUUUCCGGACUAGUAAAAACUCCAUUAUUUUGGUAGCCAUCGUUGAUUUUGAAAGCUAGCAUUUGCUUUCUGAUGGAAAGAAUCUGGUCCAAAGGUUAGGCCAGAGGGCACCUAAUUCCUCUAAUCACGUUCACCCUCGUUUCUCUACUCAAUAUCGUCAUAUAUUUCUUGUUAACUAACUUGAAAAUUCAUACUAUUAAUGACUUCUUCAGUUAUGAAAACUGAAUAUUACCUCUAACUGGGGCAACGUGCAUGCUUCACCGUCAACAAGCAUUCCAUCUGUGGCACGUAGAAGAAGAUCUGAAGCGCUAGCAAGAAUGAUUAAAGUCUCAGGGCUAUCGUGAUUUCUCAGGAGUUCGACAAUCAACUUAACAAUUCUCUGGUUGACUCUCCACAUUCUCUGGCCCUGUUCACCGUCCCUUGCAAUCCAUGGCUGCAGAUCCUUUUCUGCCUGUCCAAGAAAAAAAUUUCCAGAAAAGUGACUGAAAAGAGUGAAGCAGAAAUAUGAUAGAAGUAGAUGCAAUUUCUGGUAAGGACUAAUGAGCUAAAAUGAAGUUUGGACCUGUAGGACAAUAGCAGUUGAGGCUUUCGUAGGUGAAGCAGAAACAACAUCGCAAAGAGCGUCCACCACCUACAGAUAAUGGUGAAAUUGUUUAAUAUGACCAAUUCUCAGAAAGCAAAGCAGAUCAAUGUUCCUUCCUAUAGUAUCACCAAUGGUGAAUAUAUUUUGCUUAUUGGAUUUGAGAAUAAAAUUGUAAAUAACAAGUUAUCAAUAUUUGUAAAAAUAAUGGCUAUGAUUUGCAACAAACAAUUCUAGGUACCCAUUUAGCUGGGCCAAAACGGGCUUUGCCCAAAAUGAAGGCGUUUGGCGGAGGCGGCAGAACGCAAUUUUUGGCGUUCCACACCCUCCGCUCUUUCUACCGUAGAAGCUCCAACAAUAGAGCUUCUACUAUAGAAACUUAGGGGUUAAUUUUCGAAGUUAAUUUUAGGGGCCAAAAUAAACUUUGGGACCAAAACAAAAAAACUUUGGGUUUAUUGUCAUGCUGGUCCUCAAUGUUUGUAAGUUUUUAUAUUUUGGUCCCCAAUUUAUUUUUUAGAAGUUAAUUUUGUUUGAUUUAAAAUUUAUGAAUUUUAAAUUUAAAUUUUAAAGUUAAAUUAUAUUUUGAAUUAAAUUUUAAAAAUUACAGUUACAUUUUAAUCCAAAUUUUAAAUUUAAAUUUGAUGGGUUCCAAUUUCAAAUUUAAAUUCUAAUUUUGAAGUUGAAUUUCAAAUUAAUUUGUAUUCAAAUUUUAAUUUUAAAAUUUAAUUUUGGAUUAGAAUUUUAAAUUUAAAUUCAAUUUUGAAAUUCAAAUUUAAAAGUAAAUGUGAAAUUCAAUUGCAAAUUUAAAACAGCUCCGCACUAUUUCCCACGGUACUUUUCCCGUAGCGCUAUUCUUCAUAGCUAGGCCAAGCAGAUCCUAGAUGAACUAAUGCACCGUAAGUUACUACCCUUUAGAUAGGGCAUAAAGAUUUAGUGUGCAAAACCAUGACCAUGUGCAUUAUCAUCUAGCCUCUCUCAGAUAACUGGAAAGAAUAUUAUCAAAGGUUCUGAAACCUAUCCAAUAGAUUGAGACAUGAAAAGUCAAGGAACGAGAUGAAGAUAAACUUUAAGUCAUUACAUAUAUGCUUCUACCUACAAAACUUAAAAAAAGAUUCGAGAUAAAACUGCAUAAUAACUAAAAACAAAAUAAUGAAUUGAGGAAGAACUAGAUUUUAGGAUGAUUGGAGCUAGAAAGCUGUAAUGGUGAAUUGUAAAAUCAUAGGAAAAAAAAAAAUCCAAAGGCAAGCCUUUCAGUUGACUGUAGUUUUAUGAGUAAGGAAAUGAGUAUACCUGUCUCCAGCCCUGAUGAGCGGACGUACUUUCCGCACUCAUCUGUGUUUCCGGUGCAACGAUCAGCUUAUGCCACAAUAGCGAAACAACAGAGAAGCACAGCUCCUGCUUCUCUGCAAGUACAGAUCUUAGAAAUGCUUGUGAACCACAUUUAUAUCCCACAUUCCGAUCCAUCGUAAGAAAAUUUGCCAAGUCUGAAGCAUCCACAGGCAAACUCCUGACACUUUUCUCCGAAGCACUAGCAAUAUCAUCAUUCGACAAAAGGGCUUGCUCGCAUUUCAAUAGUGGUCCAGAAGAGCCCUCCUUAGAUUGUGAGCUUGAAGAAGCUUCAUCUUGCUCAAGGAUAUCCAUUUUUCUGCUGCUCGUACACACCAAGUGCGCUUCGAGGGGCUCAGCCUUGUCAACUAUGGAGGCAACUGUUUUACCAUGAAUAUCAAUUAGGUGGUAAAGAGAUGAAGCCCUAGCAGAAAUUUCUGGGUCCCACCUGCACCGCAUCAGCACGGAGAGAGCAUUCAUGCAUGCCUUUGAUCGCCCAAAUAGUUCUGAUACAUGUGCUGCGACCAUAGCUGCAGCUACAAUCUCAUUUGAACUGUAACUCCACGAUGUACCAACCGAUGAUGGCUUUAAUGAAAAAAGGGCUUCCAAUAUUCCAAGUAUUCUACGAGUGUGACAUACUGCAGAAUUUAUACUGUUCUGCAACUCACUAUUAACACCAUUGUGUUUUGCAGCUUUGCUGAUUUUGGAGGAAUCUUUAGAAUCCAAACGGAUGCCAUUUUUGGAAAUCAAAGGAAACAGCUGAAGCUCACAGGCCAAGGCACAUACAGCAGCUAGAAUGUACGAAUCAAAUGUUGCAACCGGUCCAUGUUUUUUCUUGUUUUUCUGUUUUUCGGUUGUUUUUCCAUUGACAAUUUGUGGGUCCUCAUGGAUUUCAUUAGAAGAGUGCCUGUUGUAACCUGUCGGUCUUUUACUUCCACCUGGCGAAGCUUCGUGACUAACACAAACAGUUAAUACUACAAACAGUAACCGGGAGGCGAGUUCCAUAGAAGCACAAGAUUCCAUAAACAAAGAAUGAAUCAUAGUGUGAAGCUCAGCGACAGCUAGAUUCCUAGUUGUAGACCACAUACUGCCAUGAGAUCUUGAUUUUCUUGAUUGAUCAACAGAAGUUUCUGAAGGAAAAGUCCUCCUAAGUACAGCUUCAACUGUGGCCACAAAGAUCCUCAUAAGGCAUGCUUCAGACGGGCUUCCUCGAGGGAGAUAUUCCAAAACUUUUAGAAGAGGUAAAUAUAAGCUCCAUGAUAAAGUAGGAGGUUGUAAGGGGGCGGCGACUACAAUAUCUGGCAAAUCAACAGCUGAGGAACUCAGAGGCAGAAGCCCAUAAGCAGCUUCCCAGAUAGCACAAAUUCUCCACUCAACAUCUGGGCCAUGAGCACAUAACAUUGAAGCAAUUCCUUGUGCGGUUGCCUCAAUAGUGGCUUCAGAAGCAGGAGCUUCUAACUGUUCAAGAUAUUAUCAUUAGCCAUAGGAAAUAGUAAUCAUGAAGAAGUGAAGAUGAAGAUAGUGUUGAUUCCAAGCUCUGUUAACUUACCUGUUUUUUGUAUGAUGAUAUAUAGCCACCUAAUGGUUCAUGAUGGACUUCAACUCCUUCAGCAUGUCUUAAUGGAGGAAAAAGUAAUGUAGGCUGUGACAGUAUACGGAAAAGUAAAGCAGCUGCUGCAUCUGCAGCAAUACCAGCUCUCAUGGACAUUGCAGUGCCAAUUGCACGCAAAAAAUGUAAAUGCAUCCAAUUUCUUGGGAGCUAGAAAAGAAAUAAAGAAUGUCAGGAUCUACAUAAAUUUUAAUUUGUUCAAUAACAUUUUUGAUAAGCAAAGAGAUAUAAUUUGUGACACAAUAAAAGAGUAAAGGCAUCUGCCAAUAUUUUGUGUAAACCAGAUUUUACAAAGGUACUGUUCACAAGUUGUACCUUCUGAGAGUAACAGAUAUCCUAGAAACUGUGUGAUGCAAUUUAGAACAGUUUAUUUCCACAUUUAUUUUUGAUGAAACAAAUGACAAAUAAAAAUGAUAUUAGAACAAGCACUAUAACAAUAUCUUUUCACAUAUCUGCUAUCUAUUGAAAAAUGCUUCCUACCCUCAUUCCCGUUGCGUAAUCCUCAGCUGCUCUAAGGAGUUCAACAAGUUGCACGGCAGCAUCAAGUGCAUCCGGAGCCCAUGAUGGUGGUGCUUCAAGAAGUCCAAGUAGAAGCCGUAGUGUUGCACUUGGAGUGGCAAUUGCAUAGUACCUGAAACAGAGGACACCUCUCACAAUAUAUCAUUGGGGUUUUCUUACAUAUAUACCCCUGCAAAAUCAUCUAUUACAUAUAUAUACCCCCAAAAAUCUUAAUUUUCAUACAAACCUCUUGAAAGUGCUUUUUUUUGCUGAAGUACUAUUAUUUCAGAUUGGUGACUUGUCAAAUUCAAUCAGGAAAGUUAGCUUUGCAUUAAAGACUUUUGCAGAGGUACAAGGGUUUUCUGACAAUCAAGUUCUUGAAUGGCAUAUGUGAAAUUUCAGAUUGUCAAUGAAUAUAUAUAUAUAUAUAUAUAUAUAGAGAGAGAGAGAGAGAGAGAGAGAGAGAGAGAGAGAGAAUUGAGCUCGAAUACAUCUAGAAACCUAUAUUAUUCACAUACUUCUAACUUCUCAACCCUUGGAUCUAUAUACUAGUACCACCACAAAAUAGUAAAUCCUAGGCAUCCAAGGGAUAAAAAGUUUGGUAGUGAGUGAAUAGUAAAUGGUUCUAAAAUAGCACACACACACACACACACACUUAUGUUCUUUACUUCAGUGCAGGCCUUAUCGGCCAUUCACCUUGCUAACCUACUUUGUUCAUCCUUCGAAGCGUUAAGCUUAACCUCUCAAGUUCUUCAAUGUGAAUGGAUCAUCCCAAAUUCUAUGAGGUAGUUUCAAAGGCAUGGAACCAAUCCUUCUCUAGCGCCUUAUUUUGUUUUGACUUGGAGAUACACAGAUCAUAUAGUCCACCUACAAUGCUUCUCAUAGGACAUGAAUAGUGCAUGCUAUCAACAUUUUAGCCAUUGGAUUCACAAUAUACCACCACCAAAUAGUAAACCCUAGGCAUCCAAGGAUUAAAAAAUUGGUAGCAAGAAUUAUUCAUGUGCUAUUAGGAGCGUUCUAGCCAUAUAUAUAUAUAUAUAACAAAAAAAAUUGGCAGGGAAAUUAGGAAAACAUUCCUAUAUCAAUAUUAUUGUGUGGAAAAAUUUUUAGGUACUUGUCUAUUAGUACAGUACCUGACAAGAAAGGCAGCCAUAUGCACAGAAUCAAGUAUUUUACAUAUAUAUAUAUAUAUCCAUCAUUAUUGACAGAUGUAUCCCUGCAAAAUCUAAAUUUUGAUAUAUAUACACCUAGAAAAGUGCAGCUUCUUACAAAAGCAACUUAAAGUUAGGAGUCAUUCAAUUUAUCGGGGAAGUUAAAGCUUUGUAUCAGAAGGCAUUCAAGAGAGGUAUUUAUUGUAGGUACAAGGGUAUGUAUGUGAGAACUAAAUUUCCAAUAGGAAAAUAUGAAAUUCAGAUUUUACAGGGAUAGUAUGUAUAUAGAUAAUUCUACAGGUAUGUAUAUGUAAACAUCUCAAAAUAAAAUUAUAUGUAAAUAUCUCAAAAAUUAUACUUAAGUGCCAGUUAUAGGUAUUCCUAUAAUCACCUGUGAAACAAGCGUGCAUAUGGUUCAAGAGCGGGCAACCCAGCUACUAGAUGCUCGUCUAAGGAAGUUGUGGGGGGAGGAAGCAGAAGUGCAGGAACAGCAGCUGCGGUCAAAUUUGCAGUUUCAUAACGAGCUACUUCCUCAUCACAGACGCUAAGUAUGACUCCAGCUCCAUUGGCGACAGCCCAUCUUGGAGUGGAUGGCAUAAGCUGGGGAUGCUUUCCAGAUCCACGGCUACAAGCUAGCGUUAAAACAGAAUUUAUCAGGAACUAAGGGUUUUUAAUACCCGAUUAUACAUAUGUUAAGACAUUAAUAGAUGGUAGAAAAAGCAGUCAAAGAUUAUGAGCCAAUAGCUUCUGAAAUCUUUUCAAGAUUUUGGUAUCCUGAGAAAAGUAAUUUUAAUAUGAAAAAGUACAGCUAUUUACAUAUAGAGAACGGGAAUAAAAUUGUAGAAAAAAACAAAAUAACAAAGUACCGUGAGUAUGAAACUAAUUGUCUUGAGAAGAAAAGGAAUGGUUAGAUACUGACAGGAAAAAGGAAAAAGUUCUUCUAAAGCUUGCUCUUGUAGAAAUAUAAAACAGCUUUUAAACAUCCAUUCCAAGAAAAUCCUCAUAUGCAUGUGAGCCAAUAGGAAAAAUAUUAGACAUUGCAACAUGAAGACAAAAAUUAGCACCUUCAAUAUGUCAAAAGCAAAAGGAUGGUGUAUAGCAUACAUAUAUUCAAAAGAGAAGUCCCAAGUCCUAACCCUAGAAAAGAAGAGUUCAGAUAAUUGCAACUUGAUGUGUUAAAGAUGUUAACAGUUUCUUUCACUAACCAGUGGUUGGGGGCUUUAAUUCUCCACCACCUGCAUAUUUUCCCAUGACACCGCCACACCUGAUUAAGAAUGUAAAUCAUAAUUAUGGAACCAUAUUAACCUCCAUUUGUAGGAAUUAUUCUGAGACACAGUGAUGCAAUGACAAAUAACUAAAAAAGAUUUUCUCUACGCAGUAACUACUGCUGAGAAUAAUAGACCUAUAAAUUUGCACUACUAGUUUCUGCACAUCCUGUAGGAACUUAAUACAAAUUUACAUAAAGAAUCCAGAGUGACCAAGCAUUUAUAAAGACAAAUGAUGAAAGAAAAAAAAAAUCGUUUAUAGAGAAUCAACAGAAAGAACAGGCUCAUGUUUUCAUUAAAGAAUACAACAAAGUAAGAAACAGCAAAUAGAGUUGGUCCAGAUAUAUAUGUGUAAAUGGGCAUGCAAACAUACACAAAUAUAAUAAACAUGUACAAAUGAAGAGUGAUCAAGCAUUUAUUUUUAUAUUAACUGUUAAUAUACUACCAUGUUCAUCACAGGAGAAAAAGAAAAAAUAUAUUGCCGGUCACAAACAUGCUCCCCAUGUAUCUUUGAUUAUUACUGGGAUCAAUAUAUAUAUAUAACCAAAUAUGACCAAACAGCACAGAGAAUAGUAUUGCUCACAUACCAUCGAAAAUAGUCACUCCGAAUGCCCAAUGGAGCAGCAAGCAGUAAAUCAGUGAUCCAAGGAGAUAACAGUCGCAAUGGCUUCCGUUCAUGUUCAUUUAGAAGAGGAUGCCGAAUAUUUUUCUCCUUUGAGCCACUUGUAGUGGCAUAAUCACCACUGCUACUCCUCUCUAUGUCAUUCUGCUGAUGCUCAACCUUAUAGAUUGGCCGAUUGUAGUGUGUCAGUACCCUUAGUACUUCUCCACAUGCCAAAGCCCAUUGUUCUGAAUAUUCUUUCUGCAAUACCAAGCAUCAAUUAUGAGUUUCUGUAACAAGCGGUUGAGAUUAGUAAAACAGUCCACCUAGACGGCGGUAACUAGUGCAUUCUUUAGAGCUUCCUACCUCAUUAGUUCGGCUGAGAAGAGAUAUGAAAGAGCUGAAUGGAGGAUCAUUUUUAUUAUAAGAUAAUGUCCCAUCUAUUAUACGUGAAAGAAUCGGAUGGACAACAGCAUGACCGUGCUCUGGAUGAUGAAGAACAAAUAUUGCUGGAUAUAAAGUAAUUAACAAACGUCAGAAAACUCUUUUCACACAAAACAAAAGGAUCAGAGUUAAUUUUGGAGUUCAGGUAAUUGACAAUGCUUCUAUUGGCCAGAGCAAGACUUAAUUACCCAACACUUCAUCCACUAAGCGCCUUUCUUUAGAUGGAUAACAAAUUUCGAUCAGCUGCACAAAGAAAUUCAAGCAGGUUAGAAUACAUCAUUAAGUCUUUGCCUUCGAAUUUAUGCACUUUUAUACUGCCUAUGCUACAGUACAAUAAAAUACUUGUUAAUCUAGUUCUAAUAUAAGUUCUCUUUGCAAUAAGUGCUUUAACACAUUAAAUCUAAUCACAGCCAUCCAUAAAGGAAAAAGAAGGCUAUACCUGAGCUAUAUCUUCUGGAAAUUGCUCUGAGGUGAACUGACCAAAGUAUUCAACAUAGGCCAUAAUUUGUGCCUUCAAAAGAACAGUAAAAAGCGUAUUAGUCAUAUAAGAAACUAUUGAAUCUUCUCAAGCCGAUAUGAUAGAUAGAUCGGUGUUUGUCAAGUAAAGUGUUUGAUGAUCCUGAGAGGUUAAACUGAGUUUACUUUUGCAGAAUCAUAAUUUAGAUCGAACAGGAAAAAGAGAAAAGUGAAUCACCUUUUCUUCCGUUAUAUUAUGUUUAUUGUUAACAACUAACGUAUCAUACAAUACAGAAUACUUCUAAAUAACAGACUUUCUGCUUGGUUUAGGAUCAUAAAACAAAUUACAUAAUGGAGAACCUAUUACUUCUGUUGAGAACCUAUUGAGAUAAUAAUACCGCACAAUUAAUUAAUUGGCAUAAUGGUAGAAUAAUCUUCGAUACUAGAAGAUCAAUUUCUCAAGCAUCGGAGUUUUUAAUGUUUACACAGUGAAAUGAAAGAAAAAGUAUAGGAAUUUUACUAGAUAAACAAAGCUGUUUUUCUCAAAGAAACACCUGACUAACAAAUCCUAGCAAGAAAAGAAAAAACAAGUUCAUUUAUGUGAAUCCAAUAUCUUACUAUCUACCCAAAUAUUUUACACACUUGGAAUAGUAAAAUGUAUCUGGUGUAAAAGGAUUAAAAAAGGAAAUGCCAAAAAGCUAGAAAAAAAAUUGAACAAUGGGAAUUAAAUAUAUAGAUCUCCCUCCUUACCUGCCUCUGUAGCUCAUCUUGUGGUGGUGGCCAGAAGAGAGAUGAAAAUUGUAGCCCAUCAAUCCACUUCUCACAUGACGCAGACAUACUAAGCCCCUCUGAGAAUCCUCCCUAACAGCUAAAGGAGCAAGCCAAGCAGCAGCGUCUAUAUUACAAUUAACAAUCAAAGCACCUGUUUUCUUAAGACAAAAAUAAAAAAAUCACAGCACCCUACUAACACAGCACCCAAACAGCUCUUUGUAAUUUAUAGCACUUCUAUAACAUGAUUAGCCAAACACUUUAAAGCUUUUUUCAACAGCACAACAUCGCAUCUUACAGCACCUCUCCAAUAGCCCAACCAAUAGCUAGACCAAACAGGCUCUAUGUCCUAUUCUCUGUAGCACAUAUAUACCUGACACCAAUCCCAGCUCGUCAAAUUAACAAUUCUCAGCAAACCCAACUCUCUCCAAAUCCAAUGAAUUAUCUCAACAUCUUCUUCAUUAACCCCCCAUGGGGGGGGUUCAAAUCGCAUGCUGAGGAUAAUCUCAAUUAAUCCCACCCAUAGCAAUCUCCAAAUCUCUGCAUCAAAACACAGAACUGGGAGGAGAAAUAAUGGAAAAGGGGAACAACAACAGAAUUCUUCUCCUCUCCGAAUUACCAAAUUAUACUCAAGAGAGAUCGAGAAACAGAGAGCUCCAUUCUCUACUGAAAACUGCAAGGAAAUUCCAAAAAAAGCCAAAAACUACUGCGAAAUCCAAAUAAAUCAAAAUAACAAUCCAACGAGGUAUCGAGAAUUAGAACAAAUUAUAGAAAUAAGCAAGAGAAAUAUCUACAUCUAUAUCGGGAAACAGAGAUUCUCUAAGAAAAAAAUCCAAACAAAACGAAAAAGUGACGAAAAUUACUGCAAAGUCCAGCUAAAUUAGAAUGCUAUCCAAGGAGGUAUCACAAAUCACAAAUUAGAACAAAUUACCAAAAAUAAGAAGAAUGAUAUCACUACAUCGAUAUCGAGAAACAGAGAGCUCCAUUAUCGAGGAAAAAAAAUCCAAAAAUAUCCAAAAAAAAUCCAAAAUAGCCAGAAAAUCCAGCUAAAUCAGAGUAAACUAUCCAACGAGGCAUCAAAAAUCAGCAAAAAUUACAGAAAAAUAAGCAGAACGAUAUGAUUACCUCGAUCGAUCGUUCAAGGUGGAAAGUAGGGUUUUCAGAGCUCCGCGUCGUAGGAGGAUGGAGAAGCGAGGGGUAGAGCGAGAGAUAGAAGGGGAGGAGAGAGAGAGAGAGAAUAGAUUUUUUAGGAGCGAGAGGGUUUUAUUUUUGGGUGGAGAGCGAACGAGAUACUUCGCCGAUCCGGGGGGUCCUCGUUUGGAGGCUAUGCUUCGCCCUCCUGAUCACCCCCCUGCUGACGUGGCACUGAUAUUUUCGCGAUGGGGGUCUAUGGCCAUGCCAUGCCCUCAUCAUGCAUGCAUGAGUCAAUGGCCCCAUCCAUCCCUUGUCCAUGUAGAUGUCUCGACGUGGCAAAAUGACCGAAACGGACUCGGGCCGUUGGAUGGAGGGGAACGUUGGUGAUCGGACGGUGAGGAUGGUUUUGGGGUGGGCUGGGUGACGUGUUCCAUGUCGAUACGCAUCCGUUGGCAAGUGGGACAAGUGGACGGUCGGAAAGGAAGGUAGUGGAUCGACCGUGCAAAGUGGUGGGCCCGUGUGUUGUAGUAAAAUUUACAUGAUGCACCGGUUAUAUUAAUUAUGUAGCGCUCUCAAUCAAUUAAAUAAUUUUUUAAAAAUUUAUUUAUUUAUCAAUAAUUAUAAAAAAUAUUUUUAUUAUAUUUUUUAAAAAAUAAAAAAAUAUGAGUGACUUAUUAUUAAUGAUAUGACGUAAGUAUAACAUGCUAGAUUUUCUCGUGUUGUACACUCAUCCGAACACCAUUUGUGGAAUCGUAGUUGAUUAUAUUUUGCUUGAGUGGAACUUUCUAGAAUGCUGUCAAAAUGAACUGUUAAUUAAGAUAGAUUUGUGAGAGGAUUUUUUAGUCUUUCGAUUUUUUUCUUCUUUUUUCUCUUGGGCUCAGACAAGAUUUAUACAAGAGUGAUCCAAUUUUUUUUUUCUCUGUAGUUACACAGUAACUUUUUUCAUGUUGAAAUUUCAGUUUAUAAGAAUACUCAAAAUCUUCCUUGCAAAAGUUUAAACAUUUCACAAAUUUUUUUUUUUUAGUCCUCAAAAUUCGAAGCCGUUUAUGUAACCAUCACAAAGAGAGUAGAAGUUUCUCAAUGACCAUAUUAUCUUAAUGAUUGUUAUUUGUUCUAAGAAGUUAGAAGUUCAUCUUUAUUCAUAAGUAUUUUUAUUUUUUAAGUAGAGUUUAAUUUUUUAGCUCCGUUGUAUUUCUUGCCCUCCCACACUGUAAACUGUGAAGGGUCCAAAUGCAAUUUUAAAAAGGGUUAUAAAAAUUAAGGACAUGUUUGGUUCACCUAUUUUAGACUAUGGAAUUAGAAUGAAAUUCAUUAAUUCUAAUAGUUGCCGUUUGUUUUAUAAGAAUCGAAUUUCGAUUUCCAUUCCACUCCGGAAUGUGAAUGACCAAAUUCAUUUAUGAUCUAAUCCGGCUUUAAAUCCCGGAUUGACUCAUUCCAAAGUAAACUAUUCAAAAUCCUCUUUUAUCAACACCUACCUUCUCUUCCUUCAUUACUUUUCUCUCUUUUAAUCAAAACUCUUUUUAAAUUUUCAUUCCGAUUUUCAUUCCAAUAAUAAACCAAACAUUUUUGGAUGAUUCGUCAUUCCAUUUCUCAUUCCUAUUCCAAUCAUAAACAAAAAAAUGCCUUAAAAAUAAUUAUUAAUAAUAAUAAUAAUAAUAAAAGACCCUCCACUUACCCUCGCUUGUGGGCUCAAUUCCAUUCCCGGGUCGACACGUACCGAAUAAUUGUCUCGAACGGAUGCACAAUUUCGAUCCUAGUACACUCGGCCUAAUUACCAUCGAGAUAAUCAUACAUCCGACGGCUACGAAUCCUCCACGUCGCCAAAACGUGCGGCGUAAGAGCACACGUAGAAAAAGCCGGGACCACCAAGUAAAAGGAAUAUAAAAAAUUCAGAAACCGGGCAGCUGCCCUGGCCAACUCGGGCAGCCACGUGGUGCAGAUCCAGUGGCUCGGGCGGCGCGGGCAGGAGAAUGGAGGGUGCGCAUCAGGUGGGGACUGACACAGAGGCAACGUAGAGAUAAACGCAAAAUUUAACAGAGACGCCCCUCUCUUAUAGGCUAUUUAGAAAUCUCCCCCUUCAACUUUAUUAAUUUUUAUUAAUAUUUUUUUCUUUUUCUUUUCAGAGUUAAAUAUUUUAAUUAGUUUAUUAAUUAAGAUUUUACUAUAUUAAUUGAUAAUUUUAUUAAAUUUAAUAAUUUUUGUUAUUAUUCAGCAAACAAAAUUAUUGUUAUAUAAGAAACUUUCAAAGAGAUUAAAAGAUUUGAAUCUUUGUUAGUCUUUUUUUUAAAAAAAAAAGAGUUUAUGAGCUAAAAGAAUAAUUAAAUUUAAUAAAAAAUUCUAUUUUACAUAACAGAGCAACAAAAUUAGAAUAAGUUACAGUGUUCGAAGGUGUUAAUGAAAAAAACAAAACUAAAGUUGAGGACCAAUUUCAAAAUAGCCAACUUGAGGGGGUGCCGGGUACAAUUUCAAGAGGAAAUUAAGGUGGAGUGGGGAAAUUACGAAAAUGACACGCGGGACGCGGACGGGGUAAGCGGAGCCAAUGGAGGUUUAGCAAAGGAUAUUAUAUGUGCCCGUGAUAUUCGCCCCUCCAAUCUCGCGUACGUGGCGCAAUGUGGUGCGAGUAAUAUAUCUCGCACUAGCGGUCGAGAUAGGUCCAGAACCCGGCGUGGUGGGCCCCAGCGACCAAAGGGGGAUCAUGAUGGGUGGAUGGUGAAUGGGGUUAAUGGGAUGGGCAUCGCAUGUCAUGUAUGCUCGUUGGGACCACGAACCAUCCGACGAAUUGGACCGGUUUGUUUUCGUAAUUACGAAACUGCCCUCAAAGACCGUUUGGUGGAUCUGCGCGUUAGACAUGGAAACGGAUCGGGUACUAAUUAACCGUUUUCAUUUCUUGUGUAAUAAUAAGGGAAUGGAGGCAAAAUGCUAUUUACAAAUUGGGUUAGAUACAAAAAUAUAUGUAUAAAACUAAUAAUUCAUGCGGAGAGAACGUUUGGUGUAGCUUCGCAUUAACCGUAUAUAAAAAUACUAUACUACAUAGUGGUGCAAAAAGUUUUUCUUAUUUAGCUACCGAGAAUUCGAGACCUGCUUAAAUCUAUUUUUAUAAGCCCGUUAAAAAAUCAAAAUUGAUAACGAAAUGACUUACUUCUGUGAUUAGAUAUUAUAUCAAAGAAUAAAAGCAGUACUAAAGGGAUUUUUUAUCCUUGUUUUUGACACGACAACCUUAUUUGUAACAAAUUAAAUAUCAAUUAUUAUAGGUGUAACUUAACUUCUAUAUUUCAAACAAAAAGAUUAUUAAAAAAAUUAGGGCAUAACAUCUUAGCACCGUGCGGUUUUAUUUGUCACGUCAAUCAAUUCCAUAUUUUCAUUUAAAUAAGGGUAAACUUUAAAUACCACCUUUGUGGUUUCGCACUUUCUUACUUUUAUACCGUAUGGUUUAAAGUGUAUCAACUUAGUAUUCAAUGAUUUUAUUUUUCUCUUUUCGUCAGUACAUCUGUUAGCUUUUCGUUAAAUUAUAUAUAAAAAUUUUCAGAUUCCUUGUCUAUAGUUUAUCAAAUAUUCACUUUAGUACCCUUUAGUUUUAACUUUGUUACUGAUUUAACGAAAAAAAAUUAAUGAAGGGGAUAAAACAAAUGAAAAAUUAAAUCAUAGGAUACGAAAGUGAUACGCUUUAAAUCACAAAGUACUAAAGUAAAAAAGUGUCAAACCACAUAGGUGGUAUUUGAAAUUUUUCUUUUCAAUAAUGAUAAUAAUUAGAAGUCAAAGGCUUGAAAGUAAAUAUCACCGGCCACUAAACGGGAAAACGUAAGCUAGUGCGAUAAAGUCGGUGCUUGCUAUUUUAUUCGUCGGUUCGCAUUAUUAGUGUUUUAGCACAACCUAAAUUAAACACUCAAUGGUGGAUAUAAUUUUGUUUAAAGUUUAUUAUGCCUAAUUGGUGGUAAUUAUUACUAAUACUUUAAUUUUGGACUCAUUCUAGAAAAAUUAAUCCACGUUACAAAGUCAUAAGAGUGUUAAGGCUCUAUUUGGACUGAAAAUUUUAAACAAAAUAAAGUUUAAAUUGUAAAUUAAUUGUUAAAUACAGUUAUAGAACUUCAUAAAACAACAAAAUGAACGGUGAUGAUUAUAUUCGGUAGAACAUAUUACUAAUUUUGUUAUUACUAAUAUCACUCGCAAUGUUGAUAUUUUUGAUAAAAAAUGUUCUACGUCUUAUAUUUAAUUUGAAUUUAUUAUAUUGACGUAACUUUGGGGGCAUAUUUUGGUCGGUCCACCUGUUACAAUUCCGUUAACUUCACACGCUGUAGCCGUUGGAACGUAGUGGACUGAUGAGGCAAAAUAUCCCACCAAACAACUAACAAAAAUUAACUUUAAAAAUAAGUUAACACAACGCCAAGCCCAGUAACGCUUUCUUUUUAACAAGUUUGGGAUUUGAAUAGAUUAUAUUAAUUAGGUAGAAACAUAUAGAAUUUAUCUGAACUAUUAGGUAUUUUAAGUUGGUUGUCCAAUAUUUUACGAUUUUGAUUUUGCUAUUCGACUUUUUAAUUUAUUUGAUUUGAGUAUGUCAGCAGUAUUUUAACAUCAAAAUUUUAAUAUGUCGUUAUCUUUAUAGAUUUAAUUAGUAUCCUUUAAAAAAAUAUCACAGCUAUAAAUUAAUUAAAAUAAAUAAUUAGUUUGACGAUUGACUUAAAUUAAAUAAAUUGAAAGAUUGACAGUAAAAUAUAAAAUUCGAUAAUCUGGGUAGCAAUUCAAAGUGGUUCAUGGUUCAAAUAAGUUUUGUAUUUUUUUUUACCUACUAAUUAUCAACCAUGCAGCCACGAAUUUGAUCCAAAUUAUCAAAUUUGGAUCCUAAGAAUCUUUUUAAUUUACCCCAAAUUUCUAUAUUAAACUGAGCUAUCUGGGGGGAAAAAAAAACCUUAACCUCCCAAAAAAGAUUAGCAUCAACUACAAGAAACAAAUUGAAUUUUUUUUGCCUUUGGAGUUAAAAGAGGUCAUUUCGACUCUCAUUUUAGUUAGACGCUUCCGAACUUUUAUUUACUAAAUGCCUAAUUUUUCUUUUUGAAUAGAGAGAUUAAAGAAAAAUUGUCGCAAAAAAACCACCAAAUUAAGCCCUUGUCAUCGAAAAAUAGUCAACAAAACUUGGCAAAACAUUCAGAAAAAAAAGAAGCAUAAUUAAGAGUGAUAAAAGUUAAACCUUUUUGAGAUAAAUUAAUCAAUUUGAAAUCAAGGAGAAAAAUAUUUGAGUACAUGGAAUUGGUCAUGAAGCAUCUUUAUCCAUACUUUUGCGCUUUUUUUUGCACAUGGACCUCUGUAUAGAUAGGAACACAAAAAUGUGAGGCAAAAAUUAGGCGUGCCCUGUUAAAAUUGGAACCCAAACAGGUACUAUCUCUUGUAGUGUUAUGCAUCUUGCUCGAGCACGUUGGCACUAACUGGUUUAAUCUUAGCUUAGCAACCGAGGUUUAGCCUAAAAUUACCUUAACAUAAGCAUUAGGUACGUGGCCUAACUCAAUUAAUCCAAAUAGGAUAUUGCAAAACGCAUUUUGAGUUUUAGAGCUUGUUGGGAUCACUUAUGCAGUUCUUUAGAUUGUAUGGGAAGUGCUUGCGAAUUGCUUCAGAUUAGAAAAAUAAUGAACAUCACAAUUCAAAUAUUGAUGCUUGUUACGACGAGCGCAUAAAUAGAAAUGAAAAACGGAUGACCGCAAAGUAAACAAACCAUAUAACAGUAAAUAAAAUGGAACGUAAGGAUUUACAUAUGUUGAAAAUUUAGCUUUUGGUGAAAACAAAUUACAGACGAAAAAGGAGGGAACUUCACUAUAAAAAAUGGAGCAUAAUGUUGUGCAAGUGCAAAUCGAUGUAACACUUUUAGAGCAAAAGGAAUAAAGAAGUUUCUUAACGGAUAUCCUAUCGGUCCGAAUGCUCUGGUUCCCAUCACAGAUCUUCACUCUUCGCUUUUCAAAUUUUUUCGCACCGCGGAGCUUUUAGUGAAUCAAAGUCACAAAAUUGAAACUAAUAAUCAAAUUUCGAGGCAAAUCUAAUAAUACUUUUACGAGAAUGUACUUUUUCGCCCUUAGUCUUAUAAUGAAUAUUAUCUUAAAAGAAUGUUUUUCCUUCUCUUACAUUAAGACAUAACAGGGCAGAAAAAAAAAAAAGAAAAAGAAAAUAGUAGUAUACAUAGAGGGAAGAUAUUUUCUCUCUCAGGGAUUUCUCCUAAGACAUAUAGUUGGUCGUGAUCAAGACAACUUGCAAAAGUUAGGCACUCGGUACUUUUUGUUGUGAGAGAUACUUUUAUUUACGAAUGAACAUAAAAAAAUGGCAUGCUUUCUCUCUCGGGAUCACAUCUUUUCUCUUACCACAAAUGGCAUAUAAUUAUGGUGAACCUUUUCGAAGAAAAAAAAAAAGAAAAAGAGCACCAUAUACAGGUGAGUCUCAUGCUCUCCUACGACAAUCCAAUUUGGCGCAUUUAGAUCUUGUAUUUCAAUGCCGCGAAUAUUUAGAAAUGUCAUCGAUCAUAUGUUGAUUAUCUGAGUUUUUUAACAAAGAUAGCCCAAAAAUUAACCAGAGAUAAUUAAGGAUCCAAAUGAAAAGAGAAGUAUCAAGCAGUUGAUCAAAGAGGCACCAAAUUGGCUCUUCUACGUGAAUUAUUAUUAUAGACAAUCUAUUUGGAUUCAUUUGACCCGAUACCCAAAAAUUAUUACACCAUGUUCACAUGCAUGGUCACACACCAAUAAAAAAAAUUAUAACAUGUUGAAGCUUAACUCAUUAAAUAGAUAUUGGCUUAGGAUCUAAUCCCUAUAUGCCUUUUCUCCAAAAUAUAUAUUUAUAUUGGUUUUACGAAAUAGAAUCUAUUAAUUUUUUAAGUAUCAUGUUAUUCAAAACAACAAGAAGAGUCAACUCACAGAAAUGAAAAAUCAAUAGGGUAGAAUGACUAGCACCAAGAAAUAAAAAUAAAAGGAAAAAGAAAAAGGGAACAGAUUUUUUUUGACAUGGGCAUUUAGAUAUUUUCCUAUUAACGUAAUUGAUUUGGACUAUCUUGUAGUUGAUGGAUCACUCCUCACUUGUCUGUCUAUAUAUAUAGGUAUAUCCGUUAGUUGCAUGAGACAUGCGAGAGAGGAGGUAAUUAAAUAUGCAUCAUGGGUUUAAUAUCAAAUAAGAAACUGUAGAUAUAAAGCCAACAAUUUCUGCAACUUAUGCAUCUGUAUUUCUGAAUCUGCGGUAGAAAUAAAUGGGUUGAUGUAGGGAUUUGUUUGGCACGAUUUGAACUUUUGCAGUAAGUGGAAGUAGUCUCGCACGGGCGCGUGCGCUAGAUUUACUGAACGGACAAAAUUUUUUCUGUCUAUCCAAAACGUCACAAUCUGUACAAUUCAAAGCAUUCCAAAUAAAAAUAAAAUUCAUCCUAUAUGUUUUCACAUAUCUGUUGUUCUUAUCCAAUAGUAAUUAAUUCUUUAGUAACAUAUGAUUCAUACGGGCAUAUUUGCCACAUGUAACCUAUCAUUAUAUAUAUGAAUCAAUAAAUAAUACCAUAUUUUACUCUUUGACAUGGAAGUGGCCUGAUCAUUUCGGUGGCCUGAUCAUUUCUGCCAAUUUUCUUGGAUUUCCAAAUUUGCUUCCAAACUUUUCUUAUCUUAUACGAGAGAUCCAUUCGUUAUGCUAUUUGAAAAAACAUGUUUUAAAAGUUUAAUAAUUCUUUAUUUUAGUUAGAAACAUAAGUUUUAAAUUAGAGUUCGCUACUUUUAGAAUUAUAUUUUUAAGUCUGUUCUGACCUUUGUUCUAAUUUAUUGAUGCAUAUAUAUAAACUCGAGAAGAGUUCAUCAUGGUUAAAUCGUUGUAUUUGGAUUUACUAUAGUUGGACUAAUAAUAGCAAAUCGAAGCUACAAAUUAGGAUCAGUGAAAUUCAUCUUAAAUUUUGGAAAGCAAUUCACUAGGAAACCCACCCCCCCCCGCCCCCAAAAAAAGAGAGGAAAUUUACUCUCUUGAAUCUACAAUGAGCAAAUGUUCCAGCCCACGGGAUAGACUUUCGUUGGGCUAAGUUCUUGGGCCAGAUCUUUAAUAUAUUGAUUCUGACACGGCCCAUCAAGGCCAUAAUGCAGGGGACCACCUUCAUAAACAAAAGUUUAUUGAUUUUUCUUUUAUAUGGCGAUUAAAAAGUAUAAAAAGUUUCGGUUUAGUAGGAUAAAGUAUAAAAAUUUUCUUCUAUGUUGGAGGUAUUUUGUUUUUACUUAAAAAGCUGUUAGUGUUUGAUUGCUUUAUUUCUACACACUGUCCGAAUGACAGGGCAAAGCAGGGCCAUCAUUCCUCAAAUAAGAGACCACAAUAACAAAGCAAAAGCAGGUGCAUGUGAAAAGCAAAGCAAACUAAUCAACGCGACACUGAUAACAUUAAUUGAUGAGCAAUCGACCAUCCAUGGACCAUACAUAACCCUUUUGCACAUACUCAUAUGUUCUUCAAAGAAAGUGAUCAUCCAACCAUAUGUACCGGUCCAAACUUUCCUUUAACUCACAAAGGGUCCCAAUUACUAACAACAACAAAGAUCUUUUUUAUUCUCAAACUAUGGAACCCUAACAAAUAGUAACAUUACAAGUUACCAAGAUUAUGUAGAUGAUACAUAAAUAUAUAUCAAAUAUUGACCUACCAAAAGAAGCUAACUUGAGAUGCAGCUUGGGCCUGAUCAACGUCCUCGUGGGACGGGGAAUGCACGUGCCGCCCUUCGUACGUCGUGAUCACCAUUCGCGGGUCAUCCGCCGACCUCUCCACCCUCUUCUUCACCCGGCAGUUGUCCUGCGAGCACCGGUAAUAGCUCCUACGUGCAUAACGCACAAUAAACAAGUUUGUUCUCUCUCUCAAUCAUCAAAAGCUUUUCAAUUAUAGAUAAAGAUGACAAUAGUAAUCACAUGACACACAUAAUUAAUCUCGGGCCCGGUCGUCGCGCUUUUUAUCAUCAUGUAACAGCGAGAUUCGCGGCGUUUUAACUUAACAAAGGCCAUGAUCAAGUUCAUUAGUAGAAAUAUAUAUUUAUAUAUAUAUAUAUAUACACACUCAUGUUCAAAUAAUAACAGUGCAUAUAUGGGCCACAGAGGUGGUAGAAAGAAUGAUUGCAAUGCACAUAUAAUUCAGCUUCUUUUUCAUCUAUGGAUAGUGGGUGAGGCAGAGGAGGGGCUCAGUGGAAUCAUGAUGGAGUAGCAGUAGAGAGCUCAUCAGAUAGGACUCCUUGUCGGAUCAAUGUCCCUUGCAUAUAUGAUGCUUAGUACAUAGAUCUCGUGGAUAUAUAGUUAUUACCUUCAUGCACAUUAAUAUCUAACUCUAUUACUAUACAUGUUCAUGGACAAAUUAAGAGUAUGCAUGAACUUAAGCAUGUUAAUUGAUUAUCCGUAUUAUUUGUAAACAACAGUACAUGACAAUAUAUAUCCAAUUUGUUCUUCUACACAUUUCUAAACUAAGUUAUCAACCCAUAAAAACUGAACCUGCCAAUGUUAUUCAUUGGGAACAAACUAGCUUGUUUUGUUGAACUGCAAAACACUGAGCAGUUUCUUGAGAAAUACACUCAGGACCUAUUUGGCUCAGGGACAUUUUAUUUUGUUGACUUCAUAAUUAAUAAACUAAUGUCAAUAACUUGCAAUAUAUGUAUCUUGAGCAAGUUGUAUCACUGGGUAGUUAGUCCAGUAUUCAAACACGCCUAAAAGGGGGUAACAAAAUUAAAGAGUGCACAAAAAGGAUAGAUUUACUAGCUCACAUUAAUUAAGCUAUAGGUGAUUAAUGCAAAAUAGAGAAAUCUACUAGAAAGAAAAAUAAUUUCUCUUCUUUCAUUGAAGAUUUGCCCACCUACUAUGGAGGAACAAGAUGUGAACUUAUUUCCACUAUAUGGAGAAAAUUUACAAGAUCGAAGGCAAAAAUAAUUAAGAUAAAAAAGCAAAGGUUUGGAGAAGAAAAUCUACAUAGAAUUAUUCGUGAACUUCUCUCUCACUGAUCUUUCAAGUACUAGCCAUUUGGCUUACUCUUUGAUCUCGCCUCUUUAUUUUUGUUUUGUUUUUCGUUUUUAGCCUUACAUGCUGCAGUUACACAAUAACAAAUGUACUAAUAUCAACGGCAUUUUGCUUAAUUUCUUUCCGUAUUUAUCACUUUAUCUUGUAGGCAUUAGAAAAAGGUUUCAUAAAAUGCAUCCCCUUCGAAUAUUGCGACACUUUUUAAGUGUUGCUUUGAAAUUCACUUGAACGAUAUCCAACGGUAGCUUCACCUCUCAAUAUUUUUUUGCAUAGCCAUCUUACUGUUAUGAGAUUCAAAUGUAGAACCCUUUUCUGAGAGAGAAAGCACUACAUUGCUUCGUUUACUUUUAAAAUGAACUCAGAUAGAAUUGCGAAGCAACUAGACUUCUCCUAAAAGGUGACAGAACUCUUAAUCUGUGACUAUUAGGCAAGACUACCAUUUUCUCUCUUGCUAUAGCAUGUCUUCUCAGUCUUCUGUGUUCUUCAUUUUCCAGAAGGUGGAGGUGUUUCAUGGGAAUUAAGUUAAGUUUACCUACAUGCUUGCCCUUAAAAUUUAAAGUCUACAAAUGAAAAAAGAAAAUGCAAAAACUGUUCAUGAUAUCUCACAGACAGAAGAGAUUUUUUUUUUCCCCCCUUCUUAAAGCAUAUAAUUAGAGACUUCAUUAUUGCCUUCAUUGUUGCAAGAAAAAUAUGUAGUCCACCUCGGCAGUGGUUAAAUAUAGUUUUGCUUUGAAGAUCUCAUAAAUCCUUAGAUCUUUCUAUGUUCCUCAGUACUAUCCUUAAGCUUUAUUGGAAAAUGAGCUUACCUGUGGUAUAAUUUAAUUUAUAAGUAGACCUAGUGGAUACAAAGAGUGUAGUACUGACCAGUCAUAGCAUAACCCUAGAAACUAGAAAUUGUAAUGAUACAUACUAGUACCAAGCAUCCAACUUCUAUCACAACAAAGGAGAUCACUAUAGUUCCCAUCAUAAUAGGGACAAUAAGCAAACAAAAGGGAAAGGAAAGAAAAAAAGAAAUGAAAGAGAAUCUACAUAGAGAUCUUCUACUCUUUUCACCUUUCAACACAACAAAAGCAAGCUCAUAACCUAACCCUAGCUAGCCCAUAUAUAUGUCAUGCAGUAGAAAACUUCAUGCAAAUAUUAAUGCAUGAUGCUUGGUGAACAGUAUAUCAAGGGGGAGGAGGAAAAGGUCUCUAUGUAUGGAGUGCACUUUGAGUUUCUCACUUAUAGCAUAUAUAAGCUGGUGAAUUAUAUAUCUACAUGAAUAUAUACAUGACAUACCUUGGGUGUUGGGUGUUCUUCACAACUUUUUGGCCAUAUUUUCUCCACUUGUAACCAUCAUCUAACACAUCCACCUCGCUCAUGGUCUUGAAACAAAAUCUUGGGUCUCUCACCUUCCUCCUCUUCUUCACCUUCUUCAUCCUCACACCGCCGACCGAUAGAGCGUUGAUAGUAUUACUAGUGCUCUUGUAAUUAACACUGCUAUUAUUGGUGUUGUUGUUAUUGUUAUCUUUGUUGUUGUUGUUGUUGUUGUUGUUGUUAGCAUUCAUCUUGAUUUGGUGCUCCGCUCCAAUUAUUGUUCUCUUGCUGCUCAAAAGUGGGCCCUCUAGCUUCCUCCCAUGGCCUAAAUAGCACCAACCAAACACAAACCAUGAGAGAGAGGGAGAUCAACAAAAUGUUUCAUAUCAAAUAUCAAAACACUAUUCUUUAGCAUCUUAAGUUAAAAUAUAUAUAUAUAUAUAUAAAAGUUUAACCGUUUUAGUUUUGGUCCGGUUAUCCAUCCACAAAACUCAAUGUCCAUAUCUUGCAUGGAUCUCUCGAAAAAUCUCAUUUUUUCUGAAUAGAGUAGGAAAAAAAAAAGAAAGAAAAAGAAAAUCUCAAUUAAUGUGAGAGAGUAUUAAAUAUAGCAUAUUAAAAAGUCAUUUUGUAAGACUAAAUUUAAAUUUUUACAGGAAGAGGAAGCUACAGAAAAUUGUACAAGUUGAGAAAAAGAGCAAUUAAGUGGAAAUAAUAAAAGAAAAAACAUUUAAUUAUUUGUCCUAUGACUCAGUAGAAAUUACACAUGCAUGCACGAGACACUUUCAUGUAUAUAUGAACUUAAUUACCAUAGGUUAGUGCUUGCUCUCCGGGCUGAAGAAGCUGCAGCAGCAGCAGCUUGAUGAUCUGAUGAUGAGCAACCAUCUCUAGGUUUAGGGUUCAUGAACCUUUCUCCCGCAGAGAAAGCUGUGUUGGUGAGAGAGUGUUGAUGAGGCCCAUAUGGAGAAAACCUGAGAUGAAGAAGAGAUGAAUAUGGUAGUAAGUGGUGAUCAUCAUGAGGGCUUAUUUGAGAAGCAGCCACUAGGGUUUCUUGGCUCUCCACCAACCCAUGGUUUAGAACUACACUGGGAGGGGGUGGUGGAAACAUCUUUCCCUCUCUCCCUUUCUUUCUCUCUCUCUCUCUCUCUCUCUCUCUCUCUCUCUCUCUCUCUCUCUCUCUCCACUCUCCACUCUCUCACUCUCUCUUUCUUUCUUUGUUGGAUAUGAUAUAGGACAAAGAAUAUUGGUGUAAGGUCACUUGUUGAAAAGUUUUUGAUGACUCUGAUGUAGCUGUAGACUUGGAACUUUAAAGGUACCUAUGUUAGGAGCACCCCCNCUUUUUCUUUUUUUAUUUUAACCUUUUGCCUAUAAAAGGCUAGACCUGGUCCACCAAGUAAUUGACUCGUGAACCGAUUAACUCAAAAUUCAACAUAUUUGGUUUCUCCCCUUUAAUCACCUAAAUAAUUAAUCUCCAAACUUGCAUAAACAGUGAAAAAAUUAUAUUAAAUAAGUUUUAAAAUAAGAAAAUGCCAUAGACCUAAUUCAGUGUGGACCCUACUAAUCUAACCACAAUUCUUUUUCGGGUCGGGCCGGGUUACUCCUUCGCUUCGUCGGGCCGGGGCUUCAAAUUAAAGGCCCAUAAAUUUCGGACCAGGCCUCUGAUUCUUAAGACCUGAUCUAGUUCGAGGUUUUCUAAUUUGAUCCGAUCCGAGCUGAUUCACUAUGAUCAUUUAGAUGUAAUCUGAGAUUUUUUUUUAAAAAAAAAAGGUGUAAAAAACUUAUGGACGAGAUAUAUAGCCAACAUUUACCUGGAAUCAUGAUGACAAAAGGUUCCCAUACUAUUUAGCUAAGAAUGGAAUAGAAAACUUUACUAUUAUGUCCUAAGAAUGGCCAAGAGAGGAUCCAAUGUAGAUAUAUAUGUGAAUGUUGGCCCAGGUAAUAGGAUCAAUGCAUGGUUGCUAUCAUGAUUGCCAAUUAUGGACGGUUGAGACCACCCGGUCUGCUAUAUAUAUAUAUCUGAUCUUAGGAUCUAUAAAAAAAAAGGUACAAAGUUUGCAUCUUAGGCCUCGUUUUUUAUCAUUAUUAUUUUUUAAAGUUUUAAACAUUAAUUCUAUAUAAUUUGAUGUGUCAGAGAAUUUUUUUUAUUAUAAGUAUAGAAUUUCGAAAGCAAAAAAUUAUUUUUAAUUUUUAUUUUUUGUUGUCAAGUAAAGACCUUGAGUCCUUGAAUGAAAUGAUUGUAAGCAAUUAACCGUCCACUUCUACACAUUUUGAUAUUUAGUUUUUUUUUAAAAAAUAAGUGCGGAACCAAACAAAGCCUUAUUUAUUUUAGAAAAGGGAAGCAUGCUACAAGUUUUUUUUCAUUAUUUUUAUAAAUAAAUUUAGCUAAAAAUAUAAAGUAACUAGAUUCCUAAUUUAGGACCUCAUAUACCAAUAAACAAAUCUUUUGCCCUGUUUGCGCUAGGAUGGUUAUAAUAUCCGUGAUAAAUAUAUAGGUGCUUUAUCAUAACAGAAAAUACUACUUGUACACUCCUAUUUUGGGUGUACAUCUUUACACAAUUGGUCAUCGAAGAAUUCACAAAACUCAGGUGAUUUUUUUUUUUUUUUUUUUUUUGACAUAACUUGUGAAGUGAUCUCAUCCACCUAAAGGCUAUGGAGUAUAUCUUACAUCCUAGUGUAGAAGGAAUGAGCAGCAUUGCUCACCAAAAUAUAAUCUAUAGUUUAUGGUAACUAGGAUUAAAAUAUCUCAGCUUUUUGCAGUUUUACUUUUCGAGUCCAUUGAUACGCCCCACUUUACCAACACCACAAUCACUACCUUAGAUUCGGACCCCUCCCCCCUCUCUCUUACUUUUAACAGCCACUUUACAGCAACAAAGAUAACCCUACAAUCUAAAAGAAAUUAAUUAAAGGUAAAAGAAAAUGCUGGGUACAUCUUGGACUAAUUGCUUUUCUUUCAAAACUUAAUUUACUAGAAGAUGAUAAACUUAAAUAAAAAAUAACAAUAUAAAAUACUUGACGUCUUUAAAAGCUUAAAUUUGAGAUUUGUAAAGUCCUAAUUAAGUUAUUGCAAAUGUUAAUUGCAACCAAUGUUUGUGCAAUCAUAAGAGAGCAUUAUAUAUAGUACAGGCUCCUACUUAUGCUAGGGAACUAGUAAACUAGUUAGGUAAAUUAUAAUAUCUAUAAAAAACAUCCCACAUGAGAGCAUUAUGAUAGAAAAAGAUGCAUGCUGGAGAGUAUCGUACGAAUUUUGCAUGGACGAAACAAUUCAUACAUGACCGAAUGAUUUAAAAAGGAGAAUAAUAUAACUUUUAGUUAUUUUUCAUAAGUUCGUACUUUUGAGCGUAACGUUGGUCCGCUUUUUGUCUACUUAGUUUGAGUUCUAAGAUAAUUUCUCUAUUUCAGGAUAUAAUAGUUAUAUGUUUAGUUAACGAAGAUUAAUUUCGAGUUGUUUGCCUCUACAAGCAUUUGACGUGAACUUACAGAGUCUCAAAAGUAGCCUUCUAUAUAUUUCUCUUACAGUCAGAAAAAAAAAGUUUCGGCAUUCUAUUAAAAUGAUAAUUGAAAAGAUUUUAUAACAUUUUAAUAAAUUAUUAAUAGUCCCUUUCAAGCAACUCUUUUUACCAAAAAUUUAGGAUAUAUAAAACACAAAGUGAUCCACUGCUAUCCAUGAGAGAGAGAGAGAGAGAGAGAGAUCAAUUUCAACCACAAGUGAUCGGUGGUUAAAUCAUGGUCACAAAUUGAGAUUAAUCUCGCCUAAUAGAUGGAUGAUAGAACUAUAGAGAGCUGUGGAAAAUUCUGAGACCAAAAAGCUCAGAUUGUGUGUGUGUGUGUAUAUAUAUAUAGAGAGAGAGAGAGAGAGCUAGGCUCCUAUGCUUUCAAAAAUACGGAGGCUUCCGUACUUAUAAGUUGUUUUUAAUGAUGGGACAUCCGAUUUAGUAACCGAUUUCGUUAGAUAUAAUUUAUACUAUAAGAAUUAUGUAGAAACCAAAUUUUUUAAUUUUUUGAUUUCAUUUGCCCAGUGAACGAGUAUCCUCAAAAUGAACGGCUAAAAAUAAAAAUCUUAUAAAAAAUAGUAAUAAAAGACUCAAAUUUUAAAUCACAAGUAUUAAUCUUCCUAUUGAUAUUAAGUAGAAUUUUCUAUUAAAGUUUCAUAUAAUUUGGAUAAAAAAAUUAUGAAAUUUGGUUUCUAGAUAAUUCCAACAUGGUAGAUUAUACCCAACGGAGCCGAUCGUCGAAUCAGAUGUCCUAUCAUCGAAAACAACUUACAUAUACAGAGGCCUCUGUACUUUCGAAAGUGCAUGAGACAUACCUCUCUCUCUCUCUCUCUCUGUAUAUAUAUAUAUAUAUACAGAGAGAGAGAGAGUCCAUCUAUAGUGCUUGUAAAAGCACCAAAUACUUGAUGCUUGUAAAUUUUUUACCGUUAGAUCCACCUCUUUGAUCAUUUCUACCCAUUAUAUCAUACUAUUCAACCAACUACCCACUCAACCCUAGGGGUCCCACAUCAUCCUAACCGCACAUUCUUUAAUCUAAUAGCCAAAAAUUUACAAGCACCAAUAACUUGGCACUUUUAAAAACAUAGGAGCUCAAUUUUAUAUAUAUAUAUAUAUAUAUAUAUAUAUAUAUACACACACACUAUGUUAUCGAAAGUAUAGAGGAUUUUACUUUCGACUUUUUGACUUUUGGAUUAAGAAUUGUAUGAUUGAGAUGAUUGUUCUCCCCCCUAGGGUUGAGUAGUCCUUACAUGAUAAUAGUAUUAAUCCAAAAAUUAGAAAUGAUCAAAGGGGUUGAUCUAAGGGCCAACAAGUCGAAAGUAUAAAAUUUUCUAUAUUUUUGAUAGCAUAGUAGCUCUACUCUAUAUAAAGUUGAGCUGAAAUACUAUUAAUAGUAUUUGGUCAUUUUUGCUAUUAAGUUUUUAAUCAUUGAAUGAAAAAUUGUAGGAUGUAAGGCUAGGAUGAUAUAUAUAUAUAUAUAUAUAUAUAUAUAUAUAUAUAUAAUUGAGCUUCUAUGCUUUUAAAAGUACCAAGUUAUUGAUACUUGUAGAUUUUUAGGCAUUGGACUAAGGAAUAUGCGGUCAGCAUGAUGUGCGCCCGCUAGGGUUGAGUGGGUGGUUGGUUGAAUAGUAUAAUCUAACGGUUAAAAAUAAUCACCGACCAUCCCUAGAGCAAGUGGCAAAGGGUUUGGUGGUUGGUACUCGAGAUCCAAGUUCGAAUUCUAGUUGAUUCAUAUUUUCAGCUAAGUUUAUUUUUAAAUGAAAUAAACAAAGCGGAUAGCAUGCUAUAUAUCUAUCUCUAAAAAAAAGGGUUAAAAAUAAUCAAAGGCGUAGAUCUAACAUUUUUUAGUUAAUGUGAGUAAUAUUUUGCUAAUUCGCACGCUAUUAAUCUUAAUCUUGAACUAAAAAAUUAAUAUUUUUUAAUAUAUAAUAUUAGAAUAUUUAUUUGCUAGUAUAUAAUGAAUUGAGUUGAUUGAGUCAUUCAGAUGAGUACAUUGUAACGGAGCGGGGACAUGAAAUCGUGCAUCAACAUUCGCGCUCCCGAACAGUAGUAGUCCAUGCAUCUUUUGCACGGCCUACAAAACCCGAGCAAUGAUGGCGAAUAGGGCAUCCAAAUCUCUCUUUUUCUACUCUUUCUCUCUCUCUCUAUUCAUAGAGGAGUCUCUCUCUCUCCCUAUUCAUAGAGGAGAGGAUAUCAUGGCUCCUGAGGGGUAGGAUAGCGUUUUUGACUUUUUACCCCGCCCAAGGAAAAAGCUUUCCCAAAAGCCCUCCACCUUUUCAUAUUUAUCUCUGCAUUUAACUGUUCAACUUGUCACUGCGCGAGUGCGGCGUGAAAAGACACAUUCACACUCUCCACAGUAGCUAUAUUCUUUAUAUACAUAUAAAUAUAUUGCGAGGUACGUUGAGCAUACGAUUUGGCGACGGGUUAGUUGUUUUUUUUGAAGUUUUAUUACACCACAAAAUAAUGAUUAGCACGCCAAUGACCAGGAGCAUGUAUGUACAGAUUAUGUUUUCUUUUCCUUUCCCUGUCUUAACUUAGCAGCAAAGUAAUUUUCUUUCGGCUAGAGAAUGUGGGAGUGGUGGCUCGAAAAGAAAAUUUUCGUAUAAACUUUUCCCCGUACUGGUUGGUUACUACCUGUAAAAUAAAAAAAAAGAUUGCCGCAGAUUCCACCAAGUGAUACGUGUGUAUGGAUCGGCCAAUCAGUCACCAGAGAGAGAAGGGAAUCAAGCGCUUUGCUGCGAGUAAUCAUAAUCAUUAUUGCUAUUAGGUGGUAGCAAAAGACAUAACACGUGACUGACAUUGUAUUGUUGUUGUAGUGCUAAUGCAGUUGCAGAAUCCACCUCCUGUAGUGACGCAACGUUUACACGAGCAUUACAUCACUUCAAGGCACUAAUAGAGUUUUUUUGUUUGUUUUGUUUUUUUUUUUCGUCGAUAACCCUCCCUUAGAAACAGAUAAGAUGUGAGAUAGACACACACAAAUUAUUCAAAUAUAAGUACAAAUUAUAUACAUCCUACUGCUACGGAAACGAUGUGAGAUAGAUACACACAAAUUAUUCAAAUAUAAGUACAAGUUAUAUACAUCCUACUGCUGAUGAAUGGUAAAAGCAUCCCAUACACACCACAGACAUUAGCGGGGCGAAACACAUCAAGCUGCAAACCGCCCGUUUGGAGCCUGCGUUCUAGGAAGCAGGCACUUGGGCCUGCCACUGUAGUUCAUUGCACCACACAGUACAAAUGAUAGUAGGAACUUCUGUGGGCCAUAACAGGAGAAUACCAAGCCCGAAUCGCCCGGCAGGACCAAACAAGGCCCAAGUCGAACAUAAAACAUGAACUGGGCACAAACAAAGACGCGAAUGCCACAGACUACUUAAUUGCACUGCAAUGUACCGCGCUGUUUUCAACGUUCCGCCAUAACGCCGGAUAUGGAGCUUUGUUUACCUCACAAUGAAUGGAGAGGUUCAGUAAGGGCUCUACUGCAAAAGUCAAGCCAAACAGGUACUAAAUUUCUGAAGCAGUAAACACUGAGAAACUAGGUCCAAACUCAAAAACAGACACCCUGGUCUAGCAAUCUCUAAUUUGAAAUCUAAAGCCCUCAUUCCGUCCUAACAUCGUCAGCUUCAGCAUAUUACCAGAGACCACCGAGUGAUAGAGCGAAGGUAGAGGAAAAGCUUCAAUUUCUGGUUCCUACAGCUAGCUAAAUACAGAAAUGGAUGUGCACACAUUCAAACAUUCAAUAUAUAGAUAACUACGAUGGUGAAUGAAUGGUAAACAGAAAUUAACCAUGAAAGCACCAAACUAAAUAGUUGGUAUACCAAAUAGAACCUAGAUCAAGCAGGCCAACAGAUUGAAUUUUUAUUUGUCACCAAAUCAUUUCUAGACGAGUGAUGCAAACAUAAGUUACAGAUGGAAAAUAAACAGGCCAAUUUUAGCUCUUCAACAACCCGAAAAGAAGAUUGUGGUGUUGAAAAAAAAACAAGUGAACUAAUCGCUUGAACAGUUGACUCACACUGUCUGCAGAGGAAAAUUCUCUUAUUACUACAUAGGAGACCACACAUGAAGUAACAGUAUCAAAUAGAUAGGAAUCAUGAAAGGAUGAGUUAUGACACAUGAUUGUGCACAGCUCCAGGAGAGAGCAGCUGUAAAUCAAACAAACAACCUAAAACAUCGGCAAUUUUUUUUAAAAAAAUUACAUAGAAAAGAUAGAUUUUAUUGGAAAUCUGCAAAAGAAAAGCAUCGAAAAGCUCACUCGUCAGUAACCCCAGUAGUCAUUGCGGAUUUCGUCAUCAAACUUCUUCUUGAGCUCAGGGUGCUUCGCGAAAUACUCUUCGGCUGUCAUGGUGCUUAUCUUUUUCUGCACAAUACGACAAUACAUAUAAAAACCAACACCAUAAAAGAGAGCUGUAGAAGACAACUUAUGAGUAGAAAAAAGAGUGAAUGUUUUAACAUCAGAGCAGCUUCCUUCUUUCUCACCUUCAUCUCUUGAACUUCGGCAAUUUCCUUUUCCAACCUCUCUGACUCCUUGAGAGACUUCUGUUCUGCUUCUUUCAACUCCACCACCUGCAAUUUUUCCAUGAAAAAAAAGAAGAAAUAAAUAAAGGCAUUAAAACCAAUUAGGAUACAGACCUAUUAAUUACAGAAGGCAUCUCUUCCAUGAAAGAAUUAUCAUUUUACAGAAACAAGGUUAUGCAAACUUUCUCACAAGAGCAUCAAACUUGGGCUUGUAUUCAGGAGUCACUGUGUCAACGUAUUUGGGGAUCUCAAUGCCUGCAAUAAGAGUGGCUCUACCAUAGUCAGAUUACAAAAUAAAGGAAUACAUAUCUUCCAAGCAAAAAAUUCCAUGUGAUGCAAAAUAUUUGGCCAAGAUAUAAAUCACUGAAUCUUAGUUCCAUGCACAUUCACCGGCUUAUUAGAACAAGGUCAAAUAAAUAAGAAUCAAAGGAAUCAUUACUUCAGCAGAAUUUUCAUAUAAGAUGUCAGUAGUUCAUUCAUUGAUCAUAAAAGCAAGUGCACCUUUGAAGUCCCCUCCGAAGAAUCUUAUAUUUCAGUCUACCAAAUAUCUAACAAGACACUCUUUUAACUCGGGAGGCACUACAAUGAAACCUUUUAUCACUAAAUGUCCAACUGAUUAGAAGUCAUUGAUAAGAAGAAAACCAAUCACUCCGUUAAUUUCCUAGACUACUAACAUUUUACCUUAAAGAAAUGUGUUGAAAUUGAAGUUAAACAGUCUCCACUAGUGCAUUGGCUAACUAUCCAAUCAACUUUAGCCUCUUAAAGACAAUUGUAUAUCUACAUAAUCAGUUUCUAGACAAAAGGAGAAGGCUAAAGUACAACUCUAGCAAUUACAUGAAAAUAAAUCCCUAAAUUGAUAAAAUUACAGAAGUCUAUUUUCUCACAGAAAAGUUGAUCAAGAAAGAGGACAUACUCUCAUAAGCCUCUUUGUACACAUCAACCAAUUUCGAGCCAAUCCCUCUUCUGUAAAAUUCCCAGUCAAUAGGUUGAGGUUCCUACGUUAUAUAGACGAGAAAAGCACUAUCACUCAUUAGCCAAUGUCAGAAAUUUAUUUAUUAUGAGUAAUGACAGUCAUGAUGAAAAUAGAGAGACGAUAAAUAAUAGCAUAUAAACUUGCAUAGCAGUAUUACCAUGUACUCAUACGUUUCUCUAAGAAACAUCAAACCUUUAAUAAGAUAAGUCAAAAAAAGAACAUCACAUGCAUUUCGAUGCAAAGAAUUCUUAGUUUAGUCUAGAGCAGAACAAUUUCAGUCAAUUUUAGACAUAAUAUUUUGAAGAAGGAAAUAUAAAAAGUAUUCACAUAUUCAUCAAAUUUUAGAUAUAAUAUUUUGAAGAAUGAAAUAUAAAAAGUAUUCACAUAUUAAUCCACGUCUAAGACCCUACGAAGUUCACAGACACAUAUGAGCAAUAAAUGGAUUUGUGAUGUAAUUUAAAAAGGCUAACAGAAGAAGGAAAUAUAUCUUCAUAGAUAAAAAUUUGCCUCUAUUAACAUAUUUCUGUGCACUUCUAUUUCAAUCUAGUACCCAUUACAUAGAUUAUAAUCUCAAAGUCAGUUUAUUCCAAAAGUACAUACACAAAAGGUGAGGAAUAGUUUGCUUCACAUGAUUUAAUAUUUCCACCUGAAAUCAGAUUCGCAUGUUUUUCUUUGUUUGAUCAGGCUUCUCUUUUAAAUUAUCUGCUCCAAGAGACAGUUUAACCACAUAUGUUGAUGUUUCUUAUUUUGAACAUUUGCGUACUUAUUUUGUAAAAGAUGGUACGGAAAAAUAUUUGAUGACUGAAAAACAAUGACAAACAAUCUAACAGACUAUUGGGAAUUGCAACAUAUAAAUGCUUACAUAAGGAGUAUCAAACUGUUUCGUAUUUCAUAUUUACACAUCAAUGAUUUAGCACUGGUUUACAAAAUCACAUUUGGACAUAUUUUAAACUAAUAAGAAGCUCUUAGUUUUGCUUCAGAUUAGAGAGCUUUCCUAUACAUCUCAGUCACUAUCAAUUGUGAAGUUGCCAUGUAAACGUAAUUAUUAUCAUACAAACAUGCUCAUGCAUUGCACGAGUAUAAAACCAGUAUAGCCCCAAAAUAUAGGUGUUGCAACAAACAUCAGCUAUUAAACCUAUUCUGUUAGCAUACAUUUGAACAACCUAUUACUCUACUCUUUUCCCUCUAUUUUCAUUCAUUUUAUCAGAAAUAACUCCCACUAGCACGCUGAUCGAGUUGCUAUCAUGCGAUCUAAGCUAAAAGGACUUGAAUCAACAAAAAAAAUUAUACACAGACAUACGAUCGGAGAAAAUGAAACCCUAGAUCGAGGAUAGAAGAGAGGACCGAGCGAUCCAAUGAGAAGAAAACAGCAAGCUAAAAGGCAAUAGCAAAGAAACCCUAGAUCCGGGGAGGGAAUAGUACCUGGCUGAACUUGGUCUGGAGCUGUUGAUUCACAUCGUCGAAGGCGCGGCGGAGAUUGGCGAACUCCUUGCGCGCCUCGUCCGAGACCAGGAGCUUCGCCAUGCCGUCCCAGUCGAUCGCCUUCCCCGCCUUCGUCGCCACCUCCGCCACCUUCUUCGCCCCGUUCCCGCUCAUCCUCGCCGAUCUCUCUCUCUCUCUCUCUCUCUCUCUCUAGUUCGAUCCUAGGGUUUGUAACGAGAGGGAGACGAGGACGACGAAGAGAACAGAAAGAGAGCAAAAGCACGAAAUGGAGGAUGAGACCGUACCCUGCUUCCGUUUUUCCUCUGCGUGGGCUUAUUUGCUGACGCAUCACGCUUUAAGAUUCGUAAAGGGCUAAAGACUCUUUUCUCUUUACCAACGUGAUAUUUUCGAUCAAUAUAAAUAAACUGAGUUUCUUAUUAUCACAAUAUUGUGACUUGUGAGUAUAUAUAUUGAAAUUUGUAAAUAAAUGUAAUAAUCUUACUAUCAUCUGAAUAUUUUUUUUCAUGUUAAUUAGAUUUCAAACAUUAUUAAGUUUACUGUUAAAUUUUUGUGAAUAACCUUAUAAAAAAUGAGUGUAACAUCUUAUCAUAGUCUUCAUAUAAUAAUUACAUUACUAAUUAAAUUAUAAAUAAAAAAAUAUUUUAAAAAAUCUCAACUUAAUUAGAUGCAAAGUUCGUUGGCUGACAAUUACAUUUUAUUGCUAUUGCUAUUGUAAUUUUAAUGCAAUAAUUAAAUUUUUAAGUAAAUAUCAGUAGAUGUGUGCUAAUAAUUAAAUAAUUUCAUAGCUAACAGAUUUUAUAUGGUAAGGUUGUGAUUUUUAAGAUAAAAGGUAAUUAAAUUAAUGACUAAUUCAUUUUUGCGGUGCUCGGCCGAAGCCAAACGUGAGGUAGUUUUAAUUUUUCGCCUUUGAGUAGCCGUAAACAAAAAAGUGACUUUUUCGAAAAUAAGUAAUACUUUUUCGUGUGAAAAAUAGUUUUACGGCGAACGAAAAAUUAUUUUCUAUAUCAAUAACUAUUUUUGAUGUACUUUAAUGGCAAACGAAACAUACUCUUAGUAAAUUAUUGCUUUUUUAUUUUUCCCUUCCAAGCACAGUUUCUGUGCGCGCAAAUUAAAAUUUAAUUUUAAUGAUUUUAUAUUAUAUAAAAACUACCAGUUUAAUUGGGUAGAGAUUACUAUAGACUUUUUAUAUAGUUAUGAUUGAAAAAAAUUAUAUAUAUCCCCUAUGAGCCUUUGUAUUGGCACAAAUUUAAAAUCCUUCUCAUGCGUUUAGGUCACCUUUUUAUGCAAUCAAUAUGGGCAUACCAAUAAGAUUAACCUAGUUUGAAAAUUAGCUAAUUAUUAUUAACUUAAAACAGUGACACAAUCCAUUUCCUCUUCGUCGAUAAGAAGAAAUGCCACGUAUACGAGCUAGGUGAAGAAUAACAGCUGUAAACUAUGCAGAAACACUUAGACCACUUAAUACUACGGAAAUUCACUAUGUUUCAAAUCCCUAAAUUGGUCUUAAAUAUAAAUAUAUAAAUUACAAAAUAGGAAAGCAAAUACAACUAAGCACCAAAUUGCCCUAUUUCUCUCUCCCACAAAUUAACAAGUAGAACCAUUAAAUUUGACAUACAAAAACUCCCUGCAUCUUAACUUGAAGCAAAAGAAAAAAAAUAAAUCAGUGCUACUUCUAUUCCCACCAAAUAAUUCAGAAGAAAGAUUGGGCCAAAUCGUAAGUCUUCAAUCUGGAUCAUAGUACUUCAAUGAGAAGACUCAGAGAUUUGUAUUAUUCUUCCUUUGAAGAUUCAGAUAUGGAGCGCUUGGAGCGCCUUUGAGAAAGUAAGAGUUUUGUCCUCUCGAGGACACCAAAGAAUAUGGACCCACCGAUGCCGAUCCACAGAACUCUUGGUCCGACACCCUGUUUAGAAAUUAAUCAUGAGAAACAAAGAUUAAGAAAAAUAACGUUCUAAUUAGAAAAUUAAGUCCAUAACAAUGCAAUAUAUCAAGACAAAUUUGCAAUGCAUUUCCUCUGUUGUAAGCAACAAAAAGUGCUUCCUUUACUCCUAAGAAUUUAUAUAGAGAAGAGAAAUGGCUAAUGUUGGUAUACCUUCAAAAACGCAGCUGGGCCUUCUUCUCGAAGAAUAGUCUGGGCACAACUUAGAAGCCCAUUGUAUUGAUUUGCUUGACCCUGCAAUAGAGAGAUUUGAAGAAAUAAAUAAUCUUUGAAAAGGUUCAGUGAUUAGUAUAAUUUAGAAAGCGACAAACUCAACCUGAACCAUCAAUCUUGUUUUCAUCACAUCAAGCGGUGUGGUUAUAGCUCCAGUUAUUGCCCCUGAGAAAUUAAAAAGAUAGCUGUAGAUUUUUCUGAUACUUAAAAAUGAAAUUCCUUCGUAAAGCUGGAAAUUGAAAGCAAAGAUCUAAUGGAUAGUAGAAAAUAAGAUGGUCCAUAGAUAAUAAUUUCGCCAAAGUAUGGCCCAGUUCUUUCCUUUCUCCAGGGAGUGGCACCAGUUUCCAGGAUUAUAUCGUCUUUGCCAAAUUGACGAUCGUAACAAGGUAUAUAGGUUCCAAAUUCAAUUAGAAACUUCUUUAAGCAAUAAUAUUCUUUUAGACUGAAAUUUUUGUAGUAAUUUCAGCAGAUGAUUCGACAAGAAUGCCGAACUGUCAAAAAAGAUAUCCUACGCGUACAGAUAUAGAAGUACUCUGCGUAACAAAAAAAAAAAAAGAUAAUAGAGGCAACGAAGUACAGAGAAGCUUCUUUUUGUCACUGAAAUGGAAAUAAGACAACACGUUUAUUAGGGACCGAAAGCAGCACAACUGAUUUACCAGCUACUGCUCCAAUUACAGCAUUUUCUGGAUCAUUUAACUCUCGUUUUGCCUGCACGAAAAAGAUAAUUGAAACAAAUUUACUCAAGGUUGAAGAACACUAGUUACUAAAUCAAUAUUAUUUUCCUCAAGAAGCUGUCCCAAAACCAUUCAGUUCAGGAGUAAAUAAACUCAGAGAUCCACCAAUACUGCGUGAACAUGAUAUAGGUACUUAAUGUAAAUGAAUUUGAGUUAAAUUAAACGUACCGCAAUCUUGUAUCCAAUUCGAAGCUGCUCAUAUAAACAAAACUGGAUGGCAUCAAAUGGUAGAUCUCGCAACAGAAAGGAACUGUAGCCCUACAAGCCCAAGAAAUAACAAGGUAAAGCAUGUCACAGCAUUUCUAGUAUAGUUGAAAAGGCAUAAGAAGCUGAAAUAUAUAAUUUAUACCAUCAUAGUAGGAUUUAUGAAAUCUAAAAAUAGUAAAAAUUUAGGGGCAAUCAAAUGUACAUACAGCAUAAAGACCUUUGAAGCCUUCUUUUGCAAGAAUAAGACGAACGGCAUCUGGAGCUGAGCUAAAUUGUCCGGUCUGCAUCCUUUGUUUAACCACCUGAAAGAGGUGAAGUCUGUGAAUUUAAAGUACUUCGAGACACUUCGAUAUAUAUGCACGCUCAUCGAUGUACAUACCUCCGUAGGAACACGGAUAAGAGAAGCAGCAGCCCCGCCAAUGGCCCCUGCAGUCUAUAUUACUUCCAUAUAUUAGAAUGCAGCAAGAAUAAGAUAACAUGUAUACAAAACCCUUUUGAUAUCCAUGGAAUUUCACAAGAGAUAUGUAAUAUCCAAUGUAAUUAAGCAGCCAUAGAAGCAUUAACAAAUAAUCAACCCUUUCAAAGCAAGCUCAGGUAUACAAAUCAACAUGUUUUUCCUCGAAUAAACUUGGAUUUCAUGUUCGUACUCGCUAGACAAAAAUAAAUUUUCUAUCAUGAGAAACUAGUUCAAUGGCCAGCAUGAAUAGUCUGAGAGAUGAUAUCAGAAUUGUCUUCAAAUUAAUGUUUAUGACUAAAAAUCAUUAUUAUGCAAACGAAGUGCCUUACAAAAAAGACAAUCAAGUUCUUCUCCAUGUGAGCAGGCUGAACCUUAAGGUCACCCAACUAAAAGUUUCAAUAGUAACAGAAACAACACAAAAUACUUGAAAUCUGCUUUAAUUUACCAGAUGAGCGACUGCACUAAACUUUUCAGGAAAUAUUUCCAGUAGCUUUUGUUUCGUAGGCUCAUAUAUGCCCACGAAUACAGCAGAUGCCCUACAAACAAAGAGAUUCAGUAAACGAGCAAAGUAGAAAUAAUAAUAGCUAGAACAAAGAGCAAUAUUUGAACAUAAAAAAGAUGUAGAAUUACUGUUGACAGUAAGCACCUUCACAGGGACUAGAUUAUGAAAAAACUAUAUCUUAGAUCAACCUUGAUUGAUUAAGCACCACCAUAAAUUUUUCCUACUAAGAAUUGCUGUUGUCUUUAGGUUAUUGUAGAAUUUGAAAACAAUUUGUGUGGUGGACAAACACUAUUUUUGUGGUGGAUCUAACAUGACUUUGCCAUUAGAGCUCCUACACUGCAAAUGCUGCAGCAGCAGGAAAUAAACAACAGCUUAAAUCCAGCACAAAAAAAAAACUUUGUUCAAAAUAAAAAUGUCCAAAUAUGGAUUGUAAAUUAGUGAAAAAGCGUAACUUGGGCAUAAAUUACUCACGGUAACACUCCAGCUAUAUUGCCAGCCAAUCCGGAAUACAAGCCCUUCCAUUCAAUUUUGCUUCCACCACGAGCAGCCUACAGAACAAAGCAAAUUCCAGUAAAAUGUAUCUUACAUAUUAUUUCGAUUAAAUUGUAGUAAGAUAUAUCUUCCAUAUCAUCUACUAUCUCGAUAAACUUAACAGCAACAAUAAAAAGAUAACACCUAGCAUAAUCAUGGAUCUUGCACAGAAAAAAGGAAAACGCCGAAGGCAAGUAGAAAGCAUGAAGAGGACAUUUUACGCAAAUCUCAUGAAAAUAGUAGCAGCUAUAUAGUUUCCAUCCACAUUAGUAUGGCAACUUCCAUAGUGAAAAUGAUAAUUCAUUAGAUAUCUGCAAAGUUAACUAUUACAUGGGAAUCUGGACUAGCAUUUUGGCCUUGUUGAAGAUCUCGAGAUGUUAUAUACACACUAUGCCAUGUGUAAGUGGCAGAUGCACAUGCAUACGAACAGACAUUACACAUAUUAGUGUGUCCAUGUAUUUAUAGAUGAAGCACAUACAUAUAUAGCAAAAGGCAAGCUCCAAUUAGAAUUAUUCCUUCGAAACAGUUAAAAGCACUCCUUCAAAACAGCUACCCCAUCUAAUCAGAAGUCCAAAUUGGAGUUUUGAUGUAUGAAAAUAUUGGUGUUCUAAAUAGCAGCUGCUAUGGCUGCUACAGCAACUGCUUCGAAGGACCACCAUGGUUAUGAAGGAUCUCUAUGCUAAGUGGAAACACUAUUUGGAAUAUAAAUGUACAAAAAUUAAAAAUGUUAUACUUCUAUAUUUGAAACUAAGAUGUUAUUACAAAUGCAGUUAUAUAAACUCCGCUAUGGGGUCCUCCAUCAGCUACGCGCUUUGAUAUCCUUCAAACACUAUGUACCGGCUAUCCGCCAUUUAUAACCUUAAAGAUAUUCAAAAGGCAUUUUAUAUUCAAAAGGUUACUACCUACUUAAGCUUAAAAAGUUAAAAACAAGACACCAAACAUGACUAGUACAUGAAUAAUGAUUUUAUUUAUGAUUGACCUGCCUGCAGCCUUGUCUUUAUUGUAUCAAUCGGAUAUAGAACUGUUUCAACAACAACACCAGCAGUGCCUCCGGCGAUAACACCCUCUGGAAAAAUAAAAGAGAUAUAACUCACAAACAAAGUAAUUGUAUUUCUGAUACAUUUAGUGUAAAGCUAGUAUAUUUCACAAAUGUAUGCAUUCUAACUGUCACAAAAGCCAUGCAAUUUAUGAGCGAACCGAACAAAAAAAUUUUAGAAUAUAUUUAUUAAGAAGAUCGAGGAUAUGAUUAAGAAAUUUUCUAAUGCAAUUUAGCAAUGCUUCAACAGGGAAUGCAGCAAAUUAACAACUCAUAAUUGUUUCUUACAGAAAGAAAGCCCACGAAGUAGCAAACAAAUUUUCAUUUCCGAAAAACUUAACAAGGCUUCUACAACCAAAAACCAUCGAUUGUGAUGCCAUCUUGCAUAAUUAUCCUGCCUUAUAAAAGCUGGUCCAGGGGCUUGGAAAAUUUUAAUGUUUUAAACUUGGUUAUUUAAUUCAGGAACUCUAAAAACCAACAGAUAAUCCUAGAUACAUGAAUCUUACUCUGAAUGAGCCCACCAAACCGUAUGCCUUAUAAGCUGAUUCCGUUGUCUCAAUUAGAAAUACAACAUUAGGGAUUUCUAGUAAGCAUUUCAAUCAACAUAUUAUGGUCAAACAGCUAAUUAUCAAGUUUAGAUAAGGAGGAAUGUACCAAACAAAGUGCGGAGAAAAUCAAAAGGCUUUUCCUCUCCCAUGGUGACUGAUGCGAACAGCUUUUGCGGGACCACGACCGAGUCAUGCAAUUUACUCGUGCAUGCUAGAUAAAAAGCAACAAAAAGACUGAUCACUGGCCUGGAAACAAAACUAGGGGUAUGUCAACAACAGGAACCACUAUUUCCAAACUUAGCUACUCAAUUUGAAGCAGUGAGAAAUCAAAUAACUCCUUUUAUCUUUUCACACAAAAAAUGAUUUAUGAACCAGCGACGAGAAAUUAAGUCAGAAAUAUGGAUUUUCAGAUAAUGUAUAUGCAUAUAUGUAUACUUUUAAGUUUUAAGAAAAGAAAAAAAAAAAACCCUAAGCAUGGAUCCAUGCCAGAAAAAUUUACCUGGUGAAGUUGUAGGAGAUCUGCUUCCAUCGAGAGCCAAUGUUGGUCCCAUCAAAAUCUACUAAUCAAAUACCUUGAAUUAAGGUGAAUAAAAAUUGCGGAUACUCUAAAUCAGUAGAUUCAUUAAAAUUGCGGAUACGAAAAUAAAAAAGAAAAAUAUCUAUCGAUUGUCAUCUAAAACAUAUAACAAACUAAAACAAAGAUCAAAUAAUCGGCUUCUACGCAUUCCAAACAUAGGCAUGAAAAAGUAGUGGCCCCAAACGAAGAUCAAUUUGGAGGUUACAAGCAUUAGGGUUUAAAUGCCGCAUACCUGUUGCAGAAGAAGAAGAAGAGAAGUAGGGGGAGAGGAUCGAAGUAGAGAGAAGUGGUCGAGAGGGGCGAGGAAGAGAUAGAGCGAAAUGCAUUUUGGAAAGGGUUUUUGUUACACAACGGCGGCAAUUAACGGGCCGGAUCCUACGGCAACGAUUAAUUAUCGGAUACUCAACCCAAAUCCUCUAGUAAUAGAUGGGUCUGGCCCAACAUCGGGCCCAAUUCAUCAGGAUUUGACCCAGCUCUGAAACAGCCCAAAAUUUACUUUUGAAUUGAUGGGCGGAAUUAUUAACCCCGGGCCUACUAUCUUAAGGCCACACGGUUAAAAGGUAAAACCUCGACUAUAGGAAAUUUUGAAAUGGACCGCUAAGCUUUUACAUUUUUUAAUUUGGGAUUUUCCUUUUUUAUUUCUUAUUUGAGUUUUUCGACGUAGAAAAUAUAAGUUAUUAGCGAUAUAAAAAUUUAAAAGUUGAGAGGUAAAAUUUGAGAGGUCAAUUUUGAAAUGUAAUACGUAUAUAGUUGAGGAGGUUUUUAUACAUUUUUACCUGUUCAAACCGCAAGCAGAGAAGGGUAUUUCUGUCAAUCUAGUUUACAAAUCAACAGCAAACAUAAAACCGUUUAACUCCCGCCUUCCAUUUUAGGACCUCUCCAUCCGCACUCCAUGGCGCUCCCUUCUCCUCCUCCCCCACCAUAGAACCAAAAAGAUUAAAAAAUAUACAUAUAUUCAUAUAAAAUAAAAUAAAAAAUCUUUCACCUCCUCUCUCCUCUCCCCUCCGCCUCCCCCGCCAUGCCGCCUCCUGCGGCCGCCCUCACGUGGUUCUCCAUUGCCACGAUUGCCGUCGCCGCCGCCGCCGUCGCAUCAUCAACGGUGGAGGGCAUCGGAGUGAACUGGGGGACGCAGAUGUCGCACCCGAUGCUACCGACGACGGUGGUGCGGAUGCUGAAGGCGAACGGCAUCAGCCAGGUGAAGCUGUUCGACGCGGACGCGUGGACCGUGGGCGCGCUCGCGGGCACCGGCAUCGAGGUCAUGCUCGCCAUCCCCAACGACCAGCUCGCUCGGAUGAGCAGCAGCUACGACAACGCCAAGAAGUGGGUCAAGGAGAAUGUUACCAGAUAUGACCACGAUGGAGGGGUCAAUAUCAAGUAACGAACACUUUUUAAUUGUUUCAAUUUGCUCCCUCCAAAUUUUUCUACUAACACGCGAGUUUUGUACUAAACAUUACCACCGUCCAAAUAUGAACUUUAAAUACAAUAUUAGUUCUAAUUUUUUAUACUUCAUUUUAUAAAGAAUUAAAGUCUAAAAUUUAAUUGUUCAGGUAUGUGGCCGUGGGUAAUGAGCCCUUCCUGAAGAGCUACAAUGGCUCGUUUCUGAACACCACCUUUCCCGCCCUAAAGAACGUUCAAAAGGCCCUGGACGAGGCCGGGGUCGGAAACCGCAUCAAGACCACCGUCCCGCUCAAUGCCGAUGUCUACAGCUCCCCAGAUAACGACCCCGUGCCGUCCGCCGGCAACUUCCGCUCCGACAUCCGCGAGCUCAUGGUACAGAUUGUUCGCUUCCUCCAUGACCACAACGCCCCGUUCGUCGUCAACAUCUAUCCCUUCCUCAGCCUCUACCAAAACCGCGGCUUCCCCGUCGACUUUGCCUUUUUUGAUGGCGGCGGCCCCACCAUCGAUGACAAGGAGGCCCACUACACCAACGUGUUCGACGCCAACUACGACACUCUUGCCUGGUCGUUGAAGAAGGCCGGCGUGCCUAACAUGCCAAUCAUCGUCGGCGAGGUUGCCCGAAACAAUAUAUAUAUAUAUAUAUAUAUAUAUAGAGUUCGGCUAUAUACUCUUUUGAGUAGAAUCACCUUCGUACUCAUAAGUUAUUUUUGAUGAUAGAGCUUCCGAAUCAACGAUUCAUACCGUUAAAUAUUAUCUAGAAUAUUUAAAAUUUCUAGAAAUUAAAUUUUAUAAUUUUUCGAUAUCAUUUACGUUACGAUCAAAAGCUCACAAAAUUGACAAUUUUUAACGGCUGAUAUGAGAUAUUUGCUAGCUUAACGGUGUAAAAGAGUCGGAAUAGGUUGAAUUUUUGAUAGAAAACUUUAUUCACUACCUAAAUAAAGAUCAAUAACUCCAAUCUUAAAUUGAAGGACCCGAUCAUCCAUUUUUAAGAUGUCGUUCGAUUUUGAACGUUCAUUUUAUACUGGCUUGAUAGACUUUAUAAUGAUUUCAAAAAAUUAUGAAGUUUAUUUUUUAAAAGUUUGAAAUACUCUAGAUCAUGUUUAGCGUUGUAGAUCGUCGAUUCGAAAACCUCAACAUCGAAACAACUUAUGAGUACGAAGAGCUAUAUACUCAUAAGAGUAUAGUAGCCCUACUAUAUAUAUAUAUAUAUAAUAGAGCUUCUGAAUCGACGAUCCAUAUUGUUAAACAUUUUCUAGAGCAUUUAAAAUUUCUAGAAAUUAAAUUUCAUAAUUUUUCAACAUCAUUUAACUUACGAUCAAAAGCUCACAAAAUUAAUAAUUUUAAUGGCCGGUAUGAAAUACUUACUAGUUUAACGGUGCAAAAGAAUUCGAAUAGGUUGAAUUUUUGAUAGAAAAUUCUAUUCACUGUCUAGAUAAAGAUCAAUAACUCCGAUAUUAAAUUGAAGAAUCCAAUCAUUUAUUUUUAAGACGUCAUUCGAUUUUGACUGUUCAUUUUAUGUUCGCUUAAUGGAAAUUAUUAUGAUUUUAAAAAAUUACGAAAUUUAUUUUCUAGAAGUUUCAAAUACUUUAAAUCAUAUUUAAUCCAGUGGAUCGUCGAUUCGGAAGCUCCAUCAUCGAAAACAAAUUAUGAGCACAAAGGACCCAAUACUUAUAAGAGUAUAGUAGCCCUACUAUAUAUAUAUAUAUAGUCCGGCUACUAUACUCUUAUGAGUACGAUUUAAAUGCUCUACACCAUUAAACGUGCUCAUAAGUUGUUUCCGAUGAUAGAGUUUUCGAAUCGACGAUUCACAACGUAAACGUUAUGUAGAUCAUUUAAAAAGUUUUUAAUACUCUAUAUCAUAUUUAACGGAGUGGAUCGUCAAUUCAAUUAUUGAAAACAACUUAUGAGUAAUAAAGGGCUCUAUACUCACAAGAGUAUAGUAACCCUAACUUUUAUGUAUAUAUAUAUAUAUAUAUAUAUAUAUAUAUUAAAAGGCUUAAGCUGCUAUAUAAAAUAAUGUUAAUCUUUUUCUCGACAUUCACGUACAUUAAUACAUGGUUCCAUUUGUAAUUAAAUGAUGACCCAAUGGACGCAAAAAAAACUAUUGAUAAAGCUCUUUUUUUAUCUCUAAAAACCAAAGUUACUGAAGAACGGUAUUUUUAAAUUCAACAGGUAGGAUGGCCCACCGACGGUGAUAAAAAUGCUAAUGUAAUUUACGCAAAGAGAUUCUACGACGGCUUCUUUAGGAAAAUGGCGAAGAAAGAAGGGACGCCGCUCCGUCCUGGGAAGAUAGAUGUCUAUCUCUUCGGCUUGAUCGAUGAGGAUAUGAAGAGCGUUCUACCAGGAGACUUCGAGCGGCACUGGGGGCUCUUCACUUACGACGGAAAGCCAAAGUUCCCAAUGGACCUUUCUGGGCAGGUCUGAACGGUUAUACCGUACGUACUUCUCUAAAAUUUUAAGCUGAUAGAAGGAUAGAAUUCUAAUAUUCUAUAUUCAAUGUUAGGGACAUGAUAAGUAUUUGGUGGGCGCCACCGGCGUGGAGUACUUGCCGGCACAAUGGUGCGUGUUCAACCGGGAUGCCAAGGACCUGAGCAGCCUGGAUGGGGACAUGGAGUUCGCGUGCUCGAGCGGCGAUUGCACGGCGUUGGUGCCCGGAUCGUCGUGCAAUGGCUUGGACAAGUCCGGGAAAAUAUCGUAUGCAUUCAACAUGUACUUCCAGAUGCAGGACCAGGACGUGCGCGCGUGCGACUUCGGCGGGCUGGCGAAGAUCACUACCAAGAACGCGUCGCAAAACGGGUGCUUGUUCCCAGUGCAGAUCCUAAGUGCGGGGGUGAAGACGUCGGCAGCAGGCGCAGCCGCGGCGGCCGCGGCUAUUGGCAUGACUCUGCUGUUGCUUCUGUGAAGUAGAUUUACGUACUACUACUUCACAGUCGAAGUUGGAAAUUUAAGAGGAGGUCGAUCUCUUCAAGUUCCCUUGUUACUUCGGUUGUUUUACUUGCUUAAUUAUAUGUUAUUUCUCGUAUUACAAAGGAUCAGUGUAAAAUGCGUCUUGUUUCUUCAUUAGUUAAAUUCUGUACAUAAUUGCACUAACGUAGGUUUUGCUAUUUGAUUUUAUUAGAUAUAUAUGUCUCAAAUUCUGAUAUGUCUUGAAUUCUAGUAUUACAAUAUUUUCUAACUUUAUACUAUUUUGAUUAUUCUAUUAAAAUUUAGAUUAUGCCUAAUCUAAUUAAAAUCUUUCUAGUCUUAUUAAAUUUGUAUGAUUUAGAAUUUAGCCACUAUUAUAAAUAUACCAUUUAUUCUAUUAAUUUUGGUGCAAUAGAUGAAAUAAAGUAUGGUGUAUUUUUUGGAACCAAAAUUUUGUGAGAGAAACAUAUUUUGUAUAUCUCCACUGCAUAUUCGUUCGUGGAUAUAAAUCAGUUGCUGAACAUUUAAAGAUUAUGUAUUUUAUUUUUUCUUCUUUUUAUUUUGGAUUUUUAUUUGAUAUUUUCACGUCCGAUGAGCUAGAUUUUUUUUGCCUUUAUCAUAACAGUUUUGUGGUACUGAUUAAUCCUCAUCAACUGUUCUCAUUUUUUGUUGGCCUAAUAGCAAUUUAAUCUCAGAAAGAACGGCCGCUAGGUUGAUUAAAACAGUACACGCCUCAGUUAUCUAUGCUCAAUUUACAUAGACCCUUUAAACAAUGUGUCGAGCACGAGCCAAACCAACUCGAUCGAAUCACUUAAGUUAAGAGGUGAGAGUUAAUUUCGAAUCAUUCCAACUUGAUUCAACCCGUUUGCCAGAUCCCCCGGUAAUUAAAUUACUUCCUCUUAUGCGAUCGACUCAUCGUUAAGAUUGAUAAAUUAGAGCUUAAGGAAUAAAGAUAGAAAAAUAAAACAAAAACAAUGAACUAUUGGGUCAAGGUUCCUAGACUCGAAGCUGACCAAAACCCAUCAUCAGGUCAGUUGAUUUUGAUCCUCACUUGACCUGCGCAACCAAAGUUAAUUAACUCAAAUGGCUUCGCCUAUGUUCCUCGAGUUGUUUUCUAACGAAACAAUUUUUUACUGUAAAUUGAUUUCAUUAGGUCUGAUUAAUUAUAGUUAUAUAGUAAAUAAUAAAUUAAUGAUAAUAAGAAAUGUACCACUGUGAUAGUAUAAUAACACUAGCACCCAAAAUGGUUCACAUGACAUGGGCCUUCUCUCCUCCCGAGUAGCUGAUGAUGAUUCCAUAGCCGUGUUCCCCAUUUUCCCUUGAGAUGGGACGGAUUUUUUUUUUUUAAUAAAUUAUUAUGACGGUUGACGUGGCCCGCAUACACUAUCAAUGUUUACCUCUCCAUUAGUUUCCUUAAUAUAAUCAAAUUUCUCAACAAAAUAUACCCAUCCCAAUUAAUAAAUCCCAAUUAACAAAAUAUGUCCAUUAGUAGGGCUUCGUUUGGAAUUGCGAGAAGAUUGCGUUACGUUCGAUGAGAAAAUACGUUAAAAAAAUACCUAUUUAUUUUCGUACGUAAUAUUGUAUUCCGUAUAUCGCCAUGAGUCGGUUAUAAUAUAUUUUCUGCGGUCGCACCGGAGAAUAUAGAAGUAAAUUUCUAUAUGUUUUUUUUCUCAACUCUAUUUUACCCUAAUAGCGUUAAAUAGAUCUCAAUAUCAAACUAAGUCCAAAACUAUCCAACAUUCCACUGUAGUUUGAGGGGCAGUUGCGAAAUAAGUGGAGCGGGCUUUUUUCCCCUGCACCCCGUGUGUUUAUACAUCUCGUGCACGUUAAUAACUAAUAUUAAUAAUAUAUUAAAAACAAAGUUUAAAUUGAAUAGUUGACACGCAUUAACAAUACGAAAAGAGAUCCCAUUGAUUCGGAUGCAAUAGGGUAUCCCACAUGCUGAGGACUCUGUGGUCUGUGCGGUGCAUGGUGCACGUGGUGCAUGCAAUUAAUGAUUCGGGAGGAGGAUGAGACAAGGGGAGCCGUGCGUCCCACACAAAAGCCGCGACACCGCACCGUCCGUUCCGUCGACUCGGUUACCGCGGGGGUGCAGCUCCCGAGGAUGUUUUCGACCGUAGGUUUGUUAUGUUAUGAUCUCUCUCUUUCCCCCCUCUCUCUCUCUCUCUCUCUCUCUUAGACUACUCUCAAACNCCUCCUUCUUCCUCCCUCCUCUCUUUCUCUCUCCUCUCCCCUUCUUUCCCCCUCCUCCGAAGAGAAAGAUAGAGAGAAAGAGAUCGAGAGAGAGAGAGAGAGAGAGUGUGUGUGUGUGUGUGAGGGAAAGAGAACGACCAUUGUCUUCGUUGGUCGACCUCCUCUCACCACCACAACUCUCUCUCUCUCUCUAUUUGUGUGUGUGUGUGCGUGUGUGUGUUUCAGCCCUUUUCCCCUUUUUAUCUCCCAAAUCGCCUAAACAACACGUACAGUGGGGGGGGCUUCAAGAGAAAUUUAUAAUUUUGCAUGCAUGAAAUUAGUUAACCUCGAGCGUGCGUACGUUCGAUAUAUAGCCUUCGUCGAUUACUGUGGAAAUUAACUUGUAGGAGUCGGGGCGCGAUCGAGAGGAUAGGAAGAAGAUGAACGACCUGUUCUCGACGAGUUCGUUCAAGAAGUACACGGACCUGAAGCAGCAGGUCGUGCUGGACGCGAUGGAGGCGGGCACGGCGGGCGAGUCGGGCCGCGAGACCGUGAACCUGGACAAGUUCUUCGAGGAGGUCGAGAACGUCAAGGACGACCUCCGGGGGCUCGAGAAGCUGUACCGCCGGCUGCAGGAGGCCAACGAGGAGAGCAAGACGGCGCACACGGCCACGACGGUGAAGUCGCUGCGCGCCCGCAUGGACGCCGACAUCGAGCAGGUGCUCCGCCGCGCCAAAGCCGUCAAGGCCAAGCUCGAGGCGCUCGACAAGUCCAACGCCGCCCACCGCAAGCUCCCCGGCUGCGGCCCCGGCUCCUCCGCCGACCGCACCCGCACGUCCGUCGUCUGCGGCCUCGGAAAGAAGCUCAAGGACCUCAUGGACGACUUUCAAGGCCUGCGCACGCGCAUCGCCUCCGAGUAUAAGGAGACCGUCGGCCGGCGCUACUUCACCGUCACCGGGGAGAAACCCGAUGAGCGGACCAUCGAGACGCUGAUAUCGUCCGGGGAGAGCGAGACCUUCCUGCAGAAGGCCAUACAGGAGCAAGGGAGAGGACAGGUAGGUGCAUGAUCCACCGUCGAUGAUCAACCAAUUCACUUCACUAGCUAGCUUCAUACGCAUAAAAUUAAUAUCAUGUUAAAGAAUGAAUGUAAAAUAAUAAUAAUUAUUAUUAUUCUUCUUCAAAAAUCAAAAAUUCAAGUCCUCAGAAAAUUGUAUCUCUAAUUUAUAUAUUCAACAAUUCAUAUAAAUAAAUAAUUCAAUUUUCAAACCUCUUAUACAUGCCAUAUUUAUUUUGAUUUUCAAUCGUUAAUUCUUUCGUAAGAAAUAAUUAUAUAUAGCGUGUGAAAAAUGCCUGACUUAUUUCAUGAUAAUUAGAAGAUUCGAACUCAGUAUUAAUUUUCUGCUGCAUGAAAAUUUUGAUCGCUCUGAACAUGACUUAAGCCGUAGUGGUAAUUGUUGAGCGCAGGUGAUGGACACGAUAACGGAGAUCCAGGAGCGGCACGACGCGGUGAAGGAGAUCGAGAAGAGCCUGCUGGACUUGCACCAGGUGUUCCUGGACAUGGCGGCGCUGGUGGAGGCGCAGGGGCACCAGCUCAACGACAUCGAGAGCCACGUCGCGCACGCAAACUCGUUCGUCCGGAGGGGCGCCGUCGAGCUCGAAACCGCGCGCGAGCACCAGAAGAGCUCCCGCAAGUGGGCCUGCAUCGGCUUCGUCGCUGCUCUCAUCCUCGUUAUCAUUCUCCUCCUCCCCAUCCUCACCACCUUGUUGAGGUAGAUGCAUAUAUAUAUAUAUAUAUAUAUAUAUAUAAACAUGCAUAUAUAGUGUAAUGAGGGGAUCUUUUGGGGGGGAAUUUUUUUCCUUUUUUCUUGAUUUUUUUUUCUUUCAUAUUUUUGGGUGUUGGCUGUUCGUAUUAUUGAGGAAGAAUAUAAUUUAAUUAUUUGUGGGUGGACCUUGAUUGGUCUUUUUCGAUAAUCUUUGUAAUUUUGUUCAGAGCUUUUCUUUUUUCUUUUUAUUGGAAAAGAAACUAAAGUUAAUUUAAUUGUUCAUAUUUGGUCAACCGAAUUGCGUGCAUUGCUCGUCUAAUCACACAUUCUAAACGAACUGCUAUGUUUUUCUUUUUUUUUUUUCUUUUUUUUUUUUGAGAGAUAGAUAGUAUGUUACUUGCUUCGUUUAUUUUAUUUAUAAAUAAAUUUAGCUAGAAAUAUAAAUCAACUAUCUCAAAUACCAACCAUCAAAUCCUUUACCACUAGCGCUAGAGACGGUCGGUAACGAACUGCUAUAUUGCACUCUACAAAAACCACGUACAAUUAACACCCCGACUAAACACAUAUUUAGAACCGUUUGGCCCGGUGGUUAUAUGAUUUUUUUUAUUUGUUACGGUCCAAAUUAUAACCUCAAAAGGCAAGAGCAAAUAGGUUUUUGAAGUCGCUGCAACAAUUAAAUCAGCCUCCAUAUUGUUUCGGUUGACAAAUAAAUGAAAAAAAUUUAACAAAGUGACUCUACCUAUAAAAAAUUAAAGUUUAAAAAUGUAAUAUUUGUAGUAUUCAAUAAAUAUAUAUAUAAGACAAAAGUUUAUUACGGGGAGGAAUAAAAUUUACACUCCAAAAGAGUUUGCUGGCUAAUGGUUACUAAUAUUACUAAAUAACUGUGGAAUAUCUAAUUACUACAGCACCAGUGGUCUAGUGGUAGAAUAGUACCCUGCCACGGUACAGACCCGGGUUCGAUUCCCGGCUGGUGCAUUUCCUUUUUUUUUUUUUUUUUUUUUNUUUUUUUUUUUUUUUUUUUUUUGAUAGGUUCUUGCAGAAUUUGUGCCAAAUUAUUAUUAUUAUUAUUAUUUAGAGAAUUGAUUUGUUUAAUUUUUUAUAAAUAAAUUUAGUUAAAAAUAUGAAACCAAUUAUACUUCAAAUUUUAAAUCUCGAAUACCAAUUAGGAAGUUUUUUGACACUUGUAUUAAGAACAAACGAUAGUCUGUAUGAAAUUUUUUUAUAUAUAGUUUUACUGAUGAUGCAUAAGUUUCCAAUUACAAUUCUUACUUUUCAGGCAAGAAAAGGUUUUUCAACUUUAUAGAAGUCAUAUCAAAUAUCCAUGGAGUUUUACGACUCAAAGUCAAAGGCCACCUCCUUUUCCACUAGUCGUGGUUAUUUUACCUCAGUAAGAAAAUUAAUGAUCAACUACCAGUUGCUCGGGAUAUAAAUAUUCACUCAACAAAUAUGGCCUAAACUAAGGAUCUUAUUGGGGGUUGAAAGAGACCAUCACUACAGUGUGGUCUAUACUAUAUAUAUAUAUUUCAUAAAAUUCAAAAUGAAUGGUAGUUAUAAAAUAUUUAAAUCUAUAGAACCCAUAUAUACCUCCUAAUUUUAGUGGGCCCUUCCUAUUGCUAGCAUGUUCUCUUUGUCACAAUUAAAUCUUCUGUGAUGCCACUUUGCCAUUUCCUCUUUCCAGAGUUAGAAGCUUGUAAUCCAAGUUCUCUGCUCCAAUUUCUACGUAUAAUUGACAAGAGAAUGAACCUUAAUUAGUUAAUUAUAAUUCUCCUAAAUUAUGGCAACAGAACAACAAACAUACUUCCUAUAAUGCUAAUGAACUCGAUAAUUUCCUUAAACAGGGAAAAUUAUGGUAUUGAAACAGGCAUACGGGUCCCUAUCAAACGCUCAAUUUAGGUUCCUUGGCCUUGUAGUACUUAACAUAAAUUUCUUUAAUUUUAUAGUCAUUUGGUCAUAGUUCUUUUUUUUUUUUUUUUUUUUGAGGAAAAGGUAGCAUGCUACCCGCUUCAUUCAUUGAAAAGAUGAAUUAGGCUACAGAAGUGAGGCAGCUAGGCCUCGAAACGAGAUGGAUGGAAAAAAAAAAAAAAAACUUUAUUGAUUAGCCGCUAAAAGAAAAUCCCAUGAAUUAUAUAGUUGUUUAACCUUACUGACAAUUUUGAGAGGGUCCGGCUGGGUCGUUCUGAAGAUUAAAUUAUUUCUGCUCUCCCAGAUGAAGAUUAAAUCAUUUGGUCACAGUUCUAAUGUAAAAAUAUUAAGGUUUAUCAUUUUCAUAAUCUAUCCUAAAGUAUUUGAAAAAGAAGCUUCUCUUAAAACCUGUAAACAUGCAUAGAGUGGUUCCCUGUAUAUGAGAAUUGAGACCAGAAAACAUUUGCAUUGGAGUGCCGAAAAUGUACUAUAGAAGCAUGAAAAUAUAUUAUAAGAUAUAUCGAUGCAGAAAAUAAUUGUGUAACUGAUAUAUAUAAAUGUGAAAGUUUAUGUAAACAAGUUGAUCAAUAGCAGUUGUUUUUUAACUGGUCAUCUAAUUGUUCUUGUUUUUUUCUUAAAGAAAAAUUUCCCACUUUUUUCAAAGUAAUUGAAUAAUCAGAGUACUAUAUAUAGAUGCAGAUGCCUCCUUUUCCUUGCUAAAACUUAGUAUAUAAACUCUCGAAACGAAGAAACAAAGUGUUGAUAUAUAUGUAUACGGUUAAGAUUGAAUCACAUAAAUAUAUACAACAACAACAACUACUAAGUUGACGAUACUUAAUUACUGCUAUAAGAAUUAAACAGCACCCAUGAGUUAGCUCGGAGGUCAAAGAAACUUAAUAUAAGUUACUAAUUUUGAAUCUACUCCUUUUUUUGGGUCUUAACUAUCUUUGUGAUCACCGAUCACUUACACAGGUACGUAGUUGAUUUAUUUAUAUAUCUAGAUUACAUUAUAAAAAGUACAUCACUAGAAAUAAUAUAGUUAAUGCUAAUUAAUACACACUUAAGAGAAAAAAAACAAAAGAAAAUACUCAUGUACAAUUACUGAUGAAAUACUAAACUUGUAUAUAUAUGAUGUGCACAAUUUAAUUACUAGUGCUUUUAGUUUUCUAGAGUUAAAGCCGAUUUCAAUUAAGUACCAUAAAAGGAUAUAAUUAGAAAAUUAAGCAAAACAACUAAUUUUCUGUCGCAUGCUAAGCUAACUCGUUUACUCUAUAUAGGCUGUAAUUAAUAACUUCCGAGGUCACUACAACAAAAAUGGUCUAUAGCGACACUUUUAAAUAUAGGUACAUGUCAAAAAAGUGCUGUUAGCUAAAAUUACCGACACUUUUAAAAAGUAUUGCUAUAUGUGGGGUCGCUAGGUAUAUAGUGACAGUUAAAGAGUGUUGCUAUAACCUAAAAGAGUGCUGCUAAUUUACAAACACUUAUUUAAGCAUUUAACAACCGCCGAAACUCUAUCUCAUUGGCUGCGGUGGCGGAGGAGGACGACAGUAAAGACUUUUCGUCUAGAAUUUCAGUGAAUUGAGUAAAGAGAGAAAAAAAGAUGGUAAUUGAUUUUUCUUUUUUUUCUUUUCUGUUUGUAAUCGGGCUAAAUGCACUAGGUAUGGUGGGUUGAGUAGAGUAAUCUUUUAUUUUUUAUUGGAUUGGACUUUAUAUUUAGGCAUUAGUAGAUGUGUUUUUAAGUUUUAGCAUAAAUGGGACACUUACUCAAAAAUGUCCCAAACAUGUGUCCCUAUAACCUAAUUCUGUUGUAGUGGGUAAGCAUACCACAUUAGGUUAUUGGCUUUAAAAUGUUUUAGGAAUAUUUCUUAUUUUGAAUAUGGAGCCCAAUCAAGAGGGUUCUAAAUUUGGCCAAAUGUAUCCAAACCAUACUUAAAAAUCAGGUGUGGCUAGGGCUUAUAAAUAACCAUUCUAUGUUAAUCCAACACACUCGAGAGUGUGUGAAUACACACACAUGCAUCAUGCAUGAACCGCCAUUAACAAUGGCAAUGGACUACUAUUUGCAAUGGCUUGUGACUCCGCUAACCCUAGCCAAAAGAUACCCAGAAAUCCUACUAUCCAUACCAUGUUUCCUCUUCCUCCACCAUCUCAACCGCCGCCGCAGAAUGCCGGUGAACUGGCCUGUGCUCGGGGUGCUCCCGUCGGUGCUUGCGAACUACGACCGCCUCCUAGAGUGGAGCACCGACGUCCUCCGGCUCGCGGGGAGGGCUUUCGUCUUCAAAGGCCCGUGGGCUUCCAAGGUCGACGUCCUCCUCACCUGCGAUCCCGACGACGUGCGCUACGUGUUCACCGCCAACUUUGCCAACUACCCGAAAGGCCGGGAGUUCGCCGCCAUCUUCGACGUGCUCGGCGACGGCAUCUUCAAUGCCGACCGCGACUCCUGGGCCUUUCAACGUAAGAAGGCCCAUGCUCUAAUGGCCGAGCCCAAAUUCCGGGCCUUUGUGGCUCAGUCCACAAAGGAGAAGCUGGAAAAAGGGCUUGUUCCAUUACUCAGCCAUUUAGCUGAAGGAAACUUGGUGUUCGAUCUACAAGACGUGUUUCUUAGGCUCACGUUUGAUACCACGGCGAUGUUCGUGUUUGGAUUUGACCCGGGGUGCCUCUCCGUUGACUUUCCAACGGUCCCCUUCGCCAAGGCCAUGGACGACGUCGAGGAGGUGCUGUUCUCGCGCCACGUCACCCCUCAUGCAUGGUGGAAGCUACAGAGGAGGCUCAACGUGGGCCACUACCGAAAAAUGGCCACAGCAACGAAGGUGAUAGACGAAUCCAUAGCUCAAUACAUCGCCAUGCGAAGAGAAGCUAAGAAUAGCAGCAGUGGUGGUGGUGGUGGUCAACGCGGCUACGACCUCUUGGGUUCGUACUUGGACUCGGAGGAGGAGGUGGGGAGGGAGAUGGCGCACGCGCGGGGGCACGUGUUCGAGAGGUUUGUGAGGGACACGGCGCUCAACUUCAUGGUGGCGGGGCGCGACACGACCAGCUCGGCGCUGACGUGGUUCUUCUGGCUGGUGGCCCACCACCCCGACGUCGAGAGCCGGAUCGUCGCCGAGCUGACCCGCCACGCACCGGCGAACCACCCCGCGCAGCUGCACAAACUCGUCUACACGCACGCCGCGCUGUGCGAGUCCCUGCGCCUCUUCCCGCCCGUCCCCUUCGAGCACAAGUCGGCGGCGAAACCCGACACUCUACCGAGCGGCGUCCACGUUCACCGGCAGCAGAGAAUUAUGUUUUCGCUGUACGCGAUGGCGCGGAUGGAGGGGAUAUGGGGCGCCGACUGCAUGGAUUUCAAGCCGGAGCGGUGGCUCGUGGCGGGCGGGGAGAAGAUCCGGCACGUGCCGUCGUACGUAUUCUUGGCGUUUAACACCGGCCCGCGGACGUGUCUCGGGAAGGACCUGGCUUUUACGCAGAUGAAGGCGGUCGUAGCGGCGGUGAUCGGAAAUUUCCGCGUAGAGGUGGCGCGGGGACACGUGGCUCGGCCCAAACUGUCCAUUAUUUUACACAUGAAGGGUGGCCUGAAGGUGAGCGUCAGGAAGCGAGAGAAGCUCUAGAUAUAUAAGUGAGUAAUUAAUUUGGUAAUUGUGGUGUGCAUGCAUGCAUUUGGGUGUGUGAUAAUAUACGCAAAAAAGGACUUAAAUAUAUAAGAUGUGUAAUUAACUUUGGAAACUUAGAAGAACAUAUUUGUGUGGGUACGUGCAUGGUUAAGUCAAUAUAGUAUAUAUUAUAUACAUGCAUCAUGUAAAUAAAUUGGUUUUAGAUUAAUUAGUACAAAAGAGCGGCCACAAUUUAAUUAAGAACACAGAAUUAAGCCGAGGGAGGUUACUUACACUAAUUAAAUUUCUGUGAGAAGUCUCGUAGACAAUAAAUUAGAUAUAGUUAAAUUGUAAAUAAAUUAUCUAACCUACUAAAUUGGAUUCUUAUUUCCAUUUUAACAUGCUUACCCACAGGUCAUAAAUGUACCUACCACACAAUUAGAUUUGAGCAAAUCUAGCGUGACCCACCCAAUGUAUGAUUCACUAGGUCGGGCCAGUUCUGAAAAUUGGAGGCCCGAUGAAAUUCAUAUCGAUCCGAUUAAAUUUUUAGAUUUUCUUGAUUGAUCCUCGUCAAAUUUGUUUUUUUUUUUUUAAAAUGUAAGUAGCUCAACAAUUUUCUGGCUGGGCCAGGUUCGAGCUGAGUAGAUUUACUUCGGUCUGAACAGAGGCUCGACCUGCAGACCGGUUUUAGGUAUUUAUAUUUUACCUAAUUUAGAAGCCGAUGAUUGUAAAAAUAAAAUUUAUGGAGUGGUGAAUUUUGCACACACUCUGAAAAUUAAAAUAUCAUUUUGAUACAAGUCCAAAUUACGACCCAGUAUAGCAUUAUGUAUUCAACAGUUCAAGCCCGUGUAGUUUUGUUUCAAUUCGAUCCGAUCCGAUCCAGAGUUUUGAACCCAAUCUCAGAGCACCGGACUCGGGCCAUGUUCCCGAGGUGAUGUCAUUGUCUUGUGUGGGUACGGUCAAAAAGAUGAGCCCCAACGCGCCCUUAAUAAAAGCCCCACGCCCGGUUCGACCCACUCGCAUGGUGAACCGUGCCCGGUCCAAUUUUUUAUCCACUAAAAAAAUCUCGCUCACCUGGCCCGGUUCACUAUUUCACAAUUUUACUACUUUAUCUUUUGCCCCCUUCCCAAAACCCCACCACCCUUGUUCUCUCGAAACCCUAACUCCCUCCCAAUAUUUCCACUAAUUUAAUCUUUUCUCAUCUUUUUUUAAAUUUUUUUUAAAAAAUUUUCUCGAUGAAGUGCUGAGUAAAUGAGAGAGGAUUAAAAAAAAAAAAAAUUUGAAGGACUUAUUGGGAAAAAAAUUGAGGAGGAGGACCAUUUAAGCAUCCCAAUGCAUGGGGGGUGGGUACGUACGUGCUCUCUCUUAUUAAUUAAUCUCUCCAUGCACUUUUACUUUAACACAGUCCCCUAAGAUUUUUUGUCUCACGUGCAUCGAUCACUCCCAUUGUCAUCAAAACAUGCCCUUCCCAAGAAGAGGAGGGCUUGGAAUGGCCCUGCAGCCACUUGUUCUUACAUUAGUAUGAUUUUUAAAACAGCUUUUAUCUUUUCAUAAAUUGUCGUUAGAUAUUUUAUUAACGUAUUUAGCUGGUUCUGCUGAAGCUUCUACAAAAAUAUUGUUGGAAUUUAACUUUUUAAAAAAAUAUACAUUAUUUUCUUUUAAAAUGUUUUCAAUAUGUAAAAGAAAAUUGUUUCAAAAGCAGAAGUUCAAAGGGCGUAGAAGUGAGCAGAAUCACUAAUUAAUUAACUCUUUAGCCUAGUACAAUUAGGGCAUUAAUUUCUUGGGCCUAAUUAGACUUUGAGGUGGAGGCCAUCAGAGAGAAGGGGACAAAGGGAGCACCCUCAAGGCUCAAGCUCAUGUCACGUGAGUAAGGCAGAUUUUAUUUAGCACUAAUUUGAAUAAUUAAAAUCCCUCCAUUUUAACAGCAAAAUUUAAGAUAAAGGUAUCAAUAUAUACACAUGCAUGUAUAUCACUCCUCCAUGCCCUAUUAAGGUGAAGCUCAAACAUACCCCACCACCUCUCUCUCUAUUCCCUUUGAUCUUCCUCAUCACAACGUAAAGUGAUUAAUCCUAAUAAUACUGUUAGUAGUUUCUUCAUCUUUCACGGCAUUCACACUCCAUUUAUGUUCUAAGCAUAAUGCUAAGAAACACAUUCACCACCAUUUCUCUUCUCACUCUAGGACCUUUCAUCACCACCACCACCACCACCACCACCACUGCUUUAGUAUAUAUAAACAUGCAUGCUCAGAGCUUAGCCCAUUAAUUAGUUUCCACCAUCUCUCCUCUCACGAUUUGUGCAAAAAACUCCCUGAAUCCUAAUCCUAGCUUGUUGGUAUCUAACACCCCCACCUCCUCCAAAGUUGACAACUUUGUAAUCACCAUUUUCAUGAUUCUCCCCCUCUUGCGCGCGCAUGCAUGCAUGCAUGCAUGCUCCCAACUAUCUCGAGUGAAGCAGUGGUGGAAUUAAGCAACAUUAUCAAUUCCCAGUGUUUGCAUGCAUGAUAGAUGCUGCAGUAUUAACUGGAAACUUCAACCUCCUCCACCAAAACCCCAAAAGAUGAAACCCAAAACCACCCCUUUCCUUUUCUACUACUACUACUACUACUACUACUACUUCUUCUUCUUCUUCUUCUUUACAUUAAUCCUCACCACCCCCACCAUUUCCCUCUCCCUCGAAGGCGAAGCCCUCCUCUCCCUCCUCCCCACCGCUCCCUCCCCUCUCCUCCCCUCGUGGAACCCCAGGGACCCAACCCCGUGCUCAUGGCGCGGCGUCACGUGCUCCCCCGGUGGACUCGUCACCUCCCUCUCCCUCCCCGGCACCUUCCUCAACCUCUCCUCCCUCCCCACCGGGCUCCUCCCCCACCUCUCCUCGCUCCAGGUCCUCAACCUCUCCUCCGCCAACAUCUCCGGGCCCAUCCUCUCCUCCCUCUCCUCCCUCUCCUCCCUCCGCGUCCUCGACCUCUCCUCCAACUCCCUCUCCGGCCCCAUCCCCGGCUCCCUCUCCGAGCUCACCUCGCUCCGGAUCCUCUGUCUCCAAGACAACAUCUUGAACGGUUCCAUCCCUCCCCAGCUGGGCUCCCUCCUCUCCCUCCGACAAUUCCGGGUCGGGGGCAACCGCGACCUCUCCGGCCCCAUCCCCGCCCANCGCGUCCUCGACCUCUCCUCCAACUCCCUCUCCGGCCCCAUCCCCGGCUCCCUCUCCGAGCUCACCUCGCUCCGGAUCCUCUGUCUCCAAGACAACAUCUUGAACGGUUCCAUCCCUCCCCAGCUGGGCUCCCUCCUCUCCCUCCGACAAUUCCGGGUCGGGGGCAACCGCGACCUCUCCGGCCCCAUCCCCGCCCAGCUCGGCGCCCUCGCCAACCUCACCGUCUUCGGCGCCGCCGCCACCGCCCUCUCCGGCCCCAUCCCUCCCCAACUCGGCAACCUGGUGAGCCUACAAACCCUAGCUCUGUACGACACCAACAUCUCCGGCCCCGUCCCGCCCGAAUUGGGCUCCUGCUCGGAGCUGCAGAAUCUGUACCUCCACAUGAACCGGAUCGCCGGCCCCAUCCCCCGCCAACUGGGCCGGCUCCGGAAGCUCACGAGUCUGCUCCUUUGGGGCAACUCGAUCUCCGGCCCGAUCCCUUCCGAUCUCUCGAAUUGCUCGUCUUUGGCGAUCCUCGAUCUCUCUGCUAAUAGGAUAUCAGGGGAGAUCCCCGCCGAGCUCGGAAAGUUUGAAUUUUUAGAACAGCUCCAUCUUUCUGAUAAUCUGCUAUCCGGUCCGAUUCCGAAGGAGUUGGGCAAUUGCAGCAGCCUUAUUGCUCUGCAAUUGGAUAAGAACUCGCUCUCCGGUUCGAUUCCGUCGCAACUUGGGGGCUUGCAGUCCCUUCAGAUUUUCUUUUUGUGGGGCAAUUUGCUGUCGGGAUCGAUUCCUAGUUCUCUGGGCAAUUGCGGUGAGCUCUGCUCUCUUGAUUUAUCCAAGAAUAAGCUCAGCGGGCCGAUUCCUGAAGAGUUAUUCGGCUUGAAUAAGCUCAGCAAGCUGCUUCUUUUGGGGAAUUCUUUGAGCGGGGAGCUUCCCGUAAGCGUAGGAAAUUGCCCGUCUUUAGUGAGACUAAGGCUCGGAGAGAAUCGGCUCUCCGGUCAGAUUCCGAAAGAGAUAGGUAAGCUUCAAAACCUCGUCUUUUUGGACCUUUAUUCGAACCGUUUUUCCGGAAAAUUGCCCGAAGAAAUUGCCGACAUUGCGGUUUUGGAGCUUUUGGAUGUGCAUGAUAACGAGCUCACAGGAGAAAUUCCCCCUCGAUUGGGAGAGCUUAAGAACUUAGAACAGCUUGAUCUUAGCCAGAACCGUUUUACCGGAGAAAUCCCUUCAAGUUUCAGCAAUUUUAGCUACUUGAAUAAGCUCAUCUUAAACAACAAUUUGCUUGCUGGUUCAUUGCCCAGAUCUAUUAAGAACUUGCAGAGAUUGGCCUUGCUUGAUUUAAGUUCAAACAGCCUAUCCGGUCCGAUACCUAGAGAGAUUGGCUCGUUGACGAGCUUAAGUAUAAGCUUAAAUUUGAGCUCAAAUAAGUUUUUCGGAGAAUUACCUGAGGAAUUUUCUAGUCUAACGCAAUUACAGUCAUUAGAUAUUUCGAGCAAUUCACUAUCUGGAGGGAUUGAGGUAUUGAGCAUGCUCACAAGUUUGACAUUUCUUAACAUCUCAUAUAACAACUUCUCCGGUCCGAUUCCUCUCACUCCGUUCUUUCGAACAAUUUCCCCCAGUUCGUACAUUCAUAAUCCAAUUCUCUGUGAAUCCUUCAAUGGGUACACCUGUUCUUCAAACCUUGUGCGCAAAACCGCUUUCAAGUCAUUGAAAGUUGCGACACUCAUUGGCGCAACUUUGGGCUUCGUCGUGUUACUGUUCGUUUCAAUCUGGAUUUUAAUUACUAGAAGCACAAAGCUAGUGGGGGCGAAACCAAUAAAUUCAUCGUGCGAUGGCAAAGAUGAUUUCUCUUAUCCUUGGACCUUCAUUCCUUUCCAGAAACUAAACUUUACCAUUAAUAACAUACUGGAGUGCUUAAGAGAGGAGAAUGUGAUUGGAAAAGGAUACUCUGGGAUAGUCUACAAAGCCGACAUGCCCAAUGGGGAAAUUAUUGCAGUGAAAAAGCUCUGGAAAUUGAACAAGGAAGAUGAGUUGCUAGAUUUAUUCGCUGCAGAGAUUCAGAUCCUCGGUCGGAUCAGGCACCGGAACAUUGUGAAACUUGUUGGGUACUGUUCGAAUAAGUCGAUUAAGCUUCUCCUCUAUAACUAUGUCCCCAACGGAAAUUUGCAGCAGCUUUUGAAGGAAAAUAGGAACUUGGAUUGGGAAACGAGGUACAAAAUUGCUGUCGGAUCCGCACAAGGUUUAGCUUAUCUCCACCAUGAUUGUGUUCCUCCUAUUCUUCACAGAGAUGUUAAGUGCAAUAAUAUACUGUUGGAUGAUAAAUAUGAAGCUUAUUUAGCUGAUUUUGGGCUGGCAAAGCUGAUGAACUCGCCGAAUUUUCAUCACACCAUGUCUAGAAUAGCUGGUUCCUAUGGGUACAUAGCACCAGGUAAGUGAAUUCUCCUGAGACCAUAUGAGGUUCCUUUUUUUUAAAAAAAAUUAAUGUAUACAUUUUUUUUAAGUAACUUAUAAAUACAUUAGUUACCUAGUAGUGUGGAGUAAGUUUUUUUAAAGCUUUGCUGAUAAUAUGUUGUUCAUGCUCUAAAUUAGAUAAUUUUUUAUGGAUGUAAUAUAUACCUUGUUUUAGUUGGUAUUUUUUGUCAUCUAGUUUCUAAACAGAAGAGCUAAUUAUCACUUCUGCUGAUGAGAUAAUUCUCCCAAUUCAGCGAAACAAUUGCAUUCUUUUCCAUAUAUUGGAAGCAUUCUUUCUGCUGAUUAGAUGCAUCUUUGAACUUCUAUUCACAUUGUAAUUCUUCCCAAUUCAAUACAUUGCAUGACCGCUCGACUGCAUUCUGCGAAAUUUGAUUUUUAAAACGGGUCGUGUGUUCUUCUUCAGAAUAUGCAUACGCCAUCAAUAUAACAGCGAAGAGCGACGUGUACAGCUACGGAGUGGUCCUCCUCGAGAUUCUGACCGGGCGGAGUGCUGUUGAGCCCAUGGUGGGCGACGGCCUCCACAUAGUUGAGUGGGUGAGGAAGAAGAUGGCCGGAUGCGACCCUGCGACUGACGUCCUGGAUUCAAAGCUGAGGAGCAUGCCUGAUCAGACAGUGCAGGAGUUGCUGCAGACACUGGGGAUCGCCAUGUUCUGCGUCAACUCAUCGCCGUCCGAUCGGCCCACCAUGAAGGAGGUGGUGGCAUUGCUGAUGGAGGUGAAGUGCCUGCCAACCGAAGAAUCGGGGAAGAGUUCACAGCGUCCUCUCAUCGAUGAGGCCACAAAUGAUGGUUAAUGUAGUUAUGUUCCUUUUUCUUUGCAUCUCUCUCCGUAAUUAUUCAUCUUUAGAAGGUUUUAUUUGUGGUUUUAGAGAGAGAAGGUUGCAUAAGGCGAGGUUUAUGAGAGAGAACCACUUUGAUGUUGUGAGGGAACGUUGUCCAGUUUCAUCACGUUGCAGUUAAUUAGGGCCCUCAAUGGAAAUUUUCAAGACCUCGUUUUGCUAAUACUUCAAAUCAAGGUCAAACAUAUCGCAAAAUAUAGUUGACGAUUCAGUUUUUCUAAUGUGGCAGUUUAUAAAGUUUCUUUAAAAAAUGGUGUAAACAGCCAAAGGUAAAUGGUAAAAUGGUGCACUAGCGCUUUAACGGAAAAUUGUGUCAACUAUAGUAGAUCAUUUGAAACAGCAGAUCCUUCAUUUUUGUUCAUAGUUUGGAGAAUGUGUUGUCUUAAAAAAUUUCAGAAUAAACAGGGUAUUUAUUGAUCUUUUUGUUUUUGGUCUUCAAUUAACCACCAAUAGUUAUAAGAAAUAUAUUACUACAAAGAGUUCUCUUAUUCAUUAUCCCUGCCACAGGAUUAAGUUGAAAUGGUUCAGUUAGGGCCUCAGGAAACAAGUNCAUCUUUAGAAGGUUUUAUUUGUGGUUUUAGAGAGAGAAGGUUGCAUAAGGCGAGGUUUAUGAGAGAGAACCACUUUGAUGUUGUGAGGGAACGUUGUACAGUUUCAUUCAUCGCGCUGCAGUUAAUUAGGGCCCUAAUAGAAAUUUUCAAGACCUCGUUUUGCUAAUACUUCAAAUUAAGGUCAAGUAUACUGCAAAAUAUAGUUGACGAUUCAGUUUUUCUAAUGUGGCAGUUUAUGAAGUUUCUUUCAAAAAUGGCUGUAACAGUAAACGGUCAAAGGUACAUGGUCGAAUGGUGCACUAACGCUUUAACGGAAAAUGUGUGUCAACUUUGGUAGAUCAUUCGAAACAGCAGAUUCUUCAUUUUUGUUCAUAGUUUGGAGAAUGUGUUGUCUUAAAAAAUUUCAGAAUAAACAGGGUAUUUAUUGAUCUUUUUGUUUUUGGUCUUCAAUUAACCACCAAUAGUUAUAAGAAAAUAUAUUACUACAAAGAGUUCUCUUAUUCAUUAUCCCUGCCACAGGAUUAAGUUGAAAUGGUUCAGUUAGGGCCUCAGGAAACAAGUAAACAACUCCAAAAGGCUUCACAUAGCUUUCACCAAACCUACUCCACAAACCUUACAUUUUACCUACUUGUAUAUAAGCAUACAAUGUCAAUAGAAAGAGCGCAAAGAACAAAAGACUAGGGUAAUAGUUAGUUCUUCACCACCUUCAAAAAAGAUGCCGCGCCAACUUCUGCUAAUCCAAAGCAUGACCAAGGGAACAACCACUAUAUCCAGCUUCGGAGGCGCAGCCGCAGCAGCAGCGGCUUUUAUGUUGCUAUGUGCCUUCAUAUCAAUGGCAUGUGCUUCGCAUGCCAGGCGGUGGCGCCGCCUCAUCUCCGUGAGUCGUCGGUACUCUGAGCCGGCUAUAAGCAUUCAUCAAGUCCAACCAGGAAUGGAUGGUGAAGCAUGCCUCUGGCAGAAGAACAUACUGAUGGGAGAGAAGUGCCAGCUCCCGGAUUUUUCUGGAGUCAUUGUGUACGAUACUGCAGGAAAUCUCAUCGCCCCAGGCGGCCCUCGGUUGCUGAACUCUCUCCAGUGGUAGAAGAAGCUUUUCUUGAAAGAGUAUUAUGCUUCUUUACCUUCUGCGAACGUGACCCAAAAAAAAGAAAGAAGGAAAAACGAGGAGUUUUUCGUUGAGCAGCAUUAGUAAGAUCGUUGAGGGACAGUGAUGUUUAUCUUCUGUUAAGAGAAGAAUCCUAGUUUUUUCCUUUCUUUUUCUUUUACUUAUUAUAAAUCCCAAUGUUUAUCUUAUGUUAAGAGAAGAAUCCUAGUUUUUUUACUUUUACUUUCACCAAAAAGAGGAAUAGAAUUAAAUAAACAGCAUUCAGCAAGGCACCUAGCAACAAGAACUUACCAAGACCUCUAAAGCCAAACUACGAAUAUUAGCUAUUUUACUAAUCAACAAAUUAUCAAAUGUCACUUCACAGGCACCAAAAAAUAAACCACAAGAACGCUUACCAGUUACCGUGUUGUAUCUCGGUUGUAACAUUUAUCACUCCAGCACGGGCGUAGGUUGACAAACAACAAAGCAGGUGAUAAUUCUUUUUUCUGGCAGUAAGAAAGAGAGAACAACGUUCACAGAGAAAAAAAUUAGAGAUCAAUCUUAUAAGUCACGGAAAUUGUACUCUUGACUUACUGGUGAGAACUGACAAAACAACAAACAGCUAUUAUCUUGUUAAGAGAAAAAUUUGCUCCUACAGAUACUCUCAAAAAUAAAAAAUGAUUUAGAAAACGUCAGCAUUUACAACAAGUAUGCUCCUUAUAUCUUUAAACCAAAGGGGCAUCAUGAGGGCCGUAAAGAUUUCGCAGAAGAACUGCGUCCCCUGAACCCAACAACACUGAGUUUAGUGCUGUUUUUCUUCACCGCAUCCAUCUUUCUCUUUUCCAACCUCUUAUCAGACUUUAAACCUUUUACGGCACUAGCAGAAGAUUUCUUUGGCUUUGAAUUCGUUACUGACUUUUUUCCUGUGUUUGUUGCUGAUAAUUUCUGCAAUAUUGUAACUUUCUUUCCAGCUUUUGAUGAUUUCUUCGGUGAGAUUACACUGGCUCUACCUUUUUGAUUAGAAACUUUGACAAUCUUUGAUUUCUUUCCUUUCUGAGCCACCUGCCCUGGACUGGUAACCUCUUUCCUGAUAGUGUUCACAUUAAGUGCUUCCAAACUUUCGUUUUUCUUCAUUGCUUCUUCGAUUCGAGUAGCUAAAGGAAGAUCUUUCUUCGCAACAAGACUCGUAACUUUGCCUACAUAGAGAGAUUUCAAAAUAAAAAAUCAUCUAAAAGAUAAAUAUUUAGCUGAAAGAAAAUUCCUGCAAAAAUGUUCAUCUACAGGCCAUUGGCAAAAAAAAAAUAACAUUAAUUUUUUUUUUUUUAAAUCCUAAGGACAUGUAGAAACGCAUCUCUGAAUACCUUUGGCACCCAUUCGAGCAGUCCUCCCAGUCCGAUGAAGGUAGUCAAUCUAGAAAGAGAUAGAGAGGAAUGGAAAAUAUUAGGAACUUAGAGAAGUGGAAAGAAGUUUGCAGCUUCAAAACAAGCAAGGAAAAGGAAACACCUACAGAGUUCAAUGGAAAGUCAAACAUGAUCACAUGGUCAACAUCCAAGUCUAGCCCUCUAGCAGCCAAAUCUGUGCACACCAAAGUCGGGCAAUCCCCAUCUUCACUCUUAAACUUAUUCAGGUUCUCAACUCUGGCAUUAAUUAAAAAGUCCACAGAAGACCAGGGUAAGAUAAAUUUGCACAUGGGAAAAAGCAUUUCUUAUUUAUAAUGUUCACUGUCUAAAUACAGUUGCUUUACUUAAUUGGAAAUUUCCGUAGCUUGAAGUUGAACUGACGUGUAAAAGCAAUGGAUAACAUGAGACCCUCUCAAAAGUGUUGCAGAACAAACAAUAUUUUGGAAUCAAAACGUGCUUACUCCGUCCAAAUAUAGAGAAUCAUAAAUAGCACAAAGUAAGUUAUUAGAACUUGGUGGUGAAUUACCAAAAAGAAAUUGAACUCAUAGCACUAAAAGCAAUUAUCAUAACUGGGCAGCACACAAAAUAUUCAACACACCUUUCCUCUGCCGGCACCUCCCCAUGGUAGUUCACAGUGGAUAUUUGACUUUCAGUUAGAAAAUGAUCGACAGCACGGCUUGAGUUCAGAGUAUUGCAGAACACCAUCACUCGGUUUCCCCUUGCCAAACUUGGCUCAAGAACCUGCAAGAACUCAUGAUUUACGAUGAAUUGCACUUUCUUCUCUUUCAUAUAACAUCUAGAGGUUUGCCAUAUUUAGAUACACAAUCAGAAGUAACUUAGAACACUUCAAUUGCGUUUCACCUCUUUGAAUCUUUCAUGGCUAUUGUGAUUAAUGGCGCAAUCACUAGAGAAGAAAGUCAAAGAUUCUUCCCUUAGAUGGGGGAUUGGUUCCAUGACAAGCACUCUUUGUUUGCCAAAUCUUUGCACAGGAAUCAUACCAAAAAAAUGGACAGCUAAUUGUCACAUCCGACACCCAAUACUCACUCUUUUACUAGCAUUCACACAUGCAGUGACACACUCUGAAAGAUAAUAAACUGCAAGUUUUGAUAUUCAAUGCAACUCUAGAUUAAAGGAUUAACAGUCCAAUUUAGAGCUGACAUCAGUAGUUGAGUUUGAACUGAAAAUAUAGAUGGAAGGAGAAAAGGUAGUGAUAGAAAUCACAUCAGAAUUUAUAAAAUUGAAUCAGAAACAGCGAGGAUUCACAAAGCAUUUUCAACAGCGAAUAGUCUGCAGAAAACUGACCUGUAACAGAGCCUCCAGCUUGUUUUCAGCACCAGAAAGUUUGAUGAAGUCAUGCCGUGCAGAUGCAACUUUCUUGUGCAGAGUGGAUGUUCGCAAGUGGAUGAUUCCUUGAAAUUCCUCAUCGAUCAAUUUUUGCACUGCCUAUAAAAAACUAUAUAAGUCAAGAAGCUCACAUAACCCUAAUGAAUGGAUAUAUCACACUGACAGAAAAAGGUAUUAAUAUUUUUGUCUAAACGAUAAUAGCAACAGCUCUUUGAUUCAUCAAAAAUGUUUAUCGAUUAGCAUCAAACCUUAGUCAUGGUUGCAGCAACCAAAACGAUUUGAAACCCUUCAUCACCGGGUUUCGCUGCGCGGUUCUUUAACGGUCCAAGAAACUUCCGGAUAUCUGGACCAAAACCUCGAUCAAACAUUGUGUCUGCCUCAUCCAGAACCUGUCAUAAUAAAGAUCAGAAGAAAGUUUAAAAUGAUUACGACCAAACUCCUAAGUCACAAUGCAUUAAGUAUAAAAGAGCUGUUAUGAGGAUCUUAAAACAGAACUAACCAAGUAUUUAAUAUCCCCAUAGACCAUAUUGCCUUCUUCAAUAUGCUGAAGAACCCUCCCUGGGGUUCCAACAACCAUAUCUACAGUGGCAUUCAGCGAAUCUUCUUGAGGUCUUAAACGGCCACCUCCACUUAUCAUGGUAGAUCGGAAUCGUGCAUGAUGGCUUAUUGAUUUUGCAACGCGGAAAACCUACAAGGUCAUGGAACACAAAAUUGUUUGAAAUAAAUAUUCAAGUUUGAGGUUUUCAAACCAUGGGACAAGAAUGGCACCCAACCUGCUCAGAAAGCUCUCUUGUAGGACAGAGCACAACAGUUCUCGGCCGCCUCGGUUUCCUGAGCACACCCAAUAAUGCUUCAUCACGGCGCAUUAACUGCAAACAUAGCAUCUUAACUAGUUAACCAGUAUUAUAAUCUAAAGACACUUAUAUCAUACAGAUAAUUAGCCAAGCACUCAUUCCGCCGGCUGAACAGCUACUCAACAUGGAAUGCAAAAGUCAGAAAUCUAGAACUUCUAGCUAGUACAGGAAGGCAACAAUGAGCAUAUUGCCCACAAAAGCAUUAAGUUCCAAUGCGGAGCCUUUUCUUCUAGAUUCAAAAGGAAACUGUUGAUGCAAUCGAAAAUAUUAUAGUGCUUCCUCAAACCGCUCCACUCAAUCAGUAAUUACGUAGAAGCUCCCGCCUAGGCAAGACAGGCCCUAAACGUACUGCUCCUACUGCUUACCAUUAGUUUAUCAAGCACAAACACUCCGGUUCCAUAACAACAUCUCAGUUUCUAUAUUGAAUAAUUCAGCAAUUCGCCGCAAUCUAUAUAUAUAUAGAGCCGCCGAUAGAUGAAACAGAUUCAAAUUGAUAAAUAGCACAAGGACUCGAGCAGAUAGAGAGAUAGGAGGACCUGAACAAGAGGAAGCAUAUAGGCUAGGGUUUUGCCGGAUCCCGUAUGAGAGCCGAGGACCACACUCUUCCCCUCGAGCACCGCGGGGACUCCAAUACACUGGAUCUCCGUGGGAACUGAGAUCCCCAUCUCCUUGAGAGCCUCCAUCACCUCCUCGCCGAGCCCCAGCUCCUCGAAGCUCGACGCCAUGGCGGCGCUCCGCUUCCCCUUCUCCUCCUCCUCCUUACUCCUCCUCACCUUCUUCUCCGAAGCAACUUCGACCGCGACGGAGGGCCGGAUCUUCGCCGCGUCCUUGAGGUGCCGGAGGCGGAGGCGCUCGAGGAGCACGGCUUGCCGGGAUGCCGCCGCCGCCGCCGCCGCGGCUGAGGCAUCUGCCUCGGCAGUGGCGGCGGAGACCCAGAGGGUUCGCUUAGACCCUAGGAAAACCCUUGGGGAGGGUUUGAAGAGGGUGGAGGAGGAGGAGAAGAAGAGGGAGCGGGAGAAGAGGGAGGAGGAGGUGGAGGAGAGAGAGAAGGAGAGGGAGAGGGAGAGGAGGGCUUUCCCGGUCCCGCCACCGCCGCCACCCGCCAUGGCAAAAGCUUGUUCUUAGAGUGGUACAUAGAGAAGAGAUGGCUCGUGCUGUGGAUAUUUCCUCACGGGUAAAAUUCAUAACUAGUCCCUCUACUAUCCCGUUUUUUCUCUCAUAAAUGUAUGAAGAUCCCUCAACGAUACACCGUUUUGAAAUAGGCCCCUCAGCUUUUCUUUUUUAAUUAAUUUUUUAUUUAGUGCAUUAUUAACUAUAUAUUAAUUUAUCAUUAUCAUAUAAAUAAUAACAUAAUAUCAUUCAAUUAACUAAAUUAAAAUAUAAAAGUUAGUUAUAANACACAGAGGGUUCGCUUAGACCCUAGGAAAACCCUUGGGGAGGGUUUGAAGAGGGUGGAGGAGCAGGAGGAGAAGGAGAAGGAGCGGGAGAAGAGGGAGGAGGAGGUGGAGGAGAGGGAGAAGGAGAGGGAGAGGGAGAGGAGGGCUUUCCCGGUCCCCCCGCCGCCGCCUCCCGCCAUGGCAAAAGCUUGUUGUUUGAGUGGUAGUGUGGUACGGCGAGAAGAGCUAGCUCGUGCUGUGGAUAUUUCCUCACGGGUAAAAUUCAUAACUAGUCCCUCUACUAUUCCCUUUUUUCUCUCAUAAAUGUAUGAAGAUCCCUCAACGAUACAGCGUUUUGAAGUAGGCCCCUCAGCUUUUCUUUUUUAAUUAAUUUUUUAUUUACUGCAUUAUUAACUAUAUAUUAAUUUAUCAUUAUCAUAUAAAUAAUAACAUAAUAUCAUUCAAUUAACUAAAUUAAAAUAUAAAAGUUAGUUAUAAUAAUUUAAAUAAAUAAAUAAAAAUAAUAUUAAUUUAAAAUUUGGAAACAAAAGUGUCACGGAUUUGAAAACUAAACAUGCAAUUUAACCUUAUCCUAUGCAGUGAUAGCACGCCGUUUACCGACCACGCUCACUUUUCCCCAUAAACGCACCCACCCGAACCCACGAAACGAAGCCCUAUAUACGUCGCCUACCCCAUCUCUCUCUCCCUCUCUCUCUCUCUCUCUCUCUCUCUCUUCCCCCAACUUCCUCCUCCUCCUCCUCCUCCCUCCCCCUUCUCGAUCUCUCUCGCCCUCUCUCGAUAAUUCUCGACCAUUCCCUCUCCCUUCGAUCCUUCUCACCAUUAUCCUCCUCCUCGUCUUACUCGUAGGGGGACUCGUAUCCCCUCCAUCCGAGGCUAGGAGACUCCUCUCCUCUCUCUUGUCGAGGACGAAUCGAAGGUAAAGUCAUCAGUUUUAAGCUUGUGCUGUCCCCAAAUCUGUCAAUUGUCAAUUGUCCCCAUCCGAGGCUAGGAGACUCCUCUCCUCUCUAUUGAUUUGGCGUUGGAAUGGAUCUAGAUGUCGGGAACCCUAAUUUUCUAGGUUUGGUUGUAGACUUCCUUAAAUUGGGGUUUACGUGUGAUAUUUUUGGGGGAAAUUGAAGGGUUAAGAGUUGGUUAAUGCUUUGAACCCUUUUAUUAUGAUUGAUUCUAGUAAUUUAGAAGUCCAAUUUGCUUAUUGACUGCAGAAGCUACGGUAUCUGCGUUUCUGUUGCUGAAGUUAACCAUUUUAGGAUAUGUUCUACUAGGUUGAUGAUAUUGUUACUAGGUCCUAAAUAUGCUUUCUUGUUAAUUCAUUACCCCUGCUUGCGUAACCCUAGAACUGUUUUUGCUGGUGGUCAUCUCGGACGACUGGUUGGAAAUAAAGUGAGGAAUCAUAACUUAGAUCCUGUGGCCUUCCAAAUAAGAUACUGUACAAAGCUUUGUACUUGGGAUAAACCGUAUUUUGUUGUAUCUAAUUUCACUUCUGAGAGGUAAAUAAUCCUGGAAUGUCGUCUGAAAAAACAUACUAAUUGGUCAUGAGCUGUACAUGCCCUUCUUAAUAACAUGCCCUUCUAAAUAUCUCUUGCCAUGUCUUGUAUACUUGCGGUGUGGUGGCUUUUUACACAUUUGUAGAUAGCAGAUUUAGCAUAUUAUGGAACUAACUGCUCUCUAGGAAGCUUAUCUUCCUGGUAUGUGAAAAUUGGGCGCGACUUUUACUUUUGAGUUUGAGAGGCUAAACAAAUUGUUUAUGAUCAACUUUUCGGUUUAUUGAUGUUUACUUGGAUUGGAGAUCUAGGUCUAACUCCUGGAAAGCACGCUGACUAUUUAUGCACUGAGAAACAGAUAUUCUUGACCACAUUUUUUUUGUUUUGCAUUUUGAUGUUGUAAAUUUUCAGGCAACAAGGAUGUCAACUCCUGCAAGGAAGAGGCUGAUGAGGGAUUUUAAGCGGUUGCAGCAGGACCCUCCUGCAGGUAUCAGUGGUGCUCCUCAGGACAAUAACAUCAUGCUGUGGAAUGCUGUUAUUUUUGGGUAUGAUUUCUUGAGGCCAUUAGACUUUGUGUUACUAUUUUAUUUGUGUUGCUUUACACUUUGCUAAUACUUUGAUUCUUGAACUGCAGACCUGAUGAUACACCUUGGGAUGGAGGUGAGGCACUUCUAGUACCUAAGUAUAGGAUCUGAAAUAAUGUUGAUCAGUAAAGUUUAACAUGUCCCUUAUUUUUUGUUGUUAUGAAUUAAUUUCCUUUUUUCGAAAAGUCAAUCUCCUGUUGUUUGAUUUCUUACUUUGGUUUCUUCAGAAAUUAAUAUAUUUUUACUGUAACUUUUUUACUUCUGUAGGAAUCGGUCGCUGGGAAGAAUUAUAUGAAAUAUAAGAGAAUAUUGAGGGCCUUUAUCCUGGGAAUUGGUUGAGAACAUGGCUAAUAUAGUUAUAUAGAGGAAACUUACAAUAUAAUUUAAUUCACAAGAGAACAUUAGGAGGAUUUAGAAGACUUCUACAUUGCAUUUGUCUAGUGAUAGACUAGGAUAGUACUGACCUUGUCCAACCCUCCUUAAAAGGCCAUAAUUGGUAUAUAAUGAUCCAAGUUAUCAUACGUGGAAAGGAGUUCUCUCUUUUUUCAAAAAAAAAAAAAAAUUCAGCCUACCUUUUUGUGUAGCUUUUGUCAAUAUAUAUGUCUUCUCCAACUUGUUCACAAUGGUUUGGAGUUUUAUAUGCUUAUCUGUUUCUUAUUAAUAUUGUUAAUGUAAAAGUUCCACUUAUACAUGGAAAUAUCUUGAGUUUGCUAGGUACGUUCAAAUUGACACUUCAGUUUACAGAGGAUUAUCCAAAUAAGCCACCAACUGUGCGUUUUGUUUCUCGAAUGUUCCAUCCUAACAGUAAGUUCAGCUAGUGUCUCCUGUGUGUAAAUACCUUGUUUAAAUCUAUAUGAUACAAGCUGAGGGGUUGCCAAAUCUGAAUUUUAGACUUUGUUUUCAUUUAUAGGAAAAUAGAGUUUUAUUUCCUGCAUCACUAUAGAUCUUGGUUAUUUUGGGCUGUUGAUUAGAACUUUAACUGUUAUAUAUUUUGAAGUUAGCAAGGAACCUGGUUUAUCAAUUAUGCUCGAAUCUGCACCUCCAAUUUUAGUUAGUUUUUUUUUCUCCCAUUCAUAGACUUAUGGCCUCAUUGUUAGCAUAUGACCUUGAAUUCAAUUUACAAUUUGUUGGAUGAAAAGAAGGGCAUCCCAUCGCACAAGCCUCCUGCACUAUAGGUUCCAUUGAGGCCUAGAGGUACUUACCUCAUCCUUCUUACUAUGAAGCUGUUUUCAGGAUUCCGGCUAGCUUGUGCUUAGCCUUAAACAUAAAAAUAGUAGCGCCAUCUAACUUUCCUGUUGUUCUUGAGGAAGCAAUGUAGCUUACCUUUUUUUUAAUCAGGUUAUGUACCAACCAUAAUUUCAUUCAAGUUUAUUUAGAUGCAUAUAAUGAAUUUGUUCAAGUUUAUCUAGAUGCAUAUUGACCUAAUCAGUUUAUCACAUUAAGUUAUGAAACAAUUAUGUGGGGAGAGCCUUAGACUGUUCGACAUGUUCACCGCUAGAAAGGAUGGUUUUUUGUUACCUAACAUUAUAUGCAUUUCUCAUUUUUAUCACAUGUUUCAGCAAUGUAAUAUAUCCUUUAUCUUAUGAUAUUUUCUCUAUAAAUAGUUUAUGCAGAUGGAAGCAUAUGUUUAGAUAUCCUACAGAAUCAGUGGAGCCCAAUAUAUGAUGUAGCUGCAAUCCUUACAUCUAUCCAGGUGGAAUAAGUCUCUACUUUUUUGUUCUUUUUACUGGAAAGUAAUUUUCUCUUAUUUCGUUGAAAAGGGCUGAUUAGGUUGUUGAAGCCUCCAUGUUUCUCUCGUUAUUGUAAGAUUUCAUUUAGGGUAAAUUUCAAUUUGCCCCCAUGAGGUUUGCGCAUUUUCACUUUAUCACUUUGUGGGUUAAGAAGCCUUAACUAUUUUGUGGUUUUAUUUUUGUUUCACCUAAAGAUCUACCAUCAAAAUUGGGUUAAAGUGGUACUUUUUACAAACCACGGAGUGGUAUAGUAUAACACUUUACCAUUCUAUACUCUACAUUUAACUGCACUGUGGUAUAGUAUAACACUUUAACAUUUUAUACUCUACAUUUGACUGCACUGUGGUUUUUAAAAGGUAUCACUUUACUACCUUAUUUGAUUACUACCCUAUUUGGCAGGAGAUCCUUAGGUGAAAUAAAAACAAAAAGAAAAAACCACAUGAUAGCUAAGUGAGCAAAUUUUUAAACCACAGAGAGGCAAAGUGAAAAUGCCCUCAUAGGGACAUAUUGAAGUUUACCCUUUCAUUUAUUGAGGAACCAAAUUAAAAAUGUUCCCUUUCUUCAAUGUUGUGCAAAAGUGAACCUUUCAAAGAAGUGGGUAAUGCUCUGUAUUGUUUUCUAGAAGAUAUCCUUUAAACUGCUGCAGACAGGUAAACAAUCUAUGUGCUGCUGAAUUAGGUUGCCCAGUUUUAAAAACUGAAGUACUAUUCUGUUGAGACACUGUAAUGUUGACUCAUCAGUGGCCACUUGAAUGAUUCUGCUGGGUUUGCUUAGCAGGACUCGAGAAAAGUGAAUGUCAGCUGAAAUGGCAUUUAAAGCUUUGACAUUUAGAUAUCUACAUGUUGAUACGUAAAUUUGUACAUUUGAUGGAUUACUAUAUUUCAGUGAGGUAGACAUAUUAAUUCAUUAACAUCCAAAAAUGCAGUCAUUGCUUUGUGAUCCAAAUCCCAAUUCCCCUGCAAACUCAGAAGCGGCCCGGAUGUUUAGCGAGAACAAGCGAGAGUACAAUAGGAAAGUGCGGGAGGUCGUGGAGCAGAGCUGGACUGCAGACUGAUGCACAAUGCAUCCGACAAUUCCAACAUUAGCUCAGUUGGGUACUCUUUGUACUUGAAAAACCGAUGAACUUUAUGUGACUGUAUCUCUACUACAUGUCUUAACCUGCGUAUAUGCAUGUAUGUCAAACAUGAACAGAAGUUGUUUGCUAUUUCUUGCUUUAAUAGAUUGUUUGUCUAUUGUUUUCCUCGGAGCUUUUUCAAACUUCUGGUUGUUGCCUUGUUUUUUUUUCUUCUUUUUCUUUUUUUUGUUUGUGCUUCCAUUGGUCCUCUUUCUUAAUAUUCUCUGAAAUGUUGAGCUGUUUCGGUAAAGAAAUCAUGAAUAGCAGCAUCUAGCGCCAGAUCUGUGUCGCUCUCUCUGUGUCGCUCUCUUGUGCGUACGAACUCUUUAGUUGUUGUAAUUUAGUCGAAGCCUUUGUGCUCAAGGUAGUUCAUUUCUCUAUUUUCUUCAUGACCCGGGGAAACCUCUUUUUUUUUCUCCUAAUACGGAAACCUGAUUCCUUUAUUUGAAGACAAUCUUUCAACAAAUUCAUUUCUCUAUUUUCUUCCAAACGCGAGGAAACCUCUCUGUUCUCCCUCUCAUCACCUAAUACUGAAACCUGAUUCCUUUAUUUGAAGGGGAUCAUUCAACAAAUACCCUCAUUGCACAUUCUUUAGAUUCCUUCCAGUGUAAGUUCUUUUAUGAAAAGAAUUUGACUCACAUCUUAUGUAGACUGCAAAUGUAUAUUUACAAAAAUUAUUGCUAUAUUAUCAUUGUUUCUGAGUUUGCUUAAACAUACAGUACAAAAACAACAUUGAAGCAAGAGAGAGAAGCCAUCUUGAGAAAUCUUAAUACUGAAUGCUUAAGCUCUCACUGCUAGCCCAUCCAUCUUGCACUUGCACAGAAUACUGCAAAUUCCAGAGCACAUCAUCGAUCGAUGGUCGCUCUUUUGGAUCUUUUGAUACACAGUUUAGAGUUAUCUCUACUGCUGUUCUGAGCGAGUCGAAAGCAAAAGUGCCUUUAAUCGCAGGAUCAGCCAUUGAUUUCAGCUUCUCGGGGACGUCCGAUAAACUUUUCCGAAGCUGCAGAACACAAAAGGCAAUUUUAGUAAUACUUUUCACUUAUAAAGUACCUGACUAUUUUGCUUCUAAUUAGAAUUUCUACAAAUAAUUGUAAGAGCCAAAAGUGAAAUGCAAGACCAUGAUCUAAUAUAGAACAAUAAAUUACCUGAGCUAUUUCGGCAUCCAACUUGCUUUGGGAUCCAGCGAAUUUGCCAGUGAUAACUUCUAGAAGAAUUAUACCCAGCUGAUAAAUAUCUUCCUUUUCACCUUGUUCCAAUCUGCGAAUACUGUGAGAACAGAGAACAACAAAAAAAAAAACAAAAGAGUUAGAACUAUAUCAGAAUUAGCAUAACCUCUGUUAGAUUUCUCAUCUAAUACUCUACUCCUUUUUUUUUCCUUUUUUUCUCCCUCUGAUUUGUACACCUUGGAACAGUUUGAAGAACUCAUGGCUAACUUUUUCAUUACCCAGCCCCUCAAAUGGUCUCUAGCUUUUGCAGCCGAGAAGCUCUUUAAAGCUUUAACACCAUAAUGCAUCUUUUGUUAGCCAAUGCUCUCCUCGGAGUAGAGAAAACUCUCGCUAACAUAUCUUUUUAGGAAGUAAACUCUCUACAUUGAAUAACAUAAAAAGAAUAUAUUACCUCCCAAAUUCGUUCUCUUCCAUAAAAUUGAAAGGGCUUUCAGAACCUCCCUGAUAGAAAAGCAAAGAAGAAAAUUUAGAAAAAAAAGGUCACGAGAAAUUAUUAUAAAGAAUAGUAAUGAAAAUUUCACCAACCUUGUUAUGUUUAUUAUUUGGCAGAGCCGGAAGAUUAUAGUCACUGAUCUUUGCUGUGAGAGUUUGAUCCAACAAAACAUUCUCUAUGCUUAUAUCAUUCCUCAUAAUACCAGGGACAGACACAGUAUGCAGGAACUUAAUACCCCUCGCGACACCGAUAACUGCCGUCAUCCUCUGUGGCCAUUUCAGCAUCUCGCGCUUCCUCCAUUCUGUCGAAUGUAAAAGAACAUUGCUAUAAAAUCAGUUUUGUUUAAUUUUAUGGCCAUAGAAAUAGAGGCUUCUGGCUUUAUUACCUGUCAGAUGGCUCCUCAAAGUUCCAUUGGCGAUAUACUCAGAAACAAGAAAAAUAUUGCUGGUUGUGUUGGUAUUAUCCUGUUCAGUGACUAUGCAAUGACCAAUGAUGCUAACCAAAUUGCGGUGGCGAAGCUUCGAGACAAUGUCCAUGUAUUGAAUAAGGCUCGGACUUGAAUACUUUUGCUUUAACUUCAUACAUUUUACAAUCACCAUUGAGCCAUCUUGGAGCCAACCUUUGUAUUGCUGCGAGAAAAAGGUAACUUGUAUAAAAAUUGAGAACCUUAAAAGACUUGGGAAUAAAAACUAAAAAUAACAAAGUGGCGCAUAAGCUUUUUCAUCUUUUAUCUUAAUUUAAAGUUACCGUAUAGAUAAAGGAAAUACUUUGAUUGCGUACCUGUCCUUUGGCAUUGUCUUUGAUCAAAUUUGAUGGAUCAAAACCAUUUGUUGCUUCUUCGAGUUCUUCCAUGGUGAAAGUACGGUAAGGCAUUACUUCGAGUGCGCCGAUCCUCACUGCUUGAGAAAUAUGCCCUGCCAACAAAGCUCAAAUUAAGCCAAAUCUAUAGAAUUAACUCAUAAAAGCAGAUAAAAGUUCAAAUUUUCUUUCGCAUAACCUUUUCUUUGCCUACUAGAAUGUAAUAGUUAGUUGCACAGUAGCACUUCUAUAGCAUUGUUAUGUUCCUAUGUUUCACUAUAUAAAUGCUGCAAUGGUACUACAGCAUAAAGGAACAACUGUGCUUACUCUUCUCGGCAGGGGUUUUUGAAGAGACUUGACCCAAAGGUUUCCUCGCAAUCGGCUUUGCAAAUAAGCUGGAUUCGGGGUGAUGAGCACUUAUGUUUCUCAGAACCAGCACUAUCAACAAACCCAACAGAGCUACACCACCGAUUAUCCCCCCGACAAUACCAAGUAUAAGACUCAAAUUGCUCUUCGAUCCACUCCUCUCACUUGGCGGCGGCAAGAUCGCAGCCAACGCCCCCUGAUUGCAGUAGCCACUGGAAUGCUGAUACCGCAGAUCAGAAGAACUCAAACAGUUCCACGAAUCAAUCACGACCCGGCUCGAAGAGUUGGAAUUUAUACAAGAAGGAAGAGCCCCACUUAAAAGAUUAUACGACAGAUCGACAAACGAGAUUGAAUUGGAGCAAGCUAGAUUAGCCGGGAGUUGUCCUGUUAAUCUAUUUUGGGAUAAGUCUAAGUACUUAAUCGAUCGAAGCGAGAACAAAGCAGGCGGAAUCCAUCCCAUUAACUGAUUCAAAGACAAAUCCAGCACUUGAAGAUGGUCUAAAGAACCAAUAUUAUCAGGGAUUUUGCUGCGAAAGGAGUUGUUUUUGAGUACCAAUCUGACCAAAUUCUUGCCUAAGGAAGGGAAAUCGGGGCCGAAGCCAUUCGCGGACAAGUCCAAUUCGGUGAGAUUGAUUAAGGGCUUGAGAUCAGGGACGGUCAUAUUGAAGGAAUUAUUGGCCAAGACGAGAUUUUGAAGGGAGGUCAUUUUAGAGAUUUCCUGCGGGAUGGCACCGUAAAGGUAAUUGGAGCUAAGAUUGAGCACCUGAAGCGAAUUGAACCGGUCGAUUUUGGAGGGGAAGGCGCCCCAAAUUCCCAAGGAGACGAGGGAGAGGGUGGUGAGAGAAGGGAGGCGCGCGAGGGUGGUGAAGAGGGCGUCGGCGGAGAACGCCGGCGACAUGGGGGCCCGGCGAUCGCCGGAGAUGGAGAGGGCCGUGACGCGGUCGCCGGAGCAGGAGAUGGAGAGGGAGGGGGACGGGGCGAGGUUGCAGAAGCCAUAGUUGGUUUGGCUGGCGAAGGGGGAGAGCGCGGAGGGGUACUCGAGGAUGCGUUGGAGACGGAUUAGGGUUUUCGCUUGGGACGGUGAGAGGGGUUGCGCGGAGGAGGAGGAGAAGGAGAAGAGGAGGAGGAGGAGGAGAAGGAGGAGGAGGGGAAAGGUGAGGCUUUUGAGGCGUGAAUGUGAUAAAAAUCGCAUCUUUGAGGGGUUUUGAGGUGGGAAAUCAAUGGUGGUGAGAGCGAUCAAGGAUAGGAGAAUGUGAAUGUUGUAUGGGAGUUGGGUGUGUGAGCUUCUUCUUCUUCCGAAGCUCUUUCGAGUGGCGUAUUAGAAACUGCUCUCUCUGUUUCAGCAAUGGACUCUGUUUUUGUUUUGGAGAAGCUGUGUGCUCGUGUUUGUGAGCAGAGAGAGAGAGAGAGAGAGAGAGAGAGAGAGAGAAAAGUUGAUUACUUAGUAGAGAGAGAAACAGAGGAGGAAGAGGAAGAAUAGAGAGAGAGAGAGAGAGAGUGGGCGGCAAAAAGAAGUUGGAAUGCGAGGAAAAGAAGUGGAGAAGAGGAAGCUUUACAGCGCACCGCACGUGUUGGCGUCACGUGCGCUCGGGGGCGAAACUCGCCGUGCUCGUCGGGCACUAAAUGACCAAAAUAGCCCUGAGCAAUCGUCCUAUUUACUCUGUGGUGUGGUUAAAUUAUUCGCGAAUUUUUAAAAAUUUAAAUAAAACGGCCCACACGCUAUUCAUACAUAAUUGGCAUAUGUCAAAUUAUUCGAUCAAAAAAAUAUGUAAGAUUAUCAGAUAAAAUCUCUUUCUCUAUUAUUCAUAAAUUAUUAUCGAAUUAUUCACAAAUUAUUUACGAAUUUUUAAAAAAUUUUAUGAACUUUCAAAAUAUGUGAACCAUAAAAAAUAUACGAAGAUGAAUAAGACAAUGAACUUGAUAUUAUUUUUAUUUACUUAAUCCGAUUUAUUUUAUAGCUUUUUAUUUUUAUAUUUUUAAAAAUUUAUAACUAUUUAUGAUAGUAGUAUAAAUCUAGAAAAAAUUAAUUUAAUAAUUAAAUUUUUUAUCUGAACAUAUAAUUUUUAUAUAAAUCACGUAUCCAAAUAACUAACAAAUCUAUUUUUUAAAAUCAUAUUUUUUUAAUAAAUUUAGAAAUUUAAAUAUAAAUUUUAUUUAUAUUUAUUAGUAUCGAAUUUUUGCCGAGUUUGAAUUAACUAACAAUGGUCUGAACAUGGAAAAAGAGGGUGGACUCACAUAGAGGAGUAGAUUGUGGAUGGUGUCCUCAUAACCCACCGACGUUUUCUCAUGCCGCGGCAAAUACGGUACCUCCGUGCGAUUAUAUCUAUUGUAUUUACCGAUCAUCCCUAGAGUAAGUGGCAAAGGGUUUGGUAGUUGGUAUCAGAGAUCCAAAUUCGAAUCCUAGCUAGUUGAUUCACAUUUCCAGCUAAGCUUAUUUCUUAAUGAAAUAAAACGAAGCAGGUAGCGGACUACCUAUCUCUCUCUCAAAAAAAAAAAACUAUUGUAUUUAAAUAUUUUUAUAUUUUAUUUAGAAGUUUAAGCAUUUGUCAUUAGUUUUUACAUAUGUACAAUUCAUAAUAAUAAGCAUAUAAUUUCGGUGUCAUAAUACAGAUCACAAUCAUGAAUCCGAUCAAUUCCAAUCACGACGACAACUUCUCCAGAUUAUAAAAUGGACUAGAGAGUGAAGUAAAAUCUACCACUCUACACCAUGAUCUCGUUUUCUAAUAAAUUAUUCAAAAAGUUUUGAGAAGUCAAAGUCAAAGAUUAAAUGCAUAAUGGCCCUACAUUUCAUUAAGCACACUUUUUUCUAUUUUUUUUUUCUUUUUCCAACAAAAGAGAAUCAGUUAGAUACUCUUUACUCUUCAGUAGAAUCAGUAUUGGACUUAGAAGCCAAGUUACGCGUCAACGCAUCGAAUUCAUAAAUCGUAAGCUAGAUGGUGCCAAAUAGCCAACCUCCUUUUUCAACUAUGCACAAUAUUAGUCAAAACAAAAUAAAUAAUAACUCGNUAUUUUUUUUUUCUUUUUCCAACAAAAGAGAAUCAGUUAGAUACUCUUUACUCUUCAGUAGAAUCAGUAUUGGACUUAGAAGCCAAGUUACGCGUCAACGCAUCGAAUUCAUAAAUCGUAAGCUAGAUGGUGCCAAAUAGCCAACCUCCUUUUUCAACUAUGCACAAUAUUAGUCAAAACAAAAUAAAUAAUAACUCGUUACGAGCCCAUUAAUUUGCGUGGACUCAUUGGGGUUCGUUUGUAUCCGUUACGGUUCAAUUAAUUGGCGUCGACCUAACUUUCUUAACUUUAAAAAGAAAAAUAAAAAAAAAAGAUGGAGUUUUUGUAAUUUAACCAACCUAAACAACUUGAUAAAAAGGAGUCAAUGUGGUUUAAUCUCUACUUUUCAAUCCAACGCCUCAACUAAAAAGCCAACAACUAGAUCAAAAUUUGUACGAAAUAUCUAUCAAUUAUGUAAGCAAUACAUCUUAAAAUAAAAGUACUCUUUAUGAUUUGAGUUGUUAACAAAAAAAUAAACAAAUAAAAGAAGUUUUUUCCAUCAAAGUUCCUCAAGUAGCUUUAGUUGAAGUUAGAAUAGAAGCUCAAAAUUGAAAGCUUAUCGUAUAUUUUGUUCAGAUUCUUAAUUUUGAGAUCUUCGGGAAAAAAAGAAAAGAAAAGAAAAGAAGGUUUUUUUCAUGAUUCGAGCCAAAUGCCGAAGUUAAAAGCAGGUCGCACCGCCACUCUUCAAGCCUAAAAUCAACCUAACAAUUGAGCACAAAAAAUGGUCAAGAGCCAAAUUAUGAUGAUAGUAUGUGAGAGGGCCCUUUGAAAAGGCCCUUUGUUUUUUAUUAAAAAUUUGGCACCACCAAUUAAUGGUAUAUAUUGGUGCUUUGAGAAUAGCUAUAAUAUUAGAUUAAUGGAUAAGCAUGUGAAAAUUUUUGGGGUGUCCACCCACAUGUGUUGGCCUAGCUAGUAGGAACACUCCUAAGUAAAAGCUUAAUUAUCAAGAGAAAUCUUAGUUGAAGAACUACAUCACUCUCCAAGCAAUUUCCUUCUCUUGAGGUUAGAUUAAAUGAAGGUAAUAGAUGGUCACAUGGGUAUCAUGGAAACUUGUGUAGAAGCAUCAUAUAAACAAUUUGAUCAAGUUGUCAUGAAUCACUUAUAUGAUUGUAUAAUAAUUAGAUUAACUUAGAUUAAUUUAGAUUAAUUAGAUGGAUCGGAUUAGAUUUGAAUGAAAAUUACGCCUAAUCCCUUGUAGUUCUAGUGUUUUGACACAUCUAACCGAGUUAUAUAAUUUUUGGUGAAUUCCUAUAUAUAUUCCUCUUGCCUCAAGUUUAAUUCUAACCAUAAUGCUGUGAUUAAAUUAAGUUUGGUCCGUAUCCAGCAUCUAAAGUUAGAAAAUAAGCAAGUUGGUAAAGUUUGGGCCCUUUCUAUAUGUUCCUUCUCAUAGAGUUUGUAGCACAUGCUUAGAUCCCACAUCUACAUAUUUAUUGAAUAAAUAUGCAAUCUAAUCUAUUGGUAUUAUUAUAAAGCUAAGAAACCACUAAGAAGAAGAUUUUGAGUUAUGACCUCUGGAACUCAUAAUGGGUCCCCAAACUUAAAACACUAAACUCUAAAAUUAAUUUAGAAUACACUCUUUGAAAGAAGUGAUUGUUAUCCAGAAGAUCGAACCGACAGAAAUUAGGUUUAGAAAUAUAUUUAACAUCUUCACUUAUGCAUAAUUUGAAUUCGAAAGAUAUUUGAAAUUAAGAUGCAAGAUAAGAAAUGAAAAUUUAACCAAUUAAAAUAUAAUCCAAGAAGAAUCAACUUCACAUCUUUAUAACCAUGUUACUCGAAAAAUUGAUCUGAUAAGAACGGAUCCAAAAAAUAUAUGUAACAGUGACAUUGGUCCAUUGUUUGAUCAUGUUUGUGGUGGGUGAGGAAAUUGUGGUACAUGAACAGGGCAAAGUGGAGUGGGGUGUCGGUGUAGUGUGCACUAACAAUCUCAUCAUCCCCUUUAGGUGUCAAUGAAUCAUAUAGAACCCCCCAAUGGCAUAAAUGUUAUGAUGCACAUUAUGCCACUAUAGUUGGUGAGAUGAUAGGGCUUAGAUUCUCCCUUCUCUGGCUAAUUAUUUAUUGUUCAUGAUAUUGAAAGGGGGGAUCCAUGAUGGAUAUCAAUGUGGGAAUUGCAAUGAAAGGGACAUUGAGACAUAUCAGUGUGAAGUGUGAACUCCAAUUUAUACAUUGCAGUGCUAUAUAUCACUUUAUUUUCUCUCUCCACUUCAUUGCUACCUUAAAUAUAGCAUUUUUUUCAACUGUUCAUGCAAUUGUUCUAAAUUGCUUUUAUCGACUAUAUAAAUUAGAGAAUCUCUAAAAUUUACAAUGAUUCUGGUAUAUAUAAGUUGCUCUGAAUGCUUACAUUCACAUGAUCAAAUUGUUAGUUUUGUUAACUAGUAACGAUGAUUAAUAUGUAGCAAAAUCAUUAAUUUCAAUAAAAUGUCAAUUUAGUUUUUGAAAAUAAUUUAAACUAAAUAAAUGAAUAUCCUAAUGAGGUGUCAAUGAGAAGAUAUAAAAGUGGAAGGUCUAUUCCAAAAUGUUCGAAUAGUUGAUGGGUGUCUCCAUACAUUUCCACCUACCCUUCACUGACCCUCCACUUUUUUUUUUUUUGAGAGAUAGGUUGUUACCCGCUUCGUUUAUUUUAUUUAGAAAUAAAUUUAGCUGGAAAUAUGAAUCAACUAGGAUUCGAACUUGGGUCUCGAAUACCAACCACUAAGCUCUUUGUCACUUACUCUAGGGACGGUCGGUCUGACCCUCUACUUUUGUUCUUACUUUUUUGUAGUGUGUUAUUUAACCUGUGUAGCACUCACAUUCUCUGUGUCUCUUCCUAGCCCAUAACUCUCAGUAUUUUUGCAUUGAGUUACUUUUCUCAACUCUUGGUACAUUAAUGUAGCGUUCCACAUGACGUUUUUUUUCCUUUUUUUUUUUCUUUUUUUUUAAAUAUGUGAGCUUUAAUGAGAAACCUAUGAUGAAAUGCAAGAGGACAAAAGUACUAGCAAUAGUUGGCAUAAGAUACCAACAAUAUUGUAGCUUAUGUACAUCAAUUUUGUCUCUAGUUUCCUUCUUUUUAAUAUCAAGUCAAUACACAAGUAAAUAUAACACAGAGGUGUACGCGAAGACAAAAUAAUAACAAUAAUAAUUGUUGGCACUGAACAAGAUAAAAUUCUGUAUAGUAAAAAAUGCACCAAUAGUGAGCUAAUGGGCCGUACCUCCUAUUACCUAAAUGGGCCAUGUUUAGGCGAGGCCUGUUACGGGGUCUAAGAAGCGUGUUAGUCCCACCCCCACAUCGAGACUUAAAAUAUAAAGAAAAUACUCUAUACUGGCAAGGUCUGGUUUUUGUGGUACGACCUUACUUGAACAGGAUCUGUUCUUUUUUCUAUAUGAUUACAAUGAAUUGUAUUUGCAAUCAUAAGGGAUAGGACUUAAACGAGUCAUUACAGGCCCUAUUCAAUAGUUAAUUCUCAAGAUAAAACUACGACUACACAUCAAGUAGAAAAGGUUUUCAUUAGUCAUCUCCGCACAGUAUUAUAUGAACAACGGAAGUUUUUCAAUGUAUUAUAGAACUGAAAUCAAGCCCUCUUCAAUUACAGAUAUCUAUGCAAAACCAAUAGCGGUUGAUUAAAACAAGCAGAGCACAAACAUCCACAACACAUGCAAUGAGCAAUAACUUCGCGAAAGACAACAUAUUACCCUCUCAAUGUCUCAUAGUGUGAAAACUCUAACAGAAGCUCCCACACCAUGUCAACAACUAAAUUUUAAAGCAAACGCACUUUCUACUUCACAUCCAACAAUAAAAUUCUGAAUCUGAAAUAGCCUGAGUUGUCUUAGUUUAUUCAGUAACUCCAGCAACCUCCAUUAAUUCAGUAUCCUACAACCAAAACCAUUUCCAUCACUAAUAAUAUAAAACAGGAAUCAAGAGGAUAUUGCACAAAUAGAAUUUUGAACAAUCAUAAAUUACCAUGUUUUCUUUGCCUUCAUGUAAUAUCUCCUUUGGCAGUUCAUCAACUGUAAAUAGAAACCAAAGACAAAAAGGAACCGUCAUUACUAAUUGAGAAACACACACACACACACACACAUAUAUAUAUAUAAAGCAAAAAAGGUGAAACAAAAUUUUGACAUACCGGGUUCAGCAAUAGGUUUAUUUGGCAAACAGUUGUUGUUUUCAUUUCCACAAUCCUGCUGGCCCUUUUGCUUCGGAUUUUUGUUCUCCAUUUGGUUGUUAUUUGAAUCUUUUACAAGGAUUGCUCUUGCCGUAUUCUUAUUGUAAGAUCCCCUGAUCCUAGAAGUAGGUUUCCCCUUGUGAGCACUGUCUCCCUUGUUAGAGUCUACGAUAGAUGGAGAGUUGGAAUUCAAUGACAUGGGUCUUAGGCUCCCUGUUCUGGUCGUUGCAGAGUUUUGGUUGUUCUUUUCUGGCUUUCCUUCUUUAGGGAGCUUCGAACAAGUUUCAGAAACCUUUAACUGCUCAAAAUCUUCUAGUAUAUUGUAAAUUUGGAGUAGAUCUUUCACAGAACUCUCUAAUUCAUUUCCAAGAUCAUGUCUGGUUACAUAUGCUUUGAGCUCUUCCCUCAUUCGAUCCAAAGGCUGUGGAGUUUAUAUUCAUGAAAAGAAGAUUUACAGUAAGCAUCUGUAUGAACAAUAGUCAAGUGAAUUGUUUUCACAUAAGUGGAUAAGUUUCCUUCACAUGAACAUUGGUUAAUCUCAUGGACCGUCAAAGAGGAAUUCACUACAUUACUUCAGUGAAACGUGCAGAUAGUCCAUAUACUUACGCAGUUCACAACUUCAUCUUUAACCUCUUUACUUAAACAAUCUAAUCCUUCAACUUUUCUUCAUUUUACAAAUGCAUCCAUGGCAACUAAAGUAGAUGAUGCCCUUUUAUUUCACGUGUAAUGCAUGUUGCCCUUUCUCAUAGAACAACUAUUUUAGUUCAUUUCAUGUAAAAUGACUUCUCACUCUCCAAUCAUCUGGAACGGGUUAAAUGGUUGCUCUAAGUGGUCACCUCAGCUUAGAGUAUGUGAUGUAAUGGACACUGAACAGUAAACAGGGUAAAACAUGCAAUUGGAAUAUGUAGGAAAAUUCAAGGGCUGAAUCGUGUAAGUGAAAAGCUGGGGUACCAAAUCAGAUUGCUAUGAAAGCACGUGGACUAUCCCUACAUUUUACGUUAUGCUAUUUCAUAAAUAGCAUAUGGCAACCAUAUAUACAAGAAGAAUAUCAAGAUUAAUGAAAAGAAAAAAGAGUCAACGAGAAGAAAGUUACAUAAUAUCAAAAUAUAAGAAGACACACACACACACACACACAAAAAAAACAUAAGUACUAAAAUAGUUAAUGCACACCUCACAUCCUGAUUCCAGUGCAAGUUUAAAGAAACCCAGGGAAACCGAGUGCUUUGAAGAUGCUUCUGCCAGUUUAAUCUGAGUGAGCCAGUACGAGACUGAAGAUAAUGUGCUGAACUUACGCCUACUUGCAGACCUUGACACAUCAGAAGCUGGAGUGUCGCUUUUCUCUUGACCGUCGGAUCUAACAUUUCGAGUCUGUGAUGUUGGAGUCACACUCCCAAUUGGUGCCGGACGUGGACCAGUAGCAGUUUUGGUUGGUAUAGAAAGCCUUCGUGGAGGUUUAGCAGACUUGUCCUUUCCAGAGAGAUCUAGAACACUAACACUCUGGCUAACAACUGAAUAAGGUUUGGUCCUGGACAACAAGUUAUCAAUGAAUGUAAUGUCGGAUGCAUAAAUGACAAGAAAGCUAAAGUAUCUUCUCAAAGAAGAGAGUGAGAGACAGAAAACAAGAAAGGUAUACUAUAGCAGCAGAGCAGCAGUUUCAUCUUUGAACCCGGGGAGAAUAUGUGGCCUGAUAAAUUUUAAGCAUCAAAGCAUCUAAAGAAACAAUAACUAAUCUAUUCAAUCAGAUGUUAGGGAGUAAAUGGCAUGGCUGGGACUUCUGCAGAAUUGCUAAGUGAGUUGAGCUAUUUUAACCACAAAUAGCCUUGUUGUUUUACUCCCACCUCCCUCCCCAUCCCCACCACCCACACCCCAACCCACCAGAAUUGCUUCUAUUUGAGCUUGCUUUAUAGCACUUUGUAUCCAUUUUGAUCUGAUAUCUGAUGUCUAUAUUUAGAACAGCAAUCAGGAUGAUUUGCACUCUGACCAUAACAAAGAUUUCAAAAAUUUCUAGGGCAAUUAACAAAUGUUACAUAUCUGUCAUUUUUAGUCAAUCAAUUGCUUUUUUCCAGAUAUAAAACAUGACAAAGGUUUUUUAUUUGGUAAAUUCGUCUAAAAAUUCAUUGAAGCAGACAAAACUUCAUCAUAAUCAGAUAAUAAUUGAUAUGCAAAUAGCAUUAAAUCACACACUUCCCUAACUAUUGUUUAGCAAAAUACUAUGUAACCUAUCACAAAGGUAUCAUAAUCAUAAUAGAAACGCUUACACCAUUAAACUAAUGAAUAGAACAACGAUAUUAAAAAUCCAAGGAAGCAUUGGAUCUGGAAGAGUAAGAAGAAGACCUCUUUGACGCAGAAGGAUUCAAAGCCUCCGGCGUCCCCAAUUUCCCCUCCUUCGCCCUACUCGACGAACGCAGUGGGUACCUUAACUUGGAUGCUCCCAUGGAUGGAUCUAAUAUUACAAAUCAAUCAUCAAAAAUUAGGAAAAAAAAAAAAAGCUCAAAUCAUAGUAAUGAACAGGUCACCAGUUGAGGAAACUAGGAGAGAGAGAUUACCGCGAGAAGCGGAUUGAUCUGUUGCCGAUUCCAUCUCGUUCUCCUCUUUCUCUCCGAUCUCUCGCUCUCUGAGGAAACGAAAUGGAUUAGGGUUUGAGAAAUGAAGGGGGAAGCGGUUGUAGUGUUUUGGUUUGGAUCGUGUUCGAGAGGGCGCGAUUUAAAAGGGCAGGGGAAAGGGGAGGAGAGAGCGGAAUGCGGGCCCCACCUAGCCGUUUUCGAAUUGGGAUUUGAGCGGGAAAUAUGUUCGAAAAUUAAAAUAAACAAUGUAAUAAACGGAUGCCACCUCAUCCGAACGUUUCAGACUACGGGUCGGAUACAAGUUUUCAAUGGGCCCACAUAAGCCCAUAGGAUUUGGGUCCAAGCAAAUGAGUAGGGCCUGUUAACUAUAACAGGCUCUAAUCAACCAGCCCAAUAUUGGGCUCCAGCGGGAGAAUAGCUACAAAUUUAUUGAUUUAUUGAUUUAUUUAUUGAUUUAUUGAUAUGGCUCCACAAACUUUAAAAUAGUACUAGUACCAACCGGUAGAUAUUGAUAAAGUUAGAAUUCGAAAUAAUAUUCUACAAUAUUACAAAAAAGAGAAUGGAUUAGAGACAUACUCUUUUCAACAUUAUUUAAUUGAUACAGUACAGUAAUACGAACUUUAUAGUCAGUAAAUACUAUUGUAUAACAAUGAUGCGUAAUCUACAAAGCAAACAGAAAAUAAAAUAUAAAAGAAAAAUUAAUAUUUUUACUUCAUGUGUAAAUUCGUUCCAUAUUCGAACCACGACAGCAUUCAUGGAUAGAAGAAACGAUGAAACAACAACCUAUCGGCCAACGGACAACAUUCAUAUCGAUGACGGUUCAUCUUCAGUCAAAAAAAAAGGGGAGAAAAAAUGGGAAAAAAAAGCCAAUUUGAAAAAAAAAUUAAUUAAAAAAUCGGCGGGAAAUAUUACUUUCAUAUAUUAUUAAUAAAAUGAUAUAGCUUAUUUAUUAUGAAUAAAGUAAAUUAUAUAUUAUAAUUAAUAUAAGAGUUUUUUUUUCACUAUAAUAACACAUUUUACGCUUAAUAAUUGAAUAAAAAAAUGUGAAAGAGAAAAUAAAUAUACAUGCACGUAGGUAGAAGAUGGCAGGCGUUGGAGGUACGGAGAGCUCAAGACCUUAAUCAAAGGGAUAAAAUGAGAGCACGUUAGAACAUAACCUAGAAAACUAAAAAAAGAAUGGUAACAUGAAAAAGAAAGAAAGAAAGAAAAAUAGAAAAAUAUAUAUUUAAAAAAAAACUAAAAUGAAGAGAUUGAUAUGACGAUCUAUCUUCUCGGUGGGAUCCACACCCUCGAAUUAAAGAGAUGACGGUUAAUUUUUUCGGUAGGGCCCACGCACCCAAAUUAAAGAAAUAACUGUCCAUUUUUCAAAAAAAAUAUGGAGGAAAAAAAAAAUUAGUCACUUUUUAAAAAAUAAGUAUGGACCCACACCUCGAAAUUAAGAAGGUUAGACCAUAAGACCAUGAUUUUUUUUUUUUAGCUAGAAAUGUGAAUCAACUAGAAUUCAAACUUGGGUCUCGGAUACCAACCACUAAACCUUUUGCCAUUUGCUCUAGAGACAGUCGGUGUAAGACCAUAAAAGCUAAUGAGCUUUUAUAGAGAGACGCUCACACUACUCAAUCUCCAAAACUUUUCAAAGGAUUGUUAUUCAAGCCUAUGUUAGUAAAUUCGCGAAUUAUUAAAAAUUCAAAUUAAACUGUUCGUUUACGAAUUUUUUCCAAAGAUAGAGAAUUAUUCGCGAAUUUUUAGGCCAGCCGAAUAAUUCGCGAAUUAUUUAUGAAUUAUUGAAAAUAUGAAUAAAAAAUAUAUAAUUUUUAUAUUUAAAUAUAAAUUAUCUUAUAUUUUAUAUAUUAUAUAUUAUAUUUUAUACCGAAUCUGUUUUUUAAGUAGAAUUUUUCAACGAAUUUAAAAAUUAGAAAACGAAUUUUAUGCGUAUUAUACCUGUACCGAAUUUUUGCCGAAUCCGAAUUAACUAACUAUGAUUCAAACUAAAAUGUUGUGAUAUUAGGGGACAAACGUAAUCUGCACAUAAUCUUAGAUGAGUAGAUUCAUAAGUGAUUUCUUUUAAAAAAAAUGUUUAAAGACAUAGAUAUGGAAAUAUUAGAGCAAUUGUACAUAUUGCUUGUUUCGCAGUAAUACAUCAAAAUCAAGGAGGAUCAAGUUUGGUUAUAAAAAUGACAAAUUGUCAAAUUGGUUAUUUAAGUUGUUUUGGUAACAAGAUGAGAGAGACUUCGUGGAAAAUAAAUUCUUUUUUUGGAAAAAAGGACAAGUAAAUCUCUUGUCCAUAUCACACAUCACACAUUUUAAACAAAGAUCUCUCGUCUCGAUAAUAACGCCCUAGAACUAGUAGUAGAAACCGAUGUUGUGAUUUCUCACCAUUUGAUCGAGAGUGUGGAAAUGAUCUCACCACUCAUCGCUAACAUUUCACAAAUGCAUUUUGCGAUUAACAAAAUAUAUUUUUAUAAUUUCCAGAGCAUCAAAUUACACCCUGUAGCUGCGCACUCUGCAACUGAACGUGAAAAAUUGAUUGUACACCUUGUAUUCCUCCUUUAUCUAAUGCGAUAUCUAAAGAAUAUAUUUGCAUGUUGAAAACUAUAAAUUCUUAAAUUUAUUCAUGUAGACAUCAAAUAAUCCUCAAAAGUAACAACAAUGCUCAAAAUAUAUAAUUCACCAUUUUGUAACCCUUUUUAAAAUAUAUAUAUUUUUUGAGAGAUAUGUAACAUACUGCUCAUUUUGUUUAUUUUAUUUAAAAAUAAAUUUAAUUAAAAAUGUGAAUUAAUUAGGAUUCAAUUUAGGAUCUCGAAUACUAAACACUAAGCACCUUUUGAAAUAUUAAACUAUAAUUUUACACCUUUGUAACGUAAAUUUAGGUAGCGUUUGGUUCAGGUAUAAGCAAUAACUAAUUGUUACAGGAAUAGGUACAAGUAUGGGAAUAAAAAAAAUAGCGUUUGAAUAAAAAUUAAAUUGUUUAUGGGAAUAAGAAAAAUAACGUUUGGAUAGAUAAUAUAGAAUAAGAAAAAUAGUGAAUGAUUUUAUAUAGAAAAUGGAGGUGUUGGUGGGGAUAGUUAUAUCAAUUUAUUUCAGGUACCUGAGAAUUAAUAUUCUCCGAUAAAAAAUUUGACGUUUGGCUAUAGAGAACCGGUGCACGGUGCACCUAGUGCGCGCAAUAUAUUUAAUGAGAACUCACCACGCAGAUACGCGCCCAAUCCCUCCAAUUCACGCGCCCGUUAUUCCGACAGGUGGAGUGAGGCUCCCGCCACCUCUUCGCUGCACAAACCAGAAACGCCUCACGGCUCGCACCGCACCAACGGAAACGGUUGCAACGAGGGCAUUUCUGUCAUUUCCCACUACCCCUUCCAUUUAUAGUCCCCUCCUCCCUCUGCAAACUCCCUCCCUCUCUUUAGUAACCCACCACAGCUUCCCCUCGAAGCACCAUAUAAACCCCCAUUUCUCUCCCUCUCCUUCUCUCUCUUCUUCUUCCUCUUCUUNUUUUUUUAUUAGGAAAAAAAAAAAAACUAAGAUGUUGUAAUAAGGGGUCGCUGUAAAUGAAGUCGCAUUAUAGAACAAGUCGCGGCUACACUAUUCUCAUUUGGUUCUUUGUUUGUCCGAGACUCACUGUGGAGAACGUUAGAAUUUAUCGACGGUUGUAUUUGGUACUUCUAAUAGUAAAUAUAGCUUUUGCGGUUAUACUUCACCGUAAGUGAUACGGCUUAAGGGCAAAUGAAGGGCAAAUCACUUCGGGCAAGUCAAUUUUAUUGUUCUUCCUACUUUUGUUAAAACAAACAAUGUAAUUUUUGACUUGCACCGGAACUUAAGUUUUAUGCCAUCCGCUUACGUUGAAAGAAAUGCCUCCUAACUCUUAAGGAGGGGGAAAAUAACUAGUACUUGCAUAGAAUUUUUCAGAAAAUUAUAUAAGGCCUUUUGAUAAAUGUAGAGCGCAUUGGUAUAUGUAAUGCUCUCUUACUCUUUCUCCUUUGCACGUAUACGAUGCAUUAUGCACUUGCAUUAUAUAAGAGUUGCAUUCAUUACUAGAACUCCAUUGUGACCACUAGAUUUCUCUUUCUUAGAGGAGUAUGUAGCAUCUUUCUAAUUAAUAUAUGGUGACGUAGUGACUUACGCACUCUCUCCAAUCAAGGCAAGCAAUUGAGAUGAAGUUCUUUUUGGUUGAACCUGCAUAUGCAAAUAUCUUGCCAGUUAAGAAAAUUAACUACCAAUCACUCCUUAAACCAAUUAAUCAGUUUUCAUGUAACUUUCCACAUUCAGUUCCCUUUUUCUUCCUCAUUUGCUUCUUCCAUAUUUUUGAAUUACUCCAAUGUCUUACCAUUAAAUGCUAAGGCUUUCCAUUUCCUUAUUAAAUGCCCUUACAGUUGUUCCAUCUCGAAAUAUGCUCGAUGACAAAAUCUAGCUAGCUUUAUAUUUGACACAAACUAAGCGUACAUUGAUAUACAUAUCAAUAAUAGCUUAUAAACCAGCUCGAUCUCCAUUGUCUUUAUCCCCAAUUGGAGGAAUAUCUGGAAACCAUGGUUGUUUCUUUGGUCAUAUGCCUAUAGUGCAGACGGCCAAUCUUCAAUUGUAAACAUGAAGUUAACUUUAAUUGAAUGCAAACUUUGGGACGUUAAUGAGGAAGGAGAAAGCACAUAUGUCUGAUUGGUUUUGCAAUUUUGAGAAGAAAAUAAAUACGCAUUAUGGCUAAUAAAUCAUAAAUAGAAUAAAUAGACUGAAAACACAUUGCUUUUUUAUCAGUAUGACUUCGAACAUUGCUAUAUUGCAACCGGAAACAGAGUUUGAAAAUUAUAUGUAUAUAUACACAAACACGUACUAAUAGUGCCCUUCAUUUUCAACUGCAGAAACGUAAUUGCAGGACAAAUUGCUGCAUUGUCCUUUUUCCAGUUCUCCUCUGCUUGAUAAUAUCUGUCCUCCAGCAUUUUGUUAACGAUCAAUUAAAGGAUGUCAAUAAGGAACUGUCAAAACCUAGGAUAUAUAUUCCUCCAAAGUAUCCCCCGUUAUUGCAAGUUCCAAAACCGCAAUUUCGUGCAACGCAAUCCGAUUUUAUACCAUUUACAGACCUUCCAGAUGAAUCAUGCAAGCAGGCAAAUUCAUGCCCUGCUACCAUACUUGUAACCGGCAGCAACCAAACUUUUGCAGAGAGUAUGUUACUCCUCAGCUACUAUGAUGAUAUCGCAUAUCUUUUCAAUGCGAGAGUCAUUCACCUACUUUAUUUCUCCGCAGGUUUAACGGGCAACAUGUUCAUGAAUGUUGCCUCCUUGAAUUUCCCAAACAACCUCUCUACUCUAGGAGAUCUCGUUAUGGUGAGUUUUGUUCCUGGUUCUUUUAAUAUUUCUCUGCCUAGUUCUCCAUAACUUUGAAGAUUUAUCAAACAUUUCCAAUUUUAAACAUUUCAGGCGACAGACUCACCACCUUCAGAUGCUCCACCUAUUGGUGAACGUCUAUAUAUGCUUCAAUCUAAGUGCAAGCCAAACUUCUCUUUUUCUGUUCCCUUUCGGGUAGGAAAUGUUACUUUCGAGCAAGGUAACUUCUUUCUUUUCUCUGUAAAAUACACCACUGCUUGAAAUGGUUGUUUAAUACUAGUGGGAGGAUUUAAGUGCUUGAACUACUUACGAAAUCAUUGACACCCUUGAUUUUUUUUGUGGGUAAAUCAAUUGCAUCACAUCAAAUCUAGCAAAAUGAGUGGCAUUGCCCAUGUAGCUAUUAUCUGAAGCUUACAUGAUAGCCAUCUUGAAAACAUCCUACGAAUGGGAGGUAACAUGAAUGAUGUGAGUGAGACACCUAUGAAAAGUCAAGGUGUCAAUUACCUGUUUGAAAGGUUGAGGCGAAAGGUGAGUUUUCAAAAGCGUACAAAGGCUAGGAUUGAAGAUUUAACAUUUUUACCAGUGAAUGAAUUUUUUGGACUUAUCUGAAUAAUCUUAAUCGUUUCCUAUGAAAUUAGUGUAAAGCAUGAAUAUUCUCCAUAUUAUGGAGCAUAGUUUUUCUCAUGUACUCAACAAGGUUCCAUGUAAGGUUUAUCAAACAAAAGUAGCAACUUCUAAAGAGCAACUAUUUCCCAACUGGUUAUGUUUUUCCUAGUUUACGUUCAAAGAUGCUCCAUUGUUCUCAGAAAAAAACUAUUUCAAAUUAUACGUCAUUUUGAGUUCAAACUUUAGACCAAAGGAAACUUGGGAAAUCAACCAGGGAUAAGAAGUUUCCAUUUUUCAUUAAACCUUUCUAAUCUGCAUAGGCGAAAAUACUCACAGGGAAAUUGAUGUCGCAGUUGCGUCAUACUUUUACCUACCUUUAUUUACCUUUCAACUAAUUUGGCUUAAUCCCAGAACAGAAUUAAAAUGUCUGCAAGGACUGUUGCUCUGGCGUAGCAGUUCAUCACUGGUUAAUGAUGAACUAUAUAAGGGUUACUACCAAGGAAACAAAGAAACAAAGACAAAUGAAAUUGCUGCAGGUAGCUAGUGCUUAACUUUUCCUUAUUCUACCCUAAUGAUCUUCCUUGCAGAUAGAUUGCUAUUAUUUCUACUUCAUUUGUUUGCAGCAUAUGACUUCUUACAAUCUAGCAACAGAAGCUACUCUGUGAACAUAUGGUACAACUCAACGCGUCUGCAUAGAGCUGAGGAUCCUGUUUCACUGCGUGUUCCACGCUCUGUAAACAUGGUAUGCGCAUGGUUUGAUAUGUUUCAUUUAGCUAGCUCACUUAUCAGUGAGAUUUCUGAUAUUGCCACUAUUUUAUUCUAUUAUUUAGGAGUUUUCAUAUCACUUAAUUUAAAGGGAAAAUUUCAAAUACCACCCCUGCGGUUUCGCACUUUUUCAUUUUAGUAUCCCGUGGUUUAAAGUGUAUCAAUUUAGUAUCCUGUGGUUUCGCACUUUCUCACUUUAGUACCCUAUGGUUUCAUUUUUCUCUUUUUGUCGGCUCCUUUGUUAAUAUUUCGUUAAAUUAUAUACAAAAAAACUUCAGAUACCCUACCUAGGUUUAUCGAAUAUUUACUUUAGUACCCUUUAGUUUUAAUUUUGUCACUGAUGUUUUUUCCUCCGUUAAUAUUUCGUUAAAUUAUAUACAAAAAACUUCAGAUACCCUACCUAGGUUUAUCGAAUAUUCACUUUAGUACCAUUUAAUUUUAACUUUGUCACUCAUUUAACGAAAAAAAUAGUGAAAUGGAUAAUAAAAAGAGAAAAGUGAAACCACAAGGUACUAACUUGAUACACUUUAAUCCACAGGGUACUAAAGUGAGAAAGUGCGAAACCACAAAGGCUAAUUUGAUACACUUUAAAUCACAGGGUACUAAAGUGAGAAAGUGUGAAACUACGGGGGGGUAUUUGAAGUUUACCCUAAUUUUAAACAUGUGCAUGUGAAGUUCUCUCUUUCUACCUCUGUCUCUCUCUCUGAGUACUUGUAAAACGAUUUUCACUUAGUUUGAGUUGUUUGACACAAUAAAACUUGCUCCAGAAUGGAGCUUGAAGUUAAAAUUAUACAUUAUAAUUUGGAUUUUGAGGUGUGUUUCGAAUUGUUAUUAUUUUCACUGAUAAAGAUUUACAGGUCAUGAUAACGAGAAACUUGUUUAUUAUCAUGAAACUUGUUUCUAUAAUCACAGGCCUCUAAUGCAUACCUCAAGCUUCUAAAAGGUUUUGGGGUGAAGAUGCAGUUUGAUUUUGUCAGAGGUAUGCCAAAACCAGAGAGUCUAAUAAUAAGGCUGGAUUUAGCUUCUCUUCUUGGCGAGCUAUUCUUUGUAUGGACCUUGGAGCUGCUUUUCCCGGUAUGAUAUAGCAUAGUUCAUGCCAACCAUAUAUUAUCUAAUGCAGCCUAAUUCUGUUGCAUAAAUUGAUAAUAUAUGUACAUAUUGAGGUUAAUUUCUGCAAUGCCAAUGUAACUGUUUGUUGAAACUUGAAACUGUCAUUUGAUUCUUGGUAUUCUUUUUGUGAAAUCUAUUUUGCUUCCUCAGCUUCUAAUCAAAAGGGUUAUCUGAUUCAGGUUAUAUUGAACAAUCUGGUUUACGAGAAGCAAAGAAAACUAAGAGUUAUGAUAAAAAUGCAUGGACUUGGUGAUGGGCCAUAUUUAGUUAUAACAUACACCUACUUUCUUCUUUUAUCAUCACUUUAUGUUCUAUGCCUUGUGGUAUUCGGCUCUAUAACAGGUAAGGUGAUUUUUAAGAAAUCAAAAUAUGUUGGAAAUCAACCUUCAAAGCAGGGAUACAUUGGGAAUCAAGUCUCUUAUACUCAGUACUUUCCCCUUCCUUUCAGGUGUAUCGCUCUUUGCCUUGAAUAGUUAUAGCGUACAGUUUGUAUUCUAUUUCUUCUACAUAAACUUGCAGAUUGCAUUCGCUUUUCUUGUGGCAGCAAACUUUUCUUGUGUAAAAGCUGCAACAGGUAAGAUUUUACAUUACUAUAGCUAAUCCCUUUUACAGAGGUGAUAGUACUUAAAAUGAUACAUUGUGCAUAUUUUGUAUGUUGCAGUAAUAGGAUACAUCUAUGUGUUUGCCUCCGGACUUCUAGGACUUUACUUUUUCAAAGACGUCAUCACUGAUGCUUCUACCUCAAGUAAGACGACAAUUUUAUAUUUUGAAUACAUCUUUUUAGUCAUUUUAAAUUCCAAAAUUGCCCACAUAUCCCUGUAAAGUUCUAUAUUUGUGGAUUUGUUCCUUCAAAAUUUCUAAUGUCAAAAUAUUCCUUUGAAUUUUCAAAAUCUGCAAAAGUAUCCCCCUUCUUCAAUGGAUUGUUUGAAAUUGAUUUAUUAUAUGAAAGAUGACAAUUCUACCCUAAAAAAUUUCUUCUAAAUACAUCUCCUUAUUUUUUAUUUCUAGUGUCUCUAAUUCGUCUUUCAUGUCGUUUUACGUGAAUCCUGUGGAUCGUAAGUGUUAACAUACUAUCCCAAAAAUACGUAUUGAUAGAAGGACUCAGCCACCGCACUUAAGGGCUUAAUCACAGCGCUCAUGGGCUUCGAUCUAACUCAACCAUCUGGACAUUAGCUCUCUUGUUAGGUCUCUUGCCGUUAACUCUAUUGUGGGUGAUGGUUCCACUUAGCUUAUUGGGCUCAACCCAACUUAACUAAUUAGUCUCUUGGGCCUAUUGUCACGGGGCAGGAAAUUGAAUCUAUUGUAGACAACAAUUUUUGUCGGAUCAUUGGCACUAACCAUUUAUUUCAAAAACGUACAAACAUUGCGACUGUUAGAAAUAUACAAACCAAGUUAUUUAAAACGUACAAACAUAGUGACAACGGGUGUCAAUUGUGGCUAGGCCCAACUCAAACUCCGCCACUUUGAUUGUAGCUCAACCUAAUUUGGCCCCCCGACAUAGGGUAGGAUGUUGGCUGUGACACUCUUAGAAUUUGGAAUAGUCCUCUAUAUAUAUAAGUUAUAUAAUAUGGAUAAACCUCUUAACCCUAGAGUAGUUCUAGGAUCGGCGACCUUCUUGGGAAGUAGGGUGUCACACUAUCCCCUCUAAGCCAAUAAUCCCUCUCCCUCAAAGCAGCACAUACACAAAUUUGCCGCAUGCGGAAAUUGAACCCGUGACCUCUAGCUCUAAUACCAUUUGUCGGAUCAUAGACGCUAACCAUUAUUCUCAAAAGUUUGAGGUACUAGAAAUAUGUAGCCAAUUUAUAUAAGAUCUCCUGCCAUUUCGAAUGUGACUCGGCCUAACUUGGCCUCCCACCUCAAGAUAGGAUGUUGGCCCCUUUAAGCCAACAAAUGUACUUUUCAAAAAUCUUAACCAAACAUACUUUUCGAGGGCAUAUUGUUUUUAAUGGUGAAAAAUUAGCAAUCAGCAGAUGGUAAUUCAAGUAGUAAGGACAAGUUUGAAAUAUUUUGAUUUUUUUUUCCCUUUGACGUAGUAACAAGUUGAUAUCUUGUGGGUGACGUGUGGGUUGCAUAAUUACAUCAAUUUUCAAUUGCGCUCUCAUAGUGUUUUAAACCUCAAAGUUUGCCCUUUUCUUCGGAAGUUAUAUUUGAGUUUAGAAAAUAGUAUAUCCUUGGAAUUUUUUCUUUUAAAAUAUAAACCCUAAUCACUUGUGGUGAUGCUCUCUUGUUGUAGCCGGUCGCCACAUAAAAGGUUCGUAAGGGGGCUUAAUAUUGUGAUCUUUGGAGGGGAUUUAUUUUGCAGUACAAAUUUUGUAGCUACAAAUUCACAAUUUACUAAAUUUGCAGGGGCAUGUAUACAAUACGGCAUUUAACACUUUCUAUUAAGCCAAGAGAAGAUAUUUCGAUGGCCAGUGUAAUCUUUGAACUUGAUUCAUUAUUCACUUUCGUUUAAUUUUGUUGUCUAAGGAAUCUGGGUUAUGCUAAUGGAAAUGUUCCCGGCAUUUUCCUUGUAUCGAGGAUUAUAUGAGCUCUUAAACUAUGCAUCUAGGGGAAAUAGUUUCUUCACUUCAGCUUCAGGGCUUUCAGGCAUGCAGUGGAAAGACUUAAAUGACAGGGAAAAUGGAAUGGAAGAUGUCUUAUUUUUAAUGCUUUUGGAAUGGCUUCUGCUUCUUCUGGCAGUAUAUUAUUUGAAUCGCGCCACCUCUGUGGGAGAUGAACGGAGAAAUGGCACCCUGUCUUUCUUUUCAUGUUUCUCGAAAAAACAUUUCGAAGAUUCAUCCAAACCGAUUUUUCAGACACAAGAACUUAAAACUUCUGUAGAAAUGCAGAGGUCUGAUGUUUCCCAAGAAGUAAGCUUUCUCUUGCUGUGUAACUUUGUCAUUUGAUCUACUUUCUCGUAUCCUUGUGCAAAUUAGGCCUUACAUUUGUACGGGAGUAUGCUGACCAUUAUGCCCUCUGAUCUGGUCAAUUUUUUUUUUUCAGAUGAUACGUAAAACCAUGACCCAUUUUCUUUUUUUUUUUAAUGUGAAAAACCAAUUUUCAGAAUGGGCACGUUCUAGCCUUAAUUCUUUUUUUUUGAGAAAAGGUAGCAUGCUACCGCUUAAUUCAAUUCUCCAACAAUCCUUGUACAACAUACCCAAUCAAAUUUGAACAGUGUUUCUGUCAUCCAUUAUUUAUUUAUUUAUUUUUUCCUUUUGCCCCCUUCAGAGAGAGGUGGUUGAACAACUUCUAAGAGAACCUAGUACUAGUUAUUCAAUCAUAUGCGAUGACCUCAAGAAGGUGUACCCAGGAAAGGAUGGAAACCCAGAUAAAUUUGCUGUUCGAGGAUUAUCUCUUGCCCUGUCCCGAGGGGAAUGCUUUGGCAUGCUUGGACCUAAUGGCGCUGGAAAAACUUCUCUGAUCAAUAUGGUUAGUCAUCUGAAUUGGCAGUCUCAAUAGUUUUUGGUCAAAUUCAUUUGAAAUGUAGUAUAUUCUUUCAUUAUAAGCAAGUGCGUCAUUGGAGCAUUUAAGCCAAUGUUUUGCCCAUUUUUUUGCCUUUUCUUCCAUUUAAAUAUCUAAUAUUUUUCUUUAAUUGGAGUUCCAUUUACAGUAAAAACUUCAUUUCCUUAGAAUCAUGUGGUUGAUAUCCUAUUAUGUCUUUUCUUUUCUUAAUGUGGAUUGAAAUCUUAUUAUACUGUGUGAUAUUUAAUUUCUACUUCCUCUCAUGAUAUGAAGGGUCCCUAAUCUGUUUACAGCUGAUUGGAUUCAUACGACCAACCUCUGGCACAGCAUACAUUGAAGGAAUGGAUAUACGAGUAGAUAUGAACAAAAUUUACACAAGCAUUGGUGUUUGUCCGCAGCACGAGUAAGCGCUCUUCCUUAGCAUCGCAUAAAUGCAUGAUUGAGUUUACCCUUUAAAUUAUUAAUUCAUUUUAUGUUACUCAUACCAUUAAGGUUUUUCUUUUUUCCCUUUUUUGAAAUAUUAUUGUACAGUUUGCUGUGGGAGACACUGACGGGCAGAGAGCAUCUAUUGUUUUAUGGUCGACUUAAAAGCCUAAAAGGUGCAGCACUGGCUGAGGUAUUGUGUAUACCAAAUGAAUUAAAAUAUUGUUGUAAAACUUGAUUAGUAUGAGAAAUAUACCCUGAAAUUACAUAUUGGAUAGCCACAAAUACUGCAAUAGUGCUUUCCUUGCUGUUAUGAAAAAUCCUCAUAUAGCUCAGCAUCUGCCAGAUUAAUUGAAUAGAAUUUUAUUGGAGCUAGUAUUUGAACCUACAUUCCAAAAGUUCUCUUUCUUCCUUGGCUUCAGCUGUCAUGAAUGUUUGUUAUAAAAAGAUAAGUUCCAUGUGGCUCAUUGUAACGAGGUACAGGGUGUUAUGCCAGAAUAGUACUAUUAAAGAUCAAAGGAGGGAACAAGGGGAAGGUACACAAGGGCGGAAAAGAACAAAAUAAAAUAAAAUAAAAUAAAAUAAAAGGACAGAGUAGAGGCUAUUAGUUUGGCGUCCGCUAUGAUUUCGCCACCACAUCAUUGUGCCCAUUCUCUAAAUUCUCGAAGAUUCUUCUUUUACAUUCCUUCCAGAUAUUGUAGCAGCAGCUGCAGAGCAAGCAGUCAGAGAGUUUCCUUCAUCUCGCUUCCAUCGAGCAUCUAAUCUCUUUCCGUGAGUCAAGGCAGCUGCCAGUUACAAUUAAGCAGGAGUGAUUAUUAAGCCCAAGGAGCUUGAUACUCUCCUUCAAACCUCCACAGAGAAAAUACAGCAUCUGAAUGGAUGCUUAAUGAGUCUUCUUCAUAGUUGCAGAGUUUACAAACUGAAGGGGUCGUCCAAACUAAACUCUCUUCAUUAAGUAUUCACCUCUUCGUAGGCUAUUGUGACAAAGAAUCUAAAGAAAGACUCUGGUUGAUGGGUUAGUACUUGUUUUUGAAAUAUGCUUGUACAGUGGCUGCUUAAUACCACCGAAGAUUGAGAAAUCAUAUACGGAUUUGACAAAGAAUUCACCAUUGGGACUCCCACCUCCAACAAAGCUUAUCUGUAGCUUAUUGAGUAGUUACCUUGUAUUGUGAUUAAAUGUUGCUUCGUUUGAGUUGAUUGCAUUAAACAAGUCAGCAAAAUAAUCAAUUAAGACCUGUUUUCAAUUACGAAGUAAAUAUUAUACCUUAAUGACAUGAAUUCACUGUUUUCUGACAAUUCUUUUAUCUAUAUUUAUUUGUUUAUUUAUUCAUUUACUUUUCUUGCAGGCUGUUGAAGAAUCUCUGAAGAGUGUGAAUCUAUUCUACCACGGCAUCGCUGAUAAGCAAGCUGGCAAAUACAGUGGUGGCAUGAAGCGGCGUCUAAGUGUCGCCAUUUCAUUGAUUGGUGACCCACAAGUAUGCAGUGUCAUGUUCCUAUUUUCAGGAAAAAAUGAAUCAUACCAGUCAAUCAAGUACCACAAAAAAUUAAUGUAAUUUUUUUUUUCAGGUUGUUUAUAUGGAUGAGCCUAGCACCGGAUUAGACCCAGCAUCAAAAAAAGAUUUGUGGAAAGCAGUGAAGCAAGCAAAGCAAGACCGAGCAAUUAUUCUUACUAGUACAUUUUCUUUUUAAUCUUUGCCAAUAGGUUUACGAUUUACAUUCAGGUGUAGUUUGUUUGCGCUUAGGGAGAAAUGUUAAACUGAAAAUCAGAGGUUACACCACUAGUGAGAAUUUCCUCUUUUUUUUUCAGCGCAUUCAAUGGAAGAGGCAGAAGAACUAUGCGACCGAGUGGGAAUUUUCGUCGACGGUAGUUUGCAAUGCAUUGGAAACACAAAGGAGGUAAACUUAUGUUGGUAAUUAGUCAAAAAGCUAUAGUAGAGUAACAAUCGGAGCUCAUUACUUACAAGGGAGAUCUGUUGGCAGCUUAAGGCAAGGUACGGAGGGUCUUACGUACUGACAAUAACGACAACAUCGGUCCAGGAGGAAGAGAUUGAGAAUCUCAUUCGGAGUCUUUCGCCAAACGUAAACACGGUAUAUCGAAUAGCGGGGACGCAAAAGUUCGAAUUGCCGAAGCAGGAGGUGAGGAUCUCCGACGUGUUCGGGACGAUGGAAUACGCGAAGAGGAGGUUCAGCGUGCUUGCAUGGGGUUUGGCCGAUACUACCUUGGAGGACGUCUUCAUCAAAGUCGCCAAAGAUGCGGAUGCGUUCACUACUCCAUCUUAAGAAAAGGUAGCAUGCUACUCCAUCUUGAAGCGUUCACUACUCCAUAUCGAAAGUUAUAGUGGCUGUAAUUCCUAAUAAUCUAAUGGCGAGGUGAUGAAGUAGUAUAUUUUUGUACAAAAUCUGUAAAUAAUAUAUAUAUUCGUACCAAAUUGUCAAAGUAAUGACGGGGUUAUUGGAGGGUGUAUCAAUUUCCAAUAUUAGUUGUUUAAACAAUCAAUUAAUGAAGAAGUAGCAUCUUCCUAGAGAUUUCCUCGCUCUUGGACUUGCCAAUGCUCUAUCUCCAGGUGUUGCAAUUUGUUAAGUAACUAAUAGGAUGGCGCCUUUUUUUAAAAAAAAUAGUUCUGGGGACUAAUAAGAUGUACACACUUAGAUCAGUACUCCUAACUUAUAAAGAUAAAUGUGAUAAUUUGUCCACCUCAAUUGUCGUCCUCGUCUCUUUCUCCAAAAAUGUCGUAAUCCGAUUUCCAUUAUUGUCCUCCACUGUCGUUUUCGUGUGUGCUUCCAAUGAUUCUAUUAAAGUGUGUUUGGUUUGAUGUAAAAAUAGAUGGAAAAGAAAUUUUUCGAGAAAAAAUCCACUUGUUUGUUUUACCGUAAAACAUUUUUUCGGAAAAAAUAGUUAUGUAUUUGAGGAAAAUUUUCCUCUUUUAUUUUCUGUGAGUUAACGGUCGAAAGCGAAAACGCGGAUCUGCGGAGCCCACAAAAAUCACGGGGGUUGCUUUCAUGGGGUCCACGAGGCCACUUCCUCGUGGACCGCAUGAGAGCGGACAUUCCUCUCAUUUUAUAUAUAUAUAUAUAUAUACAUAUAUGUAUGGAGUGAGGCUACUAUGCUAUCGGAAGCACGGAGCCUUCCGUGCUUCCACUUCGUUUUCGAUGUUGCGACUUUCGAAUCGUCGAUCGGUUCCGUUAAACUUGAUCUAGAGUAUUUGGAGUACCUAAAAAAUAAAUUUUAUUAUUUUUCGAUAUCCUUUGCCUAGUGAUCGAAUGAGCUCAAAAUCAACAAAUUUCAAUGGCCGUAGUGAGCCGUUUGCAAGUUUAACGGUGUAGAAAUAUCCAAAUCACGUGAAAUUUUGAUAGAAAAUUCUUUAUACUAUAUAAAACAAGAUUAAUAUCUUUGAUUUAAAAUUUUAAUGUCAUAUUAUUAUAUUUUGUAAGAUUUUUAUUUUCAGCCGUUGAUUUUGAGCCCCUUUGUUCACUAGGCAAAUAAUAUCGAAAAUCGCAUAAUUUUUUCUAUGUACCCAAUACUUUAGUCAGCAGUUUACGGAGGCCGAUCGACGAGUUCGAGUGCACUCCGAAAGAGCGGGUGGAAGCCAGAAGGUCCGUGCUUCGAGGCUUAGUGCUAUGUAUAUGUUUGUAUAUAUAAGAAUUGGUCUUAUACUUUUAUAAGUAUUAAGUUUGAUGUUGGGAAGUUUUAUGCUUGGAUUAAGAGAUUGCGUUGGCAUGAUGUGUGGGCCCCUAGAUUGGUGGGUGUUGGUUGAUUAGUUAAUCUAUAUGGUUAGAUAAUUAUCGUGGAGUAAAUCUAUGUCGUGAAUUCAAGACACGUGAUUGUGCUUUUCAAGACUAGCGUAGCUUUGGAAUAUAUUUAUAUAUAUAGAGUUAGGUGGCGUUAUAUUAUCGGUAGCACGGAGUCUCGUGAUACGAAAUUGUUUUCAAUGAUGCGGCUUCCAUCGGUAACGAUGGUUCGUUGACUUGAUUACAUAUGAAGUAUUUGAACUAAUUCAUAUUUUCGGCAGAGUGUUCUUAAAAUAAGUUGAAUUAAAAUUAUAAAAUUAUGAUAGAGUAUUGAUUUAAGGAUUAGAGAUUGAGAUUUUAUUUUAAAUAGUGAAAACAAUUUCAUAAUUUAUAAAUUUGGUUGUUUUAGAACCGUAAAUGUCACAAUUCAUAUCCUCCAUAAAUUACAAGUUUGAGAUCUUGUGAUCACUGCGAUGAUAGGCAAAAUUAUGAAAUUUAGUUUCUAAAUACUUUCAAUAGUGUAGAUCAAGUCUAACGGAGUCGAUUGUCGAUUUAGAAUCCGCAUUAUUGAAAACAACUUGGUAGCACGGAGGCCUCCAUGUUACCGAUAGUAUACCAGCCUAGCUCAUAUAUAUAUAUAUAUAAUUUUAUUUAUAAAUAUAUGUUUAUUUCUUAUAUAUAGUAUUUUAUUUUUAUAUAGAGAUAUUAUUAUAUAAUAAUUUAUUUAUAAUUUUAUUAAUAUUUUUAAAUAUAUAACUUUUAUAUAUUAUGUACUAUGUUUAUUAUAAUUUUAAAUAUAUUUAAUUUAUAUACAGAAAUUAUAAUAAUAAUUAUAUAAUAUAUUAAUUAUUAUAUAUUAAUAAUAUAUAUAAUAAAAAAUACAUUAAAUAAUUUUUUAUUAUUAUUUUUUUUUCAAUCAAACAAUCGUCAUGAAAAAUUACUUUUUUUUUCUAUAAAUUAAACACCAAAUAAUGUAAAACUUUCUUUCAAUCAAAAUUUUUUUUCUAUUUUAUGUAGAACCAAACAAUCCCUAAACUCAAACAUUUAUUAAGAAAACAGAUGGAUAAGCUUCCAAGUUUUUAAUGAUUACGUAAUAUCCAUAACUAUAAUAAUGCUACUUGGUAAAAAUUAAGGCUACACAUUUGACUUGAACCAUACGAUCGUUUACAUUUUUUUUUAUUUUGGCUUUUUAACUUUUUGGAUGUACCAUACUACCGUGUAAUAAUUGUUCAGAGGGCUUUUUUUUUUUUUGUAUUUAGCCGUCUGGCAAAUUUUUAUUUUAAAAUUAGUCCUGUUAAAAUUUAAUUUACAAAAAUGACCCUUAAGCCUGCUACGCAGGCGCUAUGUUAGCGGCACGCGGGCAAGGCGGGGGCCCGUGUGUUAAGUUGAACACGGUGAAUGAUUCACCGUGUUCAAACACGGUGAAUAAUUUACCGCGUUUAGUACGUAUUUUUAUUGAAAGGAGGAAUAGGGAGUAGGGAUGUUAAUAGGUAUGGAUAUUCGAAAUAUUAUCCAAAUCCAAACCCGAAUAAAUUAUAUAUAUAUAUAUAUACAUAAUUUAUUUUUUUUAUUUAUACAAUAUAUAAAAUAUUUAAUAAUUUUUAUUUCUUAGAUUUUCAUCCAACGGUAUAGAUUUUUAAAAUUCGCUGGGUUCAGGUUCGGAUUUCGAGUUUUUGGUCAGAUAUGGAUAUGGAUAUGAAUUUUUAAAAUCCGUCGGGUUCGGAUCCGGGUUUGAAUUUUAAUUUGAUUUUCGGAUUUGGGUUCGGAUUUUUGAAAAAGAGAAAAAAAAAAUACAAAUUUUCUAUUUCUCUUUUCAAUAUACAAAAAAUACAUACCAAACACAGUGAAUCUUUCACCGUAUUUAGAUACGGUGAAUGGUUCACAGUGUUUAACUUAACUACCGCUCUCAGUCCCGCCCGCGUGGUGCUGACGUGCUACCUGCGUGGCAGAUUUAGGAUCAUUUUUACAAAUUAAAUUUUGAUAAAAAUAUUUUUAAAAUAAGAAUUUGCCGGGGGAUAAAUGCAAAAAAAAAGCCUCACGAGUAAGCUCGUAGCUUAAGCUUCUCCCUAGAGAGCAACACCCCCACAGUCAAAGUCAACGCACAUGGCGGGAAGAGAAUAUUCAUCGUUAUCUCCAACUUCCCUUUUUCUUUAAAAAGAGAAAAAGAAAAUUCUUCCUUCUAUUCCCCUCCUCUUACAUCCUAACGGAUGCUUUUCGCCUGCUCCAAGUCUUCGAUGUAACGAAACCAACAAAGGAAAAGGCCAAAAAAGAAAAAAAAAAGAAAAAAAAAAGAAGCCGUUAAUGGAUUCCUCCGCUUUGGUGCCUCCGAGUUUCCUCGCUCAAACCAAUGCUCUCAUGCGGAAAAACCUCAUUUUCCAGGUGAUUUAUUCGAGCUCUUCAUUUUUUUUCUUUUGUUUUUUUUUUAGGGUUCUGAUCUGGGUCUUAAUCUAUGAUAUAUGCUUUUCUUUUUUAAAAAAUUAUUAUUAAACGGUUACGACCAAUUGAGUGAGAUCUUAGAAUUAGGUUGGGAGACUUCAAGUUCAGCGGAUUAAAUAUUGAAAUAACAUGAACAACAACGUCUCCUGGAUCUGCAGAAACGGAAUCGGAAAUCAACUCUCCGGCUAGUGGUGUUUCCAAUCUACCUCUGUGUUCUACUAGCUGUACUGCAAACAACCAUCAACAAACAAUUGAACAAGCCCAAGUACAGAUGCGGCUGCAAAUGUGUCGAUGCGAACGGCGACGGCUCUUGCCAAAAUGUGUGCGGAAUUCAGUACUCUACGCCGGAUCAAGCCGACAGUUGUGCGAUACCGAGUCCCCCGGAGUGGCCCGCCCUGCUGCAAGUGCCUCGACCCGAAUAUCGCGCUGCUCGGGCUGCUUCCGGUGAUCCUAGGGACUUGCCGAAUGAGUCGUGCAGAGAGGCACGGUCUUGUCCGGCUAGCAUACUCUUCACGGGGAAAAAUGAAUCGCUGUCGGGCAGUAUGUUGAUUUCUACUACGGUUUAUGUAUUAACAACUGUAAAUAUGCGUGAAUUUUUCGGUCUAAUGUCGUGACACUGGACUUCUAAUAUGGCAGGUUUGGCGUCGAACUUGUUCGCAAGCUCGCCACUUUCAAAUCUCUCUGAUUAUCUGAGCACUCUAUCGGAUUUAAUCGCAGUAAGUUGAAUUAAGUUGAUAUGUGCUUUUCCUGAAUUAUCUUUAUAAUUGUCAGAGUUGUUAACUGGGACUGACCCUUCCUUUCGACUCCAAAUUGCUCAGGGCACAGAUACACCGACCAGAUAUACAGAGUUUGUUGAACCUGCGUUUUUCUCAGGUAGACCCGUAUACUUUGUUCAACCACAGUGUCGACAAAAUAUUUCGCUUACGGUCCCUGUUAGCGCUUCUUCAGUCACACUUAUGCAAGGUAUCAAAUUUCUCAUUCGUCAGGAAAAAGGCCAUUAAUUUUCCUUUGUAUUCAGGCAGGAAAUGAUAAUUUAUCUCUCUAUAUAAAUAUAAAAGAUGGAGUUGAUAAAUACAAAAAUAUUACUUCUGUGGUUUUUUUGUCGCAAGUUCUCUAAUGAGGUCGGUUGCAUCGUAUAUUUUGCCCUAAAACAUGUUUUAUCGAUGUUUGGAUCAGAGCUAAAAUGUGUUCAAGGAUUGCCUUUGUGGCGAAACAGUUCCUUCGAGAUAAAUGAUGAGUUGUUCAAGGGUUACCGACAAGGGAACACAGAAAGAAUGAUUAAUGAAUUUACAGCAGGUUUGUUUAGCUGGUCCUAUAAUCAAAAUAAUUCUCUCACUCUUGCUUUUCAUUUUUUUGUUUUUUAUGCAUGAAGGACUAAUCCUGUUAUUUUUCUUCGUGUUGCAGCUUAUGAUUUCCUAAACUCCAAUUUGACGAAUUUUAAUGUGAUUGUUUGGUAUAAUUCAACCUACAAAAAUGCCACUGUUGGUAGCCCGCCUGCACUUUUGCGUGUUUCGCGCUCGUUGAAUAUUGUGGGUGUCAAUGGCCUGCUUAAUUUCUAGUUCUCUUUCCUUUUCUACUCGUUUUCUCUUUGGUUUAAAUUAUUCUUGAUAUUAAGGAACAAGAGUAUCUUGAAUACUCUGGCACCAAUGUUCAGAUUGUGCUAUGCUUUGAUUUCAUUUGAAUUCGACGGAUUUAUUGCAUGUAUUUCUUUCUUUUUUCCCCUCUCAUUGGUUGCUAAUUUUUCUAACAAAUUAUUAGUUAAAAUAGGCCUACUUUACAAACCGAUGCGAGCAAUUAUGAAGUCCUGAACACUACAAAGAUACUUUGUGAUUUCUCAGAAGAAUUCUGUAACAUUGUUAUGUACCCUUUAUACACUCACUUAGACGUACUCUUAAUACAAUUGAAUAUUUAAUGGUCAUCUUGUUUUAUGAAACCGGAUGAGAAAUUGUCUACAUCUUUAUAUAAACUUUUCCACUUGAAGGGAAAAUAAUCCGAGAGGUUUGCCCAACUAAGCAUUUGACAAAUGCAGUUAAUCUUAUAACAUGAAGGUCAAUGAGGCUUUGGAGGACAUAAAUAUUUCUAUUUUUUUCAGUGAAGUAGGAAUCGUUUUCACUUUGCUUUGUGAUUUCUGGUGUAGUUUUUAUAAUUUUAAAGUAGUGUAAAGGCUAUCUUUCACCUCUAAUGAACUUCUUGUUUGCAAGCUUAUGUAGGUCUCAAAUGCCUUCCUUGAGUUCUUACGAGGGAAAGGAGUGAAGAUACAACUUGAGUUCACUGAAGAAAUGCCUAAACCUGCAACUCGCUUAACAUUCGAUUUUUCAUCUCUUGCUGGUCCUCUCUUCUUUCUGUGGGUUAUAGAGCUACUGUUUCCAGUAAGAUCCUUAUCCUGAAUUUUUUGGUCCUCAUGUUUCUAUAAUACAUGAUUUCGACAUAAAAUUGGUUAUUACAUAAGGCAAAUAUGUCAAAUGAGGUUUCCUGUGGUUGCUAAUUAUUUUAAUGUACGAUAAGGAAACAUGAAUGCUAUUUCUUAAGGAAAUUGAACGUCUUAUAUAAUUCCAACUAUUAUUUACAUCAGUUAACCAUGAAUAGAUACCAUCAACUGUAAACUUUUUUUUUUUUUUUUUAAAUGUGGUCAUGAAUUAUAAACUCUAUGUAAAUCCUUCAACUAUUUACACCUCUAGUACCAUCAGUUGUUUAUUUUUCAUUUGGAGUAUGUAUUGCUUACUUUUUCUGAUGCAGGUCAUGUUGACGUAUCUAGUCUACGAGAAGCAACACAAACUAAGAAUAAUGAUGAAAAUGCACGGGCUAAGGGAUGGCCCUUAUUGGGUUAUAUACUACUUGUAUUUCCUUCUCCUCUCCUCCAUAUAUAUGUUACUUUUUGUGAUUUUUGGAUCUCUAAUAGGUAAGAGAAUUUCUUACAAAUGGCUUGUAAAAUUGCUGUUCCAAAUCAGGCAUUCAUAUAAUUUUUUUUUAAAUUUUUUUUUUCCUUUUUUUGGGUGCAGGGCUAAAGUUCUUCAGCCUGAAUGACUACAGCAUACAGUUUGUAUUCUUUUUCAGCUUCAUUAACUUACAAAUUGUACUCGCUUUUCUAGCGGCAACAUUCUUUUCCAAUGUGAAGACUGCUCAAGGUCCAACAAUUUUCUGAAUUUCUUAUCUACAAAAGAUUUAUGAUCUUAUUUGUGACUUGAGUUACAUAGUAUUUCCUCUGUUAAUCUUCUUGAUUGUAGUAAUUGGCUACCUAUACAUAUUUGGUUCUGGGUUGAUGGCAGCGUAUCUUCUUCGGUCUUUCAUUGAGGAUUCAUCCUUCCCAAGUAAGUUGAAUCAGUCUAUUCAGGUUGAUUAUUUUAAGCCCCAUGCUUAUAUGUUUUUAAGGGCUUUCACGUACGUGUCUCUACAAAGUUAUCCAUUUAUAUGUAUAUAUACACUUAUAAAACCUUAAUUUUCAUAUACCCCUCAUAAGUGCAUGUAAAAAAUUAUUUGAUAUCCUUCUCCUGUUCUGAUUGUUAUGUUACCUCUUUGCUUCUUUUGCUGUUUUAGGACAUUGGAUUACUGUUCUAGAGAUCAUACCGGCGUUCUCUUUGUUUCGAGGGCUAUAUGAGUUUAGCCAAUAUUCUUUCAAUGCAAGUCAAGUGGGUACGUCCGGUAUGCAUUGGAGAGAUUUGAAUAACAGUGUGAACGGAAUGAAAGAUGCCCUUAUUAUCAUCAUCGUGGAAUGGCUGAUUCUGCUCCCUGUUGCAUAUUAUUUGGAUUAUGCUCUCUUACAAGGCAGCAGAAUGAGUCAUCUAUGUUUUUUUAGAUCCUUUUUGAGGAAGACUCCAAAUUUACGUAGGAGGCCAAGUCUUCAUGAACAGGAUUCAAAUAGAUUUUUUCUUGACAUGGAAAAGGAAGAUGUACACAAGGAAGUAAGUUAUUGAUGUUGCAACCCUUGAGCUGUUUUACGUAAUUGAAUCAAUGUUGCGUGCCUGAGAAUUUUAUGGGAUUUUUGAAAAGAUAAUCCACUUCUUUUCUUGGACUUGUAACUUCGGUCCACUUUUCUUUCUUUUUUUUCGUCUUUUUUUUUUUAAUCUUGGGAAAUUCAAGCUAAAUUCUUUCUUAUUAGCUGCAAUGCCUUUCACGCCACUUGUUGACAAAUCUUUGCACUUCAGCUUCUAUCUGGACUUUUAUAGUCCUUUCAUAGUCCAUGCAAGUAUAUAUUUAGUCAAAAUUGCAAUGAUAUAUAAAAUGGCCAUGUUAUACUAUCUAAUAAUCUUUUGGUCUUUUAUAUGGCUUCCUUAUGCUAAACUCACAGUGAUAAGUGCUUAUUUCCUUCCAAAUUACGCACUAUUAUCUCUUAUGAUUUUUUGUGAUACUGUUUCAGAGGGAGAUGGUUGAACAACUUCUAGUAGAACCUAAUACAGGGUAUUCCAUCAUCUGUAAUGACCUUAAGAAGGUGUAUCCGGGAAAGGACGGAAACCCUAAUAAGUUUGCAGUUCGAGGUUUAUCACUUGCUUUACCCAAUGGGGAGUGCUUCGGUCUGCUUGGCCCUAAUGGUGCUGGAAAAACCUCUUUUAUUAACAUGGUUUGUUCUUAUAUAUUCAACUUUUUAUACAAAAAAAUCGCACAGGUUUUUUUUGCUUAUUUCAACCAUAUUCGAUUUGCUACUCGAUGUAGUGCUUUGCGAAUUGUUACUCCCAGCUAUUCGGAGGCUCUGAUGUAGUGUUUUUGUUUGUUUUUUUUUUCACCCCCUCUUGAGGCCGUUGUUGCCUCACUCAUGUAGCCUAGUUCAUCAUUUCAAUGAAUGAAGUGGGUAGCGUGCUACCUUUCUCUCUCUCUAAAAAAAAAAGAACUUAUAACCUAUUUGCUCAUCUAUCUAGAUGUAUUCCACUGCUUCUAUUUGCUGCUUCUAUUUGCUGUCUUAAACAGCUGUACACUUCUUGCAGAUGAUUGGGCUUACAACACCAACGUCAGGAAAUGCAUUAGUCCGCGGAUGCAACAUACUGAAUGACAUGGACAAUAUAUACAACAACAUGGGUGUUUGCCCACAGAAUGAGUAUUGUUUCCUUUCCCAUUCCAUUUUCAAAGUUCAAUAGCGAACGAAAGAUAUCAUCUAAUUUUUUAUUUGCUCCUUAAUCAAAUGCAGCAUGCUAUGGGAAAUGCUGACAGGUAGAGAACACCUUAUAUUUUAUGGCCGAUUAAAGAAUCUCAAAGGUUCCACUUUAACACUUGUAAGUCUGUCAAAAAAUAAAAAUAAUUCUAAUCUCCUAUAGUGAUAUUCCCUAAUUUUCUUCACUUUUUGUGAAAUAAAAAAAUAACAUUGCCAUAAAUUGGUAAUGAUGUUUUUGUUCUCAUUUGAUGUCAAUUUUUCAGGCUGUUGAAGAAUCAUUAAGAAGUGUAAAUCUAUUACAUGGCGGUGCUGCUGAUAAGCAAGUUAAGAAAUACAGUGGCGGCAUGAAAAGGAGACUUAGUGUUGCCAUAUCUCUAAUUGGAAAUCCUAAAGUAUACUAUUCUACAAGAUCAUUAUUCAAUCCCUUUCCACUAUUUGGUGUUCAGUUGCACUGUAUUAACUGUGAAUUGUUGCAACAGGUUGUGUACAUGGAUGAGCCAAGUACAGGGUUAGAUCCUGCUUCAAGAAACAGCUUGUGGAAUGUUGUGAAGCAUGCAAAGCAAGACAAAGCAAUUAUUCUUACUAGUAACACUCUAAACUCAAUCGCCGAUGCAUUCACUAAGUUCGGUGUUUGUGCAGCCGCUGCAAUGCUCCUGUCACCACUUUCUUUGGCUUUUGGACCGUAAAGCUCUUUUGAGUAGGAAGCUGUGAACAAAUUAAUAGCUCACUUGUCCUAAUUGUCUAUAUUGCAGCUCAUUCGAUGGAAGAGGCUGAGGCUCUAUGCGAUAGGUUGGCGAUUAUGGUAGACGGAAAGCUUCAGUGCAUAGGAAGCCCGAGAGAGGUAUAACGAUAUAUGUUUGAUAUUUCACAUUCUAUUAUAGAAGCUUCUAAACUAUACUAGUGAGUUUUUAAUCUCUGUUUUGGAAAUGUUAGUGGUGAUAUAUUUUCACUUUCUUUGACAAAGACCAAAUGAGUUUUUCUGAAAAGGAAAAAAAUAUGCUUGAAAGUUUCAUUAUAUGUUCUUUGAAAAGCACAUUCAUUUAACUUUUCAGAGGUAUGCCCAAAAUUUUUCAAACUUUUUGAGAGGCAAGUUGAAUCCGUUAUCUAAAGUUAAAUCAUCAUCGAAUGUUGUGUAGUUGUAUCUGACAAGCUUUAUCUUAUUUCUGUACUUGUUUGUGUCUGAAAUGGAAUGUAUAGUCAUAAAUGUGAGAACACUGAAAGAUUAUUUAUCAGGUUCUUUAUCAGUAGCAAUUAGCAUUUCCUUGCAUCAAAAAAUAUGAACAUGAAAAAGCUGAAGCCAUUAAAUUUUUUUUUGGUUUCCUUUUUGGCAGUUGAAAGCGAGAUUUGGAGGAAUUUAUCUGCUGACAAUGACGACGUCUCCAGAAACGGAGCGAGAGGUAGAGAAUUUAGUCCAUGGACUCUCUCCCAGUGCGAACAAAAUAUAUCAUCUGUCGGGGACCCUAAAGUUUGAACUGCCUAAACAAGAAGUCAGAAUCGCCGAUGUUUUCUCGUCCGUGGAGAAUUUCAAGAGAAGAGUUGCUGUGCAAGCUUGGGGUUUGUCCGAUGCGACAAUGGAAGAUGUUUUCAUUAAAGUCGCUAAAGGAGCAGGCUCAUUUGAUGAAUUUCCAUAAUUGCUACAAUUUUCUUCUCUCGCUCAUUAUCCAUCUGAGCUUCUGCAUUAGAGCAACAUUAUGUAUCAAAUAGUAAAGAAUCUACAUGAUAUAAUGAUGUUUGUGUUAAUCCAAGCACACAUGAUUUUCUUGUUUUCUAGCAUUGAACAUUUCAAUGUAUCAAAAAUUUAAAGAGCUGUAACUAUUCACUUGUAUUUUACUAUGGAAUAUAAUUCAAUUUCUUGUUUUACCGUGAAUAAGUCAAGACAUGUAGCUCUCGUACAAAUCAUAUAUUUUAUGUACGGAAAUAAACAGAAUAUUCACAUGGACCGUCUAUGUUGGACGCCCACAUGGUAUUCCUUUGUUGAGGAUCAGAGGAGGUGACGAUCCAAUCUGUAGCUGUUCCUUUUUUUUUUUCUUCUCGCGAGGCCCUGGUUGUCUCAUCCUUGUAGCCUAAUUCACUUACUCCAUGAAUGAAGUGGAUAGCGUGCUACCUUUUCCUCCAAAAAAAAUAAAUAAAUAAAAUAAUAAUAAUAAUAAUAAUGACUCAGUUGGAUUCAUAUCACCAGCCCAACCAGAAUCCCUUUCCAUCCAAUAUUGGGCCUAAUUGGGCCGUAAAUAAAGAGCCCCGUAAGAGUUCAAGUCCCACACGAGAAAGAGAGACACGAAAAUGACUCGUAAUAAAAGUGCUUUCUCUAAUUCGCGCGGGCCCCACUCCGAGGAGAAAAAGUUGGAGGCGACUGUAGCGGAUGAAAAUGUGCUUGCGUGGCAGAUUCAAAUUACUGUGCGAGUCCGACACGUAAACGGACAUCGUAGACUCUUUGCAUAAUGAACUCGCAACACGUGGCUCCGACGACGUAAACGGCGCGGGAGCGGGCGAGGACGACAAUAAAGAAAACGACGCGCCUAAGACAAGGUGGCACGUGUCCAAGUCCAAUUCAAAAUCCUGUGUCACGACUCCCGAGUCAAAGUUCACUUCACAAACCCGCCACGUCACAGAAUAAAUGGGUGGCGACUGAUGCGGACGAUUUACCCCACUCGUUUAUCCCACUGCGUACAAAUAUUUUAAAUGUUUUUUUAUAUACUUUUUUUUAUAUUUAAUUUUGUUAUCAUGGUUGAUGAAAAUGGAGGAUUAAAUCCUUUUGCAGCGGCAAAAGAAAUUCCACAGAAAAUGUAUAAUAUAUAUGUUAACUAAUACUUUUAUCAUUUGGCAACAUUGAAAGAGUAAUACUUCUUAAAGAUGCUUUUCGAUUUUCUCAAAGUUACAAAGCAACAAACGCUGGAGCAUUUUCCAAAGCUUGGCCAAAAUUGACUACCACAUUCAAACGCACGACUCUCACAUCUAAUCUCAUCCCAAACAGUAAUACAAAAGCAUUGGUGUAAUAAGUAUCACAUCAAAGGACAAGAACAUGGUUAGCACCAUCAGGUUCCUACUGUAAUCACAUGAUUCCAUGGCUAGCCCCUUGUUUUUUUCUUUUUUCCUUUUUUUUAAAAAUUUUUAACCCAACUAAACUGUCCUGUUCUCACAUUUGUACAAAAGUUGAUGCUAGAACAAACUCUUAAACUUUCUCUUUUAUCAUUUUCUUAUAAAUCCUUUUAUUGAAAAGUAUAAAAUUUACACGUAUCUAUAACAAAUAUACAGAUAGCAUAUUCCAAAUUUAUAAGGUGAUUCAACAAAGUAGAUUGUUUCCUCACACGAUAAUUUCACACUGAACAAAAAGGGGACUCAUACAUUAAGCCACUAAAUGGCUUAUUCUUAAAAAAGCCAAUAAACUGGAUGGAUUAUUAAUACAUCUUCUUAAACAUUAAUUAAGAGUACCCAACUAAGGCCAGAACAAGAAAUCCUGGUCCACAAAUGGGAUUUCAUAUUUGCAAGAGUAUCCUUGGAGAUUGGAAGAAUCUACUGUAGGAUCUGAUAGAACUGAGUUUCCUUUCUCCAUGCAAUGAGAGCUCUCAGUGUGUUGAGGGCUCUCACAACUAUUAAACACCACACUGUUGCUAGAGAUGAGAUCUUCUGGUUUGCUUACCAUUAGAUUUUGGUCAUCUGAUCCCCCUCCUUCCGACGAAACCAAAAUUUUCUUUGGUUUUUGGGAAAUUUUGUUGGUUUUUUCGAAUUCAAACGACUGCGUGGAUAAACUGAACAUGUUUUCGACGCCGAGCUUUUUCGCGAGUGAAAGUACCUGCAGAGAAAGAAGAUCUAAGUGAUGAUUGCGCAAUUUCCACAAAUUGUUCGAUUAUUAUUUUGACAAAAUUGUGUAAACCUGUUUUAAUUGCUUGGCCCAUUUUGGUUGUGUAGAAUAAGACAAAAGAGCGAUAUUGAAUAAUAAGAUCAUGACAGGCGAAAGGUGAAUUCCGUGGGAUACAACAGCAUUUUUGAAAUCUAAUCCCAUUCAAUAUCAACAUCUGCGGGGUAAGAUUCAAAAUUCUCAAAUUAUUUGAUUCGAUUAGAUCUGGUUGCGCCAGCCAUUCGCCGCGACUCCGACAGAUUUGAGUUGUGAACAUUACUAUCUCAUCUUAUUCUUUCCGAUAGCGUGUAGAAACUAAUAACAGCUGCACGAAUGUUCUCUAGAGAACAUUAUUAUCGCAACUUCUUCAUCUAAGUUUCAAAGCAUUCAUAUAAGAUGGUGUGUUUCUCGGGGAGAGGGGGAAAAAAGAAAUUGUAAAGAUGCGAGAUAGAUAUACCUCAGCUUGAAGAUCCUCUUUCUCCUUGCAUAAACCCUCAUAAUUAACCUUGAGGGAAUCAUAGCUACAUUUUAGUGCAUCGUAGUCCUUCUCCAGCUGCUUUAUCUUCCACCGAGCACGACGGUUCUGAAACCAAAUCGCGACCUGUUUGGGUUCGAGCCCGAGCUCCUUCGCGAGCUCGAUCUUCCGUUCCGGCUCGAGCCUGUUUUCGACUUCGAAGCUCCUCUCCAGAAACUCAAUUUGGUCAUCACUGAGCCUCCUCUUCUUCAACGGAAGAUGAGUGAACUCGUCCGAGUCCUCAUCGGAAAAUCUUUUUCUUUGAGGGGUUUCGUCGAAAUUUAUCAUAGCUCUUGAUCCUGCAAAAUCAAUCUCUUGUAAAACUCAAAAGCUCUAAAUCCACAUCCCUGUUUUCGCUUUCUUUUUUCUUUUUUUUUUUUUAAGAACAAAAAAUUUCAAUUUGGUUCCACUCCUAAUUAAAAAUCUUAAAGUGACAAAUCAAAAACCAACCAUUUAAAAAUUCCUUCAUAAUAAUUGUGGUUUCAUCUGAGAAGCAGAGAAUGAUGCCCAAAAAUCACACCUUUUUUUUUUUUUUGGGCUGCAGAGUAGUACUUAAACGUUUAAUAAAUUACCCUCGAAAUUUCAUCUCAACAACUCAGAUUACAAAAAAAAAAAAAAAAAAAACAAACAAAACAAAAACAAAAACAAUUUAGAGUGAAGUGGUAAACCAUAAAUGGGAAAAAAAGGAACAAAGCGUAAAACCCAAAACAGGGGAGAGAAACAAGGAGGUGAGAGAGGGGUAUUAGGUAGUAUUACCGUAAAAUCCCACCGGAGAGAACAAGGCCUCGAAACCCUCGGCGGAGACUCCUUCGUGCGGGAGCAAAGUCGCCGUAUUUGAACCCUUGUAUAUCAUCAUCUCCUUCGCCAUCAUCUCCCCCUGCUUCCGCCUUCGAUUACAAGCGAAAAAAAAGACCUUUUUUUUUUGUUUCCCUUUCGUCUAAGCAGGGUUUUUGCAGGGUGCGACGGGCACCAUCUCGGCUUCCCAAAAGAGCGCUUUUUUUUUUUUGGUAAAAAGAAAAGCUCCUUUUUUUUCCGGCUUCUACUGGAGCUUGUGGCGGAAGAAGCUGGUGGUCACCGCGAACGCGCCGUGGGAAGCGGCGCGGGGCCUUUCGCAAAGCGGAGGUGAGCCCAUCACUCACUCUGUUUCGCUCGUCUUCCUCAGCAGAAGAGGAAGGAGGAGGAGGACGAAGAGGAGGAGGAGGAGGAGGAGAGUAGAAGCAAACGCUUCUUUGGUUUUGAGUACUGAGAUGGGUUGUGGGGUGUUUUACAAAUUACCCAGUGAGUUUGAAGGGAAUUUUGGUUUUUUAGUUUGGGAGACUACCGAGGGGAGAAGAGAAAUUGGAGUGUGAGACUGUGUUAUGAGGCGUGUAUGAUAGACAAGGGACUCUCUCAAAGGCAGAGCUGUAAUAUAUAUAUAUAUAUAUAUAUAUAUAUAUAUAAAAUUGAGUUAAAAUACUUUUAGAAGCAUUAAUUUCUUGGUGCUUCUAAAUUUUUAGCUCUUUGAUCUAUUCCUUAAUUAUUAAUACCCCUUAGAUCAAAUACUAUUCCAUCUAUCACUAUCUACCACUAUCAUCUCAACCCUACAUCUCUCUAUUAAAAGGUUAAAAACUCGAAUAUAUAUAUAUAUAACUAGGCUAUUAUGCUAUUAAUAGCACCAAGUCAUUGAUGCUAUCAAGUUUUUGGCCAUUGGAUUAAGAGAUGUGCAGUUAGGAUAAUUUGGGCCCCCUAGGGUUAAUGGAUGGUUGGUUGAAUAGUAUGAUCUAACAGAUGAAAAUAAUCAAAAUGGUAGAUCUAACGGCGAAAAACUUAGUAGCACCAAGUGCUUCGUGCUAUUAAUUGUAUAGUUAUAUAUAUAUAGUUGGACUAGAAUAAUAUUGAUAGCAAAAAGCCUUUAACAACUAAAAUAAAAACUUAGAUGCUAUUAAUUGUAUGGUGAAUCAAAAUUAAACUUUAAAUUUAAAGUAAAAUCUGAAUUAAAUUUUGAUACUUUUAGUUUAAACAACAUAUUUAUAUUUUAAAUUUACUAGAAUUGAAAAAUAUAUAAAAUAGUUCAAUGUAUAUGUAAAAAAUAAUAUAAAAUAUUCUAGGUAUUUUCUAAUAAAAUAUAAUAUAUGAAUUUAUAAAAUAUAUAAUUUAUAUUGUAAAUUUUUAAAUNGGCUCCGUUAGACUUGAUCUAUACUAUUAAAAAUAUUUGAAAACUAAAUUUCAUAAUUUUUCGACAUCAUUUGGCUAGUGAUCAAAAGGUCUCAAAAUUGAUAAUUUUAAUGGUAGAUGUGAUGCAUUUGUAAGUUUAACGGUGUAAAACAAUCCAAAUCAGAUGAAAAUUUUAUGAAAAAUUAUUUUUACUAUUUAGAGUAAGUUCAGUACCUCUGAUCUUAAAUUCAAGUCUUCUAUCAUCGUUUUUUAUGAGAUUUUUAUUUUCAGCCGUUCAUUUUUAGACUACUCGUUUGAUAGGUAAAUGAUACCGAAAAAUUAUGAAAUUUAAUUUCCAAAUACUUUCAAUAGUGUAGAUCAAGUCUAACGGAGCCGAUCGUCGAUUUGGAAUCGGCAUCAUUGAAAACAACUUGAUAGCACGGAGGCCUCGGUGCUACCGAUAGUAUACCAGCCUAGCUCUAUAUAUAUAAAUAUAUAGAGUUGGACUGGGCUACUAUUAGUAGCAAAAUUCCAUUGUUGCUACCAGUUUUUUAGCCUUUGGAUAAACUCUUUUCAUUAUUUCUAACUAUUGGAUUAAAUACUAUAACCCAGUGGAGACCACUCAUCCAAAGGUGAAAAACUUGAUAGCAAAAAGAGCGUUUUACUAUUAAUAGUAUUUCAGCCUAAAUUUAGGCUGAAAUAUUAUUAGGCUGAAAUACUAUUAAUAGUAAAACGCUCUUUUUGCUAUCAAGCUUUUCACCCUUGGAUGAAAAAUUGUAGGGUCGGGAUGAUAUUAGUCGGUUAGAGUUGAGUGGUUCUCCUAGGGUUGAGUGGUCCCCACUGGGUUAUAGUAUUUAAUCUAAUGGUUAGAAAUAAUGAAAAGAGUUGAUCCAAAGGCUAAAAAACUGGUAGCAACAAUAGAAUUUUGCUACUAAUAGUAGCCCAGUCCAACUCUAUAUAUAUAUGUGUAUAUAAUCACACUGUUUCUACAGCAAGUGUGUGAAAUGACAAAAUAGCCCUUUUACUUUGCCAUUUUGUUCGUUUAGGGGCUGUUUGGUUUGACGUAAAACUGUGGAAAAAAAAAUUUUAAGUAAAAAAAAAAUUUUCGGAGGAAAAUAAAUUUUACGCUCUUAGCGUUUGGUUUGUAGGAAAAAAAAAAAAGCUUUCCGUUACGGUUGUUUGGUUGAAAGAAAAAGAAAGAAAAAAUAAAUGGGAAAUGAUUAUAUGUAUUUUGUCAUAUUAUAUAUAUAUAUUAUUAAUAUAAAAUAAUUAUUAUAUAUAUUAUUAAUAUAAAAUAAUUAUCAUACUACAUAUAUAAUUAUUAUAAUUUAUAUUUAUUAAUAAAAUAUAUGUAAAAUAUAUUAUACAGUAAAUAUGUAAUGUAAUAUAUAAUUAUAUAUAUAUUUAAAUACUAUAAAAUAAAUUAUUAUAUAUUUAUAAAUAAUAUUAUAAAUAAAAUAUUAUAUAUUAGCAAAUUUAUAAUAAAAAUAAAAUAUUAUACAUAUAUAU
rnacentral:lncRNA from 1 species